AAAUCCACGUCUGUGCAAACAGUAUAAUUAAUUAGUUGUAACAUAUACAUAUGCAUGGAUGCAAUGGGAAAUUAAAAGCUAGGCGUAGGCUUACCAGUGAUAAGAUUAAAAUCGCAAGGCACGAUAGCUUCAUCCAGUCUGAGAGGCUGACCGGGUUUCAAAACAGGAACAGCUGUUCCGUGUCCACUAAAGUAGAAGAACAGGACAUCUCCUGGUCUAGCAGUUCGCACCAUUUCAUAAAGUGCAGCCUUAAUUUUUAUACCCGUAGGCAUAUCCCAUGAGCCUUGUAUAUAAUUAUCAGUCAGCACCUUAAUAAACCGUUGAUCAAAGUUAAACCUUUUCAUAAUCAACAUUCUUAUGUUCUCCAAAUCAUUUAUGCAUCCUUUCAGGUUGUAAGGGGUCCUUGGGUAAUUACAACCCACAAGAACAGCUUUCUUUUUAGGCACCAGCUCGUUAAUCAUGGGUAAGGCUAAGGGUGUUGGAAUGGUGGCCAAGAAAGCUGUACCAGCAUUCUUAUCACUGCAAUAAAGGCAAGGGUGUUGCUCGUGAAAUCCAAGGCUGGUUAUUUCAUCCCUAACAUUCAUCACAAGCUGUUUAUUGGUUAAUGUACCAUUGGUCUCGUUGAUAAUCUUUUGAAGUGAAUAUGUAAAGGCCCCAUACGCCUUUCCUUGGGUUUUGUCACUCGGUUCCAAAUCAAGGGAUAGCUCAUCGGCUUGGCACCUACUUAAUAGAAUCCCCUCAUCCUCCGUUAAUGACCUUGGCUCCUGAGAGGGUCGGAAUUUUAAACUGACGUUGUCUCAAAAGAUUCCGGUCAAAAGAUGGCCAAUGUUGCUGACAAUAUCUAAUCCAGUAGUGCUGAAGGCAACUGUUGUGCCCAAUACGUCUGAUGCGGCGUUUAUGACGUUGGCUGCUGUUUGUAGGCCUUGGUGUAUUGAUUCAAGUGAAAUUCCCCUCUUCCGGGCGUCAACCGAUGGUGCUAUACCCCUUAGAGUACUAUGGGGUCCAAUUUGUUCUUUCUCUUUGUCGAUGAGACCACCGCUGUGGCACGAAUCUGAAACGAUUGUGAAGCUUGUUUCUUUUGGCAGCUGCUCAAUCAAGUGCCUGAUGUCCACGUCUGCACAGCCAUGUAUAUUUAUAAAAAAAUGAUAUGAUUAAUAAAGGAAAAUAUGUAGUUGACGAGUUGUGAUCCCAUUUUGGAAUCAUGAUCAACAUUAAUAUUUUAAAAAAAAAAAUUAAUUAUUAUUUUUUAAGAUUUAAAGUUAGAUUUAUAUUUUGACAUUUAAGGUUGAAUUUUUGAUUUGUUGAAUUUGAGUUUUGGAAAUUACGAAAUUGCGGGUUAAAACCCUACUAUGUACUAUAUUUCUAUUUUUUUAUUCAUAAAAAGAAUAAAAAUGACAAAAAAUUUCUUUAAAUUAAUUUAAUUUACUUUAUAAAAUAAAAUUAUUGUCCAAAUUCCACUAUAAGACACCAUUAAUUAGGAAGAAUAAAAAACCUACCAUAAAUGAGAUUGAGAUCACAAGGAACGAUCGCAUCAUCCUUCCGACCUGGUUUCAUGUCUGCCUCAACUCCAUGUCCACUGAAGUGGAAUAAUAGGACAUCUCCUUCUUUAGCCUCUUUCACCAUUUCUUCAAGUCCAGCCAUAAUGUUUGCACGUGUAGUUUUUUUUGGGGACCCUGGUUCAUCAGUUAUGAGCUCAACAUGUUGAGGAUCAAAGUUAAACCUUUUCAAAAUCACGUCUCUCAUGGCAUGCACAUCAUUUAUGAAUCCUUUCAACUCGUAGGGGGUGUUGGGGUAGUUGCAUCCCACCAGAAGAGCUGUCUUCAUUCUGUCUUUGAGUUUGCUUGUCUUCUGAUUUGGAUGUUGCAGGAAGAACCCAUAUAUAUACACACACACAAACAAGUUUACGUUAUACCAUGCAAUGCCAUAUAACUCAUAAGCUCACGACAAGAUGGCACCUACGAUAUUUUUAUUUCAAAAUUUAUGGUUGUUAUUUUUUUAGUUAAAUUUGAUCAUUAAUCUUUUAAUUAUUUUUUAAUAGAAAUGUUUGACUAGAAUAUUAAUUUUUUAACGAUGUUGGCAUGACAAUUCGUGUGGUAGUCCACAUGUACUUCAUGCUGACAUAAUAUUAUUUGUCAUAUAUGCCACAAUAAUAAAUAAUUUAAAAUUUAUGAAAAAAUAUUAAAAAAUGUUUUUAUAAAUUUAAAAGAAUAGCAUGAAGUACACAUGGAUUACCAUGGGGGUUGCCAUGCUGAAAUAUAAUGUUUUAGUUAGUAUUUUUAUUAAAAACAUCAAUUCGACUUUUUUUAAUGGACUUGUCCAUGGGUUGGGGCUUGACCAAAUUUUAGGCCCAUUUGAUAAGUUCGGUCUUGACCCGGCACGAAAAAUGGGCCGAAAAUUUUACCCAAGCUCGACCUGAAUAAAAAUGCUAAAACCCGAGCCUAGCCCAGCCUGCCCAUAUUAAAAUUUUUACAUUAUUUUUAAAAAAAUAUAUAAAACACUAAAAACAUUCAAAUAAAUGUUUCCCAACAACUUGAAAAUAAAUUUUAAAAAAUCUUUAUACUUAAAUAACACUAACAUAGGUGCAACUUAACAAGUAAAUGCCACUAAAAUAAUAACAUAAUUAACAAUAAAAUAAGACUUAUAUAAUAUCCAAAUAAUAAUAGCAAAAAAAUAGUAACAUAAUAAUGAAAUGGCAGGAAAACAGUGAAAAAACAACAUUUUUUUUCUUUUUCUAAAUUCGAGUCGGGCUGGAAAAAAAAACCUUACUUGAGGCCCUUAUCCAAACCUAUUUUUCGUGUCUAUAUUUUUGUUCAAGCCUUUUUACUUUUUGAGAGUCCAGCCUAUUUCAUGGGCAUGUCUAUUUUUAAAAGAUAGAUAAUUAAAUUUGAUUUUUUAAAAAGAUUAAAAGACGAAAUUUAACUAAAAGGGACCAAAUCAAUUUAUUAUAUAAUAAUUGCCUAUUUUUAUUUGUUUCUUUUGGUGUUCAAGAAUAAUACAUAUUAUACAUAUACAUGGAUAGAGCAAAUCAAGUGCACCAUUCAAAAAAUUGGGUUUAUAUGUACUAUUAGUUAAUUAGUUGACUAACUUCAAUAAAAAAUAAAAUUAUUUGGUCCAUAAAAAAAAUGUAUUUUUUACAAUUAGAAGUUACAAUAUUAACGAAACAUUAAUACAUUCAUGCUUUACUCAAUAAUUAAUUAAAAUAUUAAAUUAAUAAUCAAAAUAUAUCUAAAUUCGUAAUACAAUGUUUCAUACAAUAAUUACUCAAUCACUAUAUUGCAUUGUUUAAUUGUCGAAACAAGUUAUAACUUCCAUUGUAACAACUCAAAAGAAUAAUUACAAACCAAUGUAUUUUUAGACUUAAAUGUAGAACUAAGGCUUAGUUUAGAUGAGCGGUGCAUUUACCUAUGAUUAGUGUAAAAAUAACGGUGGUGGUGAGAUUAGAUAUUGUAACGACACUGUAAUUUGAGACAAAGAUAAAUUAAACGCACUGUACUAUACCAAACCAUCCAUCUAAACCUCACCUAAAAGUUGCUAAAGUUUCCUUCCUACCAUUAAACCAAUGUAUCAUCAACUAUUUGUACUUAUUUUUAAACACUUUUUAUUGGAGUUGCAUGAAAUGCUUGAUUGACUACGUGUAAAUUUAUACACAAAAAACCAAUAAUUUGAAAAGCUUUCCAUAGUACAAUUUUGAUAUAUUUGGCAUUUAAUAAGAAAUCAACAUAUGGAGUGGGUGAUGAAUCCGAAUUGGGGUGAGCACAGGUGUUGUGAUGGACAAAGCGUAAGACAAGGUGGUUCCCGAAAGAAGCAAGAAAGCUCUGACAAAAGGCAGCUAGGUAUUCCUUUUUCAGACAAAGAAGACAAAAGAUAGAACAUAAAGGGUGGUGGUCGAAGAUAAAUGAUUAUAACAGCACUGAUAUGAUCUGCUUCGCCUUCGUCUACCACCUCAUCUUUAUGUUUUUAUCUUGGUCGUGACUCACGUUGGCCUUCGUCUGCAAGUGCUGUCGGUCCUACUAUUGUGCUUGUGUUGCCUAGCUUCUGAUUUCUAUGUAUUAGGGUAUAUUUGAGUCGGGUGAAGUUAGAAAAAUAUUUUUAAGGAUUGAAGUUAAAUUAUAUAUUUUUAUAAGAGUUAAAAUGUAAUUUUAUAAUUAUAUUAGUUUAUAUUUUUAUAGUUUUUAGAGGUCUUAAAUCAAAAUUUUAUCAUUUUUUUGGAUAAAUUGUGUUUUUACAAUGUUUAACUUAUAAUUUUAUAGAUUUUAGAAAGGCCCAAAUAACAAUUUUCUAUUUUAGGGGUCUAAAAAGUAAUUUUCAUUUUAAGGGGGCCACUCCCCUUGCUUGCACCAGUCACCGCCUUAACGACAAGAUUAAUUCUAGUGAGAUUGAAAAUAGAUAUGACAGUGAGAUUAAUUAUUAUGGUGAUGAGAUUAAAAUCACUGGCGAGAUAUGUGUUAGGAUUUAAAUAUAUAGACUGUAGAUUUAUAGGAAGAAAGCAAAAUGACCAUUAUGGACAUUAAACUAAAAUUAAAAUAUAGUUUACACCCUUCCAUAUAUUUUUGUACAAUUAAUAUUUUCACAAUAAAAACAUUAUAUUUCAUAUUUCAUUUAUAUAAAUCAUGCAUGUCAAAUUUAACAUAAAUUAAAAAUUUCUAACUGUUUGUUUUAUGUAAAAAUACUUUUAACUGUUUAAUAAAUGUUAAUAUAUACAAUAUUUUAGAUGAAUAAGAUAGAAAUAUCAAAUCAAUUUGAAAAAUUGCAUGCAUGAAUCAUACAAUAAUAUCAAUAAAUUCAAUGGUUGAAUUGUUAAAUUAAUAAUCAUAUAAAAAUAUAUGGAAGCGUGUAAAAUUACUUUAGUUUCAUACUAGUGUAAGCGGAUCUCUCCCAUUUUAAUAUAUAAAGUUAAUUGUAUAAUUUAAAAUUAUGUAACUAAUAUUAUUUAUAAAUAUUAUAAGUAUAAAUAUAUUUCUUUAUACGCCUAAAAAAUGUAAAGAAAAUCCACAAUCAAGCUAUUUGUUGAGGGGAGGUCGGACUCUCUGUUGGGAGAAGUCUUCUAAGUGUCAUCUAUUUGGGAGUUGAUGGACCCCUCAAUAAGAGGUAUUGUUCUCGUGUCGGGGUUUUUUCCUUGGCCUCCACAAAAAGCAGCUAUACGAUUCUCUAAGGGGGGCUCGGUUGGUGGAGAGAGGUAUAAUGGCUCUUUGUAGAGGUUGAGGAAAAAACCUUGACACGAGGACAAUACCUUCUGUUGAGGAUUCUGUUGGCUCUCAAGGGGGCAAUACUUCGAAGAAUUCUUCUAAGAGAAAAUCUAACUUCCCCUCAACACUAUUCACACACCCUUAUCCCAAACCAACAACCAAAUAUCACUACAACCACAAUCAAUCAUACAAAAAUGCCAAAUAAUAACAAAUAAAAGCAGGAAGAAAGUCUCCUAUGUUAGCAUACUCAAAUAGGACUUAUGGAAUCAAAGAAAAGAGAAUGAAAAUAUAUAAAAAAAAUGAGACAUAAACGUACUAGAUUCAGUUAGGAGUUAAUCGGAGAGUUUUGGGUGUGGAGGCUCAAACAAAAGGUCAAGGAGAAAGUUUUAUUGAGAAGAUGAACAUAUUGGACUCAAGUGACCAUCUGAUGAUGGCAGACAAAGAUCAAAUAGCUUCCUUGUUAGAGUUUUGAGUUUGAAUCAACGAAGUUUUAGGCCAUUUUAAGGAAAAUUAAAUCAUAAAGUUGAAAGAGGAAGGAUAGGGCUAUACUUUUAUGUGUUUCUUUGCUGAAGGUGGAGGUUGGACAAUGGUGAGAUUACUGGAAUACAAUAGUGAAAGAGGUUCCUAAAACCCUAAAACUUUUGAAUAGUUUAGUGACCAGCUUAUAACUUUUCUGAAAUUGAGUGACCGGAGUGCAAACUUAUUAAUAUUUAAGUGACCUUGGGUGUAGUUUACCCUAUGAUGAAUAGUGAGUUAACGAUCAUGCCAGACAUCCACUAGAAACCUAAUGGUCCAAUGAUUUAAAUGAUAGAUUUUGAAUAGUUAAAUGACUAAUUUGUAACUUUUUAAAUUACUAAUAGCCGAGUAACCUUGAAUGUAAUUUACCCUCUCUUGUUUGACUUAAAAAAUCAAAUACAAGAUGGACUUUUCCACAAUAGGCUGACAUCAACAAUGUGGAAAUAGCACGGUCCAUACCUAUAAUAGUUGAUAUCAAAGGAAGAAGAAUUCAAUGACUAAAUGACAUGAAUAUAAUGUAGAAAAAGUUAUGGAAGAAAGAGUCCACGAACCCCUUUCUUUUUUGCCUCUAGAUUUUUAAGUUUGUGAAGAAAAACUAGUGAUAUUCUUUUUGUCCCUAUAUCUAGUAAACUACCCAUAAAAAUUAUCUCUGGAGUAGAAAUGGAUGACUUAGGGAAAAUUAAACAAAAGUAAUAAUUUUUUGGGAUAAAUUUUAAAAUUAUAUAAAUAUUUAUUCAAUGUGUAAUUUAAUACAUAAAUUUUAAUUUUAUGUAAUUAUAUAUAUAACCCCUUGUAAAAUGGGAAUCCAGAUGAAUUAACAAAUUCAUUUUAGGGGCUGGAAGGGCCCUAACCCUUAUUAAAAUGAGAAAUUUCGUUUUUAGUCUUUUAAAAUUUAUUUUUAAGUUAGUACAUGGUAAAAUUUUACUUUAGCUCUUAAAAAACGAUAAAAUUUUGAUUUAAUCGUUUAAAAAUUAAAAAAAGAUAUAAACUAUUAAAAUGAUAAGAUUUCAUUUUAACUCUCAUAAAGAAUAUAUAAUUUAAUUAUGACUUUUCGAAAAAAUAAAUUUUUGACUUCACCCUUAUUCGAACUUUAAAAAUUACUCGAAAAAAAAGGUUUUGCUGACUAAGGCAACAAAACAAAGGGAAACGAGAUUCACGAGGGGGUGAAGACGAAAUUCAAAACCAAAGUGAUACGAGCCAAGGAGGUGACAUUCAAAGGGUUGUUUUUCCUAGUGGUCCAAUCACUCGAAGCAAGACACGACAAUUAAAAUCAAAGAUGAAUGCUUUUGUCCAAGACUUUGUUGCUACAAAUUUAAUUCAUCAUGUUCGUGACGUUGACAAAUAUGGGAAUGCAAUUCACUGGACCAAUCUUGGAAUAGUGAAAGCCCAUAAAUUGGUGGAUUAAUCUUUUAUGUAUAUUAUUAUUAUUUACUUAAUUCUCAUUGGUUGGGACACAUCACUUAUGAGUUAAGUAAUUUUAUUGAUUAGGUUAUUAUUUAUUUAUUUUCCUAGAUAAUUUUAAAGAGUUUUAUUAGGAUUCAAUUACUCUUGAAAGAGUUUUAUUAGGAUUCAAUUACUCUUGUAAUUUGCCUAUAAAUAGGCUUGCUUUCUACACAUUGGAGGGGGAAUAAAAAGAAGAGUAUUUUGUUUUCUUCGAAAUUUGUGUGAGGCAAAUUUUUGAGAGUAGAGUAAUUCUUCUCUUGCUAUUUAGUUUGGAGUUUGUUACUUUCGAGGGUAUUUCGGAGUUACAAAUAUUCAAAUUUCUUUCCCGUUCAUCGGUGUUUCUAGAGGUUCUUCUUCUAGGGGUUUCGUAGGGAGCCGCUCAAUCAUUGGCGUUUUUGGUUACAAGUUAACCAAGGGUUCAAUAGGGCAAAUCUAUCCUUUUUAUUUAUUUAUUUAUUAUUAUUUAACUAAUUUUAUUUAUUCUCGUUUUAUUUCUAAUUUAUGUUUCUCUUGUGUCUAGAUCCGGGUUUCCGAAUCAAUUGGUAUCAGUUUCAGGCCAUUCGGUGUUAUUUUUGAAGCUAAAAUCAAAUCCGAAGCGAGUCAAAAUACCAAAAACACUUUUCAUCGGUUUCGUCGAUUCUCUUUUUUUUUGAAGUUUGUGUUUAUUCUCCUCUUAUUCUUUAAAAAAAAACCAAAAAAAGCAAAAAGUGCAAAAAAAAAAAGCAAAAAAAAGUUGCCUACCUUUCAUACGUAGGUUUCUUGUUUUCCUAUUAUUGUUAUUAAUUUUAUUUUUAUUUUUCCCAAAAUUGAAUUUCUUUUCCUUUUUCUUUUCUUGACUCAAGUAUAAUUAAAGCUUCAAUUUUUUAAAAUCUUAAGACACCAAACAUUUCCGAUUUUUGUUUUUUUUAAAAUUUGGGUAGAGUUUUCUUAAGUUUUUUUCUUAUUAAAGCUUUUCUUUGACUCUAGAGUUAGGGAUCGUUGCAGGUCUACGUUUUUUUUUGUUUCUCAUACGCUUUCUAACACUUUGUUUCUUCUUGUGUUAGCAGAUAUUAAAGGCACGCACAAUUCCUUCAUCCGUGUAGCCUCCAUUACAAAUUGCCUUAUCAAGUUUAUUGGCCUCUUAGAGCAAUUAGGGUCUUCAUUGUUUCUUGAAGUUUGCACCUCCGUUAUUUAAUCUUGAUUAGUAACCCUCUCCAAACUUAUUUACAAGUUUUGAAUCAUUCAGAGAGUUAUUCUUUUGAGAGCUAACGAGUGAGGUUAUUAUUAUUUUUUCUUUCUUGUUCCUGUUUGUUUGAUCUUUCACAGAUACCAUGCCUCUCACUAGAUCCCAAACUAGUAAAAAUGAAGAGGAUGAGCAAAAAAGAAAGAACGAUCCUUUGGUCGAGUUGUUACAAAAAGAGAUGAAAAAGUUGCAAACUCAAUUCGAACAUUGCGUGACCCAGAUGUUACAAGAGCAAAUGGAGUAUCUUGAUACAAAACUUACAACUCAAGAGAGAUACAUUGCCGAUAAUUACAAGAAGUUGAACGAAUCCUUUAUAAGCCGAUCAAAUUCGUGAGAUCGAACUUUUAAACGAAGGGAGGACCAUGUUUUUGAUGAUGACUUUGAGUCCGAGUAUGUACCUAGAGAAAGGUUGGAACGAAACAAUGACACCCCCAAACCAAAAUUUCCUUCUUUCUCAGGGAAGAAUGAUCCUGAUGCUUACCUUGAUUGGGAGGAAAAGAUGGAAGUAGUCUUUGCUUGUUACAAUUACUCUGAUGAGAAAAAGGUAACAUACGCUGUCGCUGAGUUCAUUGAUUAUGCACUAACAUGGUGGAAUCAAUUAUGUAAAAGCAGGAUUCUUUAUAGAGAGCAACCUGUUACUACUUGGGUUAAAAUGAAGCGCAUCUUGCGAAAACGGUUUGUUCCACCAUACUAUUAUCGAGAACUCCAUCAAAGACUCCAACAUCUUGUUCAAGGAGAUAGAUCUGUGGAUGACUACUACAAAGAGAUGGAGACUAUUCAGAUUAGAGUCAAUCUUGUUGAAGAAGCUGAGAUGACUAUGGCUAGAUUCCUUGCCGGCCUAAAGCUUGAGAUUGCAAAUCGAGUUGAGUUACAACACUACAUAGAUGUUGAAGAGAUGCUUCAAACCGCACUCACCAUUGAAAAUCAAUUACGAAAGAAAGGGACAACGAGGGGUGCUAGUUCAAUUUCUAAUCCUGCUUGGAGAGGAAAUUGGCAAAAACAAGAUGAUAGAUUGUGGAAUAGGAGAGAUGCACGGUUCAAGCCAAAUGAGCCUAGAACUUACUCUAAAGAUAGAGGUAUGCCUAAUUCAUUUAAAGGUUCUACUUCUACUAAUCGAGCUUCAUCUUCUUCUUCUACUUCUCCUAGUGCUAUUAAGCAGCCAAAAGAUAUUACCUGCUUCAAAUGCCAAGGAAGGGGUCACUAUGCUCAAGAAUGCCCUAAUAAAAAGUAAUUGGUGAUUCGAGAAGAUGGCGGGGUUGAUUUUGAGUCUGAUAACGAAGAUGAGAUGCCUCCUUUGGAAGAUGCUGAUGAUGUGCAUACUCAUGAUGAGUAUGAAGAAUACUUGGAGUAUGGUGAGAAAGCACUUGUUGCUCGAAGGGCUUUAAAUGUCCAAUUUAAAGAGGAAGGGCGCGAACAAAGAGAUAACAUUUUCCACACGAGAUGUUUGAUUGGUGGACAACCUAGUUCAUUGAUCAUCGAUAGUGGAAGUUGCACCAAUGUGGUAAGUUCUUCCCUUGUUGAGAAACUUGGCCUACCUUGUGUGAAGCAUCCAAGGCCAUACCGCUUGCAAUGGCUGAAUGAUAGUGGGGAGGUAAAAGUAUCUAAACAAUGCUUAGUUUCAUUUUCCAUUAGUAGAUACUCUGAUAAAGUUUUGUGUGAUGUUGUUCCAAUGCAAGCUGGGCACAUAUUACUUAGACGGCCAUGGCAGUUUGAUCGACAAGUAAAUCAUGAUGGUUUCCUUAACCAAUAUACCUUUGUGUUCCUUGGAAAGAAGUUUACUUUGGCUCUAUUUCCUCCUCAAGAAGUCUACAAUUUUGAACUCAAACUUGCUAGUGAGAUGGGUAAGGGAAGUGAGGUAAAAUCAUUAAAAAAGGCUGAGAGUAAAGAGGCCCUUAGUGUUAAAAGCCAACUUAAAGGCCCAACAUUGGUGAGUGAUUGCACACACAAGUCACGAGAUGAGAAAGUGAGUUUAUUCGCUAGGUUUCGAGAUAUCAAAUUUGCUCUUUGUACAAAACAAACAUUUGUAAUUAUUAGGUUUAGGGAAAAAUUUGUUUUGACUAACCCUAAUACACAUUUGCCUAGUUGUUUUGUUGAUCUUUUGCAGGAUUUUAAGGAUGUAUUUCCUUCUGAAAUGCCUAAGAGAUUACCUCCUUUACGAGGGAUUGAACAUCAAAUUGACUUUGUGCCUGGUUCGAGUAUUCUGAAUAAACCAGUCUAUCGAAGCAAUCCUGAAGAAACUAAGGAGUUGCAAAGGCAAGUUAAAGAUCUCUUAGAGAAAGGGUUGAUUCGUGAGAGUCUAAGCCCUUGUACGGUUCCUGUACUUCUCGUCCCAAAAAAGAUGGUUCUUGGAGAAUGUGUGUUGAUUGUCGUGCUGUCAACAAGAUUACGGUAAAGUAUCGAUAUCCAAUUCCUUGAUUAGAUGAUAUGUUGGAUGAGCUUAAUGGUGCAUGCAUUUUCUCUAAAAUUGACUUAAAAAGUGGUUACCAUCAAAUAAGAAUGAAACAAUGUGAUGAAUGGAAAACUAAUUUUAAGACUAAGUAUGGCCUGUAUGAGUGGUUAGUCAUGCCAUUUGGCUUAACUAAUGCUCCUAGCACAUUCAUGAGAUUAAUGAACCACAUACUUAGACCUUUUUUAGGAAAAUUUGUCGUUGUGUAUUUUGAUGACAUACUGAUUUAUAGCAAAACUUUGAAUGAUCAUGUUGGGCAUGUUAAAUUAGUAUUGGAUGUGUUAAGGCAUGAACGACUCUUUGCUAAUCUUGAAAAAUGCACCUUUUGUAUGGAUAAGCUUGUUUUUUUGGGUUUUGUGAUAAGUUCUACAGGAAUCCAUGUGGAUGAGGAGAAGGUAAAGGCAAUUAAAGAAUGGCCUAUCCCUAAAACUGUUUCUGAGGUAAGGUCUUUCCUUGGGUUAGCCGGUUUCUACCGCAGGUUUGUUCGUAACUUUUCCACAAUUUCUUCGCCUUUGACUGCACUUAUUAAAAAGGAUGUAUCUUUUCAUUUGACAGAUAAGCAAGAAUUAACAUUUAAUGAACUUAAAGAUAAAUUGUGUAAUGCUCCUAUUCUUUUUUUACCUAAUUUUGAAAAGACCUUUGAGAUUGAAUGUGAUGCUUCUGGUGUAGGUAUAGGUGCCGUCCUCAUGCAAGAUAGUAAACCACUAGCCUACUUUAGUUAGAAACUUGGUGGAGCACAUUUGAACUAUUCGACCUAUGAUAAAGAGUUGUAUGCCUUGGUAAGGGAAUUAGAAGUUUGGCAACAUUACCUUUUACCAAAGGAGUUUGUGAUUCACACUGACCAUGAAUCACUUAAGCACUUAAAAUGACAAGGUAGGUUGAACAAGAGACAUGCGAGGUCGGUUGAAUUCAUUGAAUCUUUUCCUUAUGUUAUAAGGUAUAAGAAAUGUAAAGAUAAUAUUGUGGCUGAUGUUUUAUUAAGGAGGUGCACUUUACUUAGUACUUUGCAUACUAAGUUAUUAGGUUUUGAGUAUCUCAAAGAUUUAUAUGCUACUGAUUCUGAUUUUACAAGCAUUUAUGACGCAUGUGAACAUGGUGCAUUUCAAAAAUUUUAUAAGCAUAAUGGCUAUCUUUUUCGAAAUAAUAGACUAUGCUUACCAAAGUGUUCAAUGCGAGAAUUGUUGGUUCGAGAGGCUCAUAGUGGUGGUCUUAUGGGUCAUUUUGGAGUCAUUAAGACUUAUGAUGUUUUACAUGAGCAUUUUUAUUGGCCUAACAUGAGAAAACUUGUUGAGAAAAUUUGCUCUACUUGCAUUACUUGUAAACAAGCUAAAUCCACUGUGAUGCCUCAUGGUCUAUAUACUCCUCUUCCUGUUCCUAGUUCACCUUGGACUGACAUUUCAAUAGAUUUUGUAAUAGGUUUACCAGGGACAAAGCGUGGAUGAGAUAGCAUCUUUGUGGUUGUGGAUUGAUUUUCUAAAAUGGCUCAUUUCAUUCCAUGCCAUAAGACUGAUGAUGUAACCCAUGUUGCCGAUCUAUUUUUCCGUGAAGUUGUGAGAUUACAUAGAAUCCCAAGGACUACCGUUUCUGAUAGAGAUGCAAAAUUUCUUAGUCACUUUUGGAAGGUGUUAUGGGGUAAGUUAGGUACUAAACUACUUUACUCUACUACAUGCCACCCUCAAACUGAUGGUUAAACCGAGGUGGUAAAUCAAGUUUUGGGAUCUUUGCUUAGAGCCAUAAUAGGUAAGAAUGUUAAAUCUUGGGAAGAAUGGAUACCCUAUGUUGAGUUUGCUUAUAAUCGUUCUGUUCAUUCUUCCACAAGUUUUACUCCUUUUGAGAUUGUAUAUGGCUUUAAUCCACUUACUGUUUUAGAUUUGUUUCCUUUACCUUUGAAUGAGAUUGCUAAUUUAGAUGGUGAAAGGAAAGCUGAUUUAGUGAAAGAGAUCCAUGAGAAGGCUCGUAAAGCCAUUGAGAAAAAGAAUGAGUCCAAUGCACAUCGAGCUAAUAAAGGGCGGAAGCAAGUCUUGUUUGAACCUGGAGAUUGGGUAUGGGUGCAUAUGAGGAAGGAACGAUUUCCUUCUAAGAGAAAGAAUAAACUUGAUGCACAAGGAGAUGGACCAUUCCAAGUACUCGAGAAAAUAAAUGACAAUGCUUAUCGCAUUGAUCUUCCUGGUGAGUAUAGUGUUAGUGCUACUUUCAAUGUUUCUGAUCUUUCUCCUUUUGAAUUUGAUGUAGGUUCAGAUUCGAGGACGAAUCUUCUUGAAGAGGGGGAGAAUGAUAGGAGCCAAGGAGGUGACAUUCAAAGGGUUGUUUUUCCUAGUGGUCCAAUCACUCGAAGCAAGGCACGACAAUUAAAAUCAAAGAUGAAUGCUUUUGUCCAAGACUUUGUUGCUACAAAUUUAAUUCAUCAUGUUCGUGACGUUGACAAAUACGGGAAUGCAAUUCACUGGACCAAUCUUGGAAUAGUGAAAGCCCAUAAAUUGGUGGAUUAAUCUUUUAUGUAUAUUAUUAUUAUUUACUUAAUUCUCAUUGGUUGGGACACAUCACUUAUGAGUUAAGUAAUUUUAUUGGUUAGGUUAUUAUUUAUUUAUUUUCCUAGAUAAUUUUAAAGAGUUUUAUUAGGAUUCAAUUACUCUUGAAAGAGUUUUAUUAGGAUUCAAUUACUCUUGUAAUUUGCCUAUAAAUAGGCUUGCUUUCUACACAUUGGAGGGGGGAAUAAAAAGAAGAGUAUUUUGUUUUCUUCGAAAUUUGUGUGAGGCAAAUUUUUGAGAGUAGAGUGAUUCUUCUCUUGCUAUUUAGUUUGGAGUUUGUUACUUUUGAGGGUGUUUCGGAGUUACAAAUAUUCAAAUUUCUUUCCCGUUCAUCGGUGUUUCUAAAGGUUCUUCUUCUAGGGGUUUCGUAGGGAGCCGCUCAAUCAUUGGCGUUUUUGGUUACAAGUUAACCAAGGGUUCAAUAGGGCAAAUCUAUCCUUUUUAUUUAUUUAUUUAUUUAUUAUUUAACUAAUUUUAUUUAUUCUCGUUUUAUUUCUAAUUUGUGUUUCUCUUGUGUCUAGAUCCGGGUUUCCGCAUCACAAAGGGAUAAUCAAAGGAGAAAAGUCGUAUAAAAUAUAUGUGGUAGCAGGGAAGAGAUGCUAAGGGAUUAGAUAUUUAUAAUAUUAAUUUAUAUUUUGUUAUUCAAUAUAUAUUUAAUUCUUUUCACUAUUUAUUGUUAUACAAAUAUUAGAUUUAUUUAAAAAUUAUGCUAUUUGUUUGUUGAAUUAAUCGUAUUUUUAGGCCGGAGCAAUAAACCUAUUUGAAGUGGUUCAUAUUGUCCUAGAAAAACCCAUGUACGAACAAUGAUUAAUUUUACUUUCCCACCUAACUACUCUUGGCUGGGAUAGGUCUUGGUGGAGAAGUUAUAGACACAUUUUCAUACUUUGUAUCUGGAAUACUUUACUUAAUUUCUUUUGAUGUAUUGAGUUUUGGUAGUAUUUAUCAUGCACUUUGGGACCUGAAACUUUUGAAGAAUCUUUUUCAUUUUUCGGUUAUAUAUGGAAAUGUAGAAAUAAAAUGACCAUAAUUUUGGGUAUUCACUUCAGUUUGCUUCGUAUAGGUACUUUCCUUCUAGUAUAUGAUAUUUGGGCUCGGUUCAACAUAUUGAUACUAAAUAUAAAUCUAACAUAAACCUAGUGGCCCAUGAAUGCUUUACAUGCUAAUAAAAUCAACUAAUAUUUUAUAAAUACUAUUAAACAUUUUCAGUUAAUAUAAAUGUUGAUCAAAUAACAUAAAAAUUCAUGUACAUUUUUUUACAUAAAUUUAGAAUCUUUUAUCCACUAUCUUAAAUCUAUUGACAUCGACAUUGUUUCUAGUGCAGGAGAAUGUGGAUUCGAGUACACUGAGACAUAUCCUCUUAUUUGAAAGUUAGGGAGAAAUUAUAGAUAAUUCUAAACAUUAUUUCAAAUUUUAUUAUAUUGGAUGAAUGGUUAUUUUAGAUCACAAGCUAAAUUUUGGGUUUUAUUUAGUAUGAGCUUUGUUAAUAAACUUAUUUAGGAACCUGAGCCAAAUGUAUAAUAUAUGGAUAUAGGUUGUAGUAUUUUUUUCGUAUUUAAAUGAUAAUUUUCGUUGUAGAAUCACCUUUGGUGAUUAUUGUGAUGUGGAUUUCAUAAUUAAUAUUGCACGUGAAAUUUAAGGUUUUCCAAAAACCUUAAUUGUUUUUGAAGACUUUUGUUAUUAUACCCCGAUCCAUAUGACAUCCAUCACCGUCAAAUGACAAAAAGUAAUUUAAUGCACAUGAAUUGUGCCUCUACUGGGGUAGUAGGUCUUGGCGGAGAAGUUAUAGACACAUUUUCAUACUUUGUAUCUGGAAUACUUCACCUAAUUUCCUCUGCUAUAUUGAAUUUUGGCGGUAUUUAUCAUGCGUUUUGAGAUCUGAAACUCUUAAAGAAUCUUUUUCAUUUUUCGGUUAUGUAUGGAAAGAUAAAAAUAAAAUGACCAUAAUUUUGGGUAUUAACUUCAUUUUGCUUGGUAUAGGUGCUUUUCUUCUAGUAUACGAUAGCUGAGCUCGGUUCAAUUUUAAAUAAAAUAAUCUAAUAUUUCGAAUUAAACCAAACUUAAACAAACGUAUUGAUAUUAAAUAUAAACCUACCGGCCCAUGAAUGCUUUACAUACUAAUAAAAUCAACUAAUAUUUUAUAAAUACUAUUAAAUAUUUUCAGUUAAUAUAAAUAUUGAUCAAAUAACAUAAAAAUUCAUGUACAUUCGUUACAUAAAGUUAGAAUCUUUUGUCCACUGUCUUAAAUCUAUUGAUAUCAGUAUUGUUACUAGUGCAGGAAAAUAUGGGUUCGAGUACACUGAGACAUAUUAUCCUCUUAUUUAAAGGUUAGAGAGAUUAUAAGUAAUUCUAAGCAUUAUUUCAAAUUUUAUUAUAUGGGAUGAAUGGUUAUCUUAGAUCACAAGCUAAAUUUUGGGUUUUAUUUACUAUGAGCUUUGCUAAUAAACUUAUUGCAUUAAUAUUGGGCUAUUUGGUUUAUAAGACUCUUCGACCUCUUUUUUUUUAGAAUAAAAACAAAUUGAGCUCAUUUUUUUUAAUUUCAAGUAUAUUUAUAUAAUAUUAAAUAUAUAAAUAUGUUUUAUUAUUUUGUUAUUAAAUAUUACAAAAAAUUACAAAUAAAUCAACAAAUUACAGAAAAAAAAACUCCUAAGUUUUACAGAUUUUAUGAUUUGAUCCUUAUGUUCUGAAAUAUUAACUGUUUAGGUGAUGAAUGAAUAUUUGUUACACGUUUUAAGCCUUUAUUUAUUAAAUUUGCUUUAUUUCUAUGGAUUUUUAAUUAAAUUUGAGGACAAGGCAUAAUGUUAAAUUUAGUUCUUAACAUUUAUAUAUUUUAUCCAUUUGGCCUUAAUUAUUUUUUUGAGAUAAAUUUUGGCCUUCAACCUUUUAGAAAAGAGUUAAAAUGAUGUUUUUUAAUGAGAAUACUAAUUAAAAUGUCAAAAAUUUAAACACGAUAGCCUACAUGACAAUCCCCGUGCACUCUGAGUUAUUUCUUUUGAAAUUUUAUGAACCUUUUAUAUUUUUUAAUUUUGAUUUUUAUAAUUUUGAAUUGUUUAGUAUGAUUGGACUCUUUUUGAAAAAGUUAAUGGUAAAAUUUAGCUCAAAAAAGAAUAAAAGCCAAAUUGAUAAAAAAAAUAUAAAUGUUGAGGGCUAAAUUUAUCAUUAUACCAUUUUACAACUAGUUAUAUUUAAGUUGGUACUAUUCAUUAAAAUCAUUUAAAAUAGAUCAUACAUCUAGACUUGUUCGUGGGUCAGGCUACUCGUAUAGAUCUGAAUAAAAAUAUUAGGCCCAAAAAUGGGUUUGGCCGAAAAAAAUAAGCUUGUUUAAAAUAGGGGCUAGACUCGAGCUUGAAUGUUUAAGGACCAAGCCCAACUCGACCUGCUUUUAAGUUUAUAAUAUUUUAUAUUAUGUAAGAUAGCUUAUUGAUAAAUAUAUUGAUAAGAAAUUUAAAUAUUAAGAAAAAUACGUAAAUUUUUCAAAAUUUUACAUCUUAGUUAAAUAAACUGUACGCUUUGGGUCUUAAAUCUUGUUAUAUAUAUGAUGUAUAUGAUUCGUUUAAAAAUUAAAUUAUUAGAGUUAUUUUCAAAAAUUUAAAUUAAAAAAAUAAAGAAAAGAAGAAAUAAUAUUAUAUAAAUAAAAAAGCAAGGAUAUAAUAGGAAAGAAAGACUUCAAACGAUUGACACUGACAGUACCAUUGACAGUAACACUAAACACUGUUACUCAAAGGAAGCUCCAGUACGUUUGAAAUCAAAGCAAGGGUAAAUGUUGCUUCAUUUCCACCCUUGUGGGGAUGUUUUCAAAUCUAAUUUGAUAUCUUUUAUACAAAAUAAUAUAUAUAUAUAUAUAUAUAUAUGAACCUAUUUCUCCCUUUUUUUUGCCUUCUGUUCUAUUUUGUUUGUUAUAACAUUGAAGUCAAUUUUUCUUAAGAAUAUUAUUCCAACAAAACAAAAAUAGUUUGAAUGAGUUUUUUUAAGAAUAAAUCUGCAUUAACAUUUUAACUGAAAUAGUAAAGAGACCAAAAUUUGUUAAAAAAAAAGUAUAAGAAUUAAAUAUCAAAUUUAAGGGAUCAAAAACAAAAUAUGGUUGAAGGCUCUCUAUACUUAAAAAUAAACUAUACCAAAUAAAAGUAUUGGGAUUAAAUCUCUUAAGCAUGUUGCACUUACAAGUAGCGAAAGAGAGGAAAAACAAACUUUCAACUCAAAUGAGAGAAUAUGAUAUUUAUUGAAUUGAUGAAUAAUUUCAAAUGGUUCUAGCCUUUUAUAGGCUAUAUAAUAGUUAAAAUUAGUAACUCAAAGCUAAAAAUAACAAAGCCGAAUGAGAGAAAAAUCCUCAAUAAUCUCUAAUUUCUAAGGAUUAUUUACCAAAAAAACCUCAACAAUCCCUCCCUUAAAUUGAAAGUACACUGAACUUUCAGUUUAAUAAAUUUUUGCUACUUGAUGUCAAAGACCAAGUAUUUUCCUGAACUUGACAAAUGAUGCCAACUUGAGAGGUUUAGUAAAUACAUCAACAACUUGAUUCUCACUUCUGCAAUACUUUAGCUUAAUUGCUCUUUCAUUGCUGAGAUAUGAUAGAAAGUAAUAUUUUACAUCAAUAUGCUUGCUUCUUCCAUGCAACACGAGAUUGUUUGACAACUUGAUGGUUGAGUUGUUAUCACACAAAAUUAUAGGGGCUUUUUCUGGCUUGAAUUGUAGUUGUUCAACGAUUCUCCUAAGCCAAAUAGCUUGACAAGCACAAGCUGUAGUCUCAAAAAAUAAGACAAUGGAUUGUUUCUUAGAUGACCACGAAAUAUCCCCUGUUCCAAGCAUAAAAACAUAACCUAAAAUGCUUAUUCUGUCAUCUUGUUCUCUUGCAUAAUCACUGCCAGUGAAGCUAAUCAUGUUUGGCUUUUCACCUUUCUUCUAGAAAAUCCCAAAUCUUUGGUUCCUUAUAAGUAAUAAAGGAUUAUAUUAGCAACUAAUAAAUGUUUUUCAAUCGGGCUCUCCGUGUCCCUACUAAUAAGACUCAUAGAAUACAUAAUGUUUGGCCUCGUAGCAGUUAGAUACAUCAAACUACCUGUAAUUUGCUUGUAAAUUAUGCUAUCCACUUUUUUUAAUAAGUUUUAAGCCAAACUCAGUUAGAGUGUUGGAAGAGUUACAAUUCGUCAUCUUGAAUUUGUCCAAAAUAUCUCUCACAUACUUUUUCUCUUCCUUCAAGUAUCCAUGUAAGAAUGUCGACUUGAUAUGUAACUGAAAGAUUGACCAAGAGUUCUGCGCUACUAAAGCAAUCACCAAUCUGAUGGUGUUAUGUCUUGCAACUAGGGCAAAAACUUUUGUGUAGUCCAGACCAUACUCUUGUUUGUACCCUUUAGCCGCUAAUUGCAUAUUGCACAUCUCAACCUCCCUAUUUUCAUUCAACUUCGUCUUGUAGAUCCAUUUGACACCAAUGGUUUUGUGCCCCUCAAGAAGAUCAGUCAUCUCCUAAGUAUCAUUCCUUUUAAUGGCUUCAAUUUUAGCAUCUAUUGCCUCUUUCCAUUUACCAAAUUGGCAACAUUUUCAAAACUUGUUGGGCCACAAUCUAUAAAUAAUGCAAAUUGAGCAAUUGUAUAAUGGUUUUCUCUAAUUUUGGUUAUGUCAUAAUCUUACAUCCAUGCUGGCCUUCGAACAUGACGAAGUGCUUCAACUAUUGUACUAGUUUCUUCUUCAUGUGUAAACAAUACUUUAGUGGCUAAUGGAGAAGUAUUCUUGAACAUUUCUUCAGCUUUAUUAUCACAAAGGACUUGGGUAGGUUGUGCUUCAUCCCAAUACCAAGUGUUCUCUUCAUGAAACACAACUCUUGGCUAAUCAUGACCUUCUUUGUCACAGGAUUGAACAAUUUGUAUGCCUUUGAUGUUUCACUAAUACUAAGAAAGACACAUCAACAAGCUUCUUCCAUUUCUCCUCCGAGACAUGUGUUUAGGUAAUGCACUUAAAAAUUUUGAAGUGAUCUACCACUGGUCUCCUUCCAAUCUAAGCCUUCUCUGGAGUCACAUAUCGAAGAGCAUUAAUAGGGCUCCUAUUCAAGAUGUGGAUGUUCCAAUUUAUAGCUUUUGACCAAAACACCUUUGGAAUUCUCCCUCUUGCUAGUAGGCUUCGAACCAUGUUGAGAAUGGUUCAAUUUUUUCUCUCUGAUACAUCAUUUUGUUGUAGUGUAUAAGCAGUUGUGAGCUUUCUUUGGAUGCUGUGAACAUCACAAGUCUUCAAACACCUCAGAGGAAUAUUCACCACCACGACUAGUUCGAAGAUCUUGAAUGGUUCUUCCUUUAUCAUUUUCUACACCAGCUUUAAAGCUUUUAAAUACAUUAAAAGCUUUUGAUUUUUCUUGUAAAGGUAAAUCCAAGUCCUACAAGAAUAAUAAUCAAUAAAGGUAAUAAAAUUCCAUUAGAAAUUGGAUUUAUUGGCCCACAAAUGUCUGGAUGCACCAACUCUAAUACCUCUUUUGCUUUCCAUGACUUACCUUUAGGAAAUUGAGAUUGAUGUGGUUUGCUAGCAACAAAUUCUUCACAAAAUAGGGAAGGAAAGAUAAUUGGAGGAAGACCAGUCACCAUAUUUUUCUUUUUAAGUAUUUUCAAACCACCAAAGUUUAAAUGACCAUAGCAAAAAUACCACAACCAAGAAGGAUAUUUAACUUUUGCUAUUAAACAAGAUUGAACAACCUCAAUCUUAAAUGGAAACAACCUAUUCUGAAUUAUUUCCAUAAUAGCGACAACUGUUCUAGAUGGAUCAGAAAUCUCACAAGCACCAUUCCUGAGAGUGACAACAUACCCCUUUUCCAAUAGUGGCAUCAAAGCCAAGUUUGUUCUUGUUAGCUUAGAAAAGGUUUCACCUAUGGCCUUGGAAAGUAGUUUUGUUCAAGUAGUUAUUCCUUAUUUUGAUGAUCACUAUGACCAUUGGAGUAUGCUAAUGGAGAAUUUCCUAUGGUCAAAGAAGUAUUGGCCAAUGGUUGAAGCAGGUAUCGAAGAGUCUGUAGAAGGAAAAACUUUGAUGAAUGCCCUGAAAGUAAAGUUUGAAACAAGAAAGUUGAAAGAUUUGAAGGUGAAAAAUUAUCUCUUUCAAGCUAUUGAUUGUCCCAUCUUGAAAACUAUUCUUUGAAAAAAAAAACUUCCAAGGAUAUAUGAGAUUCCAUGAAGAAAAACUAUCAAGACUCUACUAGAAUGAAGCAAUGACAUAUUCAAGCCUUGAGGACGGACUUCGAGACUCUAUAGAUAAAGGAAGGGGAUUCUAUCACUAGCAAUUGUGCUAGAACCAUGGAGAUUUGUAAUAGGAUGAAGUUCUAUGAUGAGAAAAUGGAGGAUGCCACCAUAGUGGAGAAGAUUUUGCGCUCUAUGAUGCCGAAGUUUGAUCAUGUCGUUUGCAUCAUUGAAGAGUCAAAAGACAUAGAUGAAUUGUCUCUUGAUGAGUUGUAAAACUCUUUAUUUGUGCAUGAGCAGAAGAUGAGUUGUACUUCAGCCUUCAAGAAACAAACUUUGAAGGCUUCUAUUUUUUUUUCAAUUUUAUAGGAUUGCGUAAAGGUUGAGGGAUAUAUUUGGAAAUGUGCCUAUAUUUUAGUAAACAUGUAACUGUUUUUUUAUUUAUUUAAACAGUGAAUUAAUAAAUAAAGUUAAUUUUACAUUUCACUAGUAUGUCUUUUGUAUUUUCUGUCUUUUAUAUUUAAAAUGCAUAGCAAAAUUGUAACAAGCAAAUAUUAGCUCAUUGAUUGUCUAAAGUUCAAACUAAAGAUAAGUGACAUUGUAAAGAACAUUUACAUUGUGAGAAAGAUGACUUAUUUUAGUAGAUAAUCUAAAUGAGUCCUUAAUCUCGUAAAAGAAUCAAAGUGAGCAUUUGAUUUAAAUACUGAGAAGGAUUAUUAUGUCGUCUACAAUUUCAAUUGGGGAUAUGGCUAGUCUUGGCUAUCGAAGCAGUUGACUCCAUUAGUAGAGAAAUAGAUGUAUUCAUUGGUAGAAUGAUACAUUGGAUUGGACCCAAUAUGAAUUAAUUCUGAAUCUAUUUGUGAAUUAAUUCACUUGUGACGUUUAUGGUGUUGUUUAUCCAAAUCUUGAGUUAGUCACGGACCAUACGUAUGUAACCCAUGUGCUUUGAUAUGAGUGGAGGCUUAUGCUCUAAAGAGGAUCGAGCCCAUACUCGGUAUGGUGGGUACAUAACUUGUAUAUGGCAUGACUUUACUAGCAACAGUGGAAUUCAUAGCUCAAUUAAAGAGUUAAUGAUAUCAUCUCAUUGGCAUUGUGUGGUGAAACACCCCUAACCCCUAUUCAUCGCCGAAUUAGGGUUACAGGGAAUUACCAAACAAAGCGUGAUUUACCACAAUCAUUAACUCACCACAGAAUAACUAUACUUUUAUUUUAUUAUCAGAGUUUAAAUAUUCACAGAUCAGUUAAAAGGCUAAUCAUAGCUUACGAAUCAACACUAUUUAAAAAUUUCGAAUUCGAACUUACAUAUAUAAACAAUAGAACAUGUUCCAUGCUUAAUAGUCAAUUCUAGCAACAUAUACUAAACCAUUCAAAACAAACAAUGUUAAAGCUUACCACCAUAAUUGAUUUCGAAUAAUCUAGGCAUAUUCAAUUAUAUAUUUAAUUCAUGUCAACCUACAUUCUUGCUUAAUACUAAAUUUGUGUAAAAACAACCAUUUCAUUUGAGCCAAUUUAAAACAUUCACAUUUCAUAAUCACUACUUAGCUAAUUUAAGCAUAUUACAUCAUUGCAUAUAAAUCAUUCAAUCCAUAAUAAAUUUAUAUAAUAUUAUGACAGAACCUAUUUUAUAUCAACUAGCAUACCCAAAUAUGAAAUAUAACCAUUCCAUAUAUGUCUCAUCACUUUAAUACAUCUUUUAUUCAAAUAUAUUAGAACCUUAUAACCAAUUUUUCUAACUACACCUAAGGCCGAACAUAUACCCACUAUUACAUUUUACUUAUUAAAUCUCUUAAGCAUGUUGCACUUACAAGUAGCGAAAGAGAGGAAAAACAAAUUUUCAACUCAAAUGAGAGAAUAUGAUAUUUAUUGAAUUGAUGAAUAAUUUCAAAUGGUUCUAGCCUUUUAUAGGCUUUAUAAUAGCUAAAAUUAGUAACUCAAAGCUAAAAAUAGCAAAGCCGAAUGAGAGAAAAAUCCUCAAUAAUCUCUAAUUUCUAGGGAUUAUUUACCAAAAAAACUCAACAAUCCUUCCCUUAAACUGAAAGUACACUGAACUUUCAGUUUAAUAAAUACUUACUAUUUGAUGUCAAAGACCAAGUAUUUUCCUGAACUUGACAAAUGAUGCCAACUUGAGAGGUUUAGUAAAUACAUCAACAACUUGAUUCUUACUUCUGCAAUACUUUAGCUCAAUUACUCUUUCAUUGAUAAGAUAUGACAGAAAGUAAUAUUUUACAUCAAUAUGCUUGCUUCUUCCAUGCAACACGAGAUUGUUUAACAACUUGAUGGCUGAGCUGUUAUCACAAAAAAUUAUACUGGCUCUUUCUGGCUUGAAUUGUAGUUGUUCAAGGAUCCUUCUAAGCCAAAUAGCUUGACAAGCACAAGUUGUAGUGUCAAAAAAUAUGACAAUGGAUUGUUUCUUAGAUGACCACGAAAUUUCCCCUGUUCCAAGCAUAAAAACAUAACCUAAAAUGCUAAUUCUGUCAUCUUGAUCUCUUGCAUAAUCACUGCCAGUGAAGCUAAUCAUGUUUGACUUUUCACCCAUCUUGUAGAAAAUCCCAAAUCUUUGGUUCUUUAUAAGUAACGAAGGAUUCUCUUAGUAGCUAGUAAAUGUUUUUCAACCGAGCUCUCUAUGUACCUGCUAAUAAGACUCAUAGAAUACGUAAUGUCAGGCCUCGUAGUAGUUAGAUACAUCAAACUACCUACAAUUUGCUUGUAAAGUAUGCUAUCCGAAUUCUUUAAUAAGUUUUAAGCCAAACUCAGUUGGAGUGUUGGAAGAGUUACAAUUCGUCAUCUUGAAUUUGUCCAAAAUCUCUCUCACAUACUUUUUCUCUUCUUUCAAGUAUCCAUGUAAGAAUGUCGAUUUGAUAUCUAACUGAAAUAUUGACUAAGAGUUCUGCGCUACUAAAGCAAUCACUGUGCAGCCCAAAUUUUACCCGGGCCUAAUAUUCAAAACAGUCCAGAAACCCAAAACCCAAAUAUCCAAACCCAACAACCCAAUAGGCCCAACUGUCUAAACCUAGCCCCAAAAAAAAUCAAAUCAGAAAUAACAAGUCAAACCUUAGGUGCGCCGCAUUUAGGGGUUCCUAGCUCUGCUGGCCGCCACAUCUGCCACUGCCAUUGCCGCCACUGCCACCGCCACUUGCACCUGCAAUAUCAAAAAGGAAAUGACAGCAAGCAAAAAAGAAUAAAAAAUGUAAAAAAUAUGGCUAUAUAGAGGCCAUUUGAACCGAUUGUAAUUUUUUUAUAGGGAAUAAAAAAAGAACUAAAAAAAAAACAACAAAUCAGAGAGAAAAAAACUUGGAAGGUGAUUUUCGUUUUUUCUAUUCUGCUAUUGAGUUCUUUUUCCUUUUCUAUUCAUUUAAUUUAAUUUUUACUUUAUUUUUUUAGUUUUUCUUUAAUCUAAAUUUUUUGAAAUAUAUAUAUAAACUAAUAUUGGUUUUAUUUUAAAAAAAGAGAAAGAAAUCAUACCUUUGAAUAUUUUUGCAACGGCGUACGGCAGACGGUCGCACCAUGGCCAGAGGAAGGGAAAGGUUGUGUGGAAAGAAGGGAAGAGCUUUGAUUUUUUUUAGGGAUAGUGGCAGAAAUGAUUUUUUUAAAAAAAAUUUGGGGCUUAUAUAGGGUGCCCCUUAGCCGCUAAUUGCGUAUUGCAUUUCUCAACCUCCCAAUUUUCCCUCAACUUCGUCUUGUAGAUCCACUUGACACUAAUGGUUUUGUGCCCGUCAAGAAGAUCGGUCAUCUCCUAAAUAUCAUUCCUUUUAAUGGCUUCGAUUUUAGCAUCCAUUGCCUCUUUCUAUUUUACCUCAUUGGUAAUAUUUUCAAACCUUGUUGGGCCACAAUCUGUAAAUAAUACAAAUUGAGCAAUUGCAUCAUCGUUUUCUCUAAUUUUGGUUACGUCAUAAUCUUACAACCAUGCUGGCCUUCUUCGAACAUGACGAAGUGCUUCAGCUAUUGUACUAGUUUCUUCUUCAUAUGCAAAUAAUACUUUAGUGGCUAAUAGAGAAGUAUUCUUGAGCAUUUCUUCAGCUUUAUUAUCACAAAGGACUUGAGUAGGUUGUGCUUCAUCCCAAUCCCAAAUGUUCUCUUCAUGAAAUACAACUCUCGGCUAAUCAAGACUUUCUUUGUCACAAGGUUGAACAAUUUGUAUGCCUUUGAUGUUUCACUAACACCAAGAAAGACACAUCAACAAGCUUCUUCCAUUUCUCCUCUGAGACAUGUGUUUAGGUAAUGCACCUAAAAAUUCUAAAGUGAUCUACCACUGGUCUCCUUCCACUCUAAGCCUUCUCUGGAGUCACAUCUCGAAGAGCAUUAGUAGGGCUCCUAUUCAAGAUGUGGAUGUUCCAAUUUAUAGCUUUUGACCAAAACACCUUUGGAAUUCUCCCUCUUGCUAGUAGGCUUCGAACCAUGUUGAGAAUGGUUUAAUUUUUCCUCUUUGAUACAUCAUUUUUUUUGUAGUGUAUAAGCAUUUGCGAGCUCUCUUUGGAUGCUGUGAACAUCACAAGUCUUCAAAUGCCUUAGAGGAAUAUUCACCACUACGACUAGUUAGAAGAGCUUGAAUGAUUCUUCGUUUUUCAUUUCCUACACUAGCUUUAAAGCUUUUAAAUGCAUUAAAAGCCUUUGAUUUUUCUUGUAAAGGUAAACCCAAGUCUUACAAGAAUAAUAAUCAAUAAAGGUAAUAAAAUUCCAUUAGAAAUUGGAUUUAUUGGCCCACAAAUGUCUGAAUGCACCAACUCUAAUACCUCUUUUACUUUCCAUGACUUACCUUUAGGAAAUUGAGAUUAAUGUGGUUUGCUAGCAACAAAUUCGUUACAAACUAGGGAAGGAAAGAUAAUUGGAGGAAGACUAGUCUCCAUAUUUUUCUUUUUAAGUAUCUUCAAACCACCAAAGUUUAAAUGACUAUAGCAAAAAUACCACAACCAAGAAGGAUUUUUAACUUCUACUAUUAAACAAGAUUGAACAACCUCAAUCUUCAAUGGAAACAACCUAUUCUGACUUAUUUCCAUAAUAGCAACAACUGAUCUAAAUGGAUCAGAAAUCUCACAAGCACCAUUCCUGAGAGUGACAACAUACCCAUUUUCCAACAGUGGCAUCAAAGCCAAGUUUGUUCCUGUUAGCUUAGAAAAGGUUUCACCUAUGGCUUUGGAAAGUAGUUUUGUUCAAGUAGUUAUUCCUUGUUUUGAUGAUCAUUAUGACCAUUGGAGUAUGCUAAUGAAGAAUUUCAUAUGGUCAAAGAAGUAUUGGCUAAUGGUUGAGGCAGGUAUCGAAGAGUCUGCAGAAGGAGAAACUUUAACGAAUGCCCAGAAAGUAAAGUUCGAAGCGAGAACGCUAAAAGAUUUGAAGGUGAAAAAUUAUCUUUUUCAAGCUAUUGAUUGUCCCAUCUUGAAAAUUGUUCUUUGCAAAAAAAUUCCAAGGAUAUAUGAGAUUCCAUGAAGAAAAUGUAUCAAGGCUCUGCUAGAGUGAAACAAUGACAUCUUCAAGCCUUGAGGAGGGGCUUCGAGACUCUAGAGAUAAAAGAAGGGGAAUCUAUCACUAGCAAUUGUGCUAGAACGAUGGAGAUUUGUAAUAGGAUUCAGUUCUAUGACGAGAAGAUGGAGGGUGCCACCAUUGUGGAAAAGAUUUUGUGCUCCAUGAAGCUAAAGUUUGAUCAUGUCGUUUGCAUCAUUGAAGAGUCAAAAGACAUAGAUGAAUUGUCUCUUGAUGAGAUGCAAAACUCUUUAUUUGUGCAUAAGCAGAAGAUGAAUUGUACUUCAGCCUUCAAGGAACAAACUUUGAAGGCUUCUACUUUUUUUUUUCAAUUUUAGAGGAAUGGGUAAAGGUAGAGGUAUAUAUUGUGAAAUGUGCCUAUAUUUUAGUAAACAUGUAACUAUUUUCUAUUUAUUUAAACGGUGAAUUAAUAAAUAAAGUUAAUUUCACAUUUCACUAUUAUGUAUUUUGUAUUUUCUAUCUUUUAUAUUUAAAAUGCAUAGCAAAAUUGUGACAAUCAAAUAUUAGCUCAUUGAUUGUCUAAAGUUCAAACUGAAGAUAAGUGACAUUGUAAAGAACAUUUACAUUGUGAGAAAGACGACUUAUUUUAGUAGAUAAUCUAAAUGAGUCCGUAAUCUCGUAAAAGAAUCAAAGUGGGCAUUUGAUUCAAAUACCGAGAAGGAUUAUUAUGUCGUCUACAAUUUCAAUUGGGGAGAUGGCUAGUCUUGGCUAUCGGAGAAGUUGACUCUAUUAGUAGAGAAAUAGAUGUAUUCAUUGGUAGAAUGAUACAUUGGAUUGGACCCAAUAUGAAUUAAUUCUGAAUCUAUUUGUGAAUUAAUUCACUUGUGAUGUUCAUGGUGUGGUUUAUCAAAAUCUUGAAUUAGUCACUGACCAUGCGUAUGCAACCCAUGUGCUUUGAUAUAAGUAGAGGCUUAUGCUUUAAAGAGGAUCGAGCCCAUAGUCGGUAUUUUGGGUACAUAACUUGUGUAUGGCAUGACUUUACUAGCAACAGUGGAAUUCAUAGCUCAAUUAAAGAGUUAAUGUUAUCAUCUCAUUGGCAUUGUGUGGAUUAAUAAAUAUAGAACAUGGCCACAGGUUGCUUGUUCUCGAAAGAGUAAUUUAUCACAGUCAUUUGUUGACAGUGAUCGUAUUAAUUAUUAAGAAGACACAAUGGUGAAAAUGAGAUAAAAUAAUAUUGUAUUGGGUGAACGGAUUUAACUCAAAGGAACCAAGGAUACCAUAUGAGGGUAACACACACGUAACGAGGUCAUUAGACAAAGUAGUUGGAUGAAUUGUUUUCGUAAAUAGUAUACAAUAAGGAGUUUUCAAUAUUGACACUUCUUAUGGUCUGACUCCUGAUUAAGUAAUUGUGAAUUAUCGAAACAAUGCUUUUGAACAUAAUUGCAAUCACUAGAGCCUAAUUGUAUAUGUCCAAUUGGUCCCUUCGUUAGCUCAACAAAAACUCGAUCAUAUUACAUUUGAAUUAGAAGAAAAUUCUACGACUUUGGAAAUAAUUUAAUUGAGUCAAUUUAUUUAAAUUAGGUGGUCGUGAGAAUUGUUCAACUAGAGAAUUUGAUUAAAGAAUUUUCUUAAAAAAUUAAUUUGGAAAAUCUAAGUGAUUUUUGGGAAAAUUAAUUUUGAUCAAGUAAAAUUAAAUUAAUCAAAUCAAUUAAAAUUAAUAUGAUAUUUUUGAAAAUUAAUUUUCAAUUAAGACAAUUGGUCCAAUGGGUAAUUGAACUUAAAAAUUGGACCUGAGAUCGUGAGCGUGAGAGCCCAAAACCAAGACUAAGACCCAAAAACUAGUCGAACUGGGCCCGAUAUGUGAAACCGGGCCGACAUUUCAAUCGGUGACUAGAUCAAAUUGGUCGGGUCGUCAUUGACCCGGACCGAACCGGCUCAGCGUGCUGUAAGGGUGUCGCUCCUGCAUCACCAGACAUGUAGGUGUUGGUGCCUGCGACGGCAACGUCCUGGUGACUGGCGGCAGUUGGUCAUCGGUGAUUGAGUUAUGGAAGGGUUACACUCCUACUGGGACACUACUAGAGAAUUUGAUUUCAAAUUAACUAUUUCAAAAGUAAUAUUAUUUUAAUAGUUUAACAUUAAAUUUAAUUUAAUACUUAUCUUAAUAGUAUUUUAUUAAUUUAAUAUUAAAGUGAUUAUGUUAAUAUUAAAUUUAAUUUAAUGUUUAGCUUGUAAAUAAAUAUUCUAUUAUUUUAAUAAGAUUUAUAUUAAAUUUAAUCUAAUAUUUAUCUUAAUAAAUAUUAUAUUAUAUUAAUUUAAUUUAAUAUUAAAAUGAUUAAGUUUAAUUAUAGUUGAACUCUCUAAACUCUCCCUAUAUAAAGAGAGCAUUGAGUCAUUAUUUACACACACUUGAGUUCAAGAGAAAGUUGUAGAGAGAAAAUUCUUUGAAGAGAUUAUUCUAAAAAAUUUCUAGAGAUAUUUUUUUUAUUUAUAACUUGACUUAAAAGUUUAGAGAGAUUGCAAAAUUACCCCACUGGUAAUUUUAAGAAAAAUUUUCUAAUUCGAAGCGAGCUCACGCUUGGCAGACAUGAGCUUGAGGAUUGUGGAGAAGGCUACUCGGUCGAAGCGCUAGUCCUAGACGAAUAAAAAAGAUAUGAUUUUGAUUAAGUGUUUAUUACUUUAGAUAUCACAACUUAAAUUUAUUUUUCUCUACGUUUUCCAAACCCGUUUUUCCAACAAUAAGGGGAGAAGUUUGAGGUAAUAGAAAUGGUGGCAACAGAAAUGGUAGCAAGAAUUACAAAAUAAAUGAUGACCAAAGUAAAGAUAAAUGACGAGAUUUUGAUAAAUCUAAAAUAAAAUGCUUCACAAGGCAAAUCAUUUUGAAUGUUAUUCUAGGCUACUAAAUGUUAAGGAUGAAGAAUCACACUGAAAAGGAAGCUGAGCCAAAUGUAUAAUAUGUGGAUAUAGGUUGUAGUAUUUUUUUCGUAUUUAAAUGAUAAUUUUCGUUGUAGAAUCACCUUUGGUGAUUAUUGUACUGUGGAUUUCAUAAUUAAAAUUUCACGUGAAAUUUAACGUUUUCUAAAAACCAUAUAAGAUCCAUCACCGUCAUGACAAAAAGUAAUUCAAUGCACAUUAAUUGUGCCACCCGCUCCAAGCCCAUUGAUUUCACUAUAAAUUCCAUGCUUUUAGGUAAACCAUCUUCACACAAUCAAAUCAAGCUAGUUAGCAAUGGCUUCCACUACCAAUUCCCCAUCAACCCUCCUCACCCUUCCUAAUUUCUCCAUUCAAACUUCAACAUUCCUUCCCAAAACAUCUCAACGUUCCAUAUUUAAGAAGAAAAAGCCUUUCAACUUUAACUCCAAAAGAGUAGUGUCAUGCAAAGCCAGCAAUGGGAAGCAAAACGAUGCAGACACUUCUAAUUUUCUCAAUAGGUUCGAUAGAAGGGACAUCCUUCUUGGCCUUGGAGGAGGUCUCUACGGUGCAACCAGCCUUGUUAGAGACCCAUUCGCAUUGGCAGUCGUCCCAAUCGAGCCUGACCUGUCCAGCUGUGGGGAAUCAACCGUAGAUACCGGUAAAACCUGCAUGAAUGUCCCUUGCUGCCCACCAAAGUUAAAAGAUUCAAAGAUCAUAGACUUCGAACCACCUUUAGGUUGCAAGAUCCGUUAUCGGCCGGCAGCACAUUUAGUUGAUCGUGAUUACCUGUAUAAAUUUGAAUCGGCAAUGGAGAGAAUGAAAGCUCUCCCUGUGGAUGAUCCACGUAAUUUCAUGCAACAAGCCAAUAUUCAUUGUGCCUAUUGCAAUGGGGCUUAUAGUCAAGUGGGGUUCCCCGAUCAAAAACUUGAAGUUCACUACUCGUGGCUUUUUUUCCCAUUCCAUAGGAUGUAUCUGUAUUUCUUCGAGAGGAUAUUGGGCAAGUUGAUUGGUGAUCCAGAUUUCGCAAUGCCAUUUUGGAACUGGGAUUCUCCCUGUGGGAUGACUAUGCCUCAGAUAUAUUUAGACCCUUACUCUCCAUUGUACGAUGAAAACCGCAAUUUGGAGCAUCAGCCUGACGUUUUGGUUAAUCUUAAUGACGGUAAAUCUUUUGUAAAACCAAAAAAAAAAGAUGAUUUUUAUGAAUUAACAAAGAGGGAACAAAUAAAGAGUAAUCUCUAUGUGAUGUAUCAGCAAAUGGUACGGUCCAGCAAGACCGCUUCUUGUUUCCAUGGAGCGGCGUACCUUGGCGGUUGUGCAUCCGAAACCGAUAUCGGUUGUACUCCCGAACCGAGAGGUGGUACCAUUGAGAACGGUGCUCACAUCGCCGUUCACAAGUUCGUUGGUGCCAAGAAUCCACCUUAUAACGAAGACAUGGGGAAUUUCUAUUCUGCUGGUAGAGACCCUUUGUUCUACGCUCAUCAUGGCAAUGUUGAUCGAAUGUGGAACAUUUGGAAGACAUUGCCAGGGAAGAAGCGACGUGAUUUCGACGAAAAUGUUUGGCUCAAUUCUUCGUUUCUUUUCUACGAUGAGAAUGCAAAUAUGGUUCGUGUUAAAGUUCGCGAUUGCCUUGACUCUAAAACUUUGGGGUACGAUUACCAAAGUGUUGAUAUUCCGUGGCUUAGAAGCAAGCCAACAUCUCGAAGGAGUCGUCUUGGUGUGGGGCGGGGUCAGGAUCAGGGUCAGGAUGUAGCAGCCAGACGAAAGAGUAAAAACCGCAGGAGCUUUCCUAUAGUUUUAGACAAGGUGGCCGUGCGCAUUGAGAUUCCAAGGCCAAAGAAACCAAAGAAAAAAGAUGAUGAAGAAGUAUUGGUUCUUCAAAACAUACAGCUAGACAGAAAUGACUCAGUGCAAUUCGAUGUCUCCAUUAAUGACGAUGAAGACGACGACAACCCUUGCAAACCGGAAGAUGCGGAGUUCGUGGGGAGCUUUUCGAAUUUACCGCACGGAGAUAAUUGCCACUCCGAGGCGAUGCUUAGUACAAAUCUGUAUUUGCCAUUAUCAGAAGCGCUGGAGGAUUUGAAGAUUAAUCCAUUUGAAGAUAGCAUUGUGGUGACUUUGGUGCCUAAAGAAGGGGAAGUUUCGAUUGGUAACAUUAAGAUCGACUACGUUUGUUGAUUUGGGGGUGAAUAUUUUGCUUCAUCCUUUGUGUUCUCGCUAGAUCGGAUUGAUGGGGUUCAUUAAUUUGUUUCUUGCAUGUGUCUCUCUUUUUUUUUAAUAAAAAUAUCAAGCUAAAUGAACAAAAGCAGCGGCAGCUUUAUCUUGCUCAAGAAGAUAAUCAACUCCUAAACGCGCCUGAUAUUUUCUGCCUAUCAUCAAUUCAAUCACGAGAUAUUUUAGUUAACAGAGUAACAACUUGAUUUCUUUAACUAUCCAAUACUUCUUGCACUGUAACAUCUAUUUAAUUCGUCCAACCAAAACUAAAUUUGAUACCUCCAAAUAGCCAUCUUGAAUAGCAUUGAAUGCUUCCAAGUAAUCUGUUUAAAUUAAGGCUUUGACAUAUCUUAUAAGAUUAACUCGUCUGAGAUACUCUAGAAUUCAAUAUUAAAGAUUGAACAAACAUCUAAAUUAUGAUUGAACCCGACAAUCCAAUCUUGCCAAAUUUUAUUAUUAAAUUUUACCAUUUACUUUUUGUAUUAUUUAUAAAUUUUAAGUAUAAUGGUUUAUUUGAUCUUUCAGCUUUAUAAAAAAAAUAUCAUUUUAGUUCUUCAUUUAAUUUUGUCUCUUUUUAACCCUUAAAUUUAUGUUGUUUAUCAAAUUGUCCCAAAAUAAAUGAAAAAAUUAAUAUCUAUUAACUUUGUUGACACAUCCACGUGUAUGCCACAUCAACAUUUACUUAAUUCUUUUUACAAAAUUAAAAAGCAUUAAAAUUAUAAAAAAAUAUUAUAAAAUUAUAAGUUUUAUUUAAUAAUAAAAUUAUAAUAAAAUUCUAUAAAUUUUAGAAUUUUUAAAAAUUUUAAUCAAUUAUUGAUGUGACAUACAUGUGGAAUGUCACAUAAACAAAAUUAUUAAGCGUUAAUUUUUCUAUUCAUUAUAAAGUGUUUUGACAAAAAAAACUAGUUUAAUAGUUAAAAGUGGCGAAGAUUAUAUGAAGGGUUAAAAUGACUUUUUUGUUUUCUAAAGUUGGAGGACUAAAUAAAUCAUUAUGCUUAAAUUUUAUCAUAUUUAUAAAUAAAAAUUUUAAUUUUACUAAAAUAUUUUAUUAAAUAUAUUUACUUUAUAAAAAAAUUGUCAUACAUUUAUAAGAAUUUCGAGUCAAUUAAAAUACUUUAAUUAAAUUAUUAUGUUUUCAUUAACCCAAAAAAGUUAUAUUACUUAUUUUUAAAUGAAUUUUUUUAAUUAUUUAUAUGAUAGGUAGCUUUAUAUUUUACAUGCAAUAUUUUAUAAAGAAUACAUUUAUAUAAUCUAAUCUAAUAUAUUAUAAUUAUAUGAAGGCUUGAUUCGUAAAUUGGUAUCUAAGUUAUGUUAUUUUUUUCCAUCUUGGUAUCUAAACUUUUUUUUUUAUCAGUUAUCCUUAAGCUAUUUUUUCCCCAAAUUAGUAUAUCUGUUAGUUAACCCAUUAAAUCUAUUUUUAAAAAAAAAGUUCAACCCACAAAUUAGUACCUAAGCAGUACUCUUUUUCCCAAAUUGGUACCUAAUUUUUUUUUUAUCAUAAGUGAUACCUAAACUAUUCUUCCAUCACCAUUUUACACCAAAAUGUUAUAUUCGUUAAAAAAAUUACAACCAAUUAUAGAUUGUCACUUCAUAUAAACUUUUAAUUGUUUUAACUUUUUUUAUUUAUUUUACAUUAUUUCUCUCUUUAUAUAUUUUAUUUAUUUAUUUUUCUUCUUUUAUAAUGCCUAGUAAUACCAACAAUACUUAAAAUUGAUUCGCUCGAGGUUGAGAUGCCGGUAAUUAAUUGUGUUUUGAAAUUUCACCAUGUUGAUUAUGUGAAUUAUAUUUAAUUUGAGUUGGAAUCACAAUAAAUAAUUAUAUAUAUUUAUGCAAGAAAUUAAGAAUUUUAUAUAGUUCAUGAAUAAUAUAUAAUUCAUAUAAGGCUUAAUCCAACAUUCACCCUUGGGCAUUUCCAGCAUACUUCAACAUCUACACCGUAUGAUCAGUUGGCAGCCCAAUCACUAACUUCUGUCGACGAACAGCCUUACACUCCGCUGCAAACAAUCCCAUCCACUCCAAGCUAGGGGCCAUAAAUCAACCCCAACAAUCGCCCCACACCAUCCUUGAACACUAUUGGAACCCACCAUUGUUUGAAAAGUCAAAUGGGGUGGGCACCAAAAGUAGAAAGUAAUAUUGGUUGGCAAGUUGGGUUAAAAUUUGGCAUGGGAUAAUUGCAAUUUUGGUCCCUAAUUGUAUAGGGACAUUGCAAGUUGAUCCUUGAACCUCAACUAUAAAUAGGCCUAACCAUUGCUUACUUUCUUCAUCCCAUAAUUGCCAUUCUCUACUUAAGGCAUUAUUCUCUCUCUCUAUUUGUAAAUUUCACUUGUAAUUUUUGGAGUGAAAUAUAUUUGGUAGUGCCCGAGGACGUAGGUAAAAUUUGCUGAACCUCGUUAAAAUUCUGGUGUUCUUUAUUAUUUGUUUUGCAUAUUUUGUGAAUGUGAUUGUAGUGAUUUAUUGUGCUAUUAAAUUACGAUAGAGGGAUAUUCUGGCUAGGAAAGACUUGGUAUUUAAGUGAUCUUCGUGAUCUACCUCUCUUUCCUGGGAAUUGAACUUAGUGUGAUUUUUCAGUACAAUAAUUUUACUCUUUCACACGCUUCCGCGCAACAAUUGGUACCAGAGCCAGGUUCGUACUUGGGGAAUACGACCGUUUACGGUACUAUUCACGUAUACAGCACUAUUUACGUAUACGGUACUAUUCACGUAUACAGUACUAUUCACAUAUACGAUACUGUUCACGUAUACAGUAGUUGGGAUUGAGGAGAAAAAUGGCAGCAGCAUCGUCAUCAGCAAGGACUACUGUGACAAAUGCAAAAUUUGAAGUAGAGAAAUUUGACGGUACCAAUAAUUUUGGUAUGUGGCAAUGUGAGAUCCUGGAUGUCUUAUGUCAGCAAGAGCUAGAUAUAGCCCUUGAAGAAAAACCUGACAAGAUGGAUGACAAGGAGUGGGCCAAGAUCAAUAGACAGGCGUGUGGUACAAUCCGCCUAUGUUUGGCCAAAGAGCAGAAAUACUCUGUCAUGAGGGAGACAUCAGCGAAGAAGUUAUGGGAUACACUGGAAGAAAAGUUUCUAACGAAAAGUCUUGAAAAUAGGCUUUAUAUGAAAAAGAAACUUUAUCGAUUCACGUAUGCACCCGGUAUGUCGAUGAAUGACCAUGUGAACUCAUUCAAUAAAAUUUUAGCAGACUUGCUAAAUUUGGAUGAGAAAUUUGAAGAUGAAGACAAGGCAUUAUUGUUGUUGAAUUCCCUUCCUGAUGAAUAUGAUCAUCUUACCACCACAUUGCUUCAUGGGAAGGACACGAUCACAUUUGAUGCAGUCUGUAGUGCGUUGUAUAGAUCUGAGACUCGAAAGAAAGAUAAAAGAGAUCACAGAGAUACAACCGCAGAAGUCUUAACAGUAAGAGGUCGUUCACACAGCAGCAAAUCUGGUAGAAGGGGAAAGUCCAAAGGGAGACCCGCCAAAGAUGAAUGUGCCUUUUGCCUUGAAAAAGGGCAUUGGAAAAAGAAUUGUCCUAAGCUACAAAAGGGCAAGGCUAUUUCUAAUGCAUGUGUAGCGGAGCAUGAUGAGGAGUCAGACUUUAGCUUGGUUGGCAUGGCAAUGGCAUGUCAAACGGAUGAGUGGAUUUUGGAUUCAGGAUGUACUUACCAUAUGUGUCCUAAUAAGGACUGGUUUUCUAGUCUUAAAGAGCUAGAAUGUGGAAUUGUUCUUAUGGGCAAUGAUAGUGCUUGUAAGACAAUGGGAGUGGGUACAGUCCAAUUGAAGAAUCACGACGGCUCAAUCCAAGUCUUGACAGAUGUUCGCUACGUACCUAGCCUGAAGAAAAAUCUCAUCUCAUUAGGUGCCCUAGAAUCUAAAGGGCUCACAAUCACUUUGAGAGAUGGAUUACUAAAAGUAGUAGUUGGGAAACUGACGGUGAUGAAAGGCAUAAGAAGAAAUAACUUGUAUUUUUUAAAUAGAAGUACAGUUAUUGGAUCAACAUCAACAGUUUCUACAAAAGAUGUAGAUUCAGAGGCUACCAGAUUAUGGCAUAUGCGAUUGGGACAUGCUGGUGAAAAAGCUUUGCAGACAUUGGCGAAGCAAGGCUUAUUGAAAGGUGCAAAUUCUUGCAAAAUGGAAUUCUGUGAACAUUGUGUUCUGGGCAAGCAGAAGAGGGUAAAAUUUGGUCCAGUAAUUCACAAUACGAAAGGAAUUCUGGACUACGUUCACAGUGAUGUGUGGGGACCUACCAAAGUAGCUUCUUUGGGAGGUAUGCACUAUUUUGUUACUUUUGUUGAUGAUUAUUCAAGAAAAGUAUGGGUGUAUCUAAUGAAAAGAAAAAGUGAAGUUUUGGAUGCAUUUCUGAAAUGGAAAAAGAUGGUGGAGACUCAGACUGGUCGAAAGGUCAAACGACUUCGAUCAGAUAAUGGUACUGAGUACAAAACGAUCCAUUUCUACAAGUAUGCCAAGAUGAGGGCAUUGUGCGACACUUCACUGUUCGGGAUACACCACAGCAAAAUGGGGUGGCAGAACGAAUAAAUCAAACUAUACUGGAGAAAGUUCGAUGUAUGUUGUCCAAUGCUGGAUUGGGCAAAGAAUUUUGGGCUGAGGCAGUUACAUAUGCGUGCCAUCUAAUUAACCGUUUGCCAUCAGCUGCAAUAAAUGGAAAAACUCCUAUGGAGAUGUGGACUGGUAAAUCUGCUACUGAUUAUGAUUCUUUGCAUGUAUUUGGUUCCACUGCAUAUUAUCAUGUAAAAGAAUCUAAGUUAGACCCAAGAGCAAAGAAAGCAUUAUUCUUGGGUAUAACUGAUGGAGUAAAAGGAUAUCGUCUCUGGUGUCCUGAUACAAGGAAGAUUUUUUUCAGUAGAGAUGUGACUUUUGAUGAAUCAACCAUGUUGAAGUACAAGGAUUCACAAAAGGAUGACAAAACCAGUAGUACUUUGCAGCAGGUGGAGCUUGAAAAGGUUAACGAUGAUCCAGCUAAUAUUGAAGGGACAAAUGAUGAAGAGGUUCCUACCCAAGAAACUCUACAGCAACAAGAUUCAAUUGCAUAUAGAAGGCCAAGAAGAGAGAUUCGUAAGCCUGCUCGCUUUGAUGAUAUAGUGGCCUAUGCACUUCCAAUUACAGAUGAUGAUGUUCCUUCUACUUACACAGAAGUAAUAAGUAACCCUGAUGGUGUAAAGUGGAAGCAAGCAAUGAAUGAAGAAAUGCAGUCUCUUCAUAAAAAUAAGACCUGGGAGUUGGUGACACUACCCAAGGGAAAGAAGGCAAUUGGAUGCAAAUGGGUAUAUGCAAAGAAGGAAGGAUUUCCUGAUAAAAAUGAAAUUCGAUACAAGGCUAGAUUAGUAGCAAAGGGUUACGCUCAGAAAGAAGGAAUAGACUACAAUGAAGUGUUUUCUCCAGUUGUGAAGCAUUCGUCUAUUCAGAUUUUGCUAGCCUUGGUUGCGCAAUAUGAUCUUGAACUAGUUCAGCUUGAUGUGAAGACCGCGUUUUUACAUGGUGAUUUGGAAGAGGAAAUCUAUAUGACUCAGACAGAUGGAUUCAAGGUUGUUGGAAAAGAAAAUUGGGUUUGCAAACUGACAAAGUCGCUUUAUGGAUUGAAGCAAUCUCCGAGGCAGUGGUACAAGCGAUUUGAUCAGUUCAUGAAAGGGCAAAGGUACACAAGAAGUAAAUUUGAUCAUUGCGUGUAUUUUCAGAAGCUACAAGAAGGAACUUUCAUAUACUUGCUCUUAUAUGUUGAUGAUAUGCUAAUAGCAUCUAAGAGCAAAGUUGAGAUUGAAAGAUUGAAGACUCAACUCAAUCUCGAGUUUGAGAUGAAAGAUCUAGGAGAAGCUAAAAAGAUUCUCGGCAUAGAAAUAUGGAGAGAUAGAGCUCAUGAUAGAGUUAGCUUGUCUCAGAAGCAGUAUUUGAAAAAGGUACUACAGUAGUUUGGCAUGAACGAGCAAACAAAACCUGUAAGUACCCCGUUGGCUUCUCAUUUCAAGCUUUCUGCACAACUAUCUCCUUCGACGAAUACGGAACGAGAAUACAUGUUGCAAGUUCCGUAUUCUAAUGCAGUGGGUAGCUUGAUGUAUGCAAUGGUGUGUACAAGACCCGACAUUUCACAGGCAGUUAGUAUAGUGAGUAGGUAUAUGCAUAAUCCUGGAAAAGGACAUUGGCAAGCUGUGAAAUGGAUUCUACGGUAUAUUCAGAAGACCGUGGAUGUUGGAUUACUGUUCAAGCAGGAUAAUACACUUGGUAAAGGUGUUAUUGGGUACGCUGAUUCUGACUAUGCCGGUGAUUUAGACAAGCAAAGAUCAACCACCGGUUAUAUGUUUACACUUGCUGGAGGACCAAUAAGUUAGAAGUCUACACUACAGUCUACAGUUGCAUUGUCAACCACAGAAGCCGAGUACAUGGCUGUAACAGAGGCUGUAAAGGAGGCUAUUUGGUUACAAGGUAUGGCUAAAACCUUGGGGUUGGUUCAGGAGCAUAUUAACGUGUAUUGUGAUAGUCAAAGUGCUAUUCAUUUAGCAAAGAAUCAAGUCUAUCAUGCACGUACAAAACAUAUCGACGUACGAUUCCAUUUUGUGCGGGAAAUUAUUGAAGAGGGGAAAAUUUGUCUUCAGAAGAUCGAGACUGCAGAUAAUCCCGCAGAUAUGAUGACCAAGGUGGUAACAAGCAACCAAUUUCGAACAUUGUUUGAACUUGAUUAAUAUCCUGCAAGUUUAACAGUUGAAGAAGGCACUAUCAAGUAUUGUUGUCAAAAGCAGAAAGAAUUGUGUGAAGAUAAGAUUAUCGUAAUCAAAUCUUCAAGGUGGAGAUUAUUGGAACCCACCAUUGUUUGAAAAGUCAAAUGGGGUGGGCACCGAAAGUAGAAAGUAAUAUUGGUUGGCAAGUUGGGUUAAAAGUUGGCAUGGGAUAAUUGCAAUUUUGGUCCUUAAUUGUAUAGGGACAUUGCAAGUUGAUCCUUGAACCUCAACUAUAAAUAGGCCUAACCAUUGCUUACUUUCUUUAUCCCAUAAUUGCCAUUCUCUACUUAAGGCAUUAUUCUCUCUCUCUCUAUUUGUAAAUUUCACUUGUAAUUUUUGGAGUGAAAUAUAUUUGGUAGUGCCCGAGGACGUAGGCAAAAUUUGCUGAACCUCGUUAAAAUUCUGGUGUUCUUUAUUAUUUGUUUUGCAUAUUUUGUGAAUGUGAUUGAAGUGAUUUAUUGUGCUAUUAAAUUACGAUAGAGGGAUAUUCUGGCUAGGAAAGACUUGGUAUUUAAGUGAUCUUCGUGAUCUACCUCUCUUUCCUAGGAAUUGAACUUAGUGUGAUUUUUUAGUACAAUAAUUUUACUCUUUCACACGCUUCCGCGCAACAAACACCCCACUCCAUCCCCCAAGCCUUUCUUCACUCUGAAUACAAUACAUAAAAUAAAAAUAAAGAGACGACUCCUCCAUCUGCAAGGAAAGGAUGUUGCCCCCUUUCAACCAACCGUUCUCAAACCAUGGUUCAUGCCACCAACCAAGCUCACUUACCACCAAUAAUGGCUCUAAUCCAACAAACAGAUCGUAUUUUGCAAAGGAAAAUGAUCUCUUCAGCAAUCCAGUCUUUUCCAUUAAGUAUUAAUUCAUUCCUAGCUAGCCACAAUGACCAUAACAUAGCGCCACAAGCAACAAGCCACUUCCUCUUAACAUUCGAUCUUCCAAACAUGCAGCAACGUACGCAAAAUCACUGACAUUCCAAGGAAUCACCCACAUAUAUAACACCCCACCAUUGAAAAAACAGUCCCUAAGCUUUCCAAGAGGAAGAAAGAAAGAAAAAAAUUAUCACAAUUCUCUUCAGCUUCAUUGCACCAAGAACAAUUAACACAACCAUUAACUGUGGGAAUACCUCGAUUCCUUAAAAAUGCAUUUUGAAGGUAUGCCAUUUUGGAAUAACAACCAUAGGAAGCAUUGCACCUUUGUUGGAACGCAUAGCUUCCAAAUGAAAGAAAACCACACCUUUUGAUGCGCCAAAGAACCUCACAAUCAAGAGAAAACACAACUUCCUUCACAGUACAUUUCCCUUUUCUGUCCACCUCCCACAUCAACUGAUCUGCCUUGUUCUCAUUUAAAGAGACCCCUUUGAAAAUCUACCACAACUCCAUUGCAGACACCCUCUCCUGUUCAAACAAAUCUCUUUUGAAAAAUCUUUCACCCUUGUGAAGUCCAUCCCAAGCCUCGUCCACCGUGAUAUUUUUCUUCAAAGCCAAGAAGAAAGUCUAGGGAAUCUGUCUUUCAAAGCACACAAUCCAAUCCAAUGAUUCAUCCAAAAUGAAACUGAUCUCCUACUGCCGACGCACCAUAUAAAGCUUCCUUCACCUAACAUUUUGUCCAUCCCUUCGUGUCUUCUAACUUCCACAACUCCUUUCCAAGCCUUCGACACUGUUGAGAAUUCACCACAUUAGGCCUCCAACGGUAGUUGCCAAUACCAUAUUUUUCGUCCCAAUUAUUGAUGUGGUGAUUGUCAAUUUAAUUCUUACACAUUAAAAGUACAUAAAAAUAUUUAAAAAAAUAAAAAAUAAAAAUUUUUCUUAUUUCCAAUAAAAAAUCGUAAAAGUUUACUAAAAAUUAUGAAAAAGCAUUAUUUAAAAUUCAAAAUUAAAUAAAAAAUUUAAAAAAUAUAUAAAUUAUUUCAAAAAUUCAAAAAAAAAAGAAAAUAGUAAUAAGGUCUAGACUUAUCCAUAAAUUGGUUUGGACAAAGGUUUUAUGUCUCGAGACCAAACCAAAAUAGAAUUUAAGUAAUCAAAAUAUUUUUAAAUUUAAAUUUGAUUAUAAAAAUUAAUAUAAAAUAUAUGUUUAAUAUUUUAUUAUUUUAAACAAUAAAACAAGUUUUUUAGACGAGCUAAACCUAAAAAAAGCUUAACUGCAAUUUGACCUGAUCAGGCCUAAUAAGAAGCUUCAAUCUUCUAUGGAUGACGACUCAACUAUUAGUAUUAUUGUAAAGGAUAUUAAGGGAAAAAGCAAUAGGUCCGAGAACUUAACUUUUCGAUUUGUACCGUGUCGAUUUAACAACUCUGCACAUGUGAUGUGCUCGUUAGUAUAGGCUAGUCAUAUUCUUGUUCCACGCACUAGAUGGAGGAAACUUUGGUGGCUGUCGAAAACGCUGCGUGUUAAUAUCUAUGGUGAGUUUUCAAUAAACUGAACAAGAACUAUACUGAAUAUGAAGAGAAUGUAUUAAACAAGAAAGAACUCUUUUGUAUUUAGACUAUUAGCUUGAUAUGUACAUUGUAAUCAUGGUAUUUAUAGAACAUAUGAUUAGCUGUUACUACUUAACAACUUAACUAUUUUGAAUAACAAACUAACAGCUAGGCUAGAUGAAUAACACUCUUAACAUUCACCUAUCUUCCCGACAGGUAAAACCCGAAGAAGAUCUCAAAAUCUAGCAAAAGACGAUAUAAAGAGUGGCUUGGUAAGAAUAUCAGCAACCUGUUCACAGGCAGGAACGUCACCAACAAUAAUAGAUCCAUCUGCUACCUUCUCACGAACGAAAAAUAGAUCGAGCUCAAUAUGUUUGAAUUUCAAAUGUAAGACAGGGUUAUCAGCUAGAGCAACAACAUUAGAAUUGUCACGCCAAAUGGUUGGAGGAUCAAUAUUGUGAAGAUGUAACUCUUUUAGUAACGAAACUAACCAAGUAACAUCACUGGUAGCUGCAGUAAGACUCCGAUAUUCAGCGUCAGCCGUAGACCAUGAAACUACCUGUUAUUUCUUGAAACACCAUGAGAUAGGUGUGUAACCAAAAUACACACAAUAUUCCAUUGUAGAGCGUCGAUCAUCAAAAUCGAGCCCCUAGUUAGCAUCUGCAUAGCAAACUAACGAAAGCCGACAUGACGAAGGAAAAACAAUCCUAUAGUCAAGCGUACCACAUAAAUAUCACAGGAUUCGUUUUGAAGCAACCAUAUGAAUAGUAGCAGGCGCAUGCAUGAACUGGCAAACACGAUUCACAGCAUUAGCAAUAUCAGGACGAGUCAAGACCACAUACUGUAAAGCACCUGCAAGACUUUUGUACUCAGUAGGGUUAUCAAGACAAUCUCCGUCAUUCUUGGACAAAGUAGACGAGCUAAUCAUUGGAGUAUGAACACUUUUUGCAUGAGUCAUAAAACUUCUAUCAAGUAAAUCGUGAAUGUACUUCCUCUGAGAAAGAUGAAGACACCCUGUGGAGGAACGAGUGACUUCAAUCCCUAAAAAAUAGUGUAGAUCUCCCAUAUCUUUAAGUGAGAAUUUGUCAUUCAAUCAGACAUACUGCCAGUAAUUAUAAUGUCAUCCACGUAGACAAGCACAUAAAGGAUGGAGUUAGUCGUGACUUCAACAAGCAAAGAUGCAUCAGAUUUGGACAUAGUAAAGCCAACAGAAAGAAGAUAACACUUCAGUUUAUCAAACCAAGCACACGGAGCUUGACGAAGCCCAUAUAAAACUUUCUUCAGACGACAGACUAAAGGCUUGCUAGUUGAGCCAUAUUGAACAUACCCUAGAGGUUGUUGCAUGAAUACCUCGUUAACAAGAUCGCCAUUCAAAAAUGCAUUAUUCACAUCUACCUGACGAAGUUCCCAUCCUCUAGAAACAACAACAUAUAAAAUGACACGAGUAGUAGCAAGUUUUAUCACGGACUGAACGUUUCUUUGAAAUCAUACCCAGGCACUUGAGAACACCCUUUAGCUACUAAGCGAGCCUUUCGACGGGCAAUUGUACCAUAAUGAUUUUUCUUAACUUUGAAAAACCAUUUACAUCCAAUUGCCUUACGAUUAGAUGGUAAUUGAACAAGAUUGCAGGUGGAAUUAGUGAUGAGAGCAUCAUAUUCAACCUAAGCCGCAGCUCGCCAUUCUAUGGUAAAAAGGCUUCUUCAAUCAUGAGGUGCAAGAACUUCAACUAACAAUGCCUUAGCUUAAAAAUGUCAGCCUUAGACCGAGUGACCAUCGGAUGAGUAUUUGCUGGAGGCAAAGAUGAUGACGACGGAGAGAAAGAAGUAUCAGCAAUAGGUACAACAACAGACAGAGUAUCAACAUUAUUGUGUAAAGAAUGUGGCUUAUCUACCUCAGGCUGAGGAUUGGUAGAGAUAGAUGGCGAAGGGAAAAAACCAAUAGGUGAAGAUGAUACACGUGGUAGAACAGAUGAAGACUCCAGAUGCUAAGAAGGAACAACUCGUACAAUUGGAACAAACGUUGACUCAGUACCAGACGAAGCCAUGAAAUCCCUUAUAGCAGGUAAAGGAGCCAAGAACCUUUGUUCAUCAAACACAACAUGACGAGAAAUAACAAUCGUACCAUCCGGCAUAAGACAUUGAUAACCUUUGUGUUGGGGCCUAUAUCCCAAGAAUGUACAGGGUUGAGAACGAAAAUCCAACUUAUGAGACAAAAAUGGUCGUAAGUACAGAAAACAACAACACCCAAAUACUGUUGAUGAUCACACGUGGGAUCUUGUCCAUGAAGAGCCUUAUAAGGAGUCUGGCCAUACAGAACUGAGGUAGGGAGACAAUUGAUGAGAUGAACAGCACAACAAAAUGCAUAACCCUAAUAUUUCAUAGAAAGAUUCGCUUGAGCCAAAAGUGUAAUACCCAUUUCAACAAUAUGCCGAUGUUUGCGUUCAGCCACCUCAUUCUGUUCAGAACUAUGUGGACAAGACAACCGAUGAACUAUCCCUUGAGUUGUUAGAAUAGACGUGAAAGUGCGAAAUUCGCCACCCCAAUCACUCUGAAAUUGUUUGGUAUUUUUCCCGUAUUGAGUUUUGACAAGCUGCUGAAACUAAGCAAAACAAUCGACUACUUGAGACUUUUGGCGAAUAAGAUAAAUCCACGUAAAUCGAGUGCACAUCUCAACAAAGGACACAUAACACCAAUUAUGACCACAUGCAACUGAUGCAGGCCCCAUAGAUUAGAGACAACCAAAGCAAACGGUUCACUAUAGCUUCAUCCAGACUGAGAGGCUGACCGGGUUUCAAAACAGGAACAGCUGUUCCGUGUCCACUAAAGUAGAAGAACAGGACAUCUCCUGGUCUAGCAGUGUGCACCAUUUCAUAAAGUGCAGCCUUAAUUUUUAUACCCGUAGGCAUAGCCCAUGAGCCUGGUAUAUAAUUAUCAGUCAGCACCUUAAUAAACUGUCAAUCAAGGUUAAACCUUUUCAUAAUCAACCUUCUUAUGUUCUCCACAUCAUUUAUGCAUCCUUUCAGGUUGUAAGGGGUCUUUGGGUAAUUACAACCCACAAGAACAGCUUUCUUUUUAUGCACCAGCUUGUUAAUCAUGGGUAAGGCUAAGGGUGUUGGAAUGGUGGCCAAGAAAGCUGUACCAGCAUUCUUAUCACUGCAAUAAAGGCAUAAGGGUGUUGCUCGUGAAAUCCAAGGCUGGUUAUUUCAUCCCUAGCAUUCAUCACAAGCUGUUUAUUGGUUAAUGUACCAUUGGUCUCGUUGAUAAUCUUUUGAAGUGAAUAUAUAAAGGCCCCAUACGCCUUUCCUUGGGUUUUGUCACUCGGUUCCAAAUCAAGGGAUAGCUCAUCGGCUUGGCACCCACUUACUAGAAUCCCCUCAUCCUCCGUUAAUGACCUUGGCUCCUGAGAGGGUCGGAAUUUUAAACUGACGCUGUCUCGAAAGAUUCCGGUCAAAAGAUGGCCAAUGUUGCUGACAAUAUAUAAUCCAGUGCUGAAGGCAACUGUUGUGCCCAAUACGUCUGAUGCGGCGUUUAUGACGUUGGCUGCUGGGCGUCAACAGAUGGCCUUGGUGUAUUGAUUCAAGUGAAAUUCCCCUCUUCUGGGCGUCAACAGAUGGUGCUAUACUCCUUAGAGUACUAUGGGGUCCAAUUUGUUCUUUCUCUUUGACAAUGAGACCACCGCUGUGGCACGAAUCUGAAACGAUUCUGAAGCUUGUUUCUUUUGGCAGCUGCUCAAUCAAGUGCCUGAUGUCCACGUCUGCACAGCCAUGUAUAUUUAUAAAAAAAUGAUAUGAUUAAUAAAGGAAAAUAUGUAGUUGACGAGUUGUGAUCCCAUUUUGGAAUCAUGAUCAACAUUAAUAUUUAAAAAAAACUAAUUAUUAUUUUUUAAGAUUUAAAGUUAGAUUUAUAUUUUGACAUUUAAGGUUGAAUUUUUGAUUUGUUGAAUUUGAGUUUCGGAAAUUAUGAAAUUGUGGGUUCAAACCCUACUAUGUGUACUAUAUUUCUAUUUUUUUAUUCAUAAAAAGAAUAAAAAUGACAAAAAAUUUCUUUAAAUUAAUAUAAUUUACUUUAUAAAAUAAAAUUAUUGUGCAAAUUCCACUAUAAGACACCAUUAAUUAGGAAGAAUAAAAAACCUACCAUAAAUGAGAUUGAGAUCACAAGGCACGAUCGCAUCAUCCUUGCGGCCUGGUUUCAUGUCUGCCUCAACUCCAUGUCCACUGAAGUGGAAUAAUAGGACAUCUCCUUCUUUAGCCUCUUUCACCAUUUUUGCAAGACCAGCCAUAAUGUUUGCACGUGUAGGCAUUUUUGGGGACCCUGGUUCAUCAGUUAUGAGCUCAACAUGUUGAGGAUCAAAGUUAAACCUUUUCAAAAUCACGUCUCUCAUGGCAUGCACAUCAUUUAUGCAUCCUUUCAACUCGUAAGGGGUGUUGGGGUAGUUGCAUCCCACCAGAAGAGCUGUCUUCAUUCUGUCUUUGAGUUUGCUUGUCUUCUGAUUCGGAUGUUGCAGGAAGAACCCAUAUAUAUACACACACAAACUAGUUUACGUUAUACCAUGCAAUGUCAUAAACUCAUAAGCUCACGACAAGUUGGCACCUACAAUAUUUUUAUUUCAAAAUUUAUGGUUGUUAUUUUUUUAGUUAAAUUUAAUCAUUAAUCUUUUAAAUUAUUUUUUUAACAGAAAUGUUUGAUUAGAAUAUUAAUUUUUUUAAUGAUGUUGGCAUGAAAAUUCGUGUGGUAGUCCACAUGUACUUCAUGCUGACAUAAUAUUAUUCGUCAUACAUGCCGCAACAAUAAAUAAUUUAAAAUUUAUUUAAAAAAAUAUUAAAAAAUGUUUAUAUAAAUUUUAAAAAAUAGCAUGAAGUACACAUAGAUUACCAUGCGGGUUGCCAUGUUUAAAUAUAAUGUUUUAGUUAGUAUUUUUAUUAAAAACAUCAAUUCGACUGUUUUUUAAUGAACUUGUCCAUGGGCUGGGGCUUGACAAAAUUUUAGGCCCAUUUGAUAAGUUCAGUCUUAACCCGGCUCGAAAAAUUGGCUUAAAAUUUUAUUCAAGCUCGACCUAAAUAAAAAUGCUAAAACCCGAGCCUGGCUCGGCCUGCCCGUAUUAAAAUUUUUACAUUAUUUUUUAAAAAAAUAUAUAAAACACUAAAAACAUUCAAAUAAAUGUUUCCCAACAACUUGAAAAUAAAAUUUAAAAAAUAUUUAUACUUAAAUAACACUAACAUAGGUGCAACUUACAAAGUAAAUGCCACUAAAAUAAUAACAAAAUUAACAAUAAAAUAAGACUUAUAUAAUAUCCAAACAAUAAUAGCAAAAAAGUAGUCACAUAAUAGUGAAAUGGUAGGAAAACAGUAAGAAAACAACAUAUAUUUUUUUUCUUUUUGUAAAUUCGGGUCGGGAUGGGAAAAAAACACCUUACUUGAGGCCCUUAUCCAAGCCCAUCUUUCGGGUCUAUAUUUUUGUACAAGCCCUCCCACUUUUUGGGAGUCCGGCCUGAUCUAUGAACAUGUCUACUUUUAAAAGGUUGAUAGUUAAAUUUGAUUUUUUUAAAAGAUUAAAAGACCAAACUUAACUAAAAAGGACCAAAUUAAUAAACGAUAUAAUAAUUGCCUAUUUUUAUUUGUUUCUUUUGGUGUCAUGGAUAGAGCAAAUCAAGUGCACCAUUCAAAAAAUUGGGUUUAUAUGUACUAUUAGUUAAUUAGUUGACUAACUUCAAUAAAAAAUAAAAUUAAUUGGUCCAUAAAAAAAAUGUAUUUUUUACAAUUAGAAGUUACAAUAUUAACGAAACAUUAAUACAUUCAUGCUUUACUCAAUAAUUAAUUAAAAUAUUAAAUUAAUAAUCAAAAUAUAUCUAAAUUCGUAAUACAAUGUUUCAUACAAUAAUUACUCAAUCACUAUAUUGCAUUGUUUAAUUGUCGAAACAAGUUAUAACUUCCAUUGUAACAACUCAAAAGAAUAAUUACAAACCAAUGUAUUUUUAGACUUAAAUGUAGAACUAAAGCUUAGUUUGGAUGGACGGUGCGUUUACCUAUGAUUAGUGUAAAAAUAACGGUGGUGGUGAGAUUAGAUAUUGUAACGACACUGUAAUUUGAGACUUGGAUGGACGGUGCGUUUACCUAUGAUUAGUGUAAAAAUAACGGUGGUGGUGAGAUUAGAUAUUGUAACGACACUGUAAUUUGAGACAAAGAUAAAUUAAACGCACUGUACUAUACCAAACCAUCCAUCUAAACCUCACCUAAAAGUUGCUAAAGUUUCCUUCCUACCAUUAAACCAAUGUAUCAUCAACUAUUUGUACUUAUUUUUAAACACUUUUUAUUGGAGUUGCAUGAAAUGCUUGAUUGACUACGUGUAAAUUUAUACACAAAAAACCAAUAAUUUGAAAAGCUUUCCAUAGUACAAUUUUGAUAUAUUUGGCAUUUAAUAAGAAAUCAACAUAUGGAGUGGGUGAUGAAUCCGAAUUGGGGUGAGGACAGGUGUUGUGAUGGACAAAGCGUAAGACAAGGUGGUUCCCGACAGAAGCAAGAAAGCUCUGACAAAAGACCGCUAGGUAUUCCUUUUUCAGACAAAGAAGACAAAAGAUAGAACAUAUAGGGUGGUGGUCGAAGAUAAAUGAUUAUAACAGCACUGAUAUGAUCUGCUUCGCCUUCGUCCACCACCUCAUCUUUAUGUUUUUAUCUUGGUCGUGACUCACGUUGGCCUUCGUCUGCAAGUGCUGUCUAUCGUGAUUGUGUUGCCUAGCUUCUGAGUUCUAUGUAUUAAGGUCUAUUUGAAUGUGCGGUUUGCAGAGGUAAAAUUAGAAAAUUGUUUUUAAGUGUUAAAGUUAAAUUAUGUACCUAUAUGGAUUUGAUGGUAUAUAUUCCUCCUCCAGUGGAUCCAGCACCAUUAACCCAUCUACGUAGUGAGGAUAUGGAAUUUGAGACUCACAUCUUUAUAUAUACACACUAAUUUACAGCAAGUGUACUGACCAUAAGGACGACGACAUGUAGGUAGGUAGGUAGGUAGGCAGAUACAAACACUUUUGUUUGUCUUUUGUGUUUUGGAAAAUGCAUGCGGAAUCCAUGCAUAUGCAAACAUUUUGUGCAAGGAAUUUGCACAUCAGUACUGCAUAAAAGAGUGACUCUGGAGUUAUGGAAUUAUUUGAUAAUAUUGAAUACGAAAUAAAUUUAAAAUAAAAGAGUGGGUGAUUAAUCCGAAUCGGGGUGAGGACAGGUGUUGUGAUGGACAAAGCGUAAGACAAGGUGGUUCUCGACAGAAGCAAGAAAGCUCUGACAAAAGACAGCUAGGUAUUCCUUUUGCAGACAAAUUAAGAAGACAAAAGAUAGAAAAUAUAGGGUGGUGGUCGAAGAUAAAUGAUUAUAACAGCACUGAUAUGAUCUGCUACGCUUCGUCCACCACCUCAUCUUUAUGUUUAUAUCUUGGUCGUGACUCACGUUGGCCUUCGUCUGCAAGUGCUGUCGGUCCUACCAUUGUUCUUGUGUUGCCUAGCUUCUGAUUUCUAUGUAUUAGGGCACAUUUGAAUCGGGUUGAAGUUAGAAAAAUAUUUUUAAGGAUUGAAGUUAAAUUAUAAAUUUUUAUAAGAGUUAAAAUUUAAUUUUAUAAUUAUAUUAAUUUAUAUUUUUAUAAUUUUUAGAGGUCUUAAAUCAAAAUUUUAUUAUUAUUUUGGAUAAAUUGUGAUUUUACAAUAUUUAACUUAUAAUUUUAUAAAAUUUAGAAAGGCCUAAAUUAUAAUUUUCCAUUUUAGGGGUUCAAAAAGUAAUUUUCAUUUUAAAGGGGCCAUUUCCCCUUGCCUGCUCCGGUCACUGCCUUUACGAUGAGAUUUUUAACAGUCCGAUUUUGAGUCAAAUUAGAACAGCAGUUUUGAGACCACAAAUCUGACGAGAAAAAAUUAAUUUUAAAAUACAACAUGAGUUGCAUUAUGAUAGGAAAGUUGCAUGAAAAUAUUGAUAUAAAAAUUUUAUCGAUUUAGUGAUUAAUUAAGAAAAGGACCUAUUGUGUGUAGUCUGCUACCCUGGCACGUUUCUGUCUGCCGCAUUUGGCAUGAUAUUUUUAGGUUUUUCGUAGAUUGCUUUUGUUCUUUUUUCUUGAAAUCGACUUGAACACAAUUUUGCUCAGACGAUAGGGAGGAAGGGAGAGUUUUUCUGAACAUCAAUUCCUGCAAUCAUGGAAACAGAAUUAGUACAAUUGUCGCUCAAUGAAGAAGAGGAAAUUUUACAGAUCCAGACUGAUCCAUGCAUGCAAAAAGAACGUGAAGAUUUUCAGCUUGUAGGUUGUUUUUUAACAGCAAGCAUAAUACACUUUGCAGCUAUGAGAAGCACCAUGGCAAAUUUGUGGCACCCUGUCUGUGGAGUACAAAUUCGAGAUCUGGGAGAAAAAAGGUACCUUUUUAAAUUUUUUCGCAGUAUGAAUUUGGUAAAAGUUCUGAAGGGUUUACCGUGGACUUUUAAUAAUCAUUUAUUAAUACUCUGCAAACUGAGAAGGGGAGAAACUUGGCGAGUUAGCUGAAGCAACCAGAAAUGAAGAGACAGAUGAAUUGAUUGAUACAAAAAUAAACUUGAAUUUUGAUAUUGAGAAGGACGAAUGCUAUUGGGAACAGAGAGCUAGAUUUAACUGGUUGAAAUUAGAGGACAAAAAUACUGCUUUCUUUCAUAGCCAAGCUUCACAACGGAGAAAAAAGAAUCUCAUUCAUACGCUGAAAGAUGAAGAGGGUAGAGAAAUGGAGCUCAUUCAAGACAUUGAGGGUGUGGCUAAGUCUUUAUUUUCAGAAUUUAUUUUCGGCAAGAGAAAAUGGGAAUUAUGAUCAUAUUCUAUCAGGGAUAGAACGCUGCAUUCAUGCGGAUGACAACCGAAAUCUUACAGAACCAUAUUCCAGAGAGGAAAUUAGAGAAGCUGUUUUUGAAAUGGGACCUACAAAAGCUCCAGUGGAGGAUGGAUUUCCAGCAUUAUUCUAUCAGAAGUGCUGGCAGAUUGUUGGGGAUGACGUCCUAGCUUUUGUCUACAAAUUUUAAACGGAAAUAUGUAGGUUAUUCCAAUAAAUUCCACAAAUAUAGUGCUUAUUCCAAAAGUCAGCAAUCCAUCAACUAUGAUGCAAUUUAGGCCAAUUAGUCUAUGCAAUUUACUUUACAAAAUUAUUGCGAAGGUACUUGCAAACAGAUUUCGAAGUGUUAUUGGCAAAUGUAUUGAUGAAGCGCAAAGUGCUUUUGUGCCAGGCAGGUUAAUAUCAGAUAAUGUAUUACUCACUUACGAAAGAUUGCACAAGUUAAAUCAAAAGAGAACGGAAAAAAAGAUUUAUGACCGUUAAACUCGAUGAGUAACGCUUAUGACAGGAUAGAAUGAAUACUUAUAGAGGAGUUCAUGAAAAAGAUGGGGUUUGAUUUUAGUUGGGUAAAUGCCAUUAUGAAAUGUGUCACUGUUGCUUAUUCAGUUGUCAUAAAUGGGUACAGAGGAGAUAAAUUUGUACCAACCAGAGGACUUAGACAAGGGUGUACCCAUUAAGCCCGUUUCUAUUCCUGAUAUGUGGUGAAGGAUUAUCGAGCUUGCUGAGGUUAGCAAUGAAGAGAGAUCGUCUCAAAGGAGUACGGGUGAGUAGAUACGGUCCACAGGUAUCUCAUCUUUUAUUUGCUGAUGACUGCAUACUGUUUGGAGAGGCAACUAGGAGGGGUGCAAACAUCAUAAAGGAUAUUUUGUGUGAAUUCAAAGUUUGCUCGGGACAAUGUGUAAAUUUUGAUAAAUCAACGGUAUUCUUUAGUAAAAACACGUUGGAGGAGGAUAGGAGACAAGUGGUUGAUGUGUUGGGGGUACGUAGGACAAGAAAACCUGAACGAUAUCUAGGGCUACCGAAUAUGGUGGGGCGAAAGAAAAAAGAAGCUUUUCAGAGUUUAAAGGAUCGAAUCAAAACACAUAUUGAUAACUGGAGCAACAGAUUUUUAUCACGAGGGAAAGAAAUUUUUAUAAAGGCCAUUUUGCAAGCUAUUCCGACUUAUUCUAUGGCAUGUUUCUUACUGCCGAGAGCUCUUUGUGAUGAAAUGGAGAGUAUUAUAGCAAGAUUCUGGUGGCAAAAAGGAGGGGGCAAAAGGGGAAUUCAUUGGUGCACUUGGAAAAACCUUUGUUCGUUAAAAGAAAAUGGUGGUCUAGGCUUUCGAGAUCUUAGUCAAUUUAAUAUUGCGUUAUUAGCUAAACAAGGUUGGCGUCUCAUUAAUUUCCCAAAUUCUUUAUUAGCCAGAGUUUUGAAAGCUAAAUAUUUUCCACAGUCCAGUUUUUUAAACGCAGAGUUGGGGAAUUUACCUUCAUUUACCUGGAAGAGCAUCUGGGCGGCAAAAGGACUUCUUCAAAGAGGAUUGGGUUGGAGAGUUGGUAAAGGGAGUUGCAUUUCUAUCUGGGAAGACAACUGGAUUCAGGGGAUUGACAAGGUGGCUGAGCUUAAUAGCACAAACAGAAGAGAAUUACAGUUAGUUUCAGACCUCAUUCAAUUCAAGUAGAAAAUGGAAGUCAGACUUAAUUAAAAGUACCUUUCAAGAAGAUACUGCUCGGAAGAUUCUACAAAUUCCUCUGGCAGAGACCGAACAUGAGGAUAUUCAGGUGUGGAGUGGAGAACUAUCUGGUGAGUUUUCAGUACGUAGUGCGUAUAAACUACUACAAGAUGCUUCUACAGCUAAUGACUACUUAUUACAGACCGAAACAAGAAAUUUUUACAAAAAAUUAUGGAGCCUACAAUUGCCUUCAAAAAUUGCAAUUACAAUCUGGAGGAUUUCAUGGGAUAAUAUCCCUCACUUUGGUAAUCUCAGCUUGAGGAGGGUUAGUUCAACUGCCCGCUGUCCACGAUGUUAUUUUGGAGUAGAAGAGAGUCUUCAUGUUUUCCGAGAGUGUCCUUAUACAAGAGAAGUGUGGCAAGCAUUAAACUUAGCAUGGGUCAUGGAGAAUACGAGUCAAAAUACAUGGGAGUGGCUAACUUGGGUUUUCAAGAACAGCAACAAUUACCAGUGUCGGCUUUUCUGCUAUGCGUUAUGGUUGAUAUGGUCCUUUAGAAACAAACUCAUUCACGAGGGCAAAAAUUCAACAGGAAGGGGAUUAGCUCAGAAUAUUCAAAGACAUAUGGUAGAAUAUGAGGGAAUAAAUGCUGAGAAGAAAACUGAGAAAAAAAUUUUCAAGAGUCACAGUAUACAGGAAAACGUACCGAGAAUAUCGAUCAAAUUUGAUGCAGCACUGGAUAGUAGAACCUUCAAAUCAGCGACAGGACUAGUUGGUUGGGAUAUGAGGGGAAAUCUACUGGUGAUAAAAACGGUUAUCCACAGAAAUGUUCCCUCAUCAUUCGCUCAUCAUUCGCAGCAGAGGCAUAUGCAUGUUUAGAAGGCAUGAAAUUAGGGAUUGCUUUAGGAUCUCAGUCAAUUAGAAUUAUGGGAGACUCAAAAACCUUCAUAAAGAAGAGCAAGGCGAUGUCAACAGAUAAAUCGGUAAUAGGUGCAUUAUUAAAGAUAUUCAGAACAAGAAAUCCUUUUUUCAAGAUCUUACUUUAAAGCACAUACAUAGAUCAGAGAAUACACAUGCACAUGGUCUAGCAAAGAGAGCUCUCGCGAAAGAAGAAAACAUUUACCUGAUAGGAGAAGAACUGGACCGCCACAUUUCAACCUUGGAUGAAGAUUGGCAAAGAAAUCCGGAUUGAAGAAAUGGGUGAAGGAGCAGCAUCCAAACAGAUAGCUUAAUGAAGUUUAAAUCUAUGGGGAAGAGCUAUCGACAUAACAGAUGGGACCUUGGAAAUGACUCUUCAAUAGCCUUUAUGGUUUCCAGCUGUUUCUGAUUAAUGACUGGGAGAGGUUUCAUUCGGUAGAUUUUAAUUUCAAUUAAUGCUUUUGUCUUUUUCCUUUUAAUUUUCUAGCUUUUGGAUUGACGUUUCUUGGGGGGUGUAAUUUUAUAUUUGUUUAGGUUGAAAAUUAGAUUGGUUCUUUUCUGUUUGGUGCUUUGACUUAGGCCUUUGAUUUGGGCUGAUUGGAUUAUUAUUAUUAUUUUUUCUUUCAUAAUAAAUACCCAGCCAUUCUAUCAAAAAAAAAAAAAAAAAGGAAAUGACCUAUUUGUAUAAAAUGUAGAAUUUGAAUUCUAGAAGCUAGAAGGGUUAACUAGCUAUGAAAUUAUAGUACCCCGAAAAUUACUAUAGUAAGAAAGUAAUAUAAUAUCUCUGAUAUGGUAAAAUAAGGAAAUAAAGUGAUAAAAAGGGAAAUUGAGUUAUGUCAAUAAUGAAAGGUAUACUAUGACAUAUUAAUUCAAGAAAGGAUUAAAUCGUAAAAGUGAGAAAAGUUUUAUUGCUCAAGAGUAAAUACUCAAAAAUUGAGGGGUUAAAGUGUAAAUAUGAAAAAUUUGAAGGACCAAUAAUGUAAAUAUUUUAAGGGUGGAAUAAUCUAGAAACUAAGGAAAAUGGAUUAAUUAGGACCAAAUUGAAAAGGUAGAGAAUUUUGAGGGACUAAAUUGCAAUUUUACCAAAUCAAGUGAUGACUCAAGGAUGAAAUUUCAAAAGAUUAUAAAGGGCAAAAUGGUCAAUUAGAAGGAGAGAGAAUUCUAGAAGGUAAUGAUAUGUUUGUGAUAUUUUUAAUUAAUUAAUUAGAUAAAUGUUAUUUAAUGAAUAUUUUAUUAAGAGUUUUAGUAUUAUUUUAUUAUUAAAUGAUUAAUAUAAAAGGGAGGAAAGAUGAUGAGAAUGGAUCAUCUUUUUCAUGCAUCUCACGUUGAAGAGAAGGGAAAAAAAAGAAAGUUUUACUUUCUUUAUAAUUUGGUCUUUUUACCAAAAAUUCACCAUUUUCACUUAGAAAUCAAAAGAAUUUCUAUAUCCAUCAAGAGAGAAAGAUAACAAGGAGACUAUGGGGAGCUAGAAUAUCAAGUUAGAUUCAAGAAAUAGAAGCUGGAGGAGGGAGAAAAUCAAGUUAAAGAUUGAAAUCAAUGGCAUAAGUUAAGAACAUCAAUAUUUUUAUAUACUUUUGAGUUUGAUAUUAUUGAAAAAGUAGGAAAUUAAUGUUAAGAUAGAGUUUCAUUAUAUAAGGUUCUAUAUUCUUGUUAUGUUAGUAAAGGGAAAUAAGAGAAAGUGAUGGAAAAUAUUGAAGAGAAAGGAAAGGAAAGUGUUAUAAAUUUAGUUAUCAACAUUUUACACUAAAAUAGUUUUGAGACAGCAGCAGUAGUCUGAAUUUGAAAAUCUACCAAAAAUCGUAUAAAUUGAAUUAGAAGAUGAAAAAAAUAUUAAAUUAAAUCAUAUUGAGUCUAGUUUCUCAUAGAAGAAACGGUGUAAGCAAAGGAAUUGUAAAUUAUGAGAUACAAUAGGUUUUGUGAGAUAAGGUCAGAAUGAUUUCAGGUUCCCCUGUACUGACUUUUGAAAAUCAUAAAAAAUUGGAUAAAAAUAAUUAGAGGCUUAAAUUUAUAUGUUUAAAUCCUUAAUGAGUCUAUUUUCAAUAGAAACAAACGGUAACAUCAUUCAAAUUCUGUAUGAGGAGGUAAUUAAUUUUUAGUGAAGAAGGGUCGGAACUGUCAGACAGCAGAAUAGGGAUGAAUUUAAAGAAUAAACUGUGCUUAUUGGCUAAACCAAAAAUUCAGAAAAUUUUAUGGUAAGAAUAAAUGUGAGUCUAGUUUCAGAUAAAAUUUACGGAUCUUAAUUUGGAGUUCUGUAUCUCAAGAUAUAAAUAAUUUAGUGACUAUGACUCAAGUGAACAGCUUUGAAUGAAUAUAUAUAAGUAAAUGGUGAAAUUAUAGAUAAUGUUACCUAUAAGCAUGUUAUAUACAUUAAGGAUGUGGAAUGGAGAGGAGGAGGAGGAAAAUAUAUGAUUAUUUAACUAGCAUGAUUUUUCAUUAAAAAUGACCAAUUUACAUGUUUUAGGUUUAGGGACUAAAUUGAACAAAUGUGAAACUUUUAGGGUAAAUUUGUAAAAAUGUCAAAAAGUGACCAAAUUGCAUGAAAUGAAUUUUUUUAUUAUUUAAAUUAGUAAAUUGAAUGAAAUAUUAAUUUAGAUCAUGAUUGGGUUGAAAUUCGAGAAAAAAUAGAAAUUUUUCAAAAUGUCAUUGAAUUUUGGUAUUUUUGCAAUUUAGCCUGUUAAGUUCGUAUGAACUAUAUUUUGUAUAAUUUUAAUUGAAGUGAAUGUUAUUUAGUAAUGAAUAUUAUAUAUAUGUGUGUUUUAUUAUUGGAAUUGAAUUAUUAUUGGUAAUAUGUAUUGGUAGAUUAAAAAGUGGAAAGUGAAUUUGAAUUGAAAUGUGAUUAUUGAAUAUAAAUUGAAAUGGUUUGAAUUGAAUUAUUGAAUUAAACUGGAAUAUUGAAAUUGGUGAUGGAUAUGGAUUUUAUUGGAAUUGAAAUUGAGAAAGUGGAAAUUGAUAUGUGAGACUGAUACUGAACUGAAUUAUGGAAAACUGAAUACUGUUAUGUGUACUGCAUUGAACUGUGAAAAUACUGAAGUAACGAAUUACUGCAAUACUGUGAAACUGAUUGAAAUAAGAAAUUUGUAAUUGAUACUAAACUAAGAUGGAAAUUGUACUGAAAGGUAAAUUAAAUACCCUAUUAACUAGUCAGGCUAGUCGGAUAUAGUUGGCAUGCCAUAAGAUAUGGAAGAGUACGGGGUAUUUGCCGGCUUACUGAUCAGGCACUUAUGUGCCGACUACUGUUACUGUUACUGAAUCGGCACUUUUUGUGUCGAAUACUGUUACUGUUACUGUUACCGAUUCGGCACUUUGUGUGUCAAAUACUGUUACCGUUACUGUUACAGAUUCAACACUUUGUGUGUUGAAUACUAUUAUUGUUACUUCUACUGUUACCGUUACUGAUUACUGUUUACUGGUGUGUUUGGUUGGAAUCCGUGUAUCCGUCGAGUCCGAGUCAAGUUUGUUGACACCAUUUUUUUUUAUUGAAAACGGGGUCGACUUGGGUUUUGAAAAUGAAACGGGAGUCGCCACCAAUCCUUUUUUUAUGAGGUGUGAUUGGGUCACCUUGAAAAAUGGUUGUUUUUAAUAAAUGUUUUGAUUUUAUUAAAACAAUGGUUUUGAUCCACGAAAUUUAGAAAACGGGUUCGGGAGUCGGUUACGUACGAGGAAGGAUUAGCACCCUCGUAACGCCCAGAAAUUGGUACCUAGUUGAUUAACUAAUGUCUUGAUGUCGAAAAUUAAAAACUUGGAAAAAUAUUUAAAAAUACGAUCAUUGUAUUAAAACGUUGAAAAGUUUCAGGAAAAGGGGCAUAUUUUACGUUAUUCGAGAAAGAAAUUCAUAUCUAGUAAGUUAGGACACAAUGUCUCGAAUUCUCGAUACGCGAAUGAAAAAUGCUUAUUUAAAAGAUAUUUAACUAUCUUGGAUUAAAAAAUGGAUCAUGACCAGUAAGUUAGGACACGAUCCUUUUUUAAUUCCUGAUAUCGUUUAAAACUUAAGUUUGAAAAUAUUCACGUGUUUAGAUUUAUUGUGAAAAUCGAAACCCAGUAAGUUAGGGCACGACUUUCUCAAAUCUAAAUACAAAAUACUACAUUUAUUAAUUUUUAGAAAAAAAAUCCUCAUCUCGGGAAAGUAACGUGUCAUAUCCAAUGCGUUAGGACACAACAUAUUGAAUUCUCGAUAAUGAGCCUUUUAUUAUUUUAAAAAGAGUAAUCUCGAUUAUUUAGGUUCAACGAAGAAAAUCGGAACCCAAUACGUCAGGGUUCGAUUCUCUCAAGAUCCCAAAUAUCGAGUAUUACUUUUUCUUUUAAAAUUUUCCUUUUCAAGAAUCUGAGUGAAAAUGAAUAUAAUGGAUAAAUAAAUAAGUAAAUAAAUAAAUGAAUAAAUGAAUCAAGCAAAUAAAAUUAAAAAAUGCAAGAAAUGUAUGGAUGUAUACGUGUAUGUAUAUAUAUAUUAUAAGACAUAAUAAGCAAUGUAAAUAAGCAUGCAUGCAUAUAUUUAUGAAAACUAAAAGGUAUGUACAUGGGUAUGUAUACAAAUUACAUACUAUAAACGCAUAAGCAUAUAAAUAUGUAUACACAUACUUAUGAAGAUUAAAAAUAUACACAUAGAUAUAUAUAAUUGCGUAUGUAAAUUAAUUAUAGUAUAAAAAACAUAAGUAUAUAUAUAUAUAAGAAAAAAUAAAAUAUAAAGAUAAAUUUAAUAACCUUUAAAGGUAUACAUAUAUAUGUUACAAAAAUAUGUGCGUGUAUAUAAUAUAUAUAUAACAAACUUUUAGAAAAGAAAGAAAAAUAAAAUAAAUAAAUAAUAAAAAUAAAAAUGAAAGAAAACAUAAAUGAAAUAAGGAUAAUAAUAAUAAUAUUACUAAUAGAAUAAUAAAAUAAUCUAAAGUUUAAAUAUAUAUAUAUGCGUAUAUAUAAGUAAUUAAAAUAAUAAUAAUAGUAAUAAUAAAUAAUAAAAGAUGAUAAUACAUUAAAAUAAUGAAGAAAAUAAUAAAAAUGCUAAAAAGGGGACUAAAUCGAAAUAAAAGCAAACAAUACGGGGCGAAAUCGGAAUAAAAAAAAGAGGGAUUGAUUUGAAUGUGUGAAUAACAUAGAGGGGCUGGAAGGGAAAAUUUCCCUUCUCCACUAAAACGCACAGCUUCAUUGAGGACCAAAUCGAGAGAAAAGUGAAAUUUUGCGGCAAAAUUGAAAAAUAAAAACAAAAUAGGACCCAAUCGUAAACAGCCUCAAAAGUGGAAGGACCAGGAGCACAAAUAACCCCUUUUAUCCAAAAACACGCGGAUCCUUGGCGGUUCGGGUCGGGUCAGUCCAAUCCAUGUUAAAACGAAGUCAUUUUGAGGCUUCCUGAACUCCUUCAAAACGGCGCCGUUUUAAUAUCUUAUAUAAAUCAUUUUUUUCCUUAAAAUUUCAUUUUCUCCCUUUUCCUAAAAAAAACCCUAAAAUUCUCUCAAACCCUCUCCCCAUUUUUCGGGCACUGCCCAGAAGCCAGCGAGAAGAGCCGCCGUCGACGCCGUCGCGCCGGUCGCUGUACACGGUGGCCGAAAAAUCUAAAAAGGUACUUUUUUUCUCUUUUUUAUUCUAUAUGCGUAUAUACAUAUAUAUUUUACACAAAUCAAAAUAAUAAAAAAAUAAAAUAAAUAACAAUGAACAAAAAAAGAUUUGGAAACUAAAACCUUUUCUCCGUUUUUAUUUCUCUUUGUUUUUUGCUUUUUCAAAAGGAAAUCCCCCCUUUUUUACAAACAUAAAGAUCCGUCCCCCCUACAAUCUAUUUUUCAUCGGUUUUUAUACCGAAAAUAAAAUAAAAAACAAAGCCCCCUGUUGCUUGCUGUUGUGGUUUUUCUUUAUUGUUUGCAGGUGGAGUGGGUGGCGAUGGGACAGUGGCGGUGGUGGCAGUGUGGCGGCUAGCAGAGAUGGUGGCAGGGCAAGUGGGGUGCGGCGCUAGGCUAGGCUAGGGUUAGUUCUAGUUUGGGUUAGGCUAGUUGGGUCUGGGUCUGUCAUUGGAUUAAAGUUUGUAAAUGGGUUGUCUUGGUUUGGUUUGUUUUUGCUGGUACGGGCUCGGGCAAAAAUGGGCUUGUACAAAGUUAAUAGGGGUAAAUGAAAUAAAGAUACUGAUAAAACUAAAUCUGAAUGAUAUGACAUAUGUGAAAGGUAAGAAUUAUGAUUCAAGAAACAGAUAAGGAUAAAUUUUAUGAAAUAGAUUUUGAUAAUAUGAAAUGAUGUAAAAAUGAGAAGUGAAAAUGAAAUAAUUUGAAAUAGUGAAAUAAUACUUGAAUUUAAUUGAAUACAAGUUAUUGAAAUAUAUUUAAUGUAUGAAGUGAGCAUUUAAAGACUCUAACUAUAAAUUGAUUAUAAAAGAAUGAAUUGACGAUGGAAAUUGAUGAUGGAUAAAUUAUUAAAAUGGAAUGGGAAAUUGAAACAAAUGUGAAAUAGUUACUGAAAGACUAAUGUUGUAAGGUUUUAGAUAUGAAAUAGAAUAAGUUAUUGAAUUGAGAUGUAUAAAUGAAAUAUAUGAAAUAAUGAUUUUAUGAAAUGGUUAUUGAUGAAAUGCAUGAAAUAAAUACUGAUAUAGUAAGAAGAUAAAUAAGUUAAAAUAAAGAGAAGCUAUGUAAAAAAAAACAUACAUUUGAAAUAAAAUUAAAGUUUAAAUGCAUGAAUAAUAUAUUAAUGGUAAAUUAGUGGAAGAUUUAAUAUAUAUACAUCUGUGUGUGUGUGUGUUGCUUUUGCCUUAAGUAUUUGAAUUAUAGUAAUACCACUGGGUGUAUACUCAGCGUACGGUUUGUUUUCGUGCGCAGAUUAGGUAUAGAAAUUUUUGAAGAGUUGAAUUUGAGAUUACAAGUUUUCAUCUCAUCACAUCUUCAAGCAACAACAGGGUAUGCUUUAAAGUUUUGAUUAGAAUGGCAUGUACUUAGGGAAAAAAAAUAGGUAUGUUCCAAUUUUUAGUUUUUGUGUUCAAAUAUAUUAGAAAUUAGCCAAGAAUUAAUUUGGCACCACAUGUAACAUUCCUAUAUCAGGUUCCUUAAGUCGAACAUGGUAUAGGGGUGUUACAAGAUUAAUUCUAGUGAAGUUGAAAAUAGAUGUGACAGUAAGAUUAACUAUUAUGGUGAUGAGAUUAAAAUCACUGGUGAGAUGUGUGCUAGGAUUUAUGCAUAUAGAUUGUAGAUUUAUAGUAAGAAAGCAAAAUGACCAUUAUGAACAUUAAACUAAAAUUAAACUAAAGUAGUUUGCACCCUUCCGUAUAUUUUUGUACAAAUAAUAUUUUAACGAUAAAAAUAUUAUAUUUCAUAUUUCAUUUAUAAAUCAUGCAUGUCAAAUUUGACGUAAAUUAAAAAUUUCUAACUAUUUAUUUUAUGUAAAAAUACUUUUAACUGGUUAAUAAAUGUUAAUAUAUACAAUAUUUUAGACCGAUAAGAUAGAAAUAUCAAAUCAAUUUGAAAAUUUGCAUGCAUGAAUCAUACAAUAAUAUCGAUAAAUUCAAUGGUUGAAUUGUUAAAUUAAUAAUCAUAUAAAAAUAUAUGGAAGCGUAUAAAAUUACUUUAGUUUCAUACUAGUGUAAGCGGAUCUCUCCCAUUUUAAUAUAUAAAGUUAAUUAUAUAAUUUAAAAUUAUGUAAUUAAUAUUAUUUAUAAAUAUUAUAAGUAUAAAUAUAUUUCUUUAUACGCCUAACAAAUGUAAAGAAAAUCCACAAUCAAGCUAUUUGUUGAGGGGAGGUAUGUAAUUUUUAAUUUUAUGUAAUUAUAUAUACGACCCCUUGUAAAAUGGGAAUCCAGAUGAAUUUAUGCGCCCUGACCCUUCUUAAAACGAUAAAUCUUGUUUUUAGUCUUUUAAAAUUUAUUUUUAAGUUAGUACAUGGUAAAAUUUUACUUUUGCUCUUAAAAAAUGAUAAAAUUUUAAUUAAUCUUUUAAAAAUAAAAAAAGAUAUAAAUUAUUAAAAUGAUAAGAUUUCAUUCUAACUCUCCUAAAGAAUAUAUAAUUCAAUUAUAACUUUUUAAAAAAAUGAAUUUUUGAUUUCAUCCUUAUUUGAACUUCAAAAAUUACUCAAGAAAAAAAAGUUUUGCUGACUAAGGCAACAAACCAAAGAGAAACGAGAUUCACGAAGGGAUGAAGACGAAGUACAAAACCAAAGGGAUAAUCAAAGGAGAAAAGUUGUAUAAAAUAUAUGUGGUAGCGGGGAAGAGAUGCUAAGGGAUUAAUUUAUAUUUUGUUAUUCAAUAUAUAUAUUUAAUUCUUUCACUAUUUAUUGCUAUACAAAUAUUAGAUUUAUUUAAAAAUUAUGCUAUUUGUUUGUCGGAUUAAUCGUAUUUCGGGGCCGGAGCAAUGAACCUAUUUAAAGCGGUUCAUAUUGUCCUAAAAGAUCCCAACAAUGAAUAUUAAUUUUAUUUCCCCACCUAACUACGUACUCUUGGUUGGGUAGGUCCUGGCAGAGAAGUUAUAGACACAGUUUUAUACUUUGCGUCUGGAAUACUUCACUUAAUUUCCUUUGCUAUAUUGAGUUUUGGCGGUAUUUAUCAUGCACUUUGGGACUUAAAGCUCUUGAAUAAUCUUUUUCAUUUUUCGAUUAUGUAUAGAAAGAUAGAAAUAAAAUGACCAUAAUUUUGGAUAUCACUUCAUUUUGCUUGAUACAGGUGUUGUUCUUCUAGUAUAUGAUAUCUGGGCUUAGUUUAAAUUUAAAUAAAAUAAUUUAAUAGUUCGAAUUAAACCAAACUUAAACAAACAUAUUGAUACUAAAUAUAAAUCUAACAUAAACCUAGCGGCCCAUGAAUGCUUUACAUACUAAUAAAAUCAACUAAUAUUUUAUAAAUACUAUUGAAUAUAUAUGAUCAGGUAGUAUAAAUGUUGAUCAAAUAACAUAAAAAUUCAUGUACAUUCUUUACAUAAAGUUAGAACCUUUUGGGCACUGUCUUAAAUCUAUUGACAUCGGUAUUGUUGUUAGUGCAGGAGAAUAUGGGUUCGAGUACACUGAGACAUAUUAUCCUCUUAUUUAAAGGUUGAGAAGAAAUUAUAAAUAAUUCUAAGUAGUAUUUCAAAUUUUAUUAUAUUGGAUGAAUGGUUAUCUUAGAUCACAAGCUAAAUUUUGGGUUUUAUUUAGUAUGAGCUUUGUUAAUAAACUUAUUGCAUUAAUAUUGGGCUAUUUGGUUUAUAAGACUCUUCGACCUUUUUUUUUUUUUAAGAAUAAAAACAAAAUGAGCUCAUUUUUUAUUUUAUUUUUAAGUAUAUUUAUAUAAUAUUGAAUAUAUAAAUAUGUUUUAUUAUUUUGUUAUUAAAUAUUACAAAAAGUUACAAAUAAAUCAACAAAUUACAAAAAACCCUAAGUUUUACAGAUUUUACGAUUUGAUACUUAUGUUCUGAAAUAUUGACUGUUUAAGUGAUGAAUGAAUAUUUGUUACACGUUUUAAGCUUUUAUUUAUUAAAAUUUGCUUUAUUUCUAUGGAUUUUUAAUUAAAUUUGAGGACAAUGCAUAAUAUUAAAUUUAGCUCUUAACAUUUACAUAUUUUAUCAAUUUGGCCUUUGUUAUUGUUUUGAGACAAAUUUUGGCCUUCAACCUUUUAGAAAAGAGUUAAAAUGAUAUAUAUUUUUUAAUGAGAAUACUAAUUAAAAUGUCAAAACUUUAAACACGAUAGCUUGCAUGACAAUUCACGUGCACUCCGAGUUAUUUCUUUUGAAAAUUUAUGAACAUUUUAUAUUUUAUAAUUUUGAUUUUUAUAAUUUUGAAUUGUUUAGCAUGAUUAGACUCUUUUUAAAAAAAAUUAAGAGUAAAAUUUAGCUCAAAAAAAGAAUAAAGGUCAAAUUGAUAAAAAAAUAUAAAAGUUGAAGGUUAAAUUUAUCAUUAUACCAUUUUACAACUAGCUAUAUUUAAGUUGGUACCAUUUUACCGCAUAGGUCUGAAGGUCUGCUCGAAAUUUGAGAGGGUUUGAACAAAAAUAUUAAGCCCAAAAAAUGGGUUUGACCAAAAAUAUUAGGCUCGUUUAAAAUAUAGGCCAGACUCGAACUUGAACAUUUAAGGACCAAGCCCAACUUGACCUGUUUUUAAAUUUAUAAUACUUAUAUUAUGUUAUUUUUAUAUACUAUAUAAGUUAUCUUAUUGAUAAAUAUAAUGAUAACAAAUUUAAAUAUUAAGAAAAAUACGAAAAUUUUUCAAAAUUUAUUUCACUCUUCAAAAUUUUACAUCUUUCAAAAUAAACUGUCCGCUUUAGGUCUUAAACCUUGUAAUAUAUAUAUGAUUCAUUAACAAUUAAAUUAUUAGAGUUAUUUCCAAAAAUUUAAAUAAAAAAUAAACAAAAGAAGAAAUAAAAUUAUAUAAAUAAAAAGCAAGGAUAUAAUAGGAAAGAAAAACUUCAAACGAUUGACACAGACAUAGAGGUGCUCAUGGGCUGGGCCGAGCCCAAAAAAAUUUCGGCCUGCAUCCUAGGCCCGGGCUCGGUCCGAACCGAAAUAUGGGCCUGAAAUUUUGUCCAGGCCUGACUCGAAAAAAAAUUCCUAAGUCCGAGCCCGACCUGGGCCAAAAAAGUGGUGCUCGAGGCCCGGCCUAUUUUCUAAACGGGCCUUAUUUUUUGCCCAAAUCUAUAUUUUGAGCCUAUAUUUUUACCCGAAUCCUCUUAUAUUUUGGACGGGCUGUCGGGCUGAGCCGAACCACCCGACCCAUGAGCACCUCUACACAAACAGUACCAUUGACAAUAACACUAAACACUGUUACUCAAAGGAAGCUCCAGUACGUUUGAAAUCAAAGCAAGGGUAAAUGUUGGUUCAUUUCCACCCUUGUGGGGGUGUUUUCAAAUCUAAUUUUAUAUUUUUAUACAAAAAUAAAAUAUAUAUACAUAAUAAAAUUUAAACUUAAAUCUUUAUCAUUUUCAUCAUUUAUAUUUUAUCGCAUAAUCAAAUUCUCAUUCAUUAUUUAUAACAAUUUUUUAUAAAUAUAUUUAUUACGUAAUUCUAUUUUUUAUAUUUUUCAUUUUUCUAUAAUUUUAAAAAAGAAAAUGAAAUUUAUGAUUCAUACAAAAAAAUAAAAAUAAAAAAUAAAAAACAAAAGUACUCCAAAGUUGUAUUACUCGAAAUUAUGAUUCCAACAGUGUUAUAAUCAAUACCUCUGACUCGACGAUGGUGUCGAAGCGUCAGGGGUUAGACGAAGGUAUUGAUUAACUUUGUUGUGGUGCAGAUGAUGAGCAUAAAUACUGAAUUAAUUGCAAUUAAUUGUACGUAUACGGAGCUGUUUAUGGGUAGGGUAGUUGUUACCGACGAAUUAAUUAUAAUAUAUAUUAGAAAUUACAAAUUUAGAGUAUAAAUAUAUGUUUAGAAAUAACUUAUAAUAAAUAAUUAAACGUAUUAUUUAAAAUUAAUUAAUAAUGACACAUGAAAUAUGUAUGCUAUUAAAAUAAAAAAAAAUAGAUUAAUUUGUUUAUCAUAGUUGUUAGAGUUUGUGUGACUUGAAUCCUGUCACUUGUUUGACCUCUUGCCCCCAUAGAUUCUCAUUAAGCAUAAAACUAGACUGGGGUUGCUACCAGGAGUGCGUGACUCCCCGCGGUAUGAACCAUGCCGCACAAGUAGAAUAUGUCACAUCCCAAAAACUGGGUUAGAAGAAAUCGCGUUAGUAAAACCAAUAGUGGUUACGUCCUGCUUUUGAGUUAAGGUUGUGGAAAUUCUGUAAAGUGAAUUUUUUUGGUUCAAUGGUUAAGAGAUUGUGUAAUGACUCAAAUUUAAGGUUAUCGGAAUAGUAGUUUCGUAACCACAAAUUCGAUUUAAAGAGAAAUUUAUUUUAAUAUUUUUGCAUGAAUAUUGGUAUGAUAGGAAAACGUAUGAAAAUAUUGAUAGAAAAAUUUUACUGAUUUAGUGGUUAGUUAGAAAAAGAAAUUAUUGAAGAAAUUGGGUAAAAAUAAGGUAUUGAGACCUCAAUCUCGUAAAAAUGAGUCAAAAAUAUUUUUAUAAAUAUUUAUGAAGUGUUAGUAACAUGGUAUUAAAAUUUCGUUAGAAAAUUUUAAUGUUUGGGUAGUCAAUUAAGUGAAAAGGACUAAAUUGAAAGACUUAAAAGUUACUAGAAGGAUUAAAUAGCUCAAUUGUUAAAUGAGGAGGGACAUAAAUUGAAAAUAAGCCCAAAAGGAGAUAUUUUGGGUGGCAUAAGCUGAGAAAAAUCGGGAGAAUUGGAGAAUUAAGGGUAAAAUUAGAAUAUUGCAAAAUUUACUUUAAAAGUUAGGACUAAAGUGGAAUUAUCUAGAUUUCUCUUUAUUUUUCUGCAUUCUCAUCAGCCAAAAACAUUCUAAGGGUUUAUUAAAGCUGGUUUUUCAUAAUUUUUGCACCAAGUGAGUUAAUCCUUUCCUUUUUCUUGUAAUUUUUGUGUUUCUAAGACUUUUACAACUAGGUCCUAUUACUACAUUCAUUAGUUUUUGAUUUUAUGAAUGAAUUUGAAAGUUUCUAUGAAUAUUUUCUGGAAGUUUAUGAUGAAAUAGGAUGAAAUUUAAGCUUUAAUCUGUUUAUGAGAUGAUUUUAUUAGGUAAUUUCAAUAGAAAUUGAUUUGUAGGACCUAAUUGUGAAAAAGUUUGGAAUUAAAGUCUAGUGCUAAAAUUCUGAUUUCCAAAGGUUAUAAAGUAGUUUAAAGUGAUAGAAUAAAGUGUUGAUUGAGAAAAAUCAGCUCAAUUGAGAGGUUAAUUGAGCAGGGAUGAAAUUAACAUUUAUUGAAAGCUUAGGGAAAAAUGGUAAUUAACAUCAUGCACUAAAACAGUUUUGGACAGCAGCAGUAGUCUAACUUUGAAAAAUCACCAAAAAUUUUAUAAAUUUAAUUAGAGGAUGAAUAAAAUAUGAAAUUAAAGCUUAUUGAGUCUAGUUUCUUAUAAAAGAAACUGUGUAAGCAAUGAAAUUGUAAAUCAUGAGAUAUAAUAGAUUUUGUGAGACAAGGUCAGAAUGAAUUCGGGUUCCCCUGUUCUGACUUUGGAAAAUCAUUAAAAAUUGUAAAAAAAUUAUUAUGAGUUAUAAUAUAUAUUCUUAGAAUACUUAAUGAGUCUAUUUUCAAAAAAAAAAACAAGCGAGAACAUCAUCCAAAUUUUUUACAAUGAGAUAAUUAAUUUUUAGUGAAGAGAGGUCGGAACUGUCAAACAGUGAAACAGGGGAAAUUUUAGAGAAUAAACUGUACUUAUUGGCUAAACCAAAAAUUCUGAAAAUUUUAUGGUAAGAAGAUAUGUGAGUCUAGUUUCAGGAAAAAUUAACGGAUCUUAGUUUGGAGUUCCGUAGCUCAAGAUAUAAAUAAUUUAGUGACAUGACUCAGUGAGACAGCUUUGAAUGCACUAUAAAUAAUAAUGAAAUUAUAGAGAAUGUUACAUAUGAACAUGAAAUGUAUUAGAUUAAUGAUUAAAUUUAUUUAUUUAGAUCCAGAAAAUUCAAAUACAAAGAUAGAUCGAGGAAAAGAAAAAGUUCGGGAUUAGUAGAUUUUUGUUUACCAACAAGUAUCGAGGGAAGUUCGUGUAACUUGAAUUAUAUUCUUAAAUGUUUGAAAUGUUUGUUAUUGAUGUGAAAGUGAGUUGAAUGUUUAUUGUAUGAUAAUUGAUGAAGUAUUGAUAUUCUUGAUGAAAAGAGGAAAUAAAUCCCGGUUGAAUGAAGGAAAAAUUUGAUGGAUCUCUGAAAAGGAAUUGACAGUAAAAAGGAUCCAGCCCGGAUGAGUGAUCCUAUCCUGAUAUAGCCCUCCCGAAGAAUAUGUGGAAAAUGGAUUUAGCCCGGACUGGUAAUCCGAAUUAGGGUCUGAAUUUAGCUUGGACUGGUAAUUCAGAUCCAAGCUCAUUAGAGUAAUUGUCGUUGCAGGGGAUUUAGCCUGGACUGGUAAUCUUGACAAUACUCUAUGAGUUUAUAUUACAGGGGAUUUAGCCUGGACUGGUAAUCCCGCUGUAAGGAUGAGGUUCGCGGGAGUGUGCUUUCUGAAAUGGAAAUGUGCUACAUGAAUAUGAAUUGACGGACCUGGAUUUGUACACUUAGGUGUACCCCUAAAAAUCCAUCGAAAUUCCGAGAAGUUCAACGGGAUAAAUAUGGAAAAAUAACAAGGAAAUGGAAAUAAUGAAAUUGAUGAGCUCAUCAAUCAUGAUAUAUAUAUUAUUGAUACAUGAAAAUUAUUGGACUAAUUUGAAUGUUGAGUUUGUGCAUGAUAGGGGAAUAAUGUAUUGAAUGGAUGUAUGAAUGUUUAUUGCAUUGUAUUGAAAAUAUUAAGUAAGUAUAAUUCUUGUUACAUGAGCUUACUAAGCACAAAGUGCUUACCCUGUUUCCUUUUCCCCUAUUUUGUAGUGUUAAGAGCUCAGAGGUCGGAUUUGGUUGGAGACGCAUCACACUAUCAACCUUAAGAUCUCGGUAUAUAAAGAAACUUUAUUUUGGAAAUCAAUGGCAUGUAGAAGCUAGUAAAGUAGAUGUUAAUGUGAAAUGAAUGUAUAGUUAGCCAUUGGUAUGACUAACAGAUUUUGGUUUUGGUAUGUGAUGAGAUUAUCUUAUGAAUAUGAUAAAUCUAUCUUGAAAAUAUAUUGAAAUGGAUUGGUCUCGGUUUAAAAUUUGCAGGGAAGAUUAGAUAUUUAUAAAGGGGUUAUAUUGAGUUUUUUAAAAAAAAUAAUAUUUAUUCGGUAAAAUAUGGUAAUGGCCCAUACUCUAUUUCGGCGACGAAUACGGGUAGGGGGUAUUACAGAUUGUGCUUGUGUGACAGAGGUUCUAGGUUCACAUAUUUUCCCCUUGUAUUUUUUCCAAUUUUGUCUAAACCUUUAGCUUUGGGUAUCUGGCAGGCAUGACCUUGGGGGUUGUCUGGAGGUGCAGCACAUAGGGCCCAAGGCGGAAAGGGGUCCAAAAUAUUAUUUCUCAAUUUUUAAGGGGCCUAAAAAAACUUUUUUUAGCUUUAAAGGGCUCAAAAAUUUUUUAUCAACUUUUAAGGGACCUAAAUUUUUUUCUCUCCAACUUUUAAGGAACCUAAAGCACUAUUUUAUUAUUUUGCCUAGGGCCCCAAAAAUGUCAAGAAUGGGCCUAGUAUCUGGUUUAAGAAAUAUUUGUGUGCAUUUGUUGACAAGAAUGAAUUUGUUAGUCUAAUGGUAAAGUGUUAGUUAACCCUUAGGUCCUAUGUUCGAACCGUUGUGUGCAAAUUCUUGUUUUGAACUUUGGGGAAAAUCUAGUAAGGAUAACUAAUGAAAUUUAGUGGGGUUAUGGGUGGUUUAAUUGAAUUUUUUUAAAAAUGAUUCCCCAAAAACUCUCGCACUUCCUUUCCACGUUCUCACAUUCUUCCCUCCCUCUUUCUCUAUCGUUCCACUUUUAUUAUUUCUGUCAAUUUCUUCUUUCUAUUUGUUUUCCUCUAUUUCUCCCUUUUUUUUUGCCUUCUGUUCUAUUUUGUUUGUUAUAAUAUUAAUGUCAAUUUUUCUUAAGAAUAUUAUUCCAACAAAACAAAAAUAGUUUAUCAAAAUAAGUUUGAAUGGGUUUUUUUUUAAGAAUAAAUCUUCAUUAACAUUUUAACUGAAAUAGUAAAGAGACCAAAUUUUGUUAAAAAAAGUAUAAGAAUUAAAUAUCAAAUUUAUACAUACUAAGGGAUCAAAAACAAAAUAUGGUUGAAGGCUCUCUAUACUUAAAAAUAAACUAUACCAAAUAAAAGUAUUGGGAUUAAAUCUCUUAAGCAUGUUGCACUCACAAGUAGCGAAAGAGAGGAAAAACAAGCUUUCAACUCAAAUGAGAGAAUAUGAUAUUUAUUGAAUUGAUGAAUAAUUUCAAAUGGUUCUAGCCUUUUAUAAGCUUUAUAAUAGCUAAAAUUAGUAACUCAAAGCUAAAAAUAGCAAAGUCGAAUGAGAGAAAAAUCCUCAAUAAUCUCUAAUUUCUAGGGAUUAUUUACCAAAAUAAUCUCAACAAUCCCUCCCUUAAACUGAAAGUACAAUGAACUUUCAGUUUAAUAAAUACUUACUAGCUACUUGAUGUCAAAGACCUAGUAUUUUCCUGAACUUGAUAAAUGAUGCCAACUUGAGAGGCUUAGUAAAUACAUCAUCAACUUAAUUCUCACUUCAGCAAUACUUUAGCUCAAUUGCUCUUUCAUUGCUGAGAUAUGACAGAAAGUAAUAUUUUACAUCAAUAUGCUUGCUUCUUCCAUGCAACACGAGAUUUUUUGACAACUUGAUGGCUGAGUUGUUAUCACAAAAAAAAUAUAGCGGCUUUUUCUGGUUUGAAUUGUAGUUGUUCAAGGAUUCUCCUAAGCCAAAUAGCUUGACAAGCACAAGUUGUAGUGUCAAAAAAUAUGACAAUGGAUUGUUUCUUAGAUGACCAUAAAAUAGCCCCUGUUCCAAGCAUAAAAACAUAACCUAAAAUGAUCAUUCUGUCAUCUUGAUCUCUUGCAUAAUCACUGCCAGUGAAGCCAAUCAUGUUUGACUUUUCACCCUUAUUGUAGAAAAUCCCAAAUCUUUGGUUCCUUAUAAGUAACGAAGUAUUCUCUUAGCAGCUAAUAAAUGUUUUUUGUAACACCUCUUACUCGAGACCGUUGCCGGACUCGAGCACGAGGCAUUACUUAACUUAUCGUACUAAUUCGGAGCAUAAAAAUUUACUUUGCAUAUUAAUUUCACUAUUUACAGCAAAGCUGUCCAAUCGCGUAGCAGUUACUAAAUUAACUAUAACUCAAGCUAAAGAACUCGAAAUUUAACUCCGUAAAUUUUCCCUGAAACUAAAAUCAUAUAUAUAUUUUCCAUAAAAUUUUUAGAAUUUUUGGUUCAGCAAAUUAGUACAUUUUAUUAGUUAAAGUCUCCCUGUUUCACCAUUUGACUGUUCUGACCUCUUGUUACUAAAAAUAAGUUUUCUCAUUAUAGGAUUUUCAUAUUCUAUCCCCACUUGUUCCUACAGAAAAUAGACUCAUUAAGGAAUCUAAUAAUGUAAAUUUCAACUCAUAAACAUUUUUGUACAAUUUUUAAUGAUUUUCUAAACUCAAAACAGGGGACUCUAAAAAACAGUUCUGACCCUAUCUUACUAAAAUUCACAUAUCUUAAAAUAUAAAUUUCCUUUUGCUACACCGUUAUUUUUACAUGAAAAUAGACUCAACAAGAUUUAAUUCCACAUAUCAUUCACCCUCUAAUCCAUUUUAUACCAUCCUAGGUGAUUUUUCAAAGUCACAUCACAGUGCUACCUGAAUUCUGUUUCUUUGCAAAAAUUUAUCCUUUCAUGAUUUCCAUGCAUAAUUUAUCACCUAGACUUUCAUAACAACAAACACCUUCAUACUUAACCCUUUUAAUGAUCAUACAUCAUCAAAUGCUUACACAUCAUUCAUUAGCAAAAUCAUAAUCACAAACAUACAAAAUAACUAAAUCCCUAUACAUGCCAUAACUCAAACGUGUUUCAUCAUAAAAUACCGAGCAAUUGUGGUUGAUAGUGUGGACGAUCUCCGACUUCUUUAGGAUCCUUGAAGUAGCUUGCAAUACUAUACGAGGAAGAGAAAUAAAAGAAGUAAGCAUAAAGCUUAGUAAGUUUACUAGCAAAUAAAUAACAACAUUAAACACAAAUAAUUAAACUCAAGUGUCCAUAUCUCUAGUUUACUUUUUAGUUAAUCUCAUUCUAGUUCUCUUGCUUAUUUACUUGGAAUACUUGUGUACAUAACUUACUCUUCUCUUGCUGCAUCGUUGAAUACCAAUUGAUAAUAUAAUAAGUUUUUAGCUCUUAUAACUUACCUGAGCUUGCCUUUUAUGCUUUAAACUGAACUUUCAUGAACAUGAUUCGUUUAUUAGCCCGUUGAGCUACAUUGGAAUAAUAAGGAUACUCGAGUCUCUUCUGAUAAUAACAUGCCAAAGCCAUGUCCUAGACAUGGUCUUAUAGGGGACCUCUCAUCUCGGUGGACAUGGUCUUACAUGGGACCUCUCAUCUUGGUGCCAAUGCCAUGUCCCAGACAUGGUCUUACAUGAGACCUCUCAUCUCGGUGCCAAUGCCAUGUCCCAGACAUGGUCUUACAUGGGACCUCUUUACCCAAAUGUCAUGACAUUCGUAUCCAGUACCAUCCUUAUGUAUCAACGGGACUUUUUAAUUUUAAUUCUCUAUCAUUUCAUGCUUGGAUCAUCAUCAAAUAAAUUCAUGAAAUAAAUUCAUAGUUUUUGGAAAAUAAUAGCAUUAAUAAUAAAUAUUGAAAUAUUACAUUUAUUUACCGUAAACUUACCUCGGUAUCAAAUAUAGUCCAAUUCAACAACUUAGUCUUCAACUUUAUUCUUCUCUUUGUCUAACCUCGUGUUUCAUUCUUCUUGAUCUAAAAUAGAAAAUUUAACUUAUUUAAUACUCACAUUCAUCAAAACAGCCCUCGACUCUAACUUUUUCAAAAUUACACUUUUUCCCCUAAACUUUUACAUAAUUACAUUUUUCCCCAAGGCUCGGAAAUUAAAAUUUAUCCCUUAUUCUUAUGUUUUAUGACAUGCUGAACAUUUUUACCUUCUAUGACAACAUCAAAUUCCCACUCUAACAUGUACUUAUGAACAUUAGGUAUUUUUACCGAUUAUGUCGUUUUACUCGUUUUCAAUUAAAAUCGCUUAGCAAAAGUUGUUUAACAUAAUUUAUAACUUCAUAUUCUACUAUAAAACAUCAAAAUAAACACUUUUUACCUAUGGGUAUUUUUCCAAAUAAAAACCCUAGGUUAAAUUAUUGCUAAAAUAAGCUAAAUUAAGCUACCGGGAUCUCAAAAACGUAAAGAACAUUGAAAACGGGGCUUGGGAUCACUUACUAUGGAGCUUGGAAGCUUAAAAACCCUAACUAUGGCUUCCCCCCUUGCUGAUUUUGUCCAAAUGAAGAAGAUGAGCAUAAUUUGCCAUCUUUUUCCCUUUUAAUUAUUUUUAUUACUAGAUUACCAAAUUGCCCCUAACUUAAAAAUUUUCUAUUUCACUUAUCUCAUGUCCAUUUUUGUCUACCAAGUUACCAAUGGUCUAAUUACCAUAUAAGGACCUCCAAUUUAAAGUUUCAUAACAAUUGGACACCUCUAACAUGUAGAACUCAACUUUUGCACUUUUUACAAUUUAGUCAUUUUGACUAAAUUGAAUGCCCAAACGUCGAAAUUUUCGAACGAAAUUUUUAUGAAAUCAUUUUGUGAAAUCAUAGACCAUAAAAAUAUAAGAAAAAUAAAAUUUUUCUCAUCGGAUUUGUGGUCCCGAAACCACUGUUCCGAUAACCUUAAAUUUGGGCCAUUACAUUUUUCAACUAGGCUCUCCAUGUACCUGCUAAUAAGACUCAUAAAAUACAUAAUGUUUGGCCUCGUAGUAGUUAGACACAUCAAACUACCUACAAUUUGCUUGUAAAGUAUGUUAUCCAUAUUUUUUAGUAAGUUUUAAGCCAAACUCAUUGCAGUAUUGGAAGAGUUAUAAUUCGUCAACUUGAAUUUGUCCAAAAUCUCUCUGACAUACUUUUUCUCUUCCUUCAAGUAUCCAUGUAAGAAUGUCGACUUAAAAUCUAACUAGAAGAUUGAUGAAGAGUUCUGCGCUACUAAAGCAAUCACCAAUCUGAUGGUGUUAUGUCUUGCAACUAAGGCAAAAACUUUUGUGUAGUCCACACCAUACUCUUGUUUGUACCCCUUAGCUGCUAAUUGCGUAUUGCACUUCUCAACCUCCCUAUUUUCCUUCAACUUUGUCUUGUAGAUCCACUUGACACCAAUGGUUUUGUGCCCCUCAAGAAGAUCAGUCAUCUUCUAAGUAUCAUUCCUUUUAAUGGCUUCGAUUUUAGCAUCCAUUGCCUCUUUCCAUUUUACCUCAUUGGCAACAUUUUCAAAACUUAUUGGGCCACAAUUUGUAAAUAAUACAAAUUGAGAAAUUGCAUUAUCAUUUUCUCUAAUUUUGGUUACGUCAUAAUGUUACAUCCAUGCUAGCCUUCUUCGAACAUGACGAAGUGCUUCAGCUAUUGUACUAGUUUCUUCUUCAUGUGUAAACAAUACUUUAGUGGCUAAUGGAGAAGUAUUCUUGAGCAUUUCUUUAGCUUUAUUAUCACAAAGAACUUAAGUAGGUUGUGCUUCAUCCCAAUCCCAAGUGUUCUCUUCAUGAAACACAACUCUCGACUAAUCACAACAUUCUUUGUCACAGGAUUGAACAAUUUGUAUGCCUUUAAUUUGAUUUUUCAAUAAUACCAAGAAAGACACAUCAACAAGCUUCUUUUAUUUCUCCUCUAAGACAUGUGCUUAGGUAAUGCACUUAAAAAUUUUGAAAUGAUCUACCACUGGUCUCCUUCCACUCUAAGCCUUCUCCGGAGUCACAUCUCGAAGAGCAUUAGUAGGGCUCCUAUUCAAGAUGUAGAUGUUCCAAUUUAUAGCUUUUGACCAGUACACCUUUGAAAUUCUCCUUCUUGCUAGUAGGCUUCGAACCAUGUAGAGAAUGGUUCAAUUUUUCCUCUCUGAUACAUCAUUUUUUGUGGUGUAUAAGCAGUUGUGAGCUCUCUUUGGAUGCUGUAAACAUCACAAGUCUUCAAACUCCUUAGAGGAAUAUUCACCACCACAACUAGUUCAAAGAGCUUGAAUGGUUCUUCUUUUCUUAUUUCCUACACCAGCUUUGAAGCUUUUAAAUGCAUUAAAAGCCUUUGAUUUUUCUUGUAAAGGUAAACCCAUGUCUUACAAGAAUAAUAAUCAAUAAAGGUAAUAAAAUUCCAUUAGAAAUUGGAUUUAUUGGCCCACAAAUGUCUGAAUACACCAACUCCAAUACCUCUUUUGCUUUUCAUGACUUACCUUUGGGAAAUUGAGAUUGAUGUGGUUUACUAGCAACAAAUUCUUCACAAACUAGGGAAGGAAAAAUAAUUGGAGGAAGACUAGUCACCAUAUUUUUAUUUUUAAGUAUCUUCAAACCACCAAAGUUUAAAUGACCAUAGCAAAAAUACCACAACCAAGAAGGAUAUUUAACUUUUGCUAUUAAACAAGAUUGAGCAACCUCAAUCUUCAAUGGAAACAACCUAUUUUGACUUAUUUCCAUAAUAGCAACAACUGUUCUAGAUGGAUCAGAAAUCUCACAAGCACCAUUCCUGAAAUUAUCAACAUACCCUUUUUCCAACAGUGGCAUCAAAGCCAAGCUUGUUAUUGUUAGCUUGGAAAAGCUUUCACCUAUGACCUUGGAAAGUAGUCUUGUUCAAGUAGUUAUUCCUUGUUUUGAUGAUCACUAUGACCAUUGGAGUAUGCUAAUGGAGAAUUUCCUAUGGUCAAAGAAGUAUUGGCCAAUGGUUAGGGCAGGUAUCAAAGAGUCUGCAGAAGGAGAAACUUUGACGAAUGCCCAGAAAGUAAGGUUCGAAGCAAGAAAGCUGAAAGAUUUGAAGGUGAAAAAUCAUCUCUUUCAAGCUAUUGAUUGUCUCAUCUUGAAAACUGUUCUUUGCAAAAAAAAAACUUCCAAGGAUAUAUGAGAUUCCAUGAAGAAAAAGUAUCAAGGCUCUGCCAGAGUGAAGUAAUGACAUCUUCAAGCCUUGAGGAGGGACUUCGAGACUCUAUAGAUAAAGGAAAGGGAAUCUAUCACUGGCAAUUAUGUUAGAACCAUGGAGAUUUGUAAUAGGAUGCAAUUCUAUGAUGAGAAGAUGGAGGGUGCCACCAUAGUGGAGAAGAUUUUGCGCUCCAUGAUGCCGAAGUUUGAUCAUGUUGUUUGCAUCAUUGAAGAGUCAAAAGACAUAGAUGAAUUGUCUCUUGAUGAGUUGCAAAACUCUUUAUUUGUGCAUGAGCAGAAGAUGAAUUGUACUUUAGCCUUCAAGGAAUAAACUUUGAAGGCUUUUACUUUUUUUUUCAAUUUUAGAGGAAUGGGUAAAGGUAGAGGUAUAUAUUGGGAAAUGUGCCUAUAGUUUAGUAAACAUGUAACUAUUUUCUAUUUAUUUAAACGGUGAAUUAAUAAAUAAAAUUAAUUUCACAUUUCACUAUUAUGUCUUUUGUAUUUUCUGUCUUUUAUAUUUACAAUACAUAGCAAAAUUGUGACAAGCAAAUAUUAGCUCAUUGAUUGUCUAAAGUUCAAACUGAAGAUAAGUGACAUUGUAAAGAACAUUUACAUUGUGGGAAAGACAACUUAUUUUAGUAGAUAAUCUAAAUGAGUCCGUAAUCUCGUAAAAGAAUCAAAGUGAGCAUUUGAUUCAAAUAGUGAGAAGGAUUAUCAUGUCAUCUACAAUUCUAAUUAGGGAGAUGGCUAGUCUUGGCUAUCGGAGUAGUUGACUCUAUUAGUAGAGAAAUAUAUGUAUUCAUUGGUAGAAUGAUACAUUGGAUUGGACCCAAUAUGAAUUAAUUCACUUUUGACGUUCAUGGUGUGGUUUAUCCAAAUAUUGAGUUAGUCACUGACCAUGCGUAUGCAACCCAUGUGCUUUGAUAUAAGUGGAGGCUUAUGCUCUAAAGAUGAUCGAGCCCAUAGUCGGUAUGUUGGGUACAUAACUUGUGUAUGGCAUGAUUUUACUAGCAACAAUGGAAUUCAUAGCUCAAUUAAAGAGUUAAUGAUAUCCUCUCAUUGGUAUUGUGUGGAUUGAUAAAUAUAGAACGUGGCCACGGGUUGCUUGUUCUUGAAAGAGUAAUUUAUCACAGUCAUUUGUUGACAGUGAUCGUAUUAAUCAUUAAGGAGACACAAUAGUGAUAAUGAGAUAAAAUAAGAUUGUAUUGAGUGAACGGAUUUAAGUCAAAGGAAUCAAGGAUAUCAUAUGAGGGUAACACACACAUGAUGAGGUCAUUGGACAAAGCAGUUGGGUGAAUUGCUUUCUUAAAGAGUAUACAAUAAUGAGUUUUCAAUCAUGGCACUUCUUAUGGACUGACUCUUGAUUAAGUAAUUGCGAAUUAUUGUAAUGAUGCUUUUAGACAUAAUUACAAUCACUAGAGCCUAAUUGUAUAUGUUCAAUUAGUCCAUCCGUUAGCUCAACAAAAGCUUGAUCGUACUGCAUUUGAAUCAGAAGAAAAUUCUACGACUUUGGAAAUAAUUUAAUUGAGUCAAUUUAUUCGAUAUGGAAUUAAAUUAGGUAGUCGCGAGAAUUGUUUAACUAGAGAAUUUGGUUAAAUAAUUUUCUUAAAAAAUUAAUUUGGAAAAUCUAAGUGAUUUUUAGGAAAAUUAAUUUUGAUCAAGUAAAAUUAAAUUGAUCAAAUUAAUUAAAAUUAAUAUAAUAUUUUUGGAAAUUAAUUUUCAAGUAAGACAAUUGGUCCAAUGGGUAAUUGAACUUUAAAAUUGGACCUGAGAUCAUAAGCGUGAGAGCCCAAAACCAAGACUAAGACCCAAAAACUGGUCGAAUCGGGCUCGGUAUGUGAAACCGGGUCGACGGUCCAAUUGGUGACUAGAUUGAAUUGGUCGGGUUGUCAUUGACCCGGACCAAACCGGCUCAGGGUGCCGUAAGGGUGUCGCACCUGCAUCACUGGACAUAUCGGUGUUGGUGGCUGCGACGACGGCGUCCUGGUGACUGCUGGAGGUUGGUCAUCGGUGAUUGAGUUGUGGAAGAGUUACACUCCUACUGGGACUCUACCAGAGAAUUUAAUUUCAAAUUAACUACUUAAAAAAUAAUAUUAUUUUAAUAGUUUAACAUUAAAUUUAAUUUAAUAAUUAUCUUAAUAGUAUUUUAUUAAUUUAAUAUUAAAAUGAUUAUGCUAAUAUUAAAUUUAAUUUAAUGUUUAUCUUGUAGAUAAAUAUUCUAUUAUUUUAAUAAGAUUUAAUAUUAAAUUUAAUCUAAUAUUUAUCCUGGUAAUUAUUAUAUUAUAUUAAUUUAAUAUCAAAGUGAUUAAGUUUAAUCAUAGUUGAACUCUCUAAACUCUCCCUAUAUAAAGAGAUCAUUGAGUCAUUAUUUACACACCCUUGAGUUCAAGAGAAAGUUGUAGAGAGAAUUUUCUGAAGAGAUUAUUUAAAAAUAUUUCUAGAGAUAUUUUUUUGAUUUAUAACUUGACCCAAAAGUUUAGAGAGAUUGUAAAAUUACCCCACUGGUAAUUUUUGUGAAAAAUUUUCUAAUUCGAAGCGAGCUCACACUUGGCAAACGUGAGCUUGAAGAUUGCGGAGAAGACUACUCGGUCGAAGCGCUAAUCUUAGACGAAUAAAAAUAAAUAGUUUUGAUUAAGUGUUUAUUAUUUUAGAUAUCAUAACCUAAAUUUAUUUUCGUCUGCGUUUUCUCAACCUAUUUUUCCAACAAUAUAAGGAGAAGUUUGAGGUAAUAUAAAUGGUGGCAACAGAAAUGGUAGCAAGAAUUACGAAAUCAAUGAGGACCAAAGUAAGGAUAAAUGACGAGGUUUUGAUAAAUCUAAAAUAAAAUGCUUCAUGAGGUAAAAAUUUGGUCAUUAUCAUUUUGAAUGUUAUUCUAGGCUACUAAAUGAUAAGGAUGAAGAAUCACAUUGAAAAGGAAGCUGAGCCAAAUGUAUAAUAUGUGGAUAUAGGUUGUAGUAUUUUUUUCGUAUUUAAAUGAUAAUUUUCGUUGUAGAAUCACCUUUGGUGAUUAUUGUACUGUGGAUUUCAUAAUUAAAAUUGCACGUGAAAUUUGACGUUUCCUAAAAACCUUAAUUGUUUUUGAAGACUUUUGUUACUAUACCCCGAUCCUUAUAAGAUCCAUCACCGUGAAAUGACAAAAAGUAAUUCAAUGCACAUUAAUUGUGCCAGCGGCUCCAAGCCCAUUGAUUUCACUAUACAUUCCAUGCUUUUAGGUUAACCAUCUUCACACAAUCAAAUCAAGCUAGUUAGCAAUGGCUUCCACUACCAAUUCCCCAUCAACCCUCCUCACCCUUCCUAAUUUCUCCAUUCAAACUUCAACAUUCCUUCCCAAAACAUCUCAACGUUCCAUAUUUAAGAAGAAAAAGCCUUUCAACUUUAACUCCAAAAGAGUAGUGUCAUGCAAAGCCAGCAAUGGGAAACAAAACGAUGCAGAUCACACUUCUUUUCUCAAUAGGUUCGAUAGAAGGGACAUCCUUCUUGGCCUUGGAGGAAGUCUCUACGGUGCAACCAGCCUUGUUAGAGACCCAUUUGCAUUGGCAGGCGACGCAAUCAAGCCUGACCUGUCCAGCUGUGGGGAAUCAACCGUAGAUACCGGUAAAAACUGCCUGAAUGUCCCUUGCUGCCCACCAAAGUUAAAAGGUUCGAAGAUCAUAGACUUCGAACCACCUUUAGGUUGCAAGAUCCGUUAUCGGCCGGCAGCACAUUUAGUUGAUCGUGAUUACCUGUAUAAAUUUGAAUCGGCAAUGGAGAGAAUGAAAGCUCUCCCUGUGGAUGAUCCACGUAAUUUCAUGCAACAAGCCAAUAUUCAUUGUGCCAAUUGCAAUGGGGCUUAUAGUCAAGUGGGGUUCCCCGAUCAAAAACUUGAAGUUCACUACUCGUGGCUUUUUUUCCCAUUCCAUAGGAUGUAUCUGUAUUUCUUCGAGAGGAUAUUGGGCAAGUUGAUUGAUGAUCCAGAUUUCGCAAUGCCAUUUUGGAACUGGGAUUCUCCCUGUGGGAUGACUAUGCCUCAGAUAUAUUUAGACCCUUACUCUCCAUUGUACGAUGAAAACCGCAAUUUGAAGCAUCAGCCGGACGUUUUGGUUAAUCUUAAUGACGGUAAACCUGUUGUAAAAAAAAAAAAAUGAAAAAGAAGAAGAAGAAGAAGAAGAAGAUAGUUUUGAUAAAUUAACAAAGAGGAAACAAAUAAAGAGUAAUCUCUAUGUGAUGUAUCAGCAAAUGGUACGGUCCGCCAAGACCGCUUCUUGUUUCCAUGGAGCGGCGUACCUUGGCGGUUGUGAAUCGGAAACCGAUAUCAGUUGUACUCCCGAACCGAGAGGUGGUACCAUUGAGAACGGUGCUCACAUCGCCGUUCACAAGUUCGUUGGUGCCGAGAAUCCACCUUAUAACGAAGACAUGGGGAGUUUCUAUUCUGCUGGUAGAGACCCUUUGUUCUACGCUCAUCAUGGCAAUGUUGAUCGAAUGUGGAACAUUUGGAAGACAUUGCCAGGGAAGAAGCGACGUGAUUUCGACGAAGAUGUUUGGCUCAAUUCUUCGUUUCUUUUCUACGAUGAGAAUGCAAAUAUGGUUCGCGUUAAAGUUCGCGAUUGCCUUGACUCUAAAACUUUGGGGUACGAUUACCAAAGUGUUGAUAUUCCAUGGCUUAGAAGCAAGCCAACACCUCGAAGGAGUCGUCCUGGUGUGGGAAGGGAUCAGGAUCAGGGUCAGGAUGUAGCAGCCAGACGAAAGAGUAAAAACUUCAGGCGUUUUCCAAUAGUUUUAGACAAGGUGGCCGUACGCAUUGAGAUUCCAAGGCCAAAUAAGGAACUAAGAAUAAAGAAAAAAGAUGAAGAAGAAGUAUUGGUUCUUCAAAACAUACAGCUAGACAGAAAUGACUCAGUGCAUUUCGAUGUCUCCAUUAAUGACGAUGAAGACGACGACAACCCUUGCAAACCGGAAGAUGCGCAGUUCGUGGGGAGCUUUUCGAGUUUACCGCGCGGAGAUAGUUGCCACUCCGAGGCGAUGCUUAGUACAAAUCUGUAUUUGGCAUUAUCAGAUGCGCUGGAGGCUUUGAAGAUUCAAUUUGAAGAUACCAUUGUGGUGACUUUGGUGCCUAAAGAAGGGGAAGUUUCGAUUGGUAACAUUAAGAUCGACUACGUUUGUUGAUUUGGGGGUGAAUAUUUUGCUUCAUCCUUUGUGUUCUCGCUAGAUCGGAUUGAUGGGGUUCAUCAAUUUGUUUCUCGCAUGUGUCUUUUUUUUUUUUUAAUAAAAAUAUCAAGCUAAAUGAACAAAAGCAGCGGCAGCUUUAUCUUGCUCAAGAAGAUAAUCAACUCCCUAAAGGCGCCUGAUAUUUUCUGCAUAUCAUCAAUUCAAACAGGAGAUAUUUUAGUUAACCGAGUAACCACUUGAUUUCUUUAACUAUCCAAGACUUCUUGCACUGUAAAUAGCUCUGAAUGCUUCCAAGUAAUCUGUCUAAAUUAAAGCUUUGACAUAUAUAACAAGAGUAACUCGUCCGAGAUACUCUAGAAUUCAACAUUAAAGACUGAAUAAAUAUCUAAAUUAUGAUUGAACCCGACAAUUUAAUCUUGCCAAUUUUUAUUAUUAAAUUUUACCAUUUACUUUUUGUAUUAUUUAUAAAUUUUAAGUCCAGCUUUAUAAAAAAAUAUCAUUUUAGUUCUUCAUUUAAUUUUAUCUCUUUUUAACCCUUAAACUUAUGUUGUUUGUCAAAUUGUCUCAAAAUAAAUAAAAUAAAUUAAUAUCUAUUAACUUACUCUAGAAUUCAACAUUAAAGACUGAAUAAAUAUCUAAAUUAUGAUUGAACCCGACAAUUUAAUCUUGCCAAUUUUUAUUAUUAAAUUUUACCAUUUACUUUUUGUAUUAUUUAUAAAUUUUAAGUCCAGCUUUAUAAAAAAAUAUCAUUUUAGUUCUUCAUUUAAUUUUAUCUCUUUUUAACCCUUAAACUUAUGUUGUUUGUCAAAUUGUCCCAAAAUAAAUAAAAUAAAUUAAUAUCUAUUAACUUUGUUGACACAUCCACGUGUAUGCCACAUCAACAUUUACUUAAUUCUUUUUACAAAAUUAAAAAAAUUCUGAAACAUUAAAAAAGCUUUAAAAUUAUAAAAAAUUUAAAAAUUAUAAGUUUUAUUUAAUAAUAAAAUUAUAAUAAUAUUCUAUACAUUUUAGAAUUUUUAAAAAUUUUAAUCAGUUAUUAACGUGACAUACACGUGGAAUGCCACAUAAACAAAAUUAUUAAGCGUUAAUUUUUCUAUUCAUUAUAAAGUGCUUUGACAAAAAAACGCUAGUUUAACGGUUAAAAGUGGCGAAGAUUAUAUGAAGGGUUAAAAUGAUUUUUUUUAUAAAAUUGAAGGACUAAAUAAGUCAUUAUGCCUAAAUUUUAUCAUAUUUAUAAAUAAAAUUUUAAUUUUACUAAAAUAUUUGAUUAAAUAUAUUUACUUUAUAAAAAAAUUGUCAUACUUUUAUAAGAAUUUCGAGUCAAUUAAAAUACUUUUAUUAAAUGAAUUUAUAUAAUAAUAAAUAAAUUUAAAUUUUAUAUUGAAUUAAUUUAUAUUAAAUUAUUAUGUUUUCAUUAACCCAAAAAAGUUAUAUUACUUAUUUUUAAAUGAAUUUUUUAAUUAUUUAUAUGAUAGGUAGCUUUAUAUUUUACAUGCAAUAUUUUAUAAAGAAUACAUUUAUAUAAUCUAAUCUAAUAGAUUAUAAUUAUAUGAAGGCUUGAUUCGCAAAUUGGUACCUAAGUUAUGUUAUUUUUUCCAUCUUGGUAUCUAAACUUUUUUUUUUUUGUUAUCAGUCAUCCUUAAGCUAUUUUUUCCCCAAAUUGGUAUAUCUGUUAGUUAACCCAUUAAGUCUAUUUAAAAAAAAAGUUCAACCCACAAAUUAGUACCUCAGCAGUACUCUUUUUCUCAAAUUGGUACCUAAUUUUUUUAUCAUAAGUGAUACCUAAACUAUUCUUCCAUCACCAUUUUACACCAAAAUAUUAUAUUCGUUAAAAAAAUUACAACCAAUUAUAGAUUGUCACUUCAUAUAAACUUUUAAUUUUUUUAACUUUUAUUUAUUUAUUUUACAUUAAUUCUGUCUUUAUAUAUUUUAUUUAUUUAUUUUUCUUCCUUUAUAAUGCCUAGUAAUACCAACAAUACUUAAAAUUGAUUCGCUCGAGGUUGAGACACCGGUGAUUAAUUCUGUUUUGAAAUUUCACCAUGUUGAUUAAACCUUAUAUGAAUUAUAUUUAAUUUGAGUUGGAAUCACAAUAAAUAAUUAUAUAUAUUUAUGCAAGAAAUUAAGAAUUUUAUAUAGUUCAUGAAUAAUAUAUAAUUCAUAUAAGGCUUAAUCCAACAUUCACCCUUCGGCAUUUCCGGCAUACCAACAUCUACACCAUAUCAUCAGUGGGCAGCCCAAUCACUGACUUCUGUCGACGAACAGGCUUACACUCCGCUGCAAACAAUCCCAUCCACUCCAAGCGGCCAUAAAUCAACCCCAACAAUCGCCCCACACCAUCCUUGAACACCCCACUCCAUCCCCCAAGCCUUUCUUCACUCUGAAUACAAUACAUAAAAUAAAAAUGAAGAGACGACUCUCCCAUCUGCAAGGAAAGGAUGUUGCCCCCUUUCAACCAACCAUUCUCAAACCAUGGUUCAUGCCACCAACCAAGCUCACUUACCACCAAUAAUGGCUCUAAUCCAACAAACAGAUCGCAUUUUGCAAAGGAAAAUGAUCUCUUCAGCAAUCCACUCUUUUCCAUUAAGUAUUAAUUCAUUCCUAGCUAGCCACAAUGACCAUAACAUAGCGCCACAAGCAACAAGCCACUUCCUCUUAACAUUCGAUCUUCCAAACAUGCAGCAACGUACACAAAAUCACUGACAUUCCAAGGAAUCACCCACAUAACACCCCACCAUUGAAAAACAGUCCCUAAGCUUUCCAAGAGGAAGAACGAAAGAAAAAAAUUAUCACAAUUCUCUUCAGCAUCAUUGCACCAAGAACAAUUAACACAACCAUUAACUGUUGGAAAUACCUCGAUCCCUUAAAAAUGCAUUUUGAAGGUAUACCAUUUUGGAGUAACAGCCAUAGGAAGCAUUGCACCUUUGUUGGAACGCAUAGCUUCCAAAUGAAAGAAAACCACACCUUUUGAUGCGCCAAAGAACCUCACAAUCAAGAGAAAACACAACUUUCUUCACAGUACAUUUCCCUUUGCUGUCCACCUCCCACAUCAACUGAUCUGCCUUGUUCUCAUUUAAAGAGACCCAUUUGAAAAUCUGCCACAACUCCAUCGCAGACCCCCUCUCCUGUUCAAACAAAUCUCUUUUGAAAAAUCUUUCAUCCUUGUGAAGACCAUCCCAAGCCUCGUCCACCGUGAUAUUUUUCUUCAAAGCCAAGAAGAAAGUCUGGGGAAUCUGUCUUUCAAAGCACACAGUCCAACCCAAUGAUCCAUCCAAAAUGAAACUGAUCUCCCACUGCCGAGGCGCCAUAUAAAGCUUCCUUCACCUAACAUUUUGUCCAUCCCUUCGUGUCUUCUAACUUCCACAACAUUGGGAAUUCACCACAUUGGGCCUCCAACGAUAGUUGCUAAUACCAUAUUUUUCGUCCCUAUUAUUGAUGUGGUGAUUGUCAAUUUAAUUCUUACACAUUAAAAGUACAUAAAAAUAUUUUUAAAAAAUUAAAAAUUAAAAAUUAAAAAUUAAAUUUUUUUCUUAUUUCCAAUAAAAAAUUGUAAAAGGUUUACUAAAAAUUAUGAAAUGCAUUAUUUAAAAUUUAAAAUUAAAUAAAAAAUUCAAAAAAAUAUAAAUUAUUUCAAAAAUUCAAAAAAAAAAAGUAAUAAAGUCUAGAGUUAUCCAUAAAUUGGUUUGGACAAAGGUUUUAUGUCUCAAGCUGAGACCAAACCAAAAUAGAAUUUAAGUAAUCUAAAUAUUUUUAAAUUUAAAUUUAUUACAAAAAUUAAUAUAAAAUAUAUGUUUAAUAUUUUAUUAUUUUAAACAAUAAAACAAGUUUUUUUAGACGAGCUAAACCAAAAAAAAGCUUAACUGCAAGACCUGACCAGGCCUAAUAAGAAGCUUCAAUCUUCUAUGGAUGACGACUCAACGGUUAGUAUUAUUGUGAAGGAUAUUAAGGCAAAAAGCAAUAGGUCUGAGAACUUAACUUUUCGAUUUGUACCGUGUCGAUUUAACAACUCCGCACAUGUGCUCGUUAGUAUAGGCUAGUCAUAUUCUUGUUCCACGGACUAGAUGGAGGAAACCUCGGUGGCUGUCGAAAACGCUGCGUGUUAAUAUCUAUGGUGAGUUUUCAAUAAAUUGAACAAGAACUAUAUUGAAUAUGAAGAGAAUGUAUUAAACAAGAAAGAACUCUUUUGUAUUUAGACUAUUAGCUUGAUAUGUAUAUUGCAAUCAUGGUAUUUAUAGAACAUAUGAUUAUCUGUUACUACUUAACAACUUAACUAUUUUGAAUAACAAACUAACAGUUAGGCUAGAUGAAUAACACUCUUAACAUUCACCUAUCUUCUCGACAGGUAAAACUCGGAGAAGAUCUCGAAAUCUAGCAAAAGACGAUAUAAAGAGUGGCUUGGUAAGAAUAUCAACAACCUGUUCACAGGCAGGAACGUCACCAACAAUAAUAGAUCCAUCUGCUACUUUCUCACGAACGAAAAAUAGAUCGAGCUCAAUAUGUUUGAAUUUCGAAUGUAAGACAGGAUUAGCAGCUACAACAACAACACUAGAAUUGUCACACCAAAUGGUAGGGGGAUCAAUAUUGUGAAGAUGUAACUCUUUUAGUAACGAAACUAACCAAGUAACAUCACUGGUAGCUGCAGUAAGACUCCGAUAUUCAGCCUCAGUCGUAGACCAUGAAACUGCCUAUUGUUUCUUGAAACACCAUGAGAUAGGUGUGUAACCAAAAUACACACAAAUAUCACAGGAUUCGUUUUGAAACAACCAUAUAAACAGUAGCGGGCGCAUGCAUGAACUGGCAAACACAAUUCACAGCAUUAGCAAUAUCAGGACGAGUCAAGACCACAUACUGUAAAGUACUUAGAAGACUUUUGUACUCAGUAGGGUCAUCAAGACAAUCUCCGUCAUUCUUGGACAAAGUAGACUAGCUAAUCAUUGGAGUAUGAACACUUUUUGCAUGAGUCAUAAAACUCCUAUCAAGUAAAUCGUGAAUGCACUUCCUCUGACAAAGAUGAAGGCACCCUGUGGAGGAACGAGUGACCUCAAUCCCUAAAAAAUAGUGUAGAUCUCUCAUAUCUUUAAGUGAGAAUUUGUCAUUUAACUGCUUAACAAAGCUAUUUAUACAAUCAGACAUACUGCCAGUAAUGAUAAUGUCAUCCACGUAGACAAGCACAUAAAGGAUGGAGUUAGUCGUAACUUUAACAAACAAAGAUGCAUUAGAUUUGGACAUAGUAAAGCCAACAGAAAGAAGAUAACACUUCAGUUUAUCAAACCAAGCACGCGGAGCUUGACGAAGCCCAUAUAAAGCUUUCUUCAGACGACAGACUAAAGGCCUGCCAGUUGAGCCAUAUUGAACAUACCCUGGAGGUUGUUGUAUGAAUACCUCGUCAACAAGAUCACCAUUCAAAAAUGCAUUAUUCACAUCUACCUGACGGAGUUGCCAUCACUAGAAACAACAACAGAUAAAAUGACACGAGUAGUAGCAGGUUUUAUCACGGACUGAACGUUUCUUUGAAAUCAUACCCAGGCACUUGAGAACACCCUUUAGCUACUAAGCGAGCCUUUCGACGGCCAAUUGUACCAUAAUGAUUUUUCUUAACUUUGAAAAACCAUUUACAUCCAAUUGCCUUAUGAUUAGAUGGUAAUUGAACAAGAUCGCAGGUGAAAUUAUUGAUGAGAGCAUCAUAUUCUGCCUGAGCCGCAGCUCGCCAUUCUAUGGUGGAAAGGCUUCUUCAACCAUGAGGUCUAAGAACUUCAACUGACAAUGCCUUAGGCUUAAAAAUGUCAGCCUUAGACCGAAUAACCAUCGGAUGAGUAUUUGCUGGAGGCAAAGAUGAUGACGAUGGAGAGAAAGAAGUAUUAGCAAUAGGUACAACAGCAGACGGAGUAUCAGCAUUAUUGUGUAAAGAAUGUGGCUUAUCUACCUCAACCUGAGGAUUGGUAGAGACAGAUGGCGAAAGGAAAAAACCAAGAGGUGAAGAUGAUACACGUGGUAGAACAGAUGAAGACUCCAAAUGCUGAGAAGGAACGUUGACUUAGUACCAGACGAAGCCAUGAAAUCCCUUGUAGCAGGUAAAGGAGCCAAGAACCUUUGUUCAUUAAACAUAACAUGACGAGAAAUAACAACCGUACCAUCCAGCAUAAGACAUUGAUAACCUUUGUGUUGGGAGCGAUAUCCCAAGAAUGUACAAGAUUGAGAAUGAAAAUCCAACUUAUGAGACAAAAAUGGUCGUAAGUACAGAAAACAACAACACCCAAAUACUGUCGAUGAUCAUACGUGGGAUCUUGUCCAUAAAGAGCCUUAUAAGGAGUCUGGCCAUGCAGAACUGAGGUAGGGAGACGAUUGAUGAGAUGAACAGCACAACAAAAUGCACAACGCUAAUAUUUCAUAGAAAGAUUCGCUUGAGCCAAAAGUGUAAUACCCAUUUCAACAAUAUGCGGAUGUUUGCGUUCAGCCGCCUCAUUCUGUUCAAAACUAUGUGGACAAGACAACCGAUGAACUAUCCCUUAAGUUGUUAGAAUAGACGUGAAAGUGCGAAAUUCGCCACCCCAAUCACUCUAAAAUUGUUUGGUAUUUUUCCCGUAUUGAGUUUUGACAAGCUGCUGAAACUGAGCAAAACAAUCGACUGCUUGAGACUUUUGGCGAAUAAGAUAAAUCCACGUAAAUCGAGUGCACAUCUCAACAAAGGACACAUAAUACCAAUUAUGACCACAUGCAACUGAUGCAGGCCCCCAUAGAUUAGAAACAACCAAAGCAAACGGUUCACUAUAGCUUCAUCCAGUCUGAGAGGUUGACUGGUUUCAAAAUAGGAACAGCUAUUCCGUGUCCACUAAAGUAGAAGAACAGGACAUCUCCUGGUCUAGCAGUGUGUACCAUUUCAUAAAGUGCAGCCUUGAUUUUUAUACCCGUAGGCAUAGCCAAUGAGUCUGGUAUAUAAUUGUCAAUCAAAGUUAAACCUUCUCAUAAUCAACCUUCUUAUGUUCUCCACAUCAUUUAUGCAUCCUUUCAGGUUGUAAGGGGUCUUUGGGUAAUUACAACCCACAAGAACAGCUUUCUUUUUAUGCACCAGCUUGUUAAUCAUGGGUAAGGCUAAGGGUGUUGGAAUGGUGGCCAGGAAAGCUGUACCGACAUUCUUAUCACUGCAAUAAAGGCAUAAGGGUGUUGCUCGUGAAAUCCAAGGCUGGUUAUUUCAUCCCUAGCAUUCAUCACAAGCUGUUUAUUAGUUAAUGUACCAUUGGUCUCGUUGAUAAUCUUUUGAAGUGAAUAUAUAAGGCCCCAUACGCCUUUCCUUGGGUUUUGUCACUCGGUUCCAAAUCAAGGGAUAGCUCAUCGGCUUGGCACCCACUCAAUAGAAUCCCCUCAUCCUCCGUUAAUGACCUUGGCUCCUGAGAGGGUUGGAAUUUUAAACUGACGUUGUCUCGAAAGAUUCCGGUCAAAAGAUGGCCAAUGUUGCUGACAAUAUCUAAUCCAGUGCUGAAGGCAACUGUUGUGCCCAAUACGUCUGAUGCGGCGUUUAUGACGUUGGCUGCUGGGCGUCAACAGAUGGCCUUGGUGUAUUGAUUCAAGUGAAAUUCCCCGCUUCUGGGUGUCAACAGAUUGUGCUAUACUCCUUAGAGUACUAUGGGGUCCAAUUUGUUCUUUCUCUUUGACAAUAAGACCACCGCUGUGGCACGAAUCUGAAACGAUUGUGAAGCUUGUUUCUUUUGGCAGCUGCUGAAUCAAGAGCCUGAUGUCCACAUCUGCACUGCCAUGUUUAAUUAUACUGAUUUAAAUUGCAAGAGCUAAAUAAGUUAGCUUAAUAAAUAUAUUUUAUAUUUAUAAAAAAAUGAUAUGAUUAAUAAAGGAAAAUAUGUAGUUGACGAGUUGUGAUCCCAUUUUGGAAUCAUGGAUUCAUGAUCAACAUUAAUAUAUUUUUUAAAAAUUUAAUUAUUAUUUUUUAAGAUUUAAAGUUGUAUUUAUAUUUUGACAUUUAAGGUUGAAUUUUCGAUUUGUUGAAUUUGGGUUUCGAAAACUAUGAAAUUGUGGGUUCAAACCCUACUAUGUGUACUAUAUUUCUAUUUUUUAUUCAUAAAAAGAAUAAAAAUGACAAAAAAAAUUUCUUUAAAUUAAUAUAAUUUACUUUAUAAAAUAAAAUUAUUGUGCAAAUUCCACUAUAAGACACCACUAAUUAGGAAGAAUAAAAAACCUACCAUAAAUGAGAUUGAGAUCACAAGGCACGAUCGCAUCAUCCUUCUGGCCUGGUUUCAUGUCUGCCUCAACUCCAUGUCCACUCAAGAGGAAUAAUAGGACAUCUCCUUCUUUAGCCUCUUUCACCAUUUUUGCAAGUCCAGCCAUAAUUUUAGGCACAUUUGAUAAGUUCGGUCUUGACCCGGCCCCAAAAAUUGGUCUAAAAUUUAACCUAAGCUCGACCUGAAUAAAAAUGCUAACACCUGAACCUAGCCCGACCUGCCCGUAUUAAAAAUUUUUACAUUAUUUUUUAAAAUAUAUAUAAAACACUCAAAACAUUCAAAUAAAUGUUUCCCAACAACUUGAAAAUAAAAUUUAAAAAGUAUUUAUACUUAAAUAACACUAGCAUAGGUGCAACUUAACUAAUAAAUAUUACUAAAAUAAUAACAAAAUUAACAAUAAAAUAAGAGUUAUAUAAUAUCCAAACAAUAAUAGCAAAAAUGUAGUAACAUAAUAGUGAAAUGACAGGAAAACAGUGAGAAAACAACAUAUUUUUUUUUCUUUUUGUAAAUUCGGGUUGGGCUGGGAAAAAAAACCUUACUUGAGGCCCUUAUCUAAGCCCAUUUUCGGGUCUAUAUUUUUGUUCAAUCCCUCCCACUUUUUGAGAGUCCAGCUUGAUCCAUGGACAUGUCUAUUUUUACAAGGUUACACCAAAACAGACUUUUAGCGGUGCUUGGACAAAAAAUGCCGAUAAAAAUCAAGCAUUAGCGGCACUUUAUGGAAAUCGGCACUAAAGAUCUAGCAUUGGCGGUGUUUUUCAGAAAAAUGUCACAAAAAACCGAAGCCCAACGACGUUGUUUUCUUACCUUUUUGGGCUUUAGCGGCGUUUUUGAAAAAGCGCUGCUAAUGCUCGGGAUUUAGUGGCGUUUUUGAAAUGCGCCGCUAAUGCUCGAGGUUUUAGCGACGUUUUUGAAAAAGCGCAGCUAAAAAUAUUUUAUCUUAAUUGGUUUAUUUAUAUUAAUUAAAUAAAAUUCAAUUUAUUUCUAAUUGAAUAUUUAAAAUCUUCAGAAAAAAUAAUGACAAGUAGAAAUAAUUUGAAAUAAAACACAUGGAAAAAAAUUUUAAAGUUUUUUUGGGUACAUGAUUACUGAUUGUUUUUUAAUUUAUAUAUUAAAAAAUUUCUUAUAUAAUCGUAAUCGUAAAAGAGAUAGUAUUAAUUUUAAAAUAUUGAAUUAAUUAUCACUAUAGUUUAGGGUUUUUGGUUUAGGGCAUAUGAUUUAUUUAAGAUUUAAGGCCGGUUUAAGAGUUACUAUUUUAAGGUUUAGGGAGUAUGGAUUUAGGGAUUAUGGAUUAUGGUUUAAGGGUUGAGAUUUAAGAUUUAAGGGUUAGGGGUUAGGGGUUAAGAGUUAGGGAUUUAGGGGUCGGGUUAGGGUUUUGGGUUUAGAUUAAUUAUUUUUUUAAUUUAUAUUUUAAAGAUGUUCUUAUAUAAUUAUAAAAGAGAUAAUAAUAAAUUAAAUAUAUUGAAAUUAUGAGUAUAGUUUAAAUUAUUUAAGAGAUAUAUAAUAGAUAGACUUUAUAUGUAUUGAAUAAUUAAUUUAGGGUUUAAGGUUAAUGUUUACUUGAGAUUUGUUAAAUUAUAAAAUUUUAUACAAUUAAUUAAUGCUUUUAUAUUUAAAAAAGUUUAAUCUAAACCAUUUGAUAUAUUUAAAUAUUAAUUUAAAUAGAAUUAAUAAAUAAGUUAAAAAAAUAAUAGAUUGAUAUGGAUAUUUAGGUAUUAUUAUUUAUUGUAGAGAUGACCAAAUUACAAAAUAUAAAAUUAAAAUACAAAAAUAAAAUGAUUUUUAUUCAAAAUAAAAUAAUUUUUUACAACAUUUUUAUAAAAACGCCGUAAAAGAUAAAUAAUAACGACGUUUUACUCCAAAUUUUACUUUAAAAAAUCGCGCAUUUUACCCAAAUUCCCCCCUUUAAACUUCCUGUGGCGGACAAUAUUUUCUCAGUUGCCACUCUCUAACAAACACUCUGCACUCCCAUGGCUGAUGAGACACCACAGGCCACUCCACAGCCUCUCACUCCCUUCUCCGCUGUGGUGCCCACCCCUUUCAUCGCCGUAAAAAAAAAGUUAAAAACAACAGAAUGAUGGAAUAACUAAAUCCAAAUCCCAACUUUUCUAUGUUCUUAUAGAAAAUAUUUGAUUCUCCCUCCAUCUUACAAACUUUUUAGUUCCCUUCCCAUUACAAAUCAGUUUUCCAUUCCAAACCCUAACAAAUGGCACCUUUGGACCCUCACUCCUUCACUGACUCUCCCCACCCUUUAACCACCGACAUCUCCCUUUCCCCUUUAUUAGACUUCUCUUCUGCCACCAUCUACGGCGUCGCUUUCUUCAUCCUCAAAUCCCCUCAUGUAGGUCAACUUUCUUUUGAUACCCGUUCCCUUUCCAUUCACUAAGUCCUUCCUCCUAUUACCCUUUCCCCUCUCCCUUUCUCUCUUUCCUCUUCACCUGACCCUAUCAAAGGAAACCAGCUUUCCAUCUCGCUACCAGACGAUGACGUUUUGAACUCCUUCUUCAUCGUUUUCUCUACUUCCCCUUCUUCUUCUGCUCUCCAAUGGCUAUCCCCGCUGCAAACGUUUAACAAAAAAACACCCUUUUGUUUAUACCCAAUGCCAGUGUAUCCACGCGCGUUCCAUUUUCCCAUGUCAAGACACUCCCGCGGCGAGAAUUCGUUGCUCUGCUUUGCUCAAUGUAUCUCAGAAGUUAUCCGCCGUUAUGUCCGCCCGCCAUGUCGAUAGGAGGUCACCGGUUUCUGGUGAAGGACAUUCGCAUUUGCUGCCUGACGGGUUUAAUUCGUUGUGGUUCUUCUGCCUUUUUGCGCCUCUCCCUUUUUUUUUGGCUUUCUUGGUUCUCAGUUUCUCAAUUCUAUCCACAGUUGUAUGGGGAAACCAAAGCACUACCGACCGCCGGCAAGUUCUUUCGAACUUUAUUGCUUUCAAAUUGGCGAUUUAAAUUUUAAAAGUUGACUUAUUGUAAGGACUUUUUUCUCAUAAUUUAUGGUGAAAUUUUACAGGGAAAGAAAAAGGAAGGAAAUGCUGCGAGAUAUGUGACGAGGUCACAAGCUAUUAAAAUCCUUCAAGUUAGCCUUUCAGAUUUCAGGUUCAUCUCUUCUUUCUCACUUUUAUUAAUUUUUAUUAUAAUUUAAGCUUCCUUUAUUUGCCUUCUUUUGUCAUUUUUUUUCAUGUUGUUUUUAGCUUCGAAGAUUAAUUAGCUAAGAAUUUGAAACUAUUGAGCUUCGUUAAGCUGAGAUUAGUUCAUCAAGUAGCAGUUAGUUGCUACUUUUGCUCACUGAAGCAAAGAGAAGAAGUGUGUGUGGAAAAUAUUCUUAUUGCUAGCUUUUUACUUCAGCAUGAGUUUAUGACUAUGUUCAUUUUAUGUUAUAUUUUAAAGCUAUUUGUUUUUUUUAUUUGAUAUGAUUUUGCUAUUAUUAUUAUUAUCAUAAAAAAUCGAGGAUUUUAAUAAGAAAACAUAAAAAAAGCCUCAACCAAAUGAAACGCGUAUUGAUGGGGUUUGUUAUUUUUUAUUAAAUAUGGUUGGCUUCCUUUUGCUUUAAUGGAUUUAAUACUGCAGGAAACUAUGCAUCCACAAAGGAGUAUUUCCGAGAGAGCCAAAAAAGAAAGUGAAAGGAAAUCAUCAUACUUACUAUCACUUGAAGGAUGUCAUGUACAUUCUUCAUGAUCCAUUACUUGAGAAGUUUAGAGAAAUAAGGGCAUAUCAAAGGAAGAUAAAGAAAGCUAAGGCUAAAAAGAAUGAUGAGUUAGCAAAGCUUCUUAUAUCUCGUGCACCUUCUUACAGACUUGAUAUGGUCAUCCGUGAUAGGUUUGUGAAACAAUCUUUGUAUGUUUUAUUUCCUCUCGUUGCUAGUUGUAUGAAUUCUGUAAAACUUUUAUAGUAAAACUUUUGUAGUAAGCAGCAACAUAACUAAAUCACCAUAUGCUGAUAAUGAGAAGAUUUAUUGUUCCUAUUCCCUUGGCUCCAAUUUUUUUGGUUCAAAACUUGAUGUCUAAGUGCAUGCUUGAGUAUUUGGCAAUCAAUCCUGUGAAAUAGUUUCUAGUUAAGGUGGCAUAGAAGCAUAUAGUCCAGGCAUAAUCUGUUCUUAAAAUUUAUGAUUGUUUUUUGGUUUCUCCUCUCCACAAACUGUCUAAUGUAUUUGGCAGAAUGAGAUGAUGCUAUUUAUGCCUAUACAUGCAUUUCUCUCUGUGGAUGGGUAACCUAUAUCUUUGAUUUGAGGCAUAGUUUGAUGACAGCAUAACUUAUUGCUGAAGUUAUACAGCCACGUUGUUUGCAUGCUGAUGACCAGUUCUGACAUUUAAGAUUUCAGAAUUGAGAUGGAUUUCCAGCCUGGAGGAUGUAUAGAGCCUGGAGAAGGUUAUGAUAAAUACUGUGCUUAUUAUUGCACUUAUAUUAAAUAUUGUACCCUUCUUUGCGAAAUUGUUGUCUUUUGAAAUAUCUUUAAGAUUAAGGAACUAUACUAAAUGCGGUCACAAAACUUAUGGAGGGCAGUUAUACUUUUUGCUUUCAUUAAUGAAUAGCUUUCUUGUCUUUAUCUGCCCUUAUCAAAUAAGAUUUUAUUAGUUAAGGGAUGUUUUCUGGAUCAGCCUUCAAUUGAUACUGUAAACAAUUUUCUUAUGUAAUUCUAAUAUAGAAUGUAUCUUGUUUUAAUAGCUCUAAUGCAUGGCUAUAAGGAGUCAUUAGCAUUUUUAUUAAGUUGUUUGGAUUUGCAGGGGAAAAAUGAAUUGCAAGUUUAUUUCAGCUUCUCAGUAACUUACCUUGUUUGCCCUAAAAAGUUGUGGUAUUUAAUACAACAAAAGUUAGUAUUAAAUAUCCAUAUACUUUUAGCUACAGUUUUUGAAUAUGCAAAAAAUGCAUCGAUAAUAAUGAAAUAAGAUGGAUGAAUAGAUAAUAUGGAUUAUUGCUUGCAACUUCCUUUCUUUUUUUUCUUUUUUUUGGAAAUAUGCAACUUCCUUUCUUGGUUGUCUUUAGUUGGCAAUAAAGUUUGCUUUAUUUAUAUUGCAAUGUUAAUUACUCUUUUAUCUCAAACCUACUUCAUUGCUCAGAGAAUGCAUAUUCUUCUACAUCUGACAUGAUGGCCUUUUUAUCAUUACAUGUUAAGCCUUUUCUACAUCUGACAUGAUGGCACAUGUAGGGAGAUUGAAAAUGAGUAUUUAGGUCUGAGAAAUGGCAUACUGGAUCAAUCAGCCAUACUGCUUUCAAGCCAUGGUUGUCUAACUUGCAUGAACUGCAAAGUAAGUCAAACUUUUUGUAGUAAUUUCAGGAAUAACAUAUCCUUCUUUGUUUUGAAGUGUUCGAUCUAUUUUUGUUAGCUUGGCACUGCUUAUGCUUAAUUUAGUCUUCAUACAAUUGCUAUAAUUGGUUAUCAGCCAGAUUUAUGAUUGUUUUCCACUGACUCAUUUAUGAUUGUUUUCUAUUUUUAUUGAUUUAUGUAAUCAAUCUCAAUUUUGCUUUUUGCAAAUUAAUACUAUUGUUCCUUGUUAAAAAAUUGAAUAGUUUAGACAAUCAUUAGAAAGAAUGCCUAUUUAUAACACAUGGAAGUGCUAUGAUUGAGAUUGUUUGUUAGUAUGGUUCAACCUGCUACUAAAGUUGUACAUAAUUGUUUGUUAUAUAAUUUUUAUUUUUAACAUCUCUGUUGUUUACCAAGUUUGUUGGUUUAUCUGAUCAUUUGGUUUUGCAUCCUUUAGAUAUUGAAGGUGUUGUAGAGGAUUCAAUCUCUUCAAGCUAGAAAAGCCAAGGCUUAGCACUUCUUCAAGUGGUGGUCGUUUAUCUUAGUCGGAACUUAAAUUUGGUGUUAUUGAAACAGGGUUUUGUAGCUACCUUGUGUACUAGCUUCUUUAACCAUGAUUGUUAAUUAUUACGUGUUUUGUAGCUUCUUUUAUAUUUGGCCGAGUUAAUAUAGAUCAGAUGAGCUGUGAGGUAGAUUGCUCAUUUAUUUAAACAUAAUAUUUUAAUUCUAAAUUUAAAUUCAUUAAUUUUUAUAUUUAGCUUUAAAGUUCAAAUUUUAAUAGUAAUUUUAAUUUAAUAAAAUUUUUUAUCCUAUAUAGUUUAAAGUUUAAAUUUCAAAAAUAAAAUAAAAUAAAAUAUUUAUCAUAGAAAUAAAUAUUAUUUAAUUAAAAUAUAUUUUUAAAAGUCAUGUUUUUAGUGGCGUUUGUGAAAAAACGUCGUUAAAAGUUAUUCUUUAUAGUGGUAGAAGUGUCAUUAAAUGUCAUGAUUUUUAGCGGUGUUUGUGGUAGAAGUGUCACUAAAGGUCAUGAUCUUUAGCGACGUUUGUGAUAAAAGCGUCGCUAAAGAUCAUGAUCUUUAGCGGUGUCUAUGGUAGAAGAGUCACUAAAGGUCAUGAUCUUUAGCGGCAUUUUUUCACAUAAAUGCCGCUAAAAUUAGCGACGUUGUCUAUAGAGGAACUUUUUGCGGCCUUUGUUAAAGCGCCGCUAAUACUUUUAGCGGCGUUCUAAAAGCCUAAAAAAGUGCCGCUAAAGUCUAUUUUGCUGUAGUGAUUGAUAGUUAAAUUUGAUUUUUUUUAAAGAUUAAAAGACGAAAUUUAACUAAAAAGGACCAAAUUAAUAAAUGAUAUAAUGAUUGCCUAUUUUUAUUUGCUUCUUUUGGUGUUCAAGAAUAAUACAUAUUAUACAUAUACAUGGAUAGAGCAAAUCACGUGCACCAUUCAAAAAAUUGGGUUUACAUGUACUAUUAGUUAAUUAGAUGACUCACUUCAAUAAAAAAUAAAAUUAUUUGGUUCAUAAAAAAAUGUAUUUUUUUAAAACUAGAAGUUACAAUAUUAACGAAACAUUACAUUCAUUCUUUACUCAAUAAUUAAUUAAAAUAUUAAAUUAAUAAUCAAAAUAUAUCUAAAUUCGUAAUAGAAUGUUUCAUACAUAAGUUACUCAAUCACUAUAUUGCAUUGUUUAAUCGUCCAAACAAGUUUUAACUUUCGUUGUAACAACUCAAAAGAAUAAUUACAAACGAAUGUAUUUUUAGACUAAAAUGUAGAACUAAGGCUUAGUUUAGAUGAGCAGUGCAUUUACCUAUAGUUAGUGUAAAAACAACGGUGAUGGUGAGAUUAGAUACUGUAACGAUAUUGUAAUGUGAGACAAAAAUAAACUAAACGCAUCGUGUACAAGCCCAAUUUAUGCCCGAGGCCCCAAAACCAAACCUAAACCCAAAACCCUUACCCAUUAACUCGAACCAAGCCUAAUACCCCAAAUUAGGCCCAAACCCGAAACCCAACUAGUCAGACUAGGGUUUCAGAUACUGAAACCCUAGCACCACUUUUCUCACCUCAGCUCUCUGCCCUCCUGGCCGUAACCUACUUCUUUUGCUCUUCUGCCGUCGCCGCACCCUAGCCUCCAGACCUGGCGCCGUCCAUCAAUCUCCUGCAAAGAAGAAAAUCACGCAAAGAACUGUGGCAAACAGAGAAAAAGAAAAAGAAAACUAAAAUUGUAACAACCCGGUUUGACUCUAAUCGGAAUAGUGGUUUCGGGACCACACAUCCGAGUCUGAAAAAUAUUUUAGUAUUUUAUUUGGUGUUUAUUAUGUGUGAAUUUGCAUGUGUGAAAGUUUCAUGAAUUAAUAUUAUGGUUUGAGUGCUUAAUUAAAGAAAAAUGACUUAAUCGUGUAAAAAAAAUAAAAAGGCUAGUUAAUGUGUAAAGUUUUAAAUUGCUAAUGUCUUUUUAAUAUGGAGUCCUUAAUAGGUUAUUAGCCCACUAUUAAGUAAGUGGGUGGUAUUGGUCAAGAAUGACCCUGUUUUAUAAGGUAUAUAAAUUUAUAAACAAAGGUUAAAUAAGUAAACUAGUAAUAUGUUAAUAUAUGUUAAAUUAUAUCAAAAUAUAAUUCAUUAUUCUUCAUCUCCUUAUGACCGAAACUAAAGAAAACAAAAAGAGAAAAACAUAAGCUAGGUUCGGCCAAUUUACAAGCUUAAUUCAAGGUUAGUUUUGUUUUGAUUUUUAAUAAUUUUUACGUUUUUGAGAUCGUUGCUUUGUGUUCUUCAAAACCCAUGUUUUAAUUUUGUGAAUUGUUGAUGAUUUUGAAAUGUGCCAUUGAUGAAUGCUUGGACUUUUUGAUAGUUGAUGAUGAAAAAUGAAAGAUAUGUGAUAGAUUGAUAUGUUUUGUAUUGGAAUUUUUAGUGAAAUUGGGUAAAUAGGGCUAAAUUGUGAAAUUAAAUUUUUGGGGGACUAAAAUGUGAAAUAAAUGCAAUGUGUGGACUUGUAUGAGAACCAUGAAUAUUCGGCCCUUGUGUGGUAUGGGAAAAUUUUGUGUAAAUUGUGUUUUAUGCAAUAGGGAGUAAAUUGCAAAAAAGUAUAAAUAUUAGGGGCAAAAUAGUAAUUUUCCAAAUUAUGUGUUUUUGGACUAAAUUGAAUGUGUUAAUAAAUAAAUUAUCUUAUUUUUAAUAUAUUUAGAUCGAGAACCAAAGAAAUCGGAGUUAGAUCGGGGAAAAGCCAAAUUAGUCGAAUAAUCGUCCGACUUCGAUUUUCCAUCGUCCGAGGUAAGUCUAUUAGCAAUUAAAAGUUAUUAAGUUAACAUUUAUACAUGUAUACUAAUUGUAUUUUAUGUUGAGCUAUAAUUAAAAGUAUAUUGAUUGAAUAAAUUUUGAAGUAUGGAUGAUAUUUACAUAUAUAGCAUGUUCGAAUAUACAAGUAUAAUCUUGUAUAGAUUUAUGGUUUGAAAUAAAGGUAAGAAAUGUAUAAGAGUAUAGUUGAUAUUCGAAUAAGCAUGUAUAUAUAUAUAUGUAUAUAUAUAAUGCUAGAAUAUAUAUAUAUAAGUUAUUGAAAUUAGUUAAAGUAUGAAUGUUGCAUAGGUAUAAAUUCUUGAUUUUAAUUAAAGGAAUGUAUAAUAUAUAUAUAUAUGGUGCGAAUAUAUAUAUGUAGGUAUAUAUAUGUAUAAACACUUGGAUUUAUUUAAAGUUAUGUAACCCAUGAUUGUAUGAGAAGUUUUGAAUAGAUAUGUAUAUGUGAAUUGUAAUUUAUAUGUAUAUGCUAUAUUUGAAUAAGCAUGCUUACAUAUAUGUAUAUGUUCUUGUAAUGGAUUUUAAGUAUGAGUGUUAUAUAUAUAUGCAUAAAUGAAGUUCGAAUAUGUACAUAUAUAUAUAUAUAUAUAUAUAUAUAUAAAUGUACAUCUAUUGUAUAUUUGACGAGCUAAAAUUAAAAGUAUAUGUAUUGAAAAUUAGUUGAGUAUGAAUGUUAUAUAUAUGCAUAUGUGUGAGGUUCGAAUAUAUAGUUAAGUAUAUAUAUAUGUACAGGUAUAAUUUCUUGUAUUGAAAUUAGGUAUGGAAUUAUAUAUUGAUAUACAUGGUUGAAUGUAUAUGUAUAUAUAUGUUUAAGAUUUGCAUUGAAAUUAAAGUAUAAAUUUUAAAUGCUUGUAUGAUUCGAACAUGGACUACAAAUUUUCUUGGGAUAGAGUUGAGAUUGUGAAUUUUUUUUCAGACUUUAAGUCUAGCAGGCUAAUUGCCGGUGAUCUGAAUCAGGUUAUAAACCUAGCAGGCUACGUGCCGGUGAUCUGAAUCAGGUUAUAAACCUAGCAGGCUACGUGCCGGUGAUCUGAAUCAGGUUAUAAACCUAGCAGGCUACGUGCCGGUGAUCUGAAUCAGGCUAUAAGCCUAGCAGGCUAUGUGCCGUUGAAUCGGUUUAAUUAAGUGAUUGUAUACAUUGAAUAUAUAUGUAUAUGAUUUGGUUAUUUGUAUUGGAUUAAUAUAUGAACAUCUGUUGCUAUGUUUUUGAUGAGCAUAUAAAAGCUCGAAUCUUUGUGUCUGGUGAGUAUUAGAGGUGUUCAUGGGCCGGGCCCAUAGAAAAUUUUCACCCGCAUACUAGGCCCGGGCCUGACCCGGCCCGAAAUAUGAGCCUGAAAUUUUGUCUAGGCUCGGCCCGGGAAAAAAUUCUUAGGCCCAAGCCCGGCCCGACCCGUUUUUUUAAAAAUAAACACCAUUUUUAAAAAAAAAUUAAAAAAAGUAUUUUAAAAAUAUAAAAAAUAUUUUUUAUUAUAUAUUCGGGCCGGGCCCGGGCCAAAAAAGUCUUGCCGGAGGCCCGGCCCGUUUUUUAAAUGAGCCUCGUUUUUUUGCCCAAACCCAUAUUUCGGGCCUAUAUUUUUACCUGAACCCUCCCAUAUUUCGGGCGGGCCGUCGGGCCAGGCCGGGCCGCCCGGCCCAUGAACACCUCUAGUGAGUAUAUAUAUAUCUAUGCGUUUGGCAUAUGUGAACUAAAGUAUAUAUAUAUGUGCAUUCGGCACAUGUGGUUGAUAAGUAUAUUUGGAAUUUAUAUAUAUGAUUAAUGAUUAUGUAUAUAACUUGAUUUUUAAGUAUAUAAUGAUAAUACAUAUGAUCGUUUAUAUAUAUUUUGGAUAUGCUAUAAACUUACUGAGCUAUAGAAGCUUACUUUGAUUGUUUUUGUUUAUUUGUUUAUAGAUUUUGGAGACGCGUUACGAGCUCGGGGAUCAUCAGCAUAGUCCAUCACACUAUCGACUUCUUUUGGUAUUUUGUUAACAGUUUGAACUUGAUCUUAUGGCAUGUAUAGGUUUGAGUAUGAUUUUGGUUAGAUUUGGAUUGAAUAAUAUAAUUAGCCAUGUGAAUAUGGUUUAAUUUCUACUUUUGUGAUCAAUUUGGUUUUUUUUUUAAAAAUGGUUGUGUUUGUUCUGUAAUGCCUCGUAACCCUAAUUCGACGACGGAUAUGGGUUAGGGGUGUUACAAAAAUAGCAUGUAAAAUUGGCUAUAAAGCCAAGUAUCAUCUCUGUAAUAGGGGUUCCCCACCCUUUUCUUCACGAUUUCAAGAAAUAAAAAGAAAAAAAAAAGGGAUUCAAGGAUUCUUUUCUUCUUUUCGGCAUAAGAUCUAUUUUUCUUUUUUUAUUUAUUUUUAUUUUUCUCUUUAUUUUCCUUCCUUUUGAAAUUGUUUAUAUACAUACAUAUAUUUCUUUAGUUUUCUUUUUUAACUAUUUAUACACAUAUAUAUUGAAAAAAAGUUUAAAAAAGAGAGAGAAACUUACCUUCCUUUGGAUCGCCUGAAAGAGAGGGAUUUUCGACCUUCCGGCCGCCGCAUACGGCAGCGCCGGUGCCGGCACAGAUGGCCGUCGCGACGGUGAUUGGCCGAAUUUUGGCCGGACCCUGGCCGGAAAGGGAGAGAGGGGAGAGAGCUGUUGAAAGGUUUUUGGAGUUUUUUUUUUAAAAAGAAGGUUAAAAAUGAAUUUUUUGUCUGAUUUUUAGCUUAUAUAGGCCCAUUAAACGGCGUCGUUUUGGGCUUAAACAUCAAUGGCCAAAACGGCGCUGUUUUGCCUUAGACCAGCGCGCGACCCGACCCUCUCCAGGGAGGAUCAACGCGUUUUCGCAGAAUGGGUUAUUUGCAACCCUGGUCCUUUUGCGUUUAUGCUUCUUUUAAUUUACUCCCUUUUUGUUCAUUUUUGUUUUUUUUAAAUUUGGCCCCAGAAUUUUGUUUGGUUCUCGAUUAGGUCCCUGACCCACCAACGCGCUGAAAAUGGACAUGUGGCCUGGAAUUUGGGUUUAUUACCCAUUCGGCACUCCUCCCUUUCACGCUUUUCAGUUUGGUCCUUCUGUAUUUAUUUUUAUUUCUGUUUUGACCUUUAAAUUUUAUUUUUAUCCCUAAUUAGUCCAUCUUUGUUUAUUUUGUUAUAUUAUUAAUUAAUCUACUUAUUAUCUUAUUUAUAUUUUCUUUUUAUAUUUAUCUAUUCAUUAUUAUAUUAUAUUAUUAGUUUUGUAUUAUUAUUAUAAUCAUUAUCAUUAUCAUUAUUAUUAUUAUUUACUCAUUUAUACCUUUAGUUCAAAAUUAUACAUUUUUCUAAUAUAUAUGUAUAUACAUAUUUAUACAUAUUCUUUAUAUUUUAAAAUCUAUUUCUUCUUAUGUACUUUCUAUAUUUUAUAAUACAUAUAUAAAUAUAUUUUUAAUAUAUAUAUAUAUAUCAAUAUACAUUUUUAAUUUUUAUAAAUACACAUAUAUAUGCCUACAAUUACGCUUUUAUAUAUAUUACAAUUUAUAUACGUAUAUAUAUAUAUUUAUAUAUAUAUCCACAUACAUAUUUUAUACUUCAUAAUUUUAAUACACAUAUAUAACUUUAUAUUUUUAUAAAUUUUAUUCAUCUCUUUUAUUUAUUUAUUUAUUUAUUUUUCAUUAUUUUAAAAGAACAUUUUAACUUUACUUGCUUAUUAUAUUUGUUUUCGCAUGUUAUUAAUUUGUCCUUUUUUAUAUUCAUUCAUUUUUAUUGCUCCUAUUUUUAUACUAUUAUAUUCAAUAUCGCUUUGUAUGUGUAAUUAACCUCGUGUUUCAUUUCUACUAUUUCAAGUUAGAUUAAUUUAUCUCGACGCACAAGUUUCAACUUUCAAAUAAGCAAAAUUUCAUAUUUAGAUUUGAGAGGAUUGAGUCCUACCAUUAGGUUCCAAUUUUCUUCAUUGAAUCUAAAUAAUGGAGAAUGCUCUUUGAUAAAAAAAAACAUAAAUAGAAAGCUCAUUAUCGGGAAUUUAAUAUGUUGUAUCCUAAUACAUUGGAUAUGACACGUUUUCUCGAGACGAGGAUUUUUCUAAAAAAUAAUAAAGGCAAUAUUCAAUGUUUAGAAUUUUGAGAAAUUGUACCCUAACGUAUUGGGUUGCGAUUUUUUCAUCUAACUUAAACAAUUAGAUAUCCUUUUAAAUUUCAUUGCACAAGUUUUUUUGGACAAGCUCAUUUUUGAGGAAGUAAAAUAUCAUGCCCUAACUCAUUAGGUGUGACAUUUUCUCUCUUCGAAAUGAGAGGCUCUUAAUGGGUAAUUUGAUUUAUACAUUUCAAUAAAGGAUCGUACUUUAAAUCUCCGUAAAGUUUCUAAUUCUCGACACUAAGACACUAAAUAAUCAACUAGGUACCAAUUUUGGGCGUUACGAGGGUGCUAAUCCUUCCUUAUACGUAACCGACUCUUGAACCUAUUUUUUCUGAAUUUCGUGGACCAAAAUCGCUGUUUUAAUAAAAUCAAAUCGUUUAUUAAAAACAACCACUUCUCGAGGUGAUCCGAUCACACCUCAUCAAAAAGGAUUGGUGGGGACUCCCACUUUCGUUUUCAUUUUUUAAAUCCAAGUUGACCCCGUUUUAUCAAAAAAAUAGUGUUAACACACCGUACCACACUCAACCACCCAUCCAAACCUCACCUAAAAGUUGCUAGAGUUUCCUUCCUACCAUUAAACCAAUGUAUCAUCAACUAUUUGUACUUAUGUUUAAACACUUUAAUGGAGUUGCAUGAAAUGCAUGAUUGACUACGUGUAAAUUUAUACACAAAAAAAAACAAUAAUUUGAAAAGCUUUCCAUAGUACAAUUUUGAUAUAUUUGGCCUCUAAUAAGAAAUCAACAUAUGGAGUGGGUGAUUAAUCCGAAUCGGGGUGAGGACAGGUGUUGUGAUGGACAAAGCGUAAGACAAGGUGGUUCUCGACAGAAGCAAGAAAGCUCUGACAAAAGACAGCUAGGUAUUCCUUUUGCAGACAAAUUAAGAAGACAAAAGAUAGAAAAUAUAGGGUGGUGGUCGAAGAUAAAUGAUUAUAACAGCACUGAUAUGAUCUGCUUCGCCUUCGUCCACCACCUCAUCUUUAUGUUUAUAUCUUGGUCGUGACUCACGUUGGCCUUCGUCUGCAAGUGCUGUCGGUCCUACUAUUGUGCUUGUGUUUCCUAGCUUUGAUUUCUAUGUAUUAGGGUCUGGGGUGAAGUUAGAAAAAUAUUUUUAAGAAUUGAAGUUAAAUUAUAUAUUUUUAUAAGAGUUAAAAUGUAAUUUCAUAAUUAUAUUAGUUUAUGUUUUUAUAGUUUUUAGAGGUCUUAAAUUAAAAUCUUAUCAUUUUUUUUUGGAUAAAUUGUGAUUUUACAAUGUUUAACUUAUAAUUUUAUAGAUUUUAGAAAGGCCCAAAUAACAAUUUUUCAUUUUAGUGGUCUAAAAAGUAAUUUUCAUUUUAAGGAGGCCACUCCCCUUGCUCCAGUCACCGCCUUUACGACGAGAUUAAUUAUAGUGAGAUUGAAAAUAGAUGUGAUAGUGAGAUUAACUAUUAUGGUGAUGAGAAUAAAAUCACUGGUGAGACGUGUCUUAGGAUUUAAACAUAUAGAUUGUAGAUUUAUAGUAAGAGAGCAAAAUGACCAUUAUGAACAUUAAACUAAAAUUAAACUAAAUUAGUUUGCACCCUUCCGUAUCUUUUUUAUAAUUAAUAUUUUAACGAUAAAAACAUUAUAUUUCAUAUUUCAUUUAUAUAAAUUAUGCAUGUCAAAUUUGACGUAAAUUAAAAAUUUCUAACUAUUUGUUUUAUGUAAAAAUACUUUUAACUGUUUAAUAAAUGUUAAUAUAUACAAUAUUUUAGAUCGAUAAGAUAGAAAUAUCAAAUCAAUUUGAAAAUUUGCAUGCAUGAAUCAUACAAUAAUUUUGAUAAAUUCAAUGGUUGGAUUGUUAAAUUAAUAAUCAUAUAAAAAUAUAUGGAAGGAUGUAAAAUUACUUUAGUUUCACACUAGUGUAAGCGGAUCUCUCCCAUUUUAAUAUAUAAAGUUAAUUAUAUAAUUUAAAAUUAUGUAAUUAAUAUUAUUUAUAAAUAUAAGUAUAAAUAUAUUUCUUUAUAUGCCUAACUAAUGUAAAGAAAAUCCACAAAGAAGCUAUUUGUUGAGGGGAGGUCGGACUCUCUUUUGGGAGAAGUCUUCUAAGUGUCAUCUAUUUGGGAGUUGAUGGACCCCUCAAUAAGAGGUAUUUUUCUCGUGUUGGGGUUUCUUCCCUGGCCUUCACAAAGAGCAGCUAUACGAUUCUCAAAAGGGGGCUCGAUUGGUGGAGAUAGGUACAAUGGCUCUUUGCGAAGGUUGAGGGAAAAACCUUGACACGAUGACAAUACAUUUUGUUGAGGAUUCUGUUGACUCUCAAGCGGGCAAUACUUCGAAGACUUCUCCUAAGAGAAAAUCUAACCUCCCCUCAACACUAUUCACAUACACUUAUCCCAAACCAACAACCAAAUAUCACUACAACCACAAUCAAUCAUACAAAAAUGCCAAAUAAUCCCAAAUAAAAGAAGGAAGAAAGUCUCCUAUGUUAGCAUCCUCAAAUAGGACUUAUAGAAUUAAAAAAAAAAGAAUGAAAAUAUAUAAUAAAAAAAAUGAGACAUAAACGUACUGGAUUCAGUUAGGAGUUAGUCGGAGAGUUUUGGGCGUGGAGGCUCAAACAAAAGGUCGAGGAGAAAGUCUUAUUAAGAAGAUGAACAUAUUGGACUCAAGUGACCAUCCGAUGAUGGCAAACAAAGAUCAAAUAGCUUCCUUGUUAGAUUUUUAAGUUUGAAUCAACGAAGUUUCAGGCCAUUUUAAGGAAAAUUAAAUCAUAAAGUUGAAAGAGGAAGGAUAGAGCUAUACUUUUAUGUGUUUCUUUGGUAAAGGAGGAGGUUGGACAAUGGUGAGAUUGCUGGAAUACAAUAGUGAAAGAGGUUCCUAAAACUCUAAAACUUUUGAAUAGUUUAGUGACCAACUUAUAACUCUUCUGAAAUUAAGUGACCAAAGUGUAAACUUAUUAAUAUUUAAGUGACCUUGGGUGUAGUUUACCCCAUGAUGAAUAGUGAGUUAACGAUCAUGUCAGACAAACAUUAGCAACCUAAUGGUUCAAUGACUUAAAUGAUAGAUUUUGAAUAGUUAAAUGACUAAUUUAUAACUUUUUAAAUUACUAAUAGCCGAGUAAACUUGAAUGUAAUUUACCCUCUCUUGUUUGACUUAAAAAAUCAAAUACAAGAUGGACUUUUCCAUAAUAGGCCGACACCAACAAUGUGGAAAUAGCACGGUCCAUACCUAUAAUUGUUGAUAUCGAAGGAAGAAGACUUCAAUGACUAAAUGACAUGAAUAUAAUGUAGAAAAAGUUAUGGAAGAAAGAGUCCACGAACCCCCUUCUUUUUUGCCUCUAGAUUUGUAAGUUUGUGAAGAAAAACUAGUGAUAGUCUUUUUGUCCCUAUAUCUAGUAAACUACCCAUAAAAAUUAUCUCUUGAGUAGAAAGGGAUGACUUGGGAAAAAUUAAACAAAAUUUAUAAUUUUUUGGGAUAAAUUUUAAAAUUAUAUAAACAUUUAUUUAACGUGUAAUUUAAUACGUAAAUUUUAAUUUUAUGUAAUUAUAUAUACGAUCCCUUGUAAAAUGAGAAUUCAGAUGAAUUUAUGAAUUUACGUAUCAAAUUCAUUUUGGGGCUGGAAGCGCCCUUGUAAAUUUUACUUUUGCUCUUAAAAAAUGAUAAAAUUUUAAUUAAUCUUUUAAAAAUUAAAAAAAAGAUAUAAUUUAUUAAAAUGAUAAGAUUUCAUUUUAACUCUCCUAAAGAAUAUGUAAUUCAAUUAUGACUUUUUUAAACAAUAAAUUUUUGACUUCAUCCUUAUUCGAACUUCAAAAAUUACUCGAGAAAAAAAGUUUUGCUGAAUAAGGCAACAAACCAAAGGGAAACGAGAUUCACGAGGGGAUGAAGACGAAAUACAAAACCAAAGGGAUAACCAAAGGAGAAAAGUUGUAUAAAAUAUAUGUGGUAGCGGGGAAGAGAUGCCAAGGGGUUAAUUUAUAUUUUGUUAUUCAAUAUAUAUAUUUAAUUCUUUCACUAUUUAUUGCUAUACAAAUAUUAGAUUUAUUUAAAAAUUAUGCUAUUUAUUUGUCGGAUUAAUCGUAUUUCUGGCCAGAGCAUUGAACCUAUUUGAAGUGGUUUAUAUUGUCCUAAAAAAUUCCAUGUACAAACAAUAAUUAAUUUUACUUCCCCACCUAACUACUCUUGGCUGGGGUAGGUUCUGGCAGAGAAGUUAUAGACACAUUUUCAUACUUUGGGUUUGGAAUACUUUACUUAAUUUCCUUUGCUGUAUUGAGUUUUGGCAAUAUUUAUCAUGCACUUUGAGACCUAAAACUCUUGAAUAAUCUUUUUCAUUUUUCGGUUAUGUAUAGAAAGAUAGAAAUAAAAUGACCAUAAUUUUGGAUAUUCACUUCAUUUUGCUUGAUACAGGUUCUGUUUUUCUAGUAUACAAUAUCUGAGCUUAGUUCAAAUUUAAAUAAAAUAAUUUAAUAUUUUGAAUUAAACCAAACUUAAACAAACCUAUUGAUACUAAAUAUAAAUCUAACAUAAACCUAGCGGCCCAUGAGUGCUUUACAUACUAAUAAAAUCAACUAAUAUUUUAUAAAUACUAUUAAAUAUAUAUUAUCAGGUAAUAUAAAUGUUGAUCAAAUAACAAAAAAAUUCAUGUAUAUUCUUUACAUAAAGUUAGAAUCUUUUGCGCACUGUCUUAAAUCUAUUGACAUCGGUAUUAUUGUUAGUGCAGGAGAAUAUGUGUUCGAGUACACUGAGACAUAUUAUCCUCUUAUUUAAAGGUUGAGAAGAAAUUAUAAAUAAUUCUAAUUACUAUUUCAAAUUUUAUUAUAAUGGAUGAAUGGUUGUCUUAGAUCACAAGCUAAAUUUUGGGUUUUAUUUAAUAUUGGGCUAUUUGGUUUAUAAGACUCUUCGACCUCUUUUUUUUUUUUUUUUAAGAAUACAAACAAAUUGAGCUUAUUUUUUUUAUUUAUUUUUAAGUAUAUUUAUAUAAUAUUAAAUAUAUAAAUAUGUUUUAUUAUUUUGUUAUUAAAUAUUACAAAAAUUUACAAAUAAAUCAACAAAUUACAAAAAAACCCUAAGUUUUACAGAUUUUACGGUUUGAUCCUUAUGUUCUGAAAUAUUAACUGUUUAAGUGAUGAAUGAAUAUUUGUUACACGUUUUAAGCUUUUAUUUAUUAAAAUUUGCUUUAUUUCUAUGGAUUUUUAAUUAAAUUUGAGGACAAUGCAUAAUAUUAAAUUUAGCUCUUAACAUUUACAUAUUUUAUCAAUUUGGCUUUUGUUAUUUUUUUAGACAAAUUUUGGCCUUCAACCUUUUAGAAAAGAGUUAAAAUGAUGUUUUUGUUAUUAAAUGAUGUUUUUUUAGAAAAAUCCUCAAUAAUCUCUAAUUUCUAGGGAUUAUUUACCAAAAAAACUCAACAAUCCCUCCCUUAAACUGAAAGUACAAUGAACUUUCAGUUUAAUAAAUACUUACUACUCAAUGUCAAAGACCAAGUAUUUUCCUGAACUUGACAAAUGAUGCCAACUUGAGAGGCUUAGUAAAUACAUCAACAACUUAAUUUUCACUUCUGUAAUACUUUAGCUUAAUUGCUCUUUCAUUGCUGAAAUAUGACAGAAAGUAAUAUUUUACAUCAAUAUUCUUGCUUCUUCCAUGCAACACAAGAUUUUUUGACAACUUGAUGGCUGAGUUGUUAUCACAAAAAAAUAUAGCGGCUCUUUUUGGCUUGAAUUGUAGUUGUUCAAGGAUUCUCCUAAGCCAAAUAGCUUGACAAGCACAAGCUGUAGUGUCAAAAAAUAUGACAAUGGAUUGUUUCUUAGAUGAUCACGAAAUAGCUCCUGUUUUAAGCAUAAAAACAUAACCUAAAAUGCUCAUUCUAUCAUCUUGAUCUCUUGCAUAAUCACUACCAGUGAAGCCAAUCAUGUUUGUCACCCUUUUUGUAGAAAAUCCAAAAUCUUUGGUUCUUUAUAAGUAACGAAGGAUUCUCUUAGCAGCUAAUAAAUGUUUUUCAAUCGGGCUCUUCAUGUACCUGCUAAUAAGACUCAUAGAAUACUAAUAGAGUUAGAUACAUCAAACUACCUACAAUUUUCUUGUAAACUAUGCUAUCCACAUUCUUUAAUAAGUUUUAAACCAAACUCAGUUGGAGUGUUGGAAGAGUUACAAUUCUUCAUCUUGAAUUUGUCCAAAAUCUCUCUCACAUAAUUUUUCUCUUCCUUCAAGUAUUCAUGUAAGAAUGUCGACUUGAUAUCUAACUGGAAGAUUGACCAAGAGUUCUGCGCUACUAAAGCAAUCACCAAUCUGAUAGUGUUAUGUCUUGCAACUAGGGUAAAAAAUUUUGUGUAGUCUACACCAUACUCUUGUUUGUACCCCUUAGCCGCUAAUUGCGUAUUGCACUUCUCAACCUCUUUGUUUUCCUUCAACUUCGUCUUGUAGAUCCACUUGACACCAAUGGUUUUGUGCCCCUCAAGAAGAUCAGUCAUCUCCUAAGUAUCAUUCCUUUUAAUGGCUUUGAUUUUAGCAUCCAUUGCCUCUUUCCAUUUUGCCUCAUUGGCAACAUUUUCAAAACUUGUUGGGCCACAAUCUGUAAAUAAUGCAAAUUGAGCAAUUGCAUCAUCAUUUUCUCUAAUUUUGGUUACGUCAUAAUCUUACAUCCAUGCUGGCCUUCUUCGAACAUGACGAAGUGCUUCAGCUAUUGUACUAGUUUCUUCUUUAUGUGUAAACAAUACUUUAGUGGCUAAUAGAGAAGUAUUCUUGAGCAUUUCUUCAGCUUUAUUAUCAUAAAGAACUGUAUAGGUUGUGCUUCAUCCCAAUCCCAAGUUUUCUCUUCAUGAAACAUAACUCUCGGCUAAUCAUGACCUUCUUUCUCACAGGAUUAAACAAUUUGUAUGCCUUCAAUUUGAUGUUUCACUAAUACCAAAAAAGACACAUCAACAAGCUUCUUCCAUUUCUCCUUUGAGACAUGUGCUUAGGUAAUGCGCCUAAAAAUUCUGAAGUGAUCUAUCACCGGUCUCCUUCCACUUUAAGCCUUCUCCGGAGUCACAUCUUGAAGAGAAUUAGUAGGGCUCCUAUUCAAGAUGUGGAUGUUCCAAUUUAUAGCUUUUGACCAAAACACCUUUGGAAUUCUCCCUCUUACUAGUAGGCUUCGAACCAUGUUGAGAAUGGUUUAAUUUUUCCUCUCUGAUACAUUAUUUUUUUGUUGUGUAUAAGUAGUUGUGAGCUCUCUUUGGAUGCUGUGAACAUCACAAGUCUUCAAACGCCUUAGAGGAAUAUUCACCACCAGGACUAGUUCGAAGAGGUUGAAUGGUUCUUCCUUUCUCAUUUCCUACACUAGCUUUAAAGCUUUUAAAUUUGAUUUUUCUUGUAAAGGUAAACCCAUGUCUUACAAGUAUAAUAAUCAAUAAAGGUAAUAAAUUUCCAUUAUAAAUUGGAUUUAUUGGCCCACAAAUGUCUGAAUGCACCAACUCCAAUACCUCUUUUACUUUCCAUAACUUACUUUUAGGAAAUUGAGAUCGAUGUGGUUUGCUAGCAACAAAUUCUUCACAAACUAGCAAAGGAAAGAUAAUUGGAGGAAGACCAGUCACCAUAUUUUUAUUUUUAAGUAUCUUCAAACCACCAAAGUUUAAAUGACCAUAGCAAAAAUACCACAACCAAGAAGGAUAUUUAACUUCUACUAUUGUUGACACCAAUUUUUUAGAUGAAAACGGGGUCAACUUGGGUUUUGACGAAAACGAAAAAAACGGGAGUCACCACCAAUCCUUUUUGAUAAGGUGUGAUUGGAUCACCUUGAAAAGUGGUUGUUUUUAAUAAACGAUUUAAUUUUAUGAAAACAACGAGUUUGGUCCGCAAAAUUCAGAAGAAAAAAAUUCGGGUUCGGGAGUCGGUUACGUACGAGGAAGGAUUAGCACCCUCAUAACGCCCAAAAUUGGUACCUAGUUGAUUAGCUAAUGUCUUAAUGUCGAAAAUUGAAAACUUUGAAGAAUUUUAAAAAACGAUCCUUGUAUGUUGAGAUUUUUUGGGAAAAAAGGGCAUAUUUCACGUUGAUCGAGAAAAAGAAUCAUAUCUAGUGAGUUAGGACACAAUGUCUCGAAUUCCCGAUACGCGAAUAAAAAUGCUUAUUUAAAAGACAUUUUAGCUAUCUCGAAUUUAAAAGGGAGAUCACGACCAGUAAGUUAGGACGUGAUUUUUAAAACUUGAGUUUGAAAAGAUUCAUGUAAUAAAGUUUAAAAGGAUAUUCAAACGUUUAAAUCAAAAGAAGAAAUCACGACCCAAUACGUUAGGGCACAAUUUCUCAAAAUAUUAAACAUUAAAUAUUGCGUUUAUUGCGAAAAAUCCUCGUCUCGAGAAAAUAACGUGUCACGUCCAAUGCGUUAAGACACAAUGUAUUGAAUUCUCGAUAAUGAGCUUUUUAGUUAUAUUUUUUUUAUAAAAAGAGUAAUCUCGAUUAUUUAGAUUCAACAAAUAAAAUCGGAACCCAAUACGUUAGGGCUUGAUUCUCUCGAAGAUUCCAAAUACCGAGUGGUACUUAUAUUUUUAAAAUUUUCGCUUUUUACGUAUUCGAGUAAAAAUUAUAUAUGAUAGAAUAACUAUUAUGAUAUGCAAGUAAAAAUAAUACGAGCAGUAGCAAAUAAAAGAUAAAUAAAAGACAAACUAAUUAUACAAGGUAAUAAGCAGAUAAGCUUUUCAAAUAAAAUGAGCAUAAGAUAGAAAGCAAAUGUCGCACGAAACAAUGAAAUUAUAGAAGAAAUAAAAAGGAAUGUAUAUAAAAAAUGUAUAUGUAUGUAUUUGAAAUUAUACAAAAUGUGUAAGUGUAUAUACAUAUGUGUAUAAAAUUACGGAAAUAUGAAAAGUAUAUACAUGUAUACAUAUUUUAAAAUUAUUAUACAUGAAAAUAUAUGUAAGUAUGUAUUAAAAUAUGUAUAUAUGUAGGUAUAUAAAAAUUAUGAAGUAUAUAAAAAGAUAAAAGUAUGUAUAUAUAUACACAUUUAAAAAAAACUUAAAAAUAUGUACAUGUGUGUAUUUUUAAAAAAGAGUAUUGAUGUGUAUAUAUAAAAUAUAUAAAAAAAACAUAUGUAUGAAUAUAUACAUAAUUGUGAAUAUAAAAAGGGUACACGGUUAUAUACAUAUAGAUAUAGACAUGCGUAUGGAUAUUAAAAUAUAUAUAUAUGAGUAUAUGAGUAUAGAUAGAUUAUGAAAAUCUGCCCAUGCAAGUAUAUAUACAUAUAUAUAUAUUAUAAGAGCGCAUGUAUGUAUGUAUAUUUAUAUAUAAAAAAUGUAUGUAUAGACAAAUUAUAAAGUACAUAAAAAAAAAUAUAUAUAACAAAAUCUAAAAAUGGUAUAAAUGGAUAAAUAAAAUGCACUAAUAAUAAUAAUAAUAAUAAUAAUAAUAAUAAUAAUAUGAUGCAAUAAUAUAACAAUGAAUAGAUAAGUAUGUAAAUAAAAUACAAAAAUAACACAAAUAGACUAAUUAGGAAUAAAAAUAAAAUUAAAGGGUCGAAAUUGUAAUAAAAUAAAUACGGAGGGAUGAAAAUGGAAAAUAGCAUGAAAGGGCAGGGGCCAAAUGAGUGAAUAUACCAGACCUUGGACACGUGUCCACUUUUUAGGGCGCUGAGGGGUCAGGGAUCCGAUUGAAAUCCAAACAAAGUUGCAGGGCCGAAUUAAAAAGUGAAAAUAAACAAAGUUGCAGGGCCAGGAUUGCAAAUAACCUAUUCCAUGAAAACGCGCGGGUCAUGGGGCUAAACGGCGCCGCUUUGUGCAGGCUAUAAAAGCCAAAAAUUUGUCAAAACUUCUCAAUUUUCCUUUUUUCCCCAAAAAAACAAAAAAAGGCUCUCAAACCCCCCAUUUUCUGGUCUCGGGUUUGGCCAAGGGCCACCGUAUCGGCCGUCGGAUCGCCGGCGUCGGCGACGCCGUACACAGUGGCCGGCGAGUAUAGAAAGGCUUGCCCCUAUAGAUCCCGACCUUCUAAACUCGGAUCUGGCCUCAAAAUAACCAAAAACGAUGGGGAAAAGGUCGUUAGGCUUCCCUACAGUCGGUUUCGUCACCGGAGGAGUCUCCGACGAGGAGGAAACCAGUGACCCGCGGUGAGUUUCUCCUUUUUAUUUAUUUUUUAUUUUCGUUUUUAGAAAUCAAAAUAGAAAAUAAAAUAACCAAAAAAAAGAUUGUAAUCGAAAAAACUAGGAAAUCACCUUGAAGCUUGAUUUUUUUUAUUAUUCUGUUGAUAUUUGCUUUUUUGUUACAAAAAUCGGGAAAAUAAAAAAGAAAAAGCCCCCUCAAAGUUACAUGUUCUUCGGCUUUUAAAGUCAAUUUUUGUUACUGUUCCUGUCUUGUUUGUUUCUCUUCUUUGCAAGUGACGGUGCAAGUGGCCGAUGGUGGCAAGCGGUGGCAGUGUCAGAGGGCAGGUAGCUACGGCGCUAGGGUUUCAGAAAAGCUGAAACCCUAGUUUGACUUUGGGUUUGCUGGGCUAGGACAUUGGGCCUGUAAUUGGCUGUUGGGGUUUGGGUCAUUAGGUCAGUGAGCUGGUGGGCAAAAUUGGGCUGGUACAACUAUUAAACAAGAUUGAACAACCUCAAUCUUCAAUGGAAACAACCUAUUCUGACUUAUUUCCAUAAUAGCAACAACUGUUCUAGAUGGAUUAGAAAUCUCACAAGCACCAUUCGUGAAAGUGACAACAUACCCUUUUUCCAACAGUGGCAUCAAAGCCAAGUUUAUUCUUGUUAGCUUAGAAAACUUUUCACCUAUGGCCUCGAAAAGUAGUUUUGUUCAAGUAGUUAUUCCUUAUUUUGAUGAUCAUUAUGACCAUUGGAGUACGCUAAUGGAGAAUUUCCUAUGGUCAAAAAAGUAUUGGCCAAUGGUUGAGGCAGGUAUCGAAGAGCCUGCAGAAGGAGAAACUUUGACUAAUGCCUGGAAAGUAAAGUUCGAAGCGAGAAUGCUGAAAGAUUUGAAGGUGAAAAAUCAUCUCUUUCAAGCUAUUGAUUGUCCCAUCUUGAAAACUGUUCUUUGCAAAAAAACUUUCAAGGAUAUAUGAGAUUCCAUGAAGAAAAAGUAUCGAGGCACUGCCAGAGUGAAGUAAUAACAUCUUCAAGCCUUGAGGAGGGACUUCGAGACUCUAUAGAUAAAUGAAUGGGAAUCUAUCACUAGAAAUUGUGUUAGAACCAUGGAGAUUUGUAAUAGGAUGUAGUUCUAUGAUGAGAAGAUGGAGGGUGCCACCAUAGUGGAGAAGAUUUUGCGCUCCAUGAUGCUGAAGUUUGACAUGUCGUUUGCAUCAUUGAAGAGUCAAAAUACAUGAUGAAUUGUCUCUUGAUGAGUUGUAAAACUCUUUAUUUGUACAUGAGCAAAAGAUGAAUUUUACUUCAGCCUUCAAGGAACAAACUUUGAAGGCUUUUACUUUUUUUUUCAAUUUUAGAGGAAUAGGUAAAGGUAGAGGUAUAUAUUGGGAAAUGUGCCCAUAUUUUAGUAAACAUGUAACUACUUUUUAUUUAUUUAAACAGUGAAUUAAUAAAUAAAAUUAAUUUCACAUUUCGCUAUUAUGUCUUUUGUAUUUUCGGUCUUUUAUAUUUACAAUACAUAGCAAAAUUGUGACAAGCAAAUAUUAGCUCAUUGAUUGUCUAAAGUUCAAACUGAAGAUAAGUGACAUUGUAAAGAAUAUUUACAUUGUGAGAAAGACUACUUAUUUUAGUAGAUAAUCUAAAUUAGUUCGUAAUCUCGUAAAAGAAUCAAAGUGAGCAUUUGAUUCACAUACUGAGAAGGAUUAUUAUGUCUUCUACAAUUCCAAUUGGGGAGAUUGCUAGUCUUGGCUAUUGGAGCAGUUGACUCCAUUAGUAGAGAAAUAGAUGUAUUCAUUGGUAGAAUGAUACAUUGGACUGGACCCAAAAUGAAUUAAUUUUGAAUCUAUUUGUGAAUUAAUUCACUUGUGACGUUCGUGGUGUGGUUUACCCAAAUCUUAAGUUAGUCACUGACCAUGCGUAUCGAACCCAUGUGCUUUGAUACAAGUGGAGGCUUAUGCUCUAAGGAUGAUCGAGCCCACAGUCGGUAUGUUGGGUACAUAACUUGUGUAUGACAUGACUUUACUAGCAACAAUGUAAUUCAUAGCUCAAUUAAAGAGUUAAUGAUAUCCUCUCAUUGGUAUUGUAUGGAUUGAUAAAUAUAAAACGUGGCCACGGGGUGCUUAUUCUCGAAAGAGUAAUUUAUUACAGUCAUUUGUUGACAGUGGUCGUAUUAAUCAUUAAGAAGACACAAUGGUGAUAAUGAGAUAAAAUAAGAUUGUAUUAAGUGAACGACUUUAACUCAAAGGAAUCAAUGAUAUCAUAUGAGGGUAACACACAUCAUGAGGUCAUUGGACAAAGCAGUUGGAUGAAUUGCUUUCUUAAAGAGUAUACAAUAAGGAGUUUUCAAUUAUGGCACUUCUUAUGGACUGACUCUUGAUUAAGUAAUUGCGAAUUAUCGUAACGAUGCUUUUGGACAUAAUUACAAUCACUAGAGCCUAAUUGUAUAUGUUCAAUUGGUCCAUCCGUUAGCUCAACAAAAGCUUGAUCAUUCUGCAUUUGAAUCAGAAGAAAAUUCUACGACUUUAGAAAUGAUUUAAUUGAGUCAAUUUAUUCGAUAUGGAAUUAAAUUAGGUGGUCGUGAGAAUUGUUCAACUAGAGAAUUUGAUUAAAAAUUUUUCUUAAAAAAUUAAUUUGGAAAAUCUAAGUGAUUUUUGGGAAAAUUAAUUUUGAUCAAGUAAAAUUAAAUUAAUCAAAUCAAUUAAAAUUAAUAUGAUAUUUUUGGAAAUUAAUUUUCAAGUAAGACAAUUGGCCCAAUAGGUAAUUGAACUUAAAAAUUGGACCUGAGAUCGUGAGCGUGAGAGCCCAAAACCAAGACCAAGACCAUGACCCAAAAACUUGUCGAACUGGGCCCGGUAUGUGAAACCGGGCCGACGGUCCAAUUGGUGACUAGAUUGAAUUGGUCGGGUUGACAUUGACCCGGACCAAACCAGCUUAGGGUGCCGUAAGGGUGUCCCACCUACGUCACCGGACAUGUCGGUGUGGGUGGCUGCAACGGCGGCGUCCUGGUGACUGGCGGCAGUUGGUCAUCGAUGAUUGAGUUGUGGAAGGGUUACUCUCCUAUUGGGACUCUACCAGAGAAUUUGAUUUCAAAUUAACUACUUCAAAAAUAAUAUUAUUUUAAUAGUUUAACAUUAAAUUCAAUUUAAUGUUUAUCUUGUAGAUAAAUAUUUUAUUAUUUUAAUAAGAUUUAAUAUUAAAUUUAAUCUAAUAUUUAUCUUGAUAAAUAUUAGAUUAUAUUAAUUGAAUAUUAAAGUGAUUUAGUUUAAUCAUAGUUGAACUCUCUAAACUCUCCUUAUAUAAAGAGAGCAUUGAGUCAUUAUUUACACACACUUGAGUUCAAGAGAAAGUUGUAGAGAGAAAAUUUUCUGAAGAGAUUAUUCUAAAAAAUUUCUAGAGAUAUUUUUUUGAUUUAUAACUUGACCCAAAAGUUUAGAGAGAUUGCAAAAUUACCCCACUGGUAAUUUUUAUGAAAAAUUUUCUAAUUCGAAGUGAGCUCACAUUUGGCAGACAUGAGCUUGAGGAUUGUGGAGAAGGCUACUCGGUCGAAGCGCUAAUCCUAGACGAAUCAAAAAGAUAUAAUUUGGAUUAAGUGUUUAUUAUUUUAGAUAUCACAACCUAAAUUUAUUUUCCUCUGUAUUUUCUAAAUCUUUUUUCCAACAAUAUAGGGAGAAGUUUGAGCUAAUAGAAAAAGUGGCAACAGAAAUGGUAGCAAGAAUUACAAAAUCAAUGAUGACCAAAGUAAGGAUAAAUGACGAGAUUUUGAUAAAUCUAAAAUAAAAUGCUUCAUAAGGUAAAAAUUUGGUCAUUGUCAUUUUGAAUGUUAUUUUAGGCUACUAAAUGAUAAGGAUGAACAAGCGACAUUCACUGGACCAGGAGCGCCCCCUCUAGUAAAAGCUUCCACUGCCGGUUAACCAAUCACAUUGAAAAGGAAGCUGAGACAAAUGUAUAAUAUGUGGAUAUAGGUUGUAGUAUUUUUUUCGUAUUUAAAUGAUAAUUUUCGUUGUAGAAUCACCUCUGGUGAUUAUUGUACUGUCGAUUUCAUAAUUAAAAUUUUACAUGAAAUUUAAUGUUUUCUAAAAACCUUUGUUUUUGAAGACUUUUGUUACUAUACCCCGCUCCAUAUAAGAUCCAUCACCGUCAAAUGACAAAAAGUAAUUCAAUGCACUUUAAUUGUGCCAGCGGCUCCAAGCCCAUUGAUUUCACUAUAAAUUCCAUGCUUUUAGGUUAACCAUCUUCACACAAUCAAAUCAAGCUAGUUCGCAAUGGCUUCCACUACCAAUUCCCCAUCAACCCUCCUCACCCUUCCUAAUUUCUCCAUUCAAACUUCAACAUUCCUUCCCAAAACAUCUCAAGGUUCCAUAUUUAAGAAGAAAAAGCCUUUCAACUUUAACUCCAAAAGAGUAGUGUCAUGCAAAGCCAGCAAUGGGAAACAAAACGAUGCAAAUCACACUUCUUUUCUCAAUAGGUUCGAUAGAAGGGACAUCUUCCUUGGCCUUGGAGGAAGUCUCUACGGUGCAACCAGCCUUGUUAGAGACCCAUUUGCAUUGGCAGUCGUCCCAAUCGAGCCUGACCUGUCCAGCUGUGGGGAAUCAACCGUAGAUGCCGGUACAACCUGCAUGAAUGUCCCUUGCUGCCCACCAAAGUUAAAAGAUUCAAAGAUCAUAGACUUCGAACCACCUUUAGGUUGCAAGAUCCAUUAUCGGCCGGCAGCACAUUUAGUUGAUCGUGAUUACCUGUAUAAAUUUGAAUCGGCAAUGGAGAGAAUGAAAGCUCUCCCUGUGGAUGAUCCACGUAAUUUCAUGCAACAAGCCAAUAUUCAUUGUGCCUAUUGCAAUGGGGCUUAUAGUCAAGUGGGGUUCCCCGAUCAAAAACUUGAAGUUCACUACUCGUGGCUUUUUUUCCCAUUCCAUAGGAUGUAUCUGUAUUUCUUUGAGAGGAUAUUGGGCAAGUUGAUUGGUGAUCCAGAUUUCACAAUGCCAUUUUGGAACUGGGAUUCUCCUGUUGUUCCAAUAGGGUCGGAAGCGUGUAAAUUAUUGUACUAAAAAAUCACACAAAGUUCAAUUCCCAGGGAAGAGAGGUGGAUCACAUGGAUCUCUUAAAUACCAAGUCUUUCCUUAGACAGAAUAUCCCUUCUAUAGUAAUUUAAUAGCACAAUUAAAUACUACUAUUAUACCCUCAAAUAUUGAAAGAAAAAUAGGACAAGAAAGAACACAAGAGAUUUAACGAGGUUCGGUAAAUUAUACCUACGUCCUCGGGCACUAACACCAGAUGAUAACUUUACUAUCUCCAAAGUAUUACAAACAAAUAGAAUUCCUUAAGAAUUCUCAAAUGGGAGAAGAGAGAAAACUAAGAGAGAAAGAUUGGUUGGGAUGAAUUGAAAUGAGAAAUGAGAAGGCCUAUUUAUAGUUGAGGUUUAAGGAUCAAACAAUAAAUAGCCCAUUAUCUCAAGGACCAAAAAAAAAUUAUCCCAUGCCACUUUUUCAAAGUCAACUUUAGGGUGCUAAACUUGCACCACUUGGAUUGUUUUCCAUUAAAAUUGUCUGCCAUUAAUCAUAAUGUUAACAAUCUCCACCUUGAAGAUUUGAUUAGGAUAAUCACAUCUUCACACACUUCCUUCAACUCCCCAAAUUUGAUAAAGCUAUCUUUUGUAGUGCCUCCAAAUGCACUCUCGAGCGCAAUACACCUGAAGGUGCUCAAAUUCUCAGGAUGUUAAUCAAGUUCAAACAAUGAUUAAACUUGAUUGUUGUUACCACAUUGGUCAUCAUAUCUGCGGGAUUAUCUGCUGUUGGAAUCUUCUGAAGUAGAAUUUUUCCUUUUUCAAAGACUUCCCGCACAAAGUGAUAUCUUACGUCGAUAUGUUUGGUUCUUGAAUGAUAGACUUGAUUUUUCGCUAAAUGAAUAGCGCUCUGACUGUCACAAUAUAAACUUAUGUGACUUUGAACAACUCCUAAGUCUUUCAACAAUCCAUUAAGCCAAAUAGCCUCCUUAACAGCUUCUGUAACUGCCAUAUAUUCUGCCUCUGUAGUAGACACAGCUACUGUAGACUGUAAGGUAGAUUUCCAACUCACUGGGGCUUUCGCAAGAGUAAACAGAUACCCCGUAGUUGAACGACGUUUAUCUAAAUCACCAGCAAAGUCGGAAUCAACAUAUCCAACUACAAACUGACCAAGUGCUUCAUCCUGUUCAAAAAUUAAACCAACAUCUACGGUUUUUCGAAGAUACCGUAGAAUCCAUUUCACAGCUUGCCAAUGUCCUUUUCCAGGAUCAUGCAUAUACCUGCUCACAACUCCAACAGCUUGUGAAAUGUCAGGCCUCGUACACACCAUCGCAUACAUCAAACUCCCAACUGCAUUAGCAUAUGGGACUUUCACCAUAUAUUCUCUUUCAUCUUUAGUCUUCGGAGAUAAUUGAGCACUAAGUUUCAAAUGAGAAGCAAGUGGGGUACUUACAUGUUUUGUGUUUUCAUUUACACCAAAACAUUGUAAUACCUUUUUCAGAUAUUGCUUCUGAUUUAAACAGAACUUGCCUCUCGGUCUAUCUCUACUUAUCUCCAUGCCGAGAAUCUUCUUAGCCUCACCUAGAUCUUUCAUCUCGAACUCUUGAUUCAACUGAGCCUUCAGCUUAUCUAUCUCAUUUUGGCUCUUCGAAACGAUUAACAUAUCAUCAACAUACAAGAGUAGAUAAAUGAAAGAUCCGUCAUGCAGCUUCUGCAAAUAUACACAAUUGUCAUAUUUGCUUCUUGUGUACUUCUGCCUUCUCAUAAAGCUAUCAAAUCGCUUGUACCACUGCCUCGGGGAUUGCUUCAAUCCAUAUAGCGAUUUGUUAAGCUUACAAACCCAAUUUCUACCACCAGCAUCUGUGUAUCCUUCGGGCUGAGUCAUAUAGAUCUCCUCUUCUAACUCACCAUGCAAGAAAGCCGUCUUAACAUCAAGUUGAGCUAGCUCCAAAUUCAACUGUGCUACCAAGGCCAACAAAAUUCUAAUGGAGGAAUGCUUCACAACAGGGGAAAAUACAUCAUUGUAGUCAAUUCCCUCCUUCUGAGCGUAGCCUUUAGCUACCAAUCUUGCCUUGUAGCGAAUAUCCUUCUUGGUAGGAGAUCCAUCUUUCUUUGCGAAUACCACUUGCAUCCGAUUGCCCUUUUACCUUUCGGUAAUUGCGCCAACUCCCAAGUAUUGUUCUUCCGGAGAGACUGCAUUUCUUCAUCCAUGGCGCUUUUCCAUUUAUCACUUUCUAAGCUUUGCAUUGCUUCUUGAGAAGUGAUAGGAAUAUCAUCAACAACGGGAAGGGCGUAGGCCACUAUAUCAGUAAAUCGAGCAGUUUUACGAAUUUCUCUCCGUGGCCUUGCAACUGCAACUGGUUCUGGUGUACUUAGUGGUUCUUGGGUCAGAACCUCUUCAACCUCUAAUUCCUCCAUUGUGGCUGGAGAAUUAGACUUAUUAACUGGGCAAAUCCCCAUCUGCUCAAACUCCACCUGUUUUGGAGUACACUCCACCUGCUGUGGAGUAUUGCUCGUCUGAAUAUCUUUAUCUGCUACCUUUUUCAAUGUGGCAGAUUCAUCAAAGGUAACAUCUCUGCUACAGAUCAUUUUCUUUAUGCUUAAGCACCAAAGACGAAAUCCCUUCACUCCAGAAGUGAUUCCCAUAAAGAGAGCUUUCUUUGCCCUUGGAUCUAACUUUGACUUCUUCACAUGGUAAUAUGCAGUGGUUCCAAACACAUGUAAGGAAUCAUAAUCUGUAGCCGGUUUUCCAGACCAUACCUCCAUAGGAGUUUUUCUUUCUAAUGCAGAUGAUGGCAAAUGAUUAACAAGAUGGCCAGCGUAUGUCACAGCCUCAGCCCAAAAUUGCUUGCCCAACCCAGCAUUGGACAACAUACAUCGAACUUUCUCCAGCAAUGUUCGAUUCAUACGCUCUGCCAAUCCAUUCUGCUGUGGUGUAUCCCUAACUGUGAAGUGUCAAACAAUACCAUACUCUUGGCACACAUCGAAGAACGGAUCACUUUUAUAUUCCCCUCCAUUGUCCGUCCUAAGCCGCUUGAUUUUCUUGCCAGUCUGGUUUUCGAUCAUAGUUUUCCAUUUAAGAAAAACUCUAAGCACUUCAUCCUUAGUUCUCAUGGUAUACACCCAAACUCUUCUGGAAAAGUCAUCAACAAAAGUAACAAAGUAGUGUUUUCCUCCCAAUGAAGGUGUCUUGGAAGGCCUCCACACAUCUGAGUGAACAUAUUCCAAAAUAUCUUUUGUAUUAUGGAUAGCAGUACCGAAUUUCACUCUCUUUUUCUUUCCCAGAACACAAUGCUCGCAAAAUUUUAAUUUACAAGCCUUUGCACCUUUCAACAAUCCUUGCUUUGCCAGAAUUUGCAAGGAUUUUUCGCUGGCAUGUCCCAACUUCAUAUGCCACAACUGUAUUGAGUCCAAUUCUUUGUUGCCGAAAGCUACAGCGACUGCUCCAAUAACUGUACUACCUUGGUAGUAAUACAAGUUAUUUUUCCUGAUGCCCUUCAAUAUCACAAGUGCGCCAGAUGUCACUUUCAAAACCUCAUCUCUCAUAGUAACAACUGAACCAUUGGAUUCCAAGGCUCCCAAUGAGAUGAGAUUUUUCUUCAAACUAGGCACAUACCGAACAUCAGUCAGAACUCUGGUUGAUCCAUCUUUAUUCUUUAAUUGGAUUGAACCUAUCCCAACAGUUUUACAGGCAUUGUCAUUGCCCAUAUAAAUAACUCCUCCAUUUAGUUCUACUAAAUCAGAGAACCACUCCCGGUUAGGGGACAUAUGAUAGGUACAACCCGAAUCCAAUAUCCACUCAUCUGAAUGGAACGACGAUGAUGAUGCAACCAGUGAUAGUUCAGAGUCACUGGUAUCAUGCUUUGCAACACAAGCAUCUACAGCAGCUUUUCCCUUAUUCUUCAGCUUUGGACAAUUUUUCUUCCAGUGGCCUUUCUCAUGACAAAAAGCACAUUCAUCUUUCCCGAGUCUGGACUUUGACUUUGAUCUCCCCUUUUGAGUUUUCUUCCGAGUGUAUGAAUGACCUCAGACUACUAAAGCUUCUGUAUCUCUGAUUGAGUUUUUCUGUUUGUCAUUCUUUCUCUGUUCAUAACUGUAUAAGGCCGCACAGACUUCGCUCAGAGAUAUAUCACUCCUGCCAUGAAGUAGAGUAGUUUCUAGGAACUCAAACUCCUCAGGAAGUGACCCCAACAGCAUCAAAGCCAAAUCUUCAUCUUUGAAUGUCUCAUCCAUAUUCAGCAAAUCAGUGACUAACUGAUUAAAUUUGGUGAUGUGAUCAUUCAUUGUGGUACUUGGGACGUAUGUGAAGCGAAACAGUCUUUUCUUCAAGUGGACCUUAUUUUGACUGUUUUUCUUCAAAAAAUUUUCUUCAAGUGCCACCCACAACUUAUUUGCAGAAGUCUCCUUUGAAAAAGCAUACAUCUGCUCUCGAGAAAGGCAUGAUCGAAUUGUGCCAUAUGCCAACCGAUUGAUCGCCUUCCAAUCUUUCCCCUGUACAUCAUCUGGUUUCUCUUCAUCAAUGGCAAUGUCUAGACCCUGCUGAAAAAGGGCAUCUAGAACCUCACUUUGCCAUAUACCAAAAUGGCCCGUGCCAUCAAAGAUCUCCACGGCCAGUCUUGCAUUUGCAAUUGUCGGUCUUGUCCACAUGGACGAUGUUGAAGCUCCUACACCGACCGUUUUCUCCAUAAUCUUUCAAUAUACCUAAGGAAAUCUUUUCUGAUGUGGAAGAUCAGUUCAAACUGCAACCACAGAGCAUACUACGAUUAACCUUCGGCUCUUGAUACCACUUGUUGUUCCAAUAGGGUCGGAAGCGUGUAAAUUAUUGUACUAAAAAAUCACACAAAGUUCAAUUCCCAGGGAAGAGAGGUGGAUCACAUGGAUCUCUUAAAUACCAAGUUUUUCCUUAGACAGAAUAUCCCUUCUAUAGUAAUUUAAUAGCACAAUUAAAUACUACUAUUAUACCCUCAAAUAUUGAAAGAAAAAUAGGACAAGAAAGAACACAAGAGAUUUAACGAGGUUCGGUAAAUUAUACCUACGUCCUCGGGCACUAACACCAGAUGAUAACUUUACUAUCUCCAAAGUAUUACAAACAAAUAGAAUUCCUUAAGAAUUCUCAAAUGGGAGAAGAGAGAAAACUAAGAGAGAAAGAUUGGUUGGGAUGAAUUGAAAUGAGAAAUGAGAAGGCCUAUUUAUAGUUGAGGUUUAAGGAUCAAACAAUAAAUAGCCCAUUAUCUCAAGGACCAAAAAAAAAUUAUCCCAUGCCACUUUUUCAAAGUCAACUUUAGGGUGCUAAACUUGCACCACUUGGAUUGUUUUCCAUUAAAAUUGUCUGCCAUUAAUCAUAAUGUUAACAUCUCCCUGUGGGAUGACUAUGCCUCAGAUAUAUUUAGACCCUUACUCUCCAUUGUACGAUGAAAACCGCAAUUUGGAGCAUCAGCCGGACGUUUUGGUUAAUCUUAAUGACGGUAAAUCUUUUGUAAAACCAAAAAAAAAGGAUGAUUUUUAUGAAUUAGCAAAGAGGGAACAAAUAAAUAGUAAUCUCUAUGUGAUGUAUCAGCAAAUGGUACGGUCCGCCAAGACCGCUUCUUGUUUCCAUGGAGCGGCGUACCUUGGCGGUUGUGUAUCCGAAACCGAUAUCGGUUGUACUCCCGAACCGAGAGGUGGUACCAUUGAGAACGGUGCUCAUAUCGCCGUUCACAAGUUCGUUGGUGCCAAGAAUCCACCUUAUAACGAAGACAUGGGGAAUUUCUAUUCUGCUGGUAGAGACCCUUUGUUCUACGCUCAUCAUGGCAAUGUUGAUCGAAUGUGGAACAUUUGGAAGACAUUGCCAGGGAAGAAGCGACAUGAUUUCAACGAAAAUGUUUGGCUCAAUUCUUCGUUUCUUUUCUACGAUGAGAAUACAAAUAUGGUUCGUGUUAAAGUUCGCGAUUGCCUUGACUCUAAAACUUUGGGGUACGAUUACCAAAGUGUUGAUAUUCCAUGGCUUAGAAGCAAGCCAACACCUCGAAGGAGUUGUUCUGGUGUGGGGCGGGGUCAGGAUGUAGCAGCCAGACGAAAGAGUAAAAACCGCAGGGGUUUUCCUAUAGUUUUAGACAAGGUGGCCGUGCGCAUUGAGAUUCCAAGGCCAAAGAAAUCAAAGAAAAAAGAUGAUGAAGAAGUAUUGGUUCUUCAAAACAUACAGCUAGACAGAAAUGACUCAGUGCAAUUCGAUGUCUCCAUUAAUGACGACGAAGACGACGACAACCCUUGCAAACCAGAAGAUGCGGAGUUCGUGGGGAGCUUUUCGAAUUUACCGCACGGAGAUAAUUGCCACUCCGAGACGAUGCUUAGUACAAAUCUGUAUUUGCCAUUAUCAGAAGCGCUGAAGGAUUUGAAGAUUAAUCCAUUUGAAGAUAGCAUUGUGGUGACUUUGGUGCCUAAAGAAGGGGAAGUUUCGAUUGGUAACAUUAAGAUCGACUACGUUUGUUGAUUUGGGGGUGAAUAUUUUGCUUCAUCCUUUGUGUUCUCGCUAGAUCGGAUUGAUGGGGUUCAUUAAUUUGUUUCUUGCAUGUGUCUCUCUUUUUUUUAAUAAAAAUAUCAAGCUAAAUGAACAAAAGCAGCGGCAGCUUUAUCUUGCUCAAGAAGAUAAUCAACUCCUAAACGCGCCUGAUAUUUUCUGCCUAUCAUCAAUUCAAUCACGAGAUAUUUUAGUUAACAGAGUAACAACUUGAUUUCUUUAACUAUCCAAUACUUCUUGCACUGUAAUAUCUAUUUAAUUCGUCCAACCAAAACUAAAUUUGAUACCUCCAAAUAGCCAACUUGAAUAGCAUUGAAUGCUUCCAAGUAAUCUGUUUAAAUUAAGGCUUUGACAUAUCUUACAAGACUAACUCGUCUGAGAUACUCUAGAAUUCAAUAUUAAAGAUUGAACAAACAUCUAAAUUAUGAUUGAACCCGACAAUCCAAUCUUGCCAAAUUUUAUUAUUAAAUUUUACCAUUUACUUUUUGUAUUAUUUAUAAAUUUUAAGUAUAAUGGUUUAUUUGAUCUUUCAGCUUUAUAAAAAAAUAUCAUUUUAGUUCUUCAUUUAAUUUUGUCUCUUUUUAACCCUUAAAUUUAUGUUGUUUAUCAAAUUGUCCCAAAAUAAAUGAAAAAAUUAAUAUCUAUUAACUUUGUUGACACAUCCACGUGUAUGCCACAUCAACAUUUACUUAAUUCUUUUUACAAAAUUAAAAAGCAUUAAAAUUAUAAAAAAAUAUUAUAAAAUUAUAAGUUUUAUUUAAUAAUAAAAUUAUAAUAAAAUUCUAUAAAUUUUAGAAUUUUUAAAAAUUUUAAUCAAUUAUUGAUGUGACAUAUAUGUGGAAUGUCACAUAAACAAAAUUAUUAAGCGUUAAUUUUUCUAUUCAUUAUAAAGUGUUUUGACAAAAAAAACUAGUUUAAUAGUUAAAAGUGGCGAAGAUUAUAUGAAGGGUUAAAAUGACUUUUUUGUUUUCUAAAGUUGGAGGACUAAAUAAAUCAUUAUGCUUAAAUUUUAUCAUAUUUAUAAAUAAAAAUUUUAAUUUUACUAAAAUAUUUUAUUAAAUAUAUUUACUUUAUAAAAAAAUUGUCAUACAUUUAUAAGAAUUUCGAGUCAAUUAAAAUACUUUAAUUAAAUUAUUAUGUUUUCAUUAACCCAAAAAAGUUAUAUUACUUAUUUUUAAAUGAAUUUUUUUAAUUAUUUAUAUGAUAGGUAGCUUUAUAUUUUACAUGCAAUAUUUUAUAAAGAAUACAUUUAUAUAAUCUAAUCUAAUAUAUAUUAUAAUUAUAUGAAGGCUUGAUUCGCAAAUUGGUGCCUAAGUUAUGUUAUUUUUUUCAUUUUGGUAUCUAAACUCUUUUUUUUUUUUUGUUAUCAGUUAUCCUAAAGCUAUUUUUUUCCCCAAAUUGGUAUAUCUGCUAGUUAACCCAUUAAGUCUAUUUAAAAAAAAGUUCAACCCACAAAUUAGUAUAUUCUUUUUCCCAAAUUGGUACCUAAAUUUUUUUUUAUCAUAAGUGAUACCUAAACUAUUCUUCCAUCACCAUUUUACACCAAAAUAUUAUAUUCGUUAAAAAAAUUACAACCAAUUAUAGAUUGUCACUUCAUAUAAACUUUUAAUUGUUUUAACUUUUUCUAUUUAUUUUACAUUAUUUCUCUCUUUAUAUAUUUUAUUUAUUUAUUUUUCUUCCUUUAUAAUGCCUAGUAAUACCAACAAUACUUAAAAUUGAUUCGCUCAAGGUUGAGAUGUCGGUGAUUAAUUCUGUUUUGAAAUUUCACCAUGUUGAUUAAACCUUUAUAUGAAUUAUAUUUAAUUUGAGUUGGAAUCACAAUAAAUAAUUACAUAUAUUUAUGCAAGAAAUUAAGAAUUUUAUAUAGUUCAUGAAUAAUAUAUAAUUUUCUUAAUCCAACAUUCACCCUUGGGCAUUUCCAGCAUACUUCAACAUCUACACCAUAUCAUCAGUAGGCAGCCCAAUCACUAACUUCUGUCGACGAACAGCCUUACACUCCGUUGCAAACAAUCCCAUCCACUCCAAGGGGCCAUAAAUCAACCCCAACAAUCGCCCCACACCAUCCCCCAAGCCUUUCUUCACUCUGAAUACAAGACAUAAAAUAAAAAUGAAGAGACGACUCCUCCAUCUGCAAGGAAAGGAUGUUGCCCCCUUUCAACCGACCAUUCUCAAACCAUGGUUCAUGCCACCAACCAAGCUCACUUACCACCAAUAAUGGUUCUAAUCCAACAAAUAGAUCGCAUUUUGCAAAGGAAAAUGAUCUCUUCAGCAAUCCACUCUUUUCCAUUAAGUAUUAAUUCAUUCCUAGCUAGCCACAAUGACCAUAACAUAGCGCCACAAGCAAGAAGCCACUUCCUCUUAACAUUCGAUCUUCCAAACAUGCAGCAACGUACACAAAAUCACUGACAUUCCAAGGAAUCACCCACAUAACACCCCACCAUUGAAAAAACAGUCCCUAAGCUUUCCAAGAGGAAGAACGAAAGAAAAAAUUUAUCACAAUUCUCUUCAGCUUCAUUGCACCAAGAACAAUUAACACGACCAUUAACUGUUGGAAUACCUCGAUCCCUUAAAAAUGCAUUUUGAAGGUAUGCCAUUUUGGAAUAACAGCCAUAGGAAGCGUUGCACCUUUGUUGGAACGCAUAGCUUCCAAAUGAAAGAAAACCACACCUUUUGAUGCGCCAAAGAACCUCACAAUCAAGAGAAAACACAACUUUCUUCACAGUACAUUUCCCUUUGCUGUCCACCUCCCACAUUAACUGAUCUGCCUUGUUCUCAUUUAAAGAGACCCCUUUGAAAAUCUGCCACAACUCCAUUGCAGACACCCUCUCCUGUUCAAACAAAUCUCUUUUGAAAAAUCUUUCACCCUUGUGAAGAUCAUCCCAAGCCUCGUCCACCGUGAUAUUUUUCUUCAAAGCCAAGAAGAAAGUCUGGGGAAUCUGUCUUUCAAAGCACACAGUCCAAUCCAAUGAUCCAUCCAAAAUGAAACUGAUCUCCCACUGCCGACGCACCAUAUAAAGCUUCCUUCACCUAACAUUUUGUCCAUCCCUUCGUGUCUUCUAACUUCCACAACUCCUUUCCAAACCUUCGACAUUGUUGAGAAUUCACCACAUUGGGCCUCCAACGAUACUUGCCAAUACCAUAUUUUUCGUCCCUAUUAUUGAUGUGGUGAUUGUCAAUUUAAUUCUUACACAUUAAAAGUACAUAAAAAUAUUUUUUAAAAAUUAAAAAUUAAAAUUUUUUCUUAUUUUCAAUAAAAAAUCGUAAAAGGUUUACUAAAAAUUAUGAAAUGCAUUAUUUAAAAUUAAAAAUUAAAUUAAAAAUUCAAAAAAAAUAUAAAUUAUUUCAAAAAUUCAAAAAAAAAAGUAAUAAGAACUAGACUUAUCCAUAAAUUGGUUUCGGCAAAGGUUUUAUGUCUCGAGCCGAGACCAAACCAAAAUAGAAUUUAAGUAAUCAAAAUAUUUUUAAAUUUGAAUUUGAUUAUAAAAAUUAAUAUAAAAUAUAUGUUUAAUAUUUUAUUAUUUUAAACAAUAAAACAAGUUUUUUAGACGAGCUAAACCAGAAAAAAAGCUUAACUGCAACUUGACCUGACCAGGCCUAAUAAGAAGCUUCAAUCUUCUAUGGAUGACGACUCAACGGUUAGUAUUAUUGUGAAGGAUAUUAAGGCAAAAAGCAAUAGGUCCGAGAACUAACUUUUCGAUUUGUACCGUGUCGAUUUAACAACUCCGCACAUGUACGCUCGUCAGUAUAGGGUAGUCAUAUUCUUGUUCCAUGCACUAGAUGGAGGAAACCUCGGUGGGUGUCGAAAACGCUGCAGUAAUGGAUCGACGAUGGGUGGAUCCGCUCAAUUAGUGAUACUUGGUCUUGGUAGCGGAGAUACUAUCGACUCUUGAACUCCGAUUCUCUCUUUCUUGAUCGAUUAAAGUGAUUAUUUUCUGAAGAAUUGAAUAGAGACGUUUUCAGUUUGCUUGCUGGCAAUGGAAUUUAGUUGUGGAUUCAUCUGGUUUUAAUUUUGUUUCAAUCUUAAUAAAUACUUUUAAUUUUUUGUUUUGUUUUAAUGAAUUCUAUCAGGUUAUAUUACUAUUUUCAGUGGACGUAUCAAUAGUUGUAUAUUUAUUUAAUUUAUUUUUACUAGAAAUAAAAUUUCCAGCUUACUUUAAAAAAAAAAAAAAACCUUCAAACGUAGUGAGUUGGGUCCUGUUUAAUCUAUCUCCUCCUAAAAAUAAAAAUAAAAAAUUGCUCAAACUUGAGCCUGAAUGAGUGCUCAUCUCCAAGCGCCUCUUGUACGCUUCUUUGCUCUCUCCUUUGGAGAGUUUUUUCAUUAGGGCAUAGCCGUGCGCCUCUCGGCCCUAUUCUCGUGCUCUGCAAUAUCCUGCACAGUGGUCUUCACCACCUUGAUGUAAUAUGGUCUUUGACCUAUUUCUCUAAUUAUAUGGUUGAUGAUUUCCUGGAUUAAAAUAAAAAAGCCGAAAAAGUUCUAACAUAUUUAAGGCAUGGAAAAGGUAAGAAUUAAGGGCGUUGAUAGGAGACAAGAAGCAAGACAAAGGGGAAGGAGACGGAAACAGAUAAAUCAAGGUGGACUGAAAGUGGCAGGUAGCGAGCAGGUGGUACAAUAUGUUGAAAGUGUCGGUAGGCAGUAUACAUGUGGUAGUGGGGAAGCUAAUAUUGGUAAGGUGGUAUAAGGGAUUGGAUAUUUAUAAUAUCAAUUUAUAUUUUAUUAUUUAGGGUAAACUACACCAAAGAUCAUUAAAUUAUUAAUAUGUUUACAUUUUGGUCAUUUAACUUCAAAAAGUUACAAAAUAAAUCAUUAAAUCUUGAUUGAUCCUCCAUAUUCCAAGGGUUUAUUUGAUUCACUCCAAUCCAAUCUAAUUUUCAAAAGCUAAGAUUUAGUUUCCAUAGAUGGACCAAAAAAAUCUUCAAUUAAAUAGCACAUAACCAGGUCCAACUAUUUUCUUCGCUAAAUUACCAAAGCAAAUAAGGUAAUUAAGUAUUUAACCACUUCAAUGGCAAUCUGUAGUUGGCACUAUCGAGUGCCACUCAGCAAUUCUCAACACAUUUUGCCUCAACAAACAUAAUCAAAUAUAAUUUAGUAAUUAUUAUAAAUAACUACUAAUAACUCUUGGGUCUAGGUUUUAGGAUUUAGGGUCUUUUAAGUUUAGAGUUUAGGUUAUUAGUAUUUAUUUAUAAUUAAUUAUUAUUUAAUUAUGGUUUAAACAAAGCUACUCGGAUUUAUUUAUAUGUUUGUCACUAUUUUUUUAGGCAUAAUGAUUUUUUUGACCCUCCAACUUUAUAAAAAAAUUAUUUUAACCCUUCAUUUAAUUUUCUACCUCUUUUAGCCCUUAAACUUGCAUUGUUUGUCAAACCACCCUAAAUUGGAUGAAAAAGUUAACUUCUUUCAAUCCACAUAAAUGUCACGUUAGAAAUUAAUUAAUUUUUUAAAUAUAAAAAAGUAAAAAAAGUAAAAAAUUAUUAAAAAUACAAGAAAUAUUUUUUUAAUAUUUUAAUUUUUUAAAAAUCAAUUAAUUGCUUAUGUGAGAUACACGUGGACUUUCACAUGGAUGCCAUGUUAGCAAAGUUAACCGACAUUACUUUUUCCAUCUAUUUUGAGGUAAUUUGACAAAUAAUGCAAGUUCAAUGGCUAAAAGAGAUGAAAAAUUAAAUUGAGGAAUAAAAUGACUUUUUUUUUAUAAAGUUGAGGCCAAAUAAAUCAUUAUGCCUUUGUUUCAUUCAAUAACGAGGUUUGAUGUUGUAUUAUUAUUCACUCAAUAUUCUUGAUGAUCAGUCAUAUUUAAUUAUAAGAAACACUUAAUAUUAAUUAUAUGAAAAAUGUAUAUUAUUUUUAAAUUAAAAAUAAACACACGUGUAAAAUAUGUAAUUAGUAAAACAUGAAGUCAAUUUGCAUGUACAUCAAACUAUGCAUCAAUUCUCAAGUUCAGGUACAAUUUCUCCUUUGGUAGAGUCAAUAAUAUCCUUUCACACUAUCUUAUUUUGAUGCCACUAAACUUAAAUCUAACUUAAAAUAAUGUUAAAAAUUUCAUUUAUAGAAAACCAACAUAAGUGAGAAUUGAUUGAUUUGAUAAAAAAUAAAUAUAAUAUUAAAUUUAAAUAAAUAUUAAAAAUAAUUAAAAAAUAAUAAAAUUAUUCAUUUAAUUCGAUUGUGUAAUCUUUAACUUGUAACACAUACAAAUGUGCAUGAUAAAGUAUAUAGGGAUGGUAAUUAAGUUAGGCGGGGUGGAUAUUGUCAAUUCCAUCACCGCUCUACAGUUGGUAUGCUUAGUCCUAAUAUCUGCCAUGCUCCAUCAUGGGUGUAUGAUCUUGAACACUACCAUUACUAGCUCCAUAGAUAUUGGAUAUAUCUAUCUUCUCCCCGCUUCACUUAAUUUAAUUUUUUUAUUUAAAUAAUUUUAAUCUUUUAAAUAUAAUUUUUUGAAAAAAUAUAAUAUUUUAUUUUGUAAUAUUUUAAUUAUUGAAAUAAUUAAUAUUUUUAAUUAUAUUAAAUGAUUUGGAUGAUAUUAUUUUACAUCAAUUAUAUCAAAUAAAAAUAUAUUUUUAAUAAAUAAAAAGAAACACAAAAAAAUCAUUGGGGGCUAAAGUAUAAUUUUAUCUUUGUAUAUGCCUGUUAAUUUAGAAUUUUGAAGGGAUUAAAUUGGAAAAAUUUCAUCUUAGAGUGCCAAAGUGUAUUUUUACAAUUAAACUAACUUAUGAUUUUAAAAACUUCAAGGGACUAAAAUAAUAAUUAGCUUAGGGGUGAAGCCAGGAAAUUUCAUUUUUUGGGGAGGGGGUGGAAUUAAAUUGUUUAUUUUAACGAUAGUGAAAAUACAAUUUCACCAAUUUAAUAGCAUAUAUGUUUAUUGUAAUACCCAAUUUUAGCUCGGACUCACAAAAAAAUAAUAAACCCAAAAUAAUAAAACAAAGUCUAAGUCCAGUACAAAAUUAUAUCAUUUGGCCCGAUCGGAAUGGCCCAUUACUUGAAAAUGUUAAAGGUCCAUCUACAAGCUUAUGGAAACAUAAUCUUUAAGGAUAUGCAAUCUUAGAUAUGAUAUAUGCAAUCUUAGAUAUGAUAUGCAAUCUUAGAAGAUAUGAUUUUGUAAUCUUAGAGAUUUAAUUUGUAGAUACCAUUUAAUCUUAGCCGUUGAUGUAAUUGAUCUGUACCGUUGGAUUUGGGGAGGCUCAACUAUAAAUAGAGGCCUCUCCCUUCAUUGUAAAAGGGGGGAGUGGGAGUAAUAAUAAUUCUUAAAAGUAUUCACUUAAAUUUCUCUUUCUCUUGCGUUCUUAUUUUCUGUGGCUUGUUCUUAUUUUGUUGAUUUGUGUAUAAUUUAUCUAUUGAUUUGUAUAUUGUUCAUUUCAAAUCUUUUUUUUCCCUUUUUAUUCAUUUUCAAAUUCAUUAUUUUCAAAUUUGUUUACAUUUUAUUUUGCCUUAUAUUUUUUAUUUUAUACUCUUUGUUUUAAAUUCAUUGGUCUUUUAUUAUUGAUGCUAUUUAAUCCUCUAUUUAUUAUUAUUUUUUAUUAAAUUAAUUAUUUUAAUAUUAUUAAUACUAUUAUGUGGCAUCAUUAAUCUUGUAUCAUUAUUAUUUACUUUUUUAUGCCUUUAAAUUUCAAAAUUUGUUAUAUAUAUGCCUGUAUACAUACAUACGUUUUAUAAUAUAUACAUAUACGUACACAUUUUUUAAUUUUUUAUAAAUAUAUAUACACAUACUUUUAUAUAUUUUCUAUGUUUCAUAAUUUUAUAUACAUACUUAUAUUUUUUUACAUAUUAAAAUAUGUAUAUUUAUAUAUAUUUAUUUUUUUAUAAUUCACAACCAUAUAUAUUUUUCUUAAAUGUACAUAUAUAUAUAUAUAUUUAUAUUUUAUAAUUUUUAUCUAUUUUCUUUAUUAUUAUUAUUGCUUUACUUGAUGUUUAUUUAUUUCUUUAUUCACAUGACCAUUAUUAUAUUCUUUAAAUGUUUCGGUUUUAUUUGUUUAUUUACUUGAUAUUGUGUAUACAUGAUUGAUUUGUUUUUUUAUUUAUCUUUUCAUUAUUAUUAUUAUUAUUAUUAUUGUUCUUGAUCAUGCUAUUUAUAUUUAUAUUAUUACAAUUGUUAGUACUCCAUUAUAUAAUUGUACCCAAAUUUGUAUAAAGAGAAAAUUUUGAAAAAUAAAGGCAAUACUCGAUAUUUGGAAUCUUCGAGAAGAUUGAGCCCUAACGUAUUGGGUUCCAAAUCUUUCGUUGAAUCUGAAUAAUCGAGAAUGCUCUUUAAUCAAAACAUAAAUAAAAAGCUCAUUAUCGAGAAUUCAAUACGUUGUGUCCUAACGCAUUGGAUAUGACAUGUUGUUUUCUCGAGAUGAGGAUUUUUUUUUCUAAAAAUAAUAAAGGUAAUAUUCAAUGUUUAGAAUUUUGAGAAAUUGUGCCCUAACGUAUUGGGCUGCGAUUUCUUCAUCUGACUUAAACAAUUGAAUAUCCUUUUAAAUUUUAUUGCACGAGUUUUUUUUGGACAAGCUUGUUUUUGAGGAAGUGAAAUAUCAUGCCCUAACUCAUUGGGUGUGACAUUUUCUCUUUUCGAAAUGAGAGGGUUUUAUCGAGUAACUUGUUUUAUAUAAGUUAAAAAAAAAACAAAAGAUCGUAUUUUAAAUCUCUUCAAAGUUUUCAAUUUUCGACAUUAAGACAUUAAUUAAUUAACUAGGUACCAAUUUUUGGGCGUUACGAGGGUGCUAAUCCUUCCUCGUACGUAACCGACUCCCGAACCCGUUUUUCUGAAUUUCGUAGACCAAAAUCGUUGUUUUAAUAAAGUCAAAUUGCUUAUUAAAAAUAACCACUUUUUGAGGUGACCCGAUCACACUUAAAUAAAAAGGAUUAGUGGCGACUCCCAUUUUCUUUUUUUUUCUUUUCAAAAUCCAAGCCAACCCCAUUUUUCAAAAUAAAAAAUGGUUUCGACAUUUAUAAUUUUUAAAGGAUUAAAUCAAAAUUUUAUCAUUUUUGGUUGACCAAAGUACAAUUUUACCAUUAGUAAUUUAAAAUUUUAUAAAUUGUAAAGAGCUUAAAUAGAAAAUUGUCCACUUUGGGGGGCUAUUGGGGGUGUCAUCCCUAUAUAAACAUAGGGAUGAAGUCAGAAGUUUAUUUUUGGGUCAAAAUUCAAUUAUAAAAUUUUAAAAGGAUGAAAGUAUAAUUUUAUUUUUGUAUAUACUUAUUAAUUUAGAAUUUCAAAAGGACUAAGGUGGGACAUUUUUAUCUCUAGAGGGUCAAAAUGUAUUUUAUCAUUAACUUAUAAUUUUAAAAGAGCUUCAAGAAAAUCUAAAAUAAUAAUAAUUUUCCGUGCGGCCCGUCCCUGUAUAGACAGGGUGUAUAUAUAUACCGACGAUUUCAAACGUUUUUCACGUUUUGUCACCUUUCCAAGAAUGAUCCACGUGAAAAUUUGUUGCAUGAAAUCAUGUGAAUCCGUCUGCAACCAUAAAAUUUUACGAUUAUUUGCACUAAAAAAACCAAAUAAAAAUUGUGGAUAAAACACCACGUUAUCCAGAAUACUGAUUUGUUCAACGUUUUCUUUUUCCUUCCUUUUGCACAUGAAUAAUGACAAAGGAUCCAACCCCAUCGAUUUUCGCUACAAAUUCCAUGCUUUCUUAGUUUAAUCAUCAUCACACAAUCAAGUCAAGCUAUUUAGCUAUGGCUUCCACUGCCAAUUUCCCAUCAACUUUCAUCACUCUUCCCAAUUUCUCCAAAACAUGUCGAGGUUCCAUAUUUAGGAAGAAAAAGCUUUUCAACUUUGUUUCCAAGAAAGUAGUGUCGUGCAAAGCCAACAAUGCAGACUCCUCUCUCAAUAGGUUCGAUAGGAGGGAUAUCCUUCUAGGCCUUGGAGGAAGUUUUUAUGGUGCAACCAACCUUCUUGGUGGUGACCCAUUUGCAUUGGCAGCCCCAAUAGCCGCCCCUGACCUGUCUCAAUGUGCGGAAGCAACGGUUCAAAAGACGGGUCUUCCCACCAUGGGUGUCGCCUGCUGCCCACCAGUAUCAACAACUAUCAUAGAUUUCAAACCACCUUCCGUUCGUAAAAUACGGUAUAGGCCUGCAGCACAUUUAGUUUUUUCGAAUCGAGUUGAGUGAGAUGGAAUUCGAAUCGAAUCGAAUCGAAUCGAAUAUAUUUGUUCGAGUUAAAUUUUAAAAAAUAAUUUUGGGUCCUUGUAACCACUGUCACCCAUCCUAAUAAAAUUUGUCCACCUUAAUCAAAUUUUUUAUUAACUUUCAUCACCUCAUAAUUUAUUUAUUAAUUUUUUAUAUAUUAGUUAGCUUCUCUGCUUGCUUAGUUGUUUCAAUUAUCUUCAAAUUCUUGUCACGAUGUAUUUUGGAAUUAAAAAAAUAUAUUGAAUGUAAAAAUAUAAUUUUUUUUAAUAAAAGUUAUUUUAAAAAUAAAAUUUGAAAUUGAUACCAAUAUAAAAUUUUAAUACGAAUAUUUUAUGGCAUAAUUAAUAAUUCAAUUUUAAUAUAAAUAUUCAAUAUGACUAAACAAUUCAAUAAUAUAAAUAAUAUAAAAUGUGAAAUUUAAUUAUUAAUAUAAAUAGUAGAUAUAAAUAAAAAUUAUUACUAUUUAUGUUUAGUGAUUUUUUUUUGGAUAAUUUGAUUUUUUUAUUUGAGAGUAAAGGGUGAGAAGUAAAAGUGUAGGGGAAAAUAAAAGUUUGGGGAAUAAAAGUUUGAGGGAAAGUAAAUAGGGGGAGUAAAAUUUAGGAGGGAAAUAUUAAAAAAAAUUGGAGAGGGAGGGUUUGGGGUAGAUGGGAGGUGGGAUGGGAAGGGAAUAAAGUUUUAGGGAACCCGUGCGAGGUUGAGGUAACAAUUUUGGGGAAAAUACAAGGUUUGAGGGUUUUGGGGAGUACAAUUUGAGACCAUUAAUGGGCGCGUAAACCUUUUGGUGGGACACGGCUUUUGGGUCGCUUGCGAGGGUUGGGCGGGCGGCGCGUCCAGUUUUGGGGGGCACGUGGGAAGGCGUCACAGUUUUGCGGCCACGUCCCCACACGUUUGGGCGUUUGGGGUACACUGUACCCUUUCUCAUUUGAUCUUCGCCUUUUUGCGUUAUUCGAAUUCCACCCACUCAACUCGUUCGACACUCGAAUUUGCACACACCCCUUCGGUUGACUUUGAAUACUCGAUUAACUCGCCUACUCGAUUCGUUUAACUCGCAAUUCGACUUCUUUUGCUUUUUUCGAGUCGAAUCGAGUUUGUCUCACCCUACCUGGGACAAAGCUUCUAGAAAAAGGAUUAAAAUGUGAAGUACAGAUGAGGAGUGCAUGCUCGCUUAAAAUAAGAAGGGUGAAUUAAUUGUCCAAGUUGAUAUGACGCCGAACCGUUUGUUUACUCAUUGACAUUGAAUCUGGAGAGUGAAAUGUAUGAAGAACGCAAUUAAAAAAGGUAUCAUGGUUAAUGGCAUUUAAGGUUCGGGAAUCUUGGAUUUUCUGGUCCGAAGCUAUUGUUAAAAGAAAAUAUGGUUAACGGGCUGCAGAACUUAAUCCUCCUGAUCAACUGUGUGAAGCCUGCAUUAAAGGAAAACAACACAGACAGAGUUUUGAAGUCGAAAAAAUUCGACGAGCUAGGAGACUAUUGGAGAUCGUGCACUCUGACAUAGCAGGCCCUUUUAAUAUACCAUCACUUGGUGGAAACAGGUACUAUGUUACUUUUAUUGAUGAUUUUAGCGGAAAAAGUUGGAUAUAUCUUCUUAAAACAAAAUCAAAAGCAUUUGACAAGUUUAUCAAGUUCAAAGCCCUGGUAGAAAAACAAAGUGGACAUUUCAUUAAGAUACUCAGAACUGAUAGAGGUGAUUAGUAUACUUCAAAGCUAAUUGAAAGCUUCUGCAAGGAGCACGAAAUUAUUCACCAGUUGACAACUACGUACACGCCACAACAAAAUGGAGUCACUGAAAGAAAGAACUGCAUUAUUCUUGAUAUGGCAAGAAGCAUGGUUAAAUGUAAGCAUUUACCAAGAACUUUCUAGGCUGAUGCUGUUCAAUGUGCUGUUUAUUUGUUGAAACAGCGUCCAACAAAAAGUGCGAAAUACAAGACGCCAAACGAAGCUUGGAGCAAUCAGAAGCCAAGAAUCGAACAUUUUAAGAUUUUUGGAUGCAUCGUAUAUGCUUAUGUUACUGACCAGAUGAGAAAGAAGGUUGACACUAAAUGAGUAAAAUGUAUUUUCAUUGGUUAUGAAAAGAGAAGCGAGACAAAUAGGUUAUACAACACUCUCACUAAGAAAGUUAUUAUUUCAAGAGAUGUUGAAUUCGAUGAAGCUGAUUACUAGAGAUGGAGCGAAAAAGAGAGGAAAAUUGAAAGAUUAAUUUUCAGUGAUCACAAAGACGGCGACUUUAUUAAUCAAGAACAAGGAAACGAUCAAAGCCCUCCUCCAAGUCCUGUUGCAACAACUCUUACAACAUCAUCAUCACCAACCAGCAGCAGUACCAGCAACUUAGAGGAAGCACCUGCAAGAAUGCAUAGUUUACGCGAUAUUUAUGAUGUUACAGAACCCAUAGAAACAACACUCGAUUAUUCAUUAUUCUAUAUAAUGACAGAAUAUGAUCCAAUAACAUAUAAAGAUGCAAUUGAAGAUGUUAGAUGGAAAAAGGCAAUGGAUGAAGAAAUUACAGCGAUAAGAAGAAAUGACAUAUGGGAGCUAACAAGUCUACUAGAAGGACAUAGUCCAAUUGGAAUCAAAUGGGUGUACAAGACGAAGACCAACAAAGAAGGAAAAAUGGAGAAAUACAAAGCAAGACUAGUUGCAAAAGGCUACAAGCAAAGAUACGGUGUGGAAUAUGAUGAAGUAAUUACUUCGGUCGCCAGAAUUGAUACUAUAAGACUUCUCAUGGCAAUUGCAGCAUAAAAUAAAUGGAAAAUUUAAUCAGAUGAACGUGAAGUCAGCAUUCCUUAAUGACUACCUGGAAGAAGAAGUCUACAUUGAACAACCACCUGGAUAUAGCAAACAAGGACAAGAAGACAAAGUUUAUCACUUGAAGAAAUCUUUAUAUAGACUGAAGCAAGCCCUGAGAGCAUAGAACACAAGAAUAGAUGAAUACUUUUAGAAGAACGGGUUCAUGAAAAGCCCAUACGAGCAUGCUCUAUAUACGAAGAAAAAUAAAGUUGGUGACAUCAUGAUCGUGUGCUUAUAUGUGGAUGAUAUGAUUUUCAUAGGAAACAAUCCAGGUAUAUUCAAUGACUUUAAGAAAGUUAUGACUAAAGAUUUUGAAGUGACAGGUGAAAUGUCAUACUUUCUUGGAGUCGAAGUGAACCAAAUGAAAGAUGGAACAUUUGUGUCUCAAAAAAAGUAUGCGGAACAUAUUUUAAGAAAAUUCAGAAUGAAAGAUUGCAAGCCAGUAGCCACGCCCGUAGAACCAGGCAUGAAAUUAAGUGUUGGUUCAUCCAGAGAGUCAGUAAAUCCAACAUUGUUUAAAAGUAUCAUUGGAAGUUUAAGGUACUUGACUAUCACACGGCCAUACAUCAUGUACGUAGUGGGAAUAGUUAGCAAAUACAUGGAGAAGCCAAAACAAGAUCACCUGAUUGCAGCAAAGAAAAUUUUGAGACACAUCACAGGUAUGAUGGAUCAUGGUUUAUUUUAUACACACUCACAAAGUUCAAAAUUGGUUGGUUAUUUAGAUAGUGAUUAUGGUGGUGACUUGGAUGAUCGCAAAAACACAUCCAGAUAUUUAUUCCAUAUUGGCUCCGCGGCAUUUUCAUGGUCAUCGAAAAAGUAACAAACAGUAGCCAUCUCAACAUGUGAGGCAAAAUUCAUGGAUGUUGCAACAUGCACGUCUCAAGCAAUUUGGUUAAAGAAUAUUUUAGGUGAAUUAACUAUUAUACAAGAAGGUCUAAUUACAAUUUAUGUUGACAACAAGUCCAUAAUAUCUCUUGUAAAGAAUUCAGUGUGUCAUAGUCGAAGCAAGCAUAUCGAUACAAAGUAUCAUUUUAUUCGAGAGCAAGUGAAAAAUAAAAAUGUAGAGUUAGCUUACUCCAAAUUAGAAGAUUAAUUGGCGAAUAUUUUUACGAAACCAUUGAAAGCGGACAUAUUCUAUAAACUCAAAGAAAAGCUUGGAAUGAAAAGUUCAAGGGGAAGUGUUAAAAAACAAACCGACUUUCAAAGUCGGCAUAAAAAUUGCAGCCAAAGAAUUUCUAUCCAAAAUGGCUUGAAAUUGAAUUGCAAAAGUGGCUGCCACUUUGUAAAUUGGCCAGCACAAAUGAUAAAGGAUAAUGAUGACAGCAGCUUGAAUAGUCUUAGACGGCAAGGCUUGAUAAAGUUUAAGUCGGUUUACUAUGCUUAUAAAUAUGUAAGUAGAGUCUUAUGAAAUUAAAAUUAAAUGAGUGUGUGUGAAAACGUUAGUGAGCUUGAGAGGAAAAAAAAGAAAGAAAGGUGUUGUGAUUUGUAUAAAAAGGAAAAACUAGCAGCAGCUAGUAUAGAGAGAAAAAAGAGUUUAUAUUUGUAUUGUGUUUAUUUGUGUGUAAUAAAAAAUUAGUAUUUGAGUUAUGUUUAUUACCGUUCCAACAUAUUAUAUGUUCUAGUGUUGAUGGCAUUGGCAACUGAUGUUGUGUCCAAGAAGCUUGACGUCGUGCUCAUGACAUUGGCUGCUGUUUGUAGGCUCUAAUAUAAUGUUUCAAUGGAAAUGCCCCUAGUCCUGUAAUCAACAGAUGGUGCUAUACCCCUUAGAGUACUAUGGGGUCCAAUUUGUUCUUUACUUUUAUCAAUCAGACCACCACUGUGGCAGGAAUCAGAAACGAUUGUGAAGCUUAAUUAAUCUACUUGGUACUUGCUGAAUCAAGUGCCCCAAGUCGACGUCUGCGCAACCAUCGCAACCACCAUAUGAUAUGAAAAAUAGUUCGCUUCGAUUGAGGGUGUUUCAAUACUUUGAUAUAUUUGACCUCUAAUAAGAAAUCAACAUAUGGAGUGGGUGAUUAAUCCGAAUUGGGAGAAGGACAGGUGUUGUGAUGGACAAAGAGGAAGACAAGGUGGUUUCCAACAGAAGCAAGAAAGCUCUAGCAAAAGGCAGCUAGGUAUUCCUUUUCAGACGAAGAAGAUAAAAAUAUAGAACAUAUAGGGUGGUGGUCGAAGAUAAAUGAUUAUAACAACACUGAUAUGAUCUGCUUCGCCUUCGUCCAUCACCUCAUCUUUAUGUUUUUAUCUUGGUCGUGACUCACGUUGGCCUUCGUCUGCAAGUGCUGUCGGUCCUACAAUCGUGAUUCUGUUGCCUAGCCUUUGAUUUCUAUAGUUUUUAGAGGUGUUGAAUUAAAAUUUUAUUAUUUUUUGGAAAAAUUGUAAUUUUAUAAUGUUUAAUUUAUAAUUUCGUAGACUUUGAUCAAAAUAACAAUUUUUUAUUUUAUGGGGUAUAAAGAGUAAUUUUCAUUUUAAGGGGUCAUGACUAUAUCUGAUUAUGGACGACUACUUGAACAUUUGCCUAAAAAGUGAAAGGAUUUAGAUAAAAAUAUAGGCCUGAAAAAAAGACUUAGACAAAAAAUAAGACCCGUUUCUACACGAGUCGAGCCUUGAGUAAGAUUUUUCUGUUUGAGCUUAGCCUGACCCAGAUUUGCUUAAAAAGAAUUUAUUGGUGCUAUUUAAUGUUGUUUUGUUAUCAUUUUACUAUUAUUUUGGUGUUAUUAUCUGGAUAUUGUAUAACUUUGUUUUAUUAUUAAUUUUGCUACUAUUUUAGAGAUAUUUACUGGCUAAUUGCAACUACCUUAUGCUAUUUAAAUAUAAUAUUUUAAUUGGUUAGAAAAUAUUUAUUUUAAUAUUUUUAGUGUAUUUAUAUUUUUAAAUAAAAAAUAAUAUAAAAAAUUUAAUACGGGCGAGCCAGGUCGAGCUCAAGUUUAGCAAUUUUACCUAAGCUAGGCUUGGACAAAAUUUUAGAUUCAUUUUUCAAGUCAACUUGGUCCAUGAUCAGGUCUAGCCAUGAGCCCUACCUGCUCUAGUCAUUGCCUCUAGCAACGAGAUUAAUUCCAAUGAGAUUGAAAAUAGUGAUAGUGAUGAGAUUAAAAUCAAUAAUGAGAUGUGUUAACAAAUAUAUUUCUUUAUACACCUAAAUAAUGUAAACAAAAUAUUAAAUACUAUUUGCAAGUAACGAAAUAAAACAAAUAUUAUAAAUAAAAACAUUAAAUUAAAUUUGUUAACAGUUCUCCCAAGGUAAACAUUUUCAAUCACUCUAUGAAUGCCUCGAGCUUCUGGAACCUGCAUUCCAAACCUCCUCACCUAAUGAAUCCACUAUAAACACCUUGUUGAUUGGCUCAUAGUGAUGGAUAGGAGUGAGUAAAACUCGAUUGAUUUAGAAAAAUUAAAUUUCGAGUUAAUUGAAUUUAGUUAUUCGAGUUAUUUAAUUUGUUUUUAGUAAACUAGGAUAAGUAAUUCUAGUUUUGGAUUGAAGUCGGGUUAAAUUUUACAAUUUGAAUAACUCAAAUAGUAGAGUGGUGUAAAUACACUUUUGGCCCCUGUCAAUUUUGAAAAUGAGCAAAUUGAUCUCUCUCUCAACAAAAAUUACAAAAAAAUUCCAAAUGUUUAUAAAAAUUAAAAAAAAUCUAAAGAAUAUAUAAAAAAUUAAAAAAGAUUCUUAAAUAAUCAUUUUUGAGACCUAAAUAAGUAAAUUAAUUAUUCAAGUUUUUCAUACUGAAGUAUCUUUAUUUUCUCUUAUUUUUCUUUGAAUGAAUUUUCAAAAAUAUCUAAUUUUAAAUUUAUGUAAUGUAAUAUAGAAUUUAUUAUAUUGUAAAAAAAAUAAUUUUUUCACUCUAUUGGAACAAAUACACAUCCUUACUGGUUGAAAUUUAUCCGCAUAUAUCUUUUGUCUCUAACCGAAAAGGAUCUCUUCCAAAUUAAAGAUCUUGAAUUGGAGCGUGUCAUAUUUACCACAGACCGCUCCUAAUGCAUUCGGACACCCUGAGUUUCACAAUCUGGAACCUCCCUUAACCUUACUUAUAAAAUUAAAAAAAACUCUAAAUAAGACAAUAAAAACUUUUAUUUAUUUAUACACUAGAAUUUCACACAUAACAAACGCAGAGAUGCAUAAGAAAACAGCUGUAGGUAGAUAUAAGUCAACAGGCUGUCAAACUUAUUCUAGUAGUAGUGCAAAACAUAAGCACGUUAUUAUUGACGACACUGACAGCCUGAGCACCAGCAUUUUGAUCAGAAAUUUAAGCAAAGCCACCCAAGAAAAGUGUGUUUGUAUUCUCAUCACUGCAAUAAAGGCAAGGGUUCUGCUCGAAUCCAUUGUUCUUCAAAAUCUUGGCAGCCUCAACCACAAGGUUUCUGUUGCUUAUUCCAGCACCCCAGUGCUGAUUGAUUACGUUAACCACAGCAUCGGUGAACGCCCCAAAGGCUUUAUUCUCCAAGACCAGGUCAUAUGAUGUCUCAUUGGCUUCACACCCACUUAAUAAAAUCCCUUCAUCCUCCUCCAGUGGAUCCAACACCAUUAACCCAUCUACGUAGUGAGGAUGGAAUUUGAGACUCACAUCUUUCCCGAAGAUUCCGAAAAUCUUUUGGCCAACAUUUGCUGCGUCGUGUAGGAUGCCUGCUGCUGUAUCUAUCGCACUAUGUAUGAUAUCAAAAGUAAGACUCUUAGCCUUAGCCUUAGACGGUUUAGGCUUGUCGGUAUUUACUGUUGUCGUCAUAUGCUGACCACCAAAUUGUUCUUUCUCUUUUUCAAUGAGACCCCCACUGUGGCACGAAUCUGAUAGGAUUGUGAAGCUUGCUCCUUCUGGUAGCCGGUUAACUAAACGUCUGAAGUCCACAUCUGCAGAAACCAUGUAUAUAUAGGGUAUGAAUAUAUGUUGCUAAAAUAAAUAUAUAAAUUCAAACAAAAACCUACCGGUGACAAGAUUUAAAUCACAAGCCACGAUUGCUUCAUCUUGCUUGAAAGGCUGGCCAGGUUGAAAGAUUGGAAUGCGCGUUCCAUGUCCACUGAAGUAGAAAAAUAGGAUAUCUCCUGCUUUAGCCUUGUUCACCAUUCUAUUAAGUGCAUCCUUAAUGUUUGCACCCGUAGGCAGAACCGGCGACCCUGGCGCAUCGGUGAGGACAUUAACAUCGCUUUCCUUAAACCCAAUGUUCAGGAGGACACCACUUAUGGCGUUCACAUCAUUGAUGCAUCCAUGCAAGCUGAAUUGGGUCUUGGGGUAGUUGCAUCCCACCAGAACUGCUCUCUUCGUACCCUUACUCAUCUUGCUUCGCUAAUUUGACUAUUUUGUGUUGCUUGUACCGUUGAAUUAAUGUGCUUCCACUGUCUCACAAAGAACCUAUAUAUAUACACACUAAUUUACAGCACGUGUACUGACCAUAAAGAUGACGACAUGUAGGUAGGUAGGUAGGUAGGCAGGUACAACACUUUUGUUUGUCUUUUGUAUUUUGGAAAAUGCAUGCGAAAUCCAUGCAUAUGCAAACAUUUUGUGCAAGGAACUUGCAUAUCAGUACUGCACAAAAGAGUGACUCUGGAGUUAUGGAAUUAUUUGAUAAUAUUGAAUAUGAAAUAAAUUAAAAUAAAAGAGUGGGUGAUUAAUCCGAAUUGGGAGGAGGACAGGUGUUGUGAUGGACAAAGUGUAAGACAAGGUGGUUUCCUACUGAAGCAAUAAAGCUCUAGCAAAAGGCAGCUAGGUAUUCCUUUUUCAGACAGAGACGAUAAAGGAUAGAAAAUAUAGGGUGGUGGUCGAAGAUAAAUGAUUAUAACAGCACUGAUAUGAUCUGCUUCGCCUUCGUCCACCACCUCAUCUUUAUGUUUUUAUCUUGGUCGUGACUCACGUUGGCCGUCGUCUGCAAGUGCUGUCGGUCCUACUAUCGUGAUUGUGUUACCUGGCUUCUGAUUUCUAUGUAUUAGGGUCUAUUUGAAUGUGAGGUUGGUGUAGGGGUGAGGUUACAAAAUUGAUUUUAAGGGUUAAAAGUUAAAUUAUGUAUCUAUAUAGAUUAAAGAAUUGUUAAAUCAAAAUUUUAUAUUUUUUUGGAAUAAAUUGUAAUUAUACAAAGUUUAACUUAUAAUUUUAUUGAUUUUAGCGAGAUUUAAAUAAUAGUUUUCUAUUUUAGUGGUAUAAAGAGUAAAUUUUAUUUUAAGGGCACAAUUAGACUUGAUUAUGAGUUUGGUCACCCUCCAAGCCUAAUGGCCCUCUUGAAAAAUGAGAGUUUGGGCAAAAUAUAGGUCCGAAAAAUAGGCUUGGACAAAAAAUAAUGCCUAUUUUCCAAAUGGGCCGAGCCUCAGGUAAGAUUUUUUUGCUCGGGUCCAACCUGACUUGAAUUUGCUUAAAAAAUUUUCCUUCCUAUUGUUAAUUGUUGUUUUGCUAUUAUAUUGUUACUUAUUUGUUAUUACUGUUUGGAUAUUGUAUAACUAUUGUUUUAUUGUUAAUUUUGUUACUAUUUUAGAGACAUUUGCUUGCUAAGUUACAACUAUCUUAAUGUUAUUUAAGUAUAAACACUUUUUUUAAUGUAUUUUCAAUUUGUUGGGAAACAUUUAUUUUAAUAUUUUUAAUGUAUUUGAUGUAUUAUAUUUUUUAAAAUAAUAAAUAGUAAAAAAUAUUUUAAUAUAGGCAGGUCGGGCCAUGCUCAAGUUUGGCAUUGUUUUAUCUAGGUCGGGCUUGAACAAAGUUUUAGGCCCAUUUUUGGUUCGGGCAGGGCCUGAGCCUAGAAAAUAGGCCUAAAAUCCCAACUCGAUUGAGCCCAUGAUCUAGUCUAGCCACGACCCCUACCUGCUCUGGUCACCGCCUUUGGAGACAAGAUUAAUUCUUGUGAGAUUGAAAAAAGCGAUGGCGAUAAGACUAAUUACUAUAGCAGUGAGAUUAGUUACUACGGUGAUGAUAUUAAAAUUAGUGGUGAGAUGUGUGUUAGGAUUCAAACAAAGCAAUGGCAAAAAGAUAGAUUUUGGAUUUAUAGUAAGAAAGCAAAAUGACUAUUAUGGACAAAGUAGUUUACACCUUUUCGUAUAUUUUUCUAUGAUUAUUAUUUUAAUGAUAAAAACGUCAUAUUUAAUAUUUUAUUUAAAUAAAUCGUGCAUAUUACUUAACAUAAAUUUAAAAUUUCUAACUAUUUGUUUUAUUUAAGAAUACUUUUAAUUGUUGAAUAAAUAUUAAUAUAUAUAACAUUUUAGAUCGCUAUGACAAAAAUAUCGAAUCAUUUUAAAAUUUUGCAUGUAUGAAAAGUACAAUAAUAUUGAUAAAUUUAAAGGUUGGUGUCACAUCUCAAAAACAGGAUUAAGAAAAAUUGGAUUAGUGAAACCAAUAAUGGUCUUGUUCUGUUUUGAUUUGGGAUUGUGAAAAUUAUAUUAAGUGAAUUAAUUUAACUUAAUGAAUAAGUAAUUUAUUUGUGUGUUGAGGUCUUGUGCUCAAAUUCUUUUCUUUAAAUUUUUAUUAAUUUUUGUUUCAACCUUUGAUUUUGAACACCUAACUUAUAUGUUAUUUUUGCUGAACUAAUAAUAAGGAUGAGCCUGGGGUUCAUCGGCAAGGUUUCAACAUAUGGUCCUGUACUGUUUGAAUAUUGUAUCAACAAAGUUGAAUUUUUUUUUGUUUUAUUUUAAACUUUGGGAAAUUUUCUUAGGGUUAAUUAAUAGAUUUAGUGGUUGGUUUUAAUAAUAAUAAUAAUAAUAUUGAGAUUUUGGGCCAGUUCUUUAUUGUUUUUGAAAAUUACUUUUGAAAAGUAUUGUGGAGAAGUGCUUUUGAAAAUUUUGAGUGUUUAGUAUUGCUGUCAAAAAAUACUUUUGAAAAAUAAAAUGUCCAUUUUAGACAUGAUAUUAUAAAGUAACAAAUAUGUAUUUAAAUAAUGUUCAAAUUAAAUAAUAUUAUGAUAUUUUAGCAAAAAUAUAAUAAAUAAUUUAUUGUUAAUAUUUUAAUAUAUAAUAUUAAUUUUAAAUAUUUCUAAGUAAUUAAUAUUAAUUAUUUAUUAAAUUUAAUUAGAAUGUAUAAACUAUAUUUAAAUAUUUAAAUAUAAUAAUUAAAUAUUUGUAAUUAGACAUAUUAUUUUAAAUUUUUUUAUUUUUAACUAGUACUUUUAACACAUUUGUAUUAUUUUUAUUUUAAAAUGUAUUUGAAUAUAUAACUCAUAUUAGAUAUUAACAUAACAUAGAAAAUAUAAACCUAACAAAUUAAAAUAUUACAUAUAUUUAGAUUAAAGUUUUAAAAAGGGAUAAUAUUUAUAUACCAAAUAUAAAUACUAAAAAUUUUACAAUAGCAUUUACAAUUUAAAGUGAAUUCAUUAAACUAGAAGCUAUAACAUCUCUUGUUAAUUUCAUUUCAAAACCACUUGUAUUGUUUGAUUCACCGUCAUCAUCAUCACUUUCUCGACCAUGUGCAUUUUUUGAAUCAAUAAUAUUCUCAUAUGCCCAGUUAAUAUCUUGAUAUUUAAUCCAGGGAAUUGUUUGAAGGCGCAAGGAGUGCCUACAGUCCAUCAGACAAAAAAUUUCAAAAUUUAAUCCAGUGAUCAAUCUAAUAUCACCAAAAAGAUAAUGAAAAACCAAUAGACAAUAAUUUCUCAAUACAUACAAUAAUUUCAUAUUUAUAAAUAAUUUCUCAACGGUAGAUUUAGUGGUUGGUUUUAAUAAUAAUAAUAAUAAUAAUAAUAAUAAUAAUAAUAAUAAUAUAUUAGAUAUUGAGAUUUUGGGCCAGUUCUUCAUUAUUUUUGAAAAGUGCUUUUGAAAAGUGUUCUGGAGAAGUGCUUUUGAAAAAUUUGAGUGUUUGGUAUUGGUAUUACUGUCAAAAAAUAACACAAAAAAGAUAAUGAAAAAUCAAUAGACAAUAAUUUCUCAAUACAUACAAAUAGACGGUUGACUCCAGAAUAAAGUUAUCUCAAGGAGUCACAUACUUUUGCUACAAUAUCAGCACCAAUCUGUUCAUCUAAGUCUUCCAUUGAAUUCUUUAUUGUGUGAAUCUACUCUGACAAGUGUAUAUAAGUUGCACCACCACCAGGUACUAUCCCUUCAUCCAUGGCAGCACAUGCAACAUUCUUUGCAUCUUCAAUUCUUAGUUUACGGUCUUCAAGUUCCAUCUCAGUAUGCACUCCUACCUACAGUUGUGAUGCAAAGUUCUUAACAAUUUGAAGCAGAAAAAGAUGUGGGUAUGGUAAAACAUUGAGUUAUGCAUUUCAAUUUCAGUAUACACUGCGUCAUGAUUGCAAACCUUAAUGACUGCCACACCACCAGGGAGUUUAGCAAUUCUUUAUGAGAGCCUUUUUGACAAGUAUGUCUUGAGAGUUAACCAAGUCAAACUAGACUUGUUAUCACUCCUAUUCUUUAGGAUCUUAUUCUACUUAAAAUUCAAAUUCAAAUUGUGAAUAGCUGUAGAUAACACUCUGAUGUAAUCUUGUAUAUAUUUGCUAUCAAUAGUCGAAUACAAUUGAGCUGAAUUUACAAACCAAAAUCACUAUCUUUCAUGGUAUCAGACUGCCAGUAAAAAGGUUUCAAUCACCGCCUCCUCUCCUUUUUUUUUUCCUCAUGGCCAAUUCGACUGUUUCCUCUCCACCUUUCAUGCCAAAUCAAAUCACCAUCAAGCUUACUCCCUCUAAUUACCUCCUGUGGAAAACACAAAUGACCCCUCUCUUAUAUAGCCAAAAACUCAUGCAUCAUGUCGACGGCACAGCAGCUCCUCCCAAGACCAUUGACAAUGCUCCUAACCCGGCCUAUGAGCCCUGGUUUCUUAAGGACCAAAUGGUUAUUAGCUGGAUCCUUGGCUCGUUGUCUGAGUCAGUGCUAUCUCAGGUAGUCGGAGCCAUUACCGCAUUCGCAGCUUGGACAAAGCUGCAUCAAACUUUUGCUUCCGAAUCUCGGGCUCAAAUCUGGACCCUUAAAGGCUCUCUUCAUGCCUUAUCUUGUGGCGAUGAUUCAAUCGUCAUAUACAUGGAUCGUGUGAAAUGGAUUUUUGAUCAACUCGGGGCUCUAAAUGCGGCUAUUUUUGAAGACGAUCUUGUCGAUCAUAUUUUACGAGGACUUGGUACCGAUUAUCGACCAUUCGUUCGCAAUCUAGAGGCAAAACUACAGUCAACAUCCUUUGAUGAUUUGUUUGGCUUAUUACUUUCUGAGGAAUUACAAUUGAAAGCUGUUCAAGAGCCUCUUCAUCUUACUGCCGUUGCCCACUUUGUCGGUCGGCAGCCUUCUGCUUUCGCUAAUCGUGGACGGGGUCAUAAUAGUAAGCACAAUGGCAAUUAUUCCAGUCGUGGCCGAGCUGCCUCCCCGCCCAAGGAUCCAACAUGUUACAACUGCAAGGGACGUGGCCACACAAGUCGUCAGUGUCCUAGCCCAAGAUAUGCCGAGUCCUACCCCAAACCCUCAGCAAACUAUAGCUUGUCUCCUUAAACAAAUCCCAAGCCAUGGAUCGUUGAUACCGGUGCCACUCAUCAUUUGACAUCUGAAUUGGGAAACCUGGGCAUUCAUUCUGAGUACACUAGUUCCGAUGAAGUCACUUUCACCAAUGGUAAAACCUUACCUAUCUCUCAUGUUGGCUCGUCUGUCUUAACUCUUAAUUCUCAUCCUUUCAAAUUGUCUAAUAUUCUUUAUGUUCCUGAGGCUAACCUAAAUUUAUUGUCUGCUCCUCAGUUUACACUCACUAAUGAUGUCUCUGUUGAAUUUUUCCAUGAUUAUUUUGUGGUUAAGGAUCGACGGACGAAGCAAAAUCUGCAUAGAGGGUACAUCGAGAAUGGUUUAUAUCGCCUAGCCACUGAUCCAGUAUCUCCUGCUUGUCAUUCAGUUUCGUUGUCUACAUGGCAUGCUAGACUAAGCCAUGCUUGCUCAAACACUGUCAAUAAAGUUCUUAGUUUCAAUAAAUUGUCUGCUUCUAAUAAGCAUGAUUCAUCUCUUUGUGAAACUUGCUGUGUUAGUAAAUCACACAAAUUGUCUUUUUCGGAUUCUACUUAUGAAGCAAAGCAACCGUUAGAGUUAGUUUGUUCAAAUUUGUGGGGUCCUUCUCCAAUUGCUUCUAGUGAUGGUUUUCUAUAUUAUGUGGUGUUUUUUUAUCAUUAUAACAAAUAUACUUGGAUCUAUUUUCUUCUUCGUAAAUCGGAUGUUUAUAAUUGUUUCAUUCAAUUUCAUGCUAUUGUUGAGAAAUACUUUGGUUUACCUAUUAAGCAGUUCCAAUCCGAUUGGGGUGAGGAAUUCCAAGCCCUUGAAAAAUAUUUGGCCUCUGAAGCUAUAAUCCAACGCAGCUCUUGUCCCCAUACCCUUGAACAAAAUGGCUGCGCUGAAAGAAAACACCGUCAUAUAACCGAAACUGGUCGCGCCUUGUUACAUCAUGCCUCUGUCCCUCCCAAAUUUUGGGAUCAUGCCUUUGUUGUUGCUGUAUACACUAUCAACCGUCUCCCAACUCCAAAAUUACACCAUAAAUCACCCUACCAAGCCCUUUUUCAUCGUGACCCUGAUUACAAGUCAUUGAGAAUUUUCGGUUGUUGUUGCUAUCCCUGGUUGCGUCCAUACACCAAAAAUAAGCUUGAGCCUAGGUCUGCCAAAUGUGUUUUUCUUGGUUACAGUGUUCUUCACAAAGGUUAUAAAUGUUUAUCUUUGUCCACCAAUAAAGUGUUUUACUCACGCCAUGUUAUUUUUGAUGAACAGGUUUUUUCAUUCAAGUCAAGUGAUGGGCACGUAUCGGUUCUCGGUCCUCCACCUUCCCCGACAACCAUUUUUUCUCUUGGCCAUCGCUCCGAUUCUAAUCCAUUACCUGCCGUCCCACUACCUACAGCCCUAUGCCCCAACCAGCAGCUCCCUACUGUCCCAAGUACCCCCCACCGACUGCCGAUCAAUCUCUUGCCAUCACUACCGUGUCCUCCCAACCUGCUCCCAUUGUUCCCAAUGACCCUAUCACAUUCCCGAUAGGUUCUAGCAGUCCCAAUGCUUCUCCUACCACUGCUCAGGCACCUACCGUGCGUCAUUCAAUGACUUUACGCUCCCAUACUGGCUCACUUAAAUCAAAGGUUUUUCAUGCUGCUGCGUCCACUACACUGUCAGCCCCUUCGUCAUACAUUGAAGCAGCAAAACAGUAAGUAUGGCGUGCUGCAAUGGGAGAAGAAAUUGAUGCUCUUCUAUCAAACAGCACAUGGGAUCUUGUUCCUCGUUCUCGAGUUUCGAAUAUCAUUGGUUACAAGUGGGUAUACCGUGUAAAAACAAAAGCGGAUGGUUCCUUCGAUAGAUGUCGUGCGCGGUUGGUUGCAAAAGGGCUUCAUCAAAGACCAGGCCUUGAUUACGUUGAGACUUUCAGCUCUGUAAUAAAGCCGGCCACCAUAAGGUUAAUUCUUUCCAUUGCCGUCAAUCGUCAUUAGCCCAUUCGGCAACUUGAUGUUUCGAAUGCCUUUCUUCACGGGAUUCUUGAUGAAACUGUUUUUAUGGAACAACCACAGGGAUUUGUUGAUCAUUCUAAACUUGAUUUUGUAUGUGCUCUAAAGAAAUCGUUAUAUGGUUUAAAGUAGGCGCCACGAGCUUGGUAUUUUUGCCUUUCGAAUGCACUACAACAGCUUGGUUUUCACAGUUCCAAGGCUGACAGUUCGCUGUUUAUAUAUUCAGGUAAUGACGAGUAUGCAUAUUGCUUGGUCUAUGUUGAUGAUUUGGUGUUGACAGGAUCAUCCUUUUCGUUGUUACAACGGUUUAUUGCUCAACUUGGGAAGGUUGUUGCGCUCAAGGAUUUAGGACCGCUAUCCUAUUUCUUGGGUGUUGAAGUUGCGUGGUUCUCGAGUGGCUUGCAGCUCACUCAAUCCAAAUAUAUCAAAGAUUUACUCCAUCGUGCGAAUAUACAAGAUGCAUCGUCGGUUUCGACUCCUUCAACGCCGCAAGCCGACCUCACCGGCACUACUUCUUCUACCUUUGAUGAUCCUAAGCUUUAUCGACAGCUUGUUGGGUCUCUUCAAUAUUUGGCACUCACUCGCCCCGACAUAACCAUGGCAGUAAACAAAGCUCUGCACAAUUUAUGCAUUCUCCUUGCCUCCAUCAUUGGCAAGCCGUGAAACGGAUCCUACGUUACCUUCGCGGCACAAUUGAUCAUGGUCUCAUGCUUCGCUCUUCUCGCCAAGCUUCACUUGUUGCUUUUUCGGAUGCUGAUUGGGGUGGCGACAAGCUUGAUCGAAAGAGCACUUCUGCAUAUGUUGUCUUUCUUGGCUCCAAUCCGAUCUCUUGGAUUUCUCGUAAGCAAAAGACUAUCGCUCGUUCAAGCACGGAUUCGAAAUAUCGAGCUUUAGCAUCAGCUGCUUCGGAGGUUUAUUGGCUUCAGUGCCUUCUUCGGGAACUCAAUUACAAGCUUCCAACAACGCUGGAAGUAUGGUGCGAUAACGUUUCCGCUACCUAUCUAGCUGCGAAUCCCGUUUUUCAUUCUCGUAGUAAGUACCUUGAGUUGGACUUUCAUUUUGUCCGAGACCAAGUACGCUAGAAAAAUCUUCUCGUCUCCUAUGUUCCGACCAUUGAUCAAAUAGCCGAUGUCUUGACGAAACCUUUAUCGACAACUCGGUUUCUUACACUUCGAGACAAACUGAUGGUGACUUCCCCCAUCCGUUUGUGGGGGGCUGUUGAGAGUUAACCAAGUCAAACUAGACUUGUUAUCACUCCUAUUCUUUAGGAUCUUAUUCUACUUAAAAUUCAAAUUCAAAUUGUGAAUAGCUGUAGAUAAAUUGAUUUUAUUAUUAUGAGAGUUAACCCGGUUUGUGUAAGGGUCAGGUUAGAAAAUUGAUUUUAAGGGUUGAAGUUAAAUUAUGUAUCUAUAUAGUACUUAGAAGUGUUAAAUCAAAAUUUUAUUAUUCUUUUUUGAAAUAAAUUGUAAUUAUACAAUGUUUAACAUAUAAUUUAAUAGAUUUGUCUAAAUAGUAAUUUUUUAUUUUAGACGGUAUAAAGAGUAAUUUUUAUUUGAAGGGGCUACGAUUAGACCUGAUUAUGGGUUGGGUUAUUCUUUCAAACUCGAAGACCUGCCCAAAAAGCGGGAUUGUUUAAGCAAAAAUAUAGAUUUGAAAAAUAGGCUUGGACAAAAAAUAAUGUUUGUUUUCCAAACAGGUUGGGUCUCAGUUAAUAUUUUUUGCUCAGACCCGACCCUGCUCGAAUUUGCUUAAAAAAAAUUUCCUGCUGCUUUGCUACAAUUUUGCUAUUAUAUUGCUACUAUUUUAUUGUUAAUGUUUGAAAAUCGUAUAAGUUUGUUUUACUAUUAAUUUUGCUAUUAUUUUAGAGGCAUUUUCUUGCUAAGUUGCAACUAUCUUAUUGUUAUUCAAGUAUAAUUUUUUUAAAUGUAUUUUCAAUUUGUUGAAAAAUAUUUAUUUUUAUUUUUGUAGUGUAUUUGAUAUAUUAUAUUUUUUAAAUAAAAAUAAUAUAAAAAAAAGUUUAAUACGGGUGGGCUGAACCAGGCAUAGGUUUGGCAUUUUCUUAUCUGGACUGGGCUUGAUCAAAAUUUUAAGCUCCUUUUUCAAGUCAAGUUAGGCCCAAGCCUAGAAAAUGGGCCUAAAUUCCCAACUCGACUUAGCCCAUGAUCAAUUCUAGCCACGUCCCUAUUUGCUCUGGUCACUACUAGCGAUGAGAUUAAUUUCAAUGAUAUUAAAAAUAGCGGUGACGAUGACAUUAAAUACUAUAAUGGUGAGAUUAGUUACUAUAGUGAUAAGAUUAAAAUCAGUAGUGAAAUGAUUUUGGGAUUCAAACACAACAAGGACAGUAAGAUAGAUUAUAGAUUUAUAGUAAAAAUGCAAAAUGACCAUUAUGGACAUUAAACUAAAGUAGCUUACACCCUUCCAUAUGCUUUUGUACAAGUAAUAUUUUAAUGAUAAAAACGUCAUAUUUAAUAUUUCAUUUAUAUAAAUCAUGCAUAUCUUUAACAUAAAUUAAAAUUUUCUAACUAUUUAUUUUAUGCAUGAAUACUUUUAAUUGUUUAAUAAAUGUUAAUAUAUACAAUAUUUUAGAUCGAUAUCAUAGAAGUAUAGAAUCAAUUUGAAAAUUUAAAUGCAUGAAAAGUGCAAUAAUAUCGAAAAAUAUAUGAAAGCGUAUAAAUUUAAUUUAGUUUCACACUGGUGUAAGCAGAUCCCUCCCCUUUUAAUGUGCAAAAUUAAUUAUAUCAUUUAAAUUUAUGCAUUUAAUAUUAUUUAUAAAUAUAUUUGUUUAUACACCUAACUAAUGUAAAUAAAAUAUUAAAUACGAUUUGAAGUAAUGAAAUAAAACAAAUUUUAUAAAUAAAAAUAUUAAAAUUGUUGAAAAAUAUGGAAAACGUUGAAUGGGAUUAAGUAAGCAUUUCCAAUCACUCUGUGAAUGCCUCGAGCUUCUGGAACCUGCACUCUAAAAUUCAGACUAAUACAAAAUGUUACAUGAAAGAAGUUAAAAUCAUGAAAUAAGUACUUUUCAAAAUUCAGUAUUUACACUUGCCCAAUAAUAUAAAUAUAUUCAGCAUUUAAUUUUCUGUGACAUACAUAAAAUUUUAAUAAUACAAAUUCAGUAUUUUUCUUGGGUUUAUCAAACGAAAACUGAUUAACAAGGAGAUGUUAAUUGAAGUAGAUAAAAUUCAUUCCUAACAUCACUUGAAGAAGGUUACAUGGCAUCUCAGAAAAUGAAGGGUAAGCAUUCUGAAAAGGUUAGUUUCUUCAGAUACUUUCAAAAUACAAAUUUCAGACCAUAUCAUUCUGUGUACACAUGAAAGGCAUCAAAGUAGCAGUUGAACUUACGGGGAUCUUUAGGGGAAAGAAAGGAGAGAGAAGACCACAGACAAUGAAAUCCAUACAAGUAAAAAAAUGCACAACAUACUCCAUGAUCCAUGAUUUUAUGAGAAGACUCUUUUGAGGAGAACUUCCUAGGUCGACUUAGAAUAUAUGAAUGACAGUCUUCUAUAGAACUUCCUAAAUACAGUCAGUUUUAAAAUUCAAAAAAAGAAAAAAAGAAAAACCUUGAUUAAUUGUCAGUUAUGUCCUUUUCAACUAGCUGGUUACAUACUGCAUAUGAAUGCUGACAAACAUUACUUGCGCCCAUCAGCUUAUGCGAGAUUCUCCAGUGUUGUAUGAAGAGGUUCCUUGAAAUGAUUCCCUAGCAAAAUGGCAAUACAGUGGCAAAGGUGAUAUUUCCGACAUCACCUAGGUUAUUUUUAUUUGAUUUAUCUGUGAAGUUAUGGUUCUUUCUUUCUAAUAGAUUAUCUAUCAAGUUGAUUCAAGUAAUUAAGCUUAUUGGCUAGAAAUAAACAAAGAAUCUUGGAUUUCUAAAUUCUUAAUAAGAUCAACUAUAUUUGUUGAAGGAUUCGGUGUAUGCUAAAGUUGCACCAAAAUCCACAGCCAAAUACUCAAAAACUCUGUUUGUAUAUACUAUAUUGUCAUUCAAAAACUGUCAGUCAAUUGCUCAAAAACAAACCUUCUGAAAGUAGUGUUUGAUAUCUUUCAGCAAGGUAUCAAUAGUCUCAGAAAUGGACAGACAUACUUCGGUGCCACUGAAAACAAAUAAAUAAGAUCAUAAUGUUUUGUAUAACCUAAGAUCAGAGAAAUGUUUAAGUAUGGCGCAUAUACCUGAACUUUGCAUCAUUCUUAGGAAUUGAAGGUAGCCUAGUCAGCCUUCUGGCAGAAACACUUCCUCUAAGAUUUAAGUGAUAAUGAUAUAUCUUACAGUCUACAGAUUUACCUUGCAUGACCUAAUCAUUUUUAAAAGCUUAUUUAUGCUUUUGAUGAACUCAUUUGAAAGAAAACCAGCCAAAACCAUACCGUUUCAACUUCAAAAUGACAUGAUUUCAAUGCAUAUUUUCCAAUUUAGAAAUAGCUUCCUAUUUUUCUGAAAGAUCGCGUCACAAAAAAUCACAGUUAAUAAUUCUAAUUAUAGUUACGCAAAAAUUAAAGGAAGAAUGAAAAGCAUUCACUUGAAACUCGAACGAUUGGAGGAGAGCUAUUGAGAACGACUGAUAGUCGGCAAAGAUUUUCGGAUAAACGGCAUCUUUGAAUAGCAAAAGAAAUUAACUGACAAUACGAAAAACGAAAGGAAAUUAAAGAAAAAAGGAGAUUAGAGUGGAUUAACAUAUUAAUAUUUAGUUUUUUCCAAACCUAAGAUUGCUUAAGGUAUCUAUUAUUUGGUCCGUAAAAAUAUAUUGUGAAAAUUUUAUGGACUAAACACCAUUGUAAAUCACAUAUUCCAGUUUCGGUAAGUAAAGUUAAAAAAAUUUUAAAAAAAUUCAGAAGAACUGAAACAUCAAUGAAACCCCAAUUUUCUAAUUACCCAACCAGCAUAAGCUAGAAUUCAGAAGAAAAGAGAAAAUAAAUUACAGCAGAUCUAGAAAUUAAAGAAAAACACAAAAAUAAAAAGCCAAUAAGAAAUUUUUUUUAAAAAAAAAAAAAAAAAGAAAUGAAGAAGAGCUGUCUUACCUGAGACAAUGUCGAUUGAGACUAAGAAAAGACUAAUAUUUUCUUCAAUGUGAGGAGCAGCAAAAAUAGAAAAACAAUGGACGAGAUUUUGGGGUUUUCAAGCAAUGAAAAGAUUGAGAAAAAAAGGGACGGGAUUUUGGGGUUUCAAUCAAAGAAAAGUCUUGAAAAGAAAAGGGAAAUGUUUUGGGGGGUUUCUAGCAAAGAAAAGAUUGAGAAAGAAAAUAAUUCGUCCUUGGAGAUAAGGCAUAACUUGUAUCCAUGCGCUUCAUAUUCGCCUGGAGUUCGCUCCUAGAAAUAUAGCCAUCUCUACCCCUCACGUCAAUCCCACAAGCCUCUUAUCCAUUCUUAUUUGAUCACGGAGGGGAAGGCAAAAUAGAAAAACUCACAUUGGGUUUAGGGAUAAUCAGGCUCGAACUGAUGACUUCACCGCGUCAAGGUGAUAUCACUGAAAAACGGUUUGCAGUGUUUUUACCACAAAUGCCGUUAUUUCUUACUUUUGUGGUGUUUUUAUCAUAACCGCUGCUAUACUUUACCUAUUGCGCUAUUGUUUUAUCUAUUGCAGUGUUUUUUUGUUAGCGCCACUAGUGUAUAAUAUUUGCGGCGUUUUUUGUCUAAGUGCACUAAAAAAACCUUAAUUUCCUAUAGUGGAACCCUAUGUGAUGGCAUGAUGGUUAAGAGUAUUCAUCAUCCUAGGUGAUGUGUGGGUUCAAAUCGUGCUAAUUACGUUUGUCGUUCGAGCUUUGCCCUGUUAUUGUAAUUCACCAAAAAAGAAAAAGUUAAUAUUUUGUUUUCAGGGUUUUUAUAUUUGUUAAGAAAUACCAGUGACUAAAUGGCUUAGGUACAAUUAAACAAAGUUUAUAAUUUAUUGGGAUAUAUUUUAAAAUUAUAUAUAAAUAUUUAUUCAAUGUGUAAUUUAAUACGUAAAUUUUAAUUUUAUACAAUUAUAUAUAUGAUUUUUUUAUAUCAAAUUCCAUAUUAAACUAUUAGAAUUUACGUAGAUUCAAAAAUAAUAUUAUUUUUUUUGGCUCACAUGCAAUUUAUUUAGAUACGUUACGCAUACCUCACUCAAAAUUUUUAAAAAAAAAAUUAUGAAGGCAAGUUAUGUUUUUAUGGAUGUAAUUUAGUAAUACAAAUAUUUUAUUCUUUAGCUGAAAAAGAUAGGUUUUUUUUAUAAUUUAAUUAAAAUUUACGAUUAUCAUUCAAUUUAGUGUAGCUUUUAGAGAUGACAAUGGAGCGGGGUGAGAGUAAAUAAUUGUUAAAUUUAUUAUCGCUCCAUCAUUUACAUUCAUUCUCGACGCAACCCAACCCACUUUGCUCUACUUCAAUUUAUUUUUUGAUAUUUGUCAUUGAUAUUUUCAAUCUUUUUAAAGUUAUAUAUUAGGGUUAUGGUUCUUAAAUUAUACAUAAAGUAACUUUUUUAAUAUCCCAUCUUUAGAAAAAAAAAAGAGCCACCUUCUCUAAAUUGCUUUUGUGCUAAUUUGGAAGAUCAAAACUUCAAUGUCCGUAUAUUUCAAGAAAUCAAUGAAUUAAGGUAUACUUUCGAAUCUAGUUUUGUUCUUGAUGAUUUGACAUGAUAGAUUCUGAUUUACAGUUUUAAGUUCAUAUCAUAUUUUGUUUUACGGUUCUAAUAAGUGGCAUUCGAGCCUCGUCAUGUAGAAUCAUUCUACUUCUAGCUAGAGCUUCUUCUCAUUGAUUUUCUUUUCUUUUAUUAUUUCUUUUUUACUUUGUUUAAAUUUUAAUUUUUUUUAAAUUUUAAACUCUUUAUAUAUUUAUUUUAAAAAUAAAAUUAUCACGGAUGUAUAUAAAUACAACAUUACCUAGUGCUAUCUACUCAUUUAUAUUUUUCAAUUAAAUUUUUGUUUUUAUAAAUCUCUACAUGCUUACAUUACUUCAAUACAACACCAAAGGAACCAAAUGUCAAACACCGACACCUAUAAAUAAAAUUCUUGCAAAAGAAGCCGUUUUAUUUAUCAUAAAAUUAUAUAAGAAAUAGCCAUACAUGGCGAUUACAUAAGCUUGAAUGCCUUAAAACACACAGACAUACGAUAGUAAUAAGCAAACACACACACAGAGGAUAGUAAUAAGCAAACAGACACACAGACGCAGUAAUGAAGGCUAACUUCAACUUCGUAGUAGUGCACAUCGAUCGAGCACAUUAUUAUUUAGUUUAGAGUUUCGACCUCUAGUGAUCGAAAACCCUGGUUCAAAGCCGGCAGCUUACGCACCCGUAGUGGUGUUGGAUUGGUGGCCAAGAAAAGCUGCAUCAGCAUUCUCAUCACUGCAAUAAAGGCAGGGGUGCUGCUGUCCAAUUCCUAGGUUUAUUAUUCAUUCCUGCCCAUCACCACAAGCUGUCUAUUGGUUAAUGCACCAUUGCUCUCCUUGAUGACCUUCAGAACUGUAUAGGUAAAGGCCCCAAACGCCUUUCCUCCAGUUUUGUCACUCGCUGGCAUAUCAAUUGAAAGCUCAUUGGCUUGGCACCCACUUAACAGAAUUCCCUCAUCCUCCGUCAGCGACCUCAAAUUCAAAAUAUCACGUUCAUAAUGGGGUAGGAAUUUGAGACUCACAUUGUUCCCAAAGAUUGUGGUCAAAAGAGAGCCAAUACCCGUCAUAUUGUCUGUUCCAGUGUUGAUGGCAUUGGCAACUGCUGUUGUGUCCAAGAAGCUUUGUGUCGCGCUCACGACGUUGGCUGCUGUUUGUAGGCACUGGUAUAAGGUUUCAAUGGAAAUGCUCCUAGUCUUGUAAUCAACAGGUGGUGCUAUACCCCUUAAGAGUACUAUGGGGUCCAAUUUGUUCUUUACUUUUAUCAAUCAGACCACCACUGUGGCAGGAAUCCGAAAUCAUUGUGAAGCUUGAUCCACUUGGUAGUUGCUGAAUCAAUUGCCCCAAGUCCACGUCUGCACAACCAUGGCAACCACCAUAUGAUAUAAAUAAUAGUUUGCUUAGAUUGAGAGUAUUUUAAAAUUUUAAUUUACCGAGUUGAUUACGUACCAAAAAUGGGAUUGAGAUCACAAGGCACAAUUGCUUCACCCUCGUUGGGAGGCUGGUGGGGGUCAAUGCGGUGCACAAUUCCAUGUCCACUAAAGUGGAAAAGCAGGACAUCUCCUUCUUUAGCGGCGACCACCAUCUUCUUGAGUUCAGCCAUAAUGUUUGCACGCGUAGGCUUAUACGUGGACUCUGGUUCAUCAGUUAGGAGCUCAACAUUUUCGGAAUCAAAGCCAAACCUGCUCACGAUCAUUUCUCUCAUGGCUUUCACAUCAUUUACGCAUCCGCUCAACUCGUUGAUGGUGUUGGGGUAGUUGCAUCCAACCAGAACGGCUCUCUUCUUACAUUCGGUGGCCAUCUUGCUUCUAUUUUGGGUCGCUUGUCUUGUCUUGUGCUUCGGACGUUGCACUAAACACCUAUAUAUAUACACACAUACACACUGUAGUUUACACUAUGCUCACUGACCAUACUCUAAUAAAUAAGACAUCAUGUUGGUAGGUACAACUGUUUUAUUUUAUUUUUUUGUUUAUAAAAAUGCAUGGCAAAUCCAUAUACAUGCAAUCAGAUGUCUGUAUAAAAGUACCACUGUUAGAGUGUAUUUGGACUAAAAAAUUUAGAAUUAAUUUAAAAUAUUAAAAUUUGUAAUUGUUUUAUUUAGAUAAAUAAUUGAUUUAGGACAAAUUAAGUUAUUAGAAUUUUACAAAUUAAAAAUAAUUGUAAAAUAAAAAAUUAUAUUACAAAAAAAUAAAAAUAAAAAUAAAAAUAAAAAUAAAAAUAAAAUAAUUAUAAAAUAAUUUAUACACAAAAAUGAAUAAUUUGAAAAGCUUUCCAUAUUAUUAAGUCCAAAUUUGAUACGAUACUUUUCCAAUUAAGCAAUUUUGAUAUAUUUGGCCUCUAAUAAGAAAUCAACAUAUGGAAUGGGUGAUUAAUCCGACUUGGGAGGAGGACAGGUGUUGUGAUGGACAAAGAGGAAGAUAAGGUAGGUAUUCCCUUUUUCAGACAAAUAAGAUAGAAGAUAGAAGAUAGAAAAUAUAGAGUGGUGGUCGAAGAUAGAGGAUUAUAACAACACUGAUAUGAUCUGCUUCACCUUCGUCCACCACCUCAUCUUUAAUUAUGUUUUUAUCUUGGUUGUGACUCACGUUGGCCUUCGUCUGCAAGUGCCGUCGGUCCUACUAUCCUGAUUUCUAUGGCCUUAUUUGGCAAUUGGCUCAUAAUGGACAAAUAAUAAUUGUAUAAUGUUUAAGUUAUAAUUUUAUAGAUUUAAGAGAGAUCAAAAUAAUAAUUUUUCAUUUUAUGGGGUAUAAAGUGUAAUUUUCAUUUUUAGGGGGUCAUGGUUAGAUGUGAUUAUGCCACAUGAAGGUAUGCCGGAAAAGUGGGAGAGCUUAAGUAAAAAUAUAGGCAUGAAAAAUGGGUUUAGAUAAAAAAAAUGCCCGUUUUCGAAACGGGUCAAGCCUUGUGUAAGAAUUUUUUGUCCGGGCCCGGCCCAGCCUGACUCAAAUUUGAUUAAAAAAAAUUCUUGGUGUUGUUUAAUGUUGUUUUGCUACCAUUUUACUAUUAUAUUGCUGCUAUUUUGUUAUUAUUGAUUGGAUAUUUUAUAACUUUGUUUUAUUAUUAAUUUUGCUACUAUUUUAGAAGCAUUUGCUUGUUAAGUUGCAACUAUCUUAGUGUUAUUUAAAUAAAAAGACUUUUUUUAAUGUAUUUUCAAUUUGUUGGGAAAUAUUUAUUUUAAUGUUUUUAGUUUAUUUGAUGUAUUAUAUAUUUAAAUAAAAAAGUUUAAUACGGGUAGACUGGGUCAAGCUCAGGUUUUGCAUUUUUUUUAUUUGGUUCAGGCUUGGACAAAAUUUUAGACCUAUUUUUCGGGUCGAUUUAGCCCAUGAUCAAGUUUAGCCACGACCCUUGCCUGCUCUGGUCACUGCCUCUGGCAAUAAGAUUAAUUCCAGUGAGAUUGAAAAUAGCAAUGGUGGUGAGAUUAGUUACUAUAGUGAUGAGAUUAAAAUCAAUAGUGAGAUGUGUGUUAGAAUUCAAACACAACUGUGGUUUAUAGAUUUAUAGUAAGAAAGUAGAAUGACCAUUAUGGACAUUAAACUAAAGUAGUUUACACUCUUCAAUAUAUUUUUGUACAAUUAAUAUUUUAAUAAUAAAAAUUCAUAUUUCAUUUAUAUAACUCAUGCGUAUUGUGAAAAAUAUAAUGUCGGUAAUGACAAUAUAUCGCAAAGAAAAAUAAAAAAAGAAAAAUAAAGAACACACAGAUUUUACGUGGAAACCCAUUCGGGAAAAAAAACCACAGGCAGAGGAGAAGAAAAUUCACUAUGUCGAAUUCGAACUAAUUACAAGAGGAGUAGACUAUACCUAUUUAUAGGCUUGUAAAACCAUAUUCUAAUAGGAGUAAAACACCUUAUUCUAAUCAAUAUCAAAUAGAUAGAGUUUAAUAAGGUUUAAAAAACCUUAUUCUAAAAUAAAAUAAAAGAAGUAUAAUUCUAUAGGGAUUUUACUUUUAUUUUAUUUUACCACAGUAUUUUAUUAAAUAAUGAUUCGGGUCACUUAAUUCUAACAAUCUCCACCUUGAAACGAAUUCUUAAUGAACAAGUUCUUCAUCGCGAACUUUCAACGAACAAGUUUUUCAUCGCGAACUUUCAACUUAAGGGUUUAUCUUCAACAAUGAACACCAACCAAGUCUAUGCAAUGCUCAAACUUGGUUAUAGGAAGUGACUUAGUCAUCAUAUCUGCAGGAUUUUCAUGAGUACUAAUUUUGCUCACAACAAAAUCACCACGAGCAAUAAUAUCACGAACAAAAUGAUACCGAACAUCAAUAUGUUUUGUUCUCUCAUGAAACAUUUGAUCUUUUGUAAGGAAGAUGUCACUUUGACUGUCACAAAAUACUGUAUUGAUUUGAAGGUCUUCAUUGAGUUCAUUAAAGAGUCCCUUCAACAAAAUAGCUUCUUUACAAGCCUCAGUAAUCACCAUGUACUCAGCUUCAGUGGUGGACAAAGCGACUGUAGUUUGCAAAGUGGCUUUCCAACUGAUUGCACAACCUCCGAUUGUAAAGACAUAACCUGUGAGAGAUCUUCUUCUAUCGAGGUAUCUAGCAAAAUCAGCAUUAACAUACCCAAUGACUCCAUCUCUAGUUCUUCCAAACUGUAAGCAAACAUCGGUAGUACCUCGUAAGUAUCUUAAAACCCACUGAACUGCUUUCCAAUGUUCUUUACCGGGAUUCACCAUGUAUCUGCUAACUGCAUUAACUGCAUAUGAUAAAUCUGGACGUGAACAAACCAUAGCAUACAUGAGAGAUCCCACUGCACUAGAGUAUAGAACAUGUGACAUAUACUCAAUCUCAUCAUCUGAUUGUGGAGACAAAGCCGAUGAAAGUCUUAAAUGGGCUGCUAAAGGAGUACUGACAGACUUAGCAUUCUGCAUAUUGAAUCUACAAAGAACUUUCUCAAUGUACCCCUUUUGACUUAGGUACAAUUUACUUGCUUUUCUAUCUCUGAGAAUCUCCAUACCAAGUAUCUUCUUCGCUGGUCCCAAAUCUUUCAUCUCAAAUUCUUUACUUAGUUGGGCUUUGACCUUUCUUAUCUCUCCUUUAUCUUUUGCUGCUAUCAACAUGUCAUCAACAUAAAAGAGUAGAUACACAAAAGAACCAUCACUGUUUUUCUUAAAGUAAACACAACUGUCAAAGCUACUUCUUUUAAAAUUAUGAGAAGUCAUAAAGGAAUCAAACCUCUUAUACCACUGUAUUGGUGACUGUUUCAAACCGUAAAGGGACUUUUUCAGCAAGCAAACAUAGUCCUCUUUUUCUGAGAUUGUAAAACACUCUGGUUGUUGCAUGUAAAUAUCCUCCUCAAGUUCUCCAUGCAAAAAUACAGUUUUUACAUCUAACUGCUCAAGCUCCAAAUCAUGCAUGGCUACAAUACCAAGCAAAGCUUGAAUCAAACUAUGCUUCAGAACUGGAGAGAACAUAUCUGUGAAGUCCACUCUUGGAAUUUGACUGUAACCCUUUCCAACAAGCCUUGCUUUAUAUCUGGGUUCUUCAACUCUUGAAGUCCCCUCUUUCUUCUUAAACACCAAUUUACAACGAACAACCUUUUUACCUUUAGGAAGUUUCACAAGAUCCCAUGUUUUAUUUUUGUGUAGUGAUUCCAUCUCCUCUUGCAUAGCAAACAUCCACUUUUCUAAGUCUUCACAACUAACCGCCUCAGAAUAAUUAGAUGGCUCUUGGUUUGCAUCUAUAUCUUCAGCCACAUUUAAAGCAUAAGACACUAGAUCAGCCUCGGCAUACUUCUUUGGAGGUUUAAUUUCUUUUCUAGUUCUAUUUUUGCCGAUAGAGUAUUAUGGUGAAGAAGCAACUCUAUUUUGAAUUUUUGUACUGGCUUCAGUAGUCGACUCUGUUGUAGAUUCUGAAUUAAUCUAAUGCUCCACCUUCUUUUGAUUUUCUUUAUCGGAAGAGUCUUUAAGAGAUAAGUUAGGUAGCAUAGCAGUUUCAUUAAAAACAACAUCUCUGCUAAUCACCACUUUUCUAUUUUCAGGACACCAUAACUUAUACUCUUUUACACCAGCUUUAUAACCAAGAAAAACACAUUUAAUAGAUCUCGGUUCCAAUUUUCCAUUAUCAACAUGAGCAUACGCAGGACAACCAAAAAUCUUUAAAUUAGAAUAGUCAGCAGGAUUACCAGACCAUACCUCUUGUGGAGUCUUUUUCUCAAUGGCAACAGAUGGAGAUCGGUUGAUCAAAAAAAUACAGUAGAGGCUACUUUGGCCCAAAAUGACUUUGGUAAGCUGGCAUUUGACAACAUACAUCGAACCUUCUCCAUAAUCGUUCUAUUCAUUCGUUCUGCAACACCGUUUUACUGUGGAGUAUGACGAACUAUCAAGUGUCUCACGAUCCCUUCUGACUUGCAUAGUUUAUUGAAUUCAUCAGAAUAGAACUCUAAGCCAUUAUCUGUGCGAAGGUGUUUUAUUUGCAUUCCCGUCUGUUUUUCAAUCAUGGUUUUCCAAGACUUAAAUGCGGAAAACACAUCGCUUUUCUGCUUCAGAAAGAACGCCCACACUUUUCUACAAAAAUCAUCAAUAAAAGUUAGCAUAUAAUUAGCUCCACCUCUCGAAGAUACUCUGGAUGGACCCCACAGAUCAUAAUGAAUAUACUCUAAUGUUCCCUUCGUGUUAUAGAUUCCUCUGGUGAAUCGAACUCUUUUUUGCUUCCCAAAAACGCAGUGCUCACAGAACUGUAGUUUGCAAAUUCCUUGCCCAUCAAGAAGUCCUCUUUUGCUCAAUUCUGCCAUGCCAAUCUCACUCAUAUGCCCUAGGCGCAUAUGCCAAUGUUUAGUAAUAUCAUCAUUUGACAAGGAAGAGGAUGUGACAGUUGCAUCACCAGUAACAGUAGAACCCUGCAAAACAUAUAACUUGGCAGUCUUUCUCUGCCCUUUCAUUACAAUGAGGGAACCUUUAGAAAUCUUCAAAACCCCACUUUCAGCUGUGUAUUUGUACCUUUUUGAAUCAAGAGUACUCAAUAAAAUUAAAUUUCUCUUCAAUUCUGGAACAUGUCGUACGUCGCUAAGUGUUCUGACAACUCUAUCAAACAUCUUAACUUUAAUUGUUCCAACACCUGUAAUUCUACAUGAAGCAUUAUUUCCCAUCAAAACAACACCUUCAGACACUGUUUCGUAAGUUGUAAACCAAUCCCGAUUGGGACUCAUGUGGAAGGUGCAGCCCGAAUCAAGAAUCCACUCCUCGCUCACUUUAAAAUUGUUGACAGAAGCGACUAGAAGUUCACCAUCGCUAUAGUCUUCUACAACAUCAGCCUUACCAAAAUUUUCUGGUUGCUUUCCAUUUUGAUUCACAGCUUCCCUUUUGAUCUUAUUCUGCAGUUUAUAGCACUCAGAUUUAGCGUGCCCAUUCUUGUUGACGCCAUUUUCUGGAUGAAAAAAGGGUCAACUUGGAUUUUGAAAAUGAAAACGGGAGUCGCCACCAAUCCUUUUUUGUGAGGUGUGAUUGGAUCACCUCCAAAAGUGGUUGUUUUUAAUAAACGGUUUGAUUUUAUUAAAACAACAAGUUUGGUCCACGAAAUUCAGAAAAAUGGGUUCGGGAGUCGGUUACGCACGAGGAAGGAUUAGCACCGUCGAUACGCCCAAAAUUGGUACCUAGUUGAUUAGUUAAUGUCUUAAUGUCGAAAAUUGAAAACUUUGAAGAAUUUUAAAAAUACGAUCCUUAUAUUAUAAUGUUGAAAAUUUUCGGGAAAAUGAGGCAUAUUUCACGUUAAUCGAGGAAAAGAAUCAUAUCCAGUAAGUUAGGACACAAUUUCUCGAAUUUUCGAUGCGCGAAUGAAUGCCGAAAAUUUAAAAGAUGUCUGACUAUCUCGAAUUUAAAAAAGGGAUCAAGUCCAGUAAGUUAGGACUCGAUCUUUUCUUAAUUUCCGAGAUCAUUUAAAACUUCGGUUAAAAAACUCUCGUAUUUAGAUUUAUCGUGAAAAUCGAAACCUAGUAAGUUAGGGUACGACUUUCUCGAGUCUAAACAUGAAAUUUUAUUUAUUCAAAAGUCAUAAUUUAUACAUUGAAUGAAAAAUAAUUUAACGCGUAAUAGUAGAAAUAAAACAUGAUGUUAAUGCUUGUAACAAAACAAUAAUGAAUUCGAUAAUGUAAUUAUGAAUAAUACGAGUAACAACAAAUAAAAGAUAAAUAAAUAAAAAACGAAUUAAACAUGCAAAAGAAUAAGCAAAUAAACUACUCGAAUGAAAGUGGGCAUAAAUAAAUAAAAGAAAAUAAACACCGCGCUAAAUAACGAAACCAUAAAAGAAAUAAAAAUAUAUAAAUACAUGUAUAUAUAUAUUUUAGAAUUAUGAAAAUAUAGAAAAUAUUUAAAAAUAUGUAUACGUAUAUCUAUGUGUAAUAAAAUACGUAGAAAUAGAUAUAGGUAUGUGUAAGUAUGAAAAAUGAAAUAUAAAAAUAUAUUUAUAAUAACUUUAAAAUGUAUGUGUAUAUGGAUUAGGAAAAUGUAUAUAUUUACACACAAUAAAAUAAAAUAAAAUAAAAUAUGUACAUAUAUAUUAUAAAAAGUAUGCGUUUGUAUAUGUAAAAUAUAUAACAAGAAUUUUAAAAUUAAAAGAGUAUAAACAUAAUAAUAAUAAUAAUAAUAAUAAUAAUAAUAAUUUGAAAACAUGAAAAGCUAGAAGUAAAUAAUAAAUAAUAAAAGAUACAGUAAGAUAAAUAUAUAUAUAUAAAAACUAAAAAACUAAAAAAGAAAUAUAUAAUAUAUAAUAUAAUAUAAUAUAUAAAAAGGUAAUGCAAAACUAUUUUAUAUAAUAAUGAUGAAUAAAUAAAUAAAUAUAAGGGAAAAUAAAAACUAAUAAUAAAUAACAAUAAUAAUAAUAACAUCUCAUUUAUUGAUUUAAUAAUAAAACAAACAAAAUAACACAAAAAAAGGCUAAAUUAGAUAUUAAAACAAAAUUCGGGGCCAAAUCUAUAAAUAAAUAAAAGAGGAAGGACAAAGUUGAACGCGCGAACAACAAGAAGGGAUCAAGAGAGCAAUUUUUCCUUCUUUCCCAAAACGCACAGCAUCAUAAGACCAAAUUGUAAAGAAAAAUAAACUAAUGUGCGAAUUUUAAAAAAAACAAAAGGGCCUUGAUUGUAAAAUUAUUUAAAAGCGGAAGGGCUGAAAACGCAAUUAGCCCUUCCGCUCAAAAACACGCGGAUCUUGGCUUGGAGCGGGUCGGGCGAAUUGGGUUAAAGCCAAAACGACGCCGUUUUGGCGUUUUAGAGGGCUGAGCAAAACGACGCCGUUUUGCUUCCCUAUUUAAACCAAUUUUUUUCCAGAAACUUUCAUUUUUCUUUCUUCUUCAAACAAAACUCCCUCAUUCUCUCUCAACCCCCUUUCUUCUCCCCCAAAAUCCGGCCAAGCUUCCGGCGAGCCACCGCCGUAGCCCACCGCGCCGGCCACCGUACACGGUGGCUGAAAAAAUAAAAAAAAAGGUAAUUUUUUUAUUUUGCUAAUAUAAACUGUUUUUAUAUGUAUAUAUAUGUUUGAAAAUAGGAAAUGAACGGAUAUAUAAAAAAAAGAAAAAAAGAAUCCGAAAUGAAAAAGGAGAGAUCACCUUUUAGUGUAUCUUUUUUUUUCUAUUGAUCUUUCUUCCCUUUUUUGUUACAAAAGUCCCUCAAAAAACCCCCGUUACAUUUUUUGAAUGGCCUUUAAAUAGCCAUUUUUUACAUCUUUUUAAUCUGUUCUUGCGCUCUUGUCACUUCUUUCUUUCUGUUUGCAGGCGCAAGUGGGUGAGCAAGUGGGCUGCGGCGUCAGAAGCAAGUGGCGACCAGGAGCAGGUGGUGGCAGUUGGGGUUGGUGGCUGUGGCGGCUGAAGCUAGGGUUAGGGGCUAGGGUUUCUUUUCUUUUGUUUUUUUUGUUAUUGUUUUCUGAUUUGGGCUGAAAAGUUUUUUUAUUGGGUUUAGGUUGGUUAUUUGUUAUUGGGCUAAUUGUUUUGGUUUAAUUGUUUUGGUUCCUUGGGCCCGGGUCAAAAAUUGGGCUUGUAUUGCUUGUUGGAGGGAUCCAAUCGCGAUAUGAUUAGUUGGCCCUAGGAAAAUGGUUAAAAGCUAUUCAUCAGGGUCGGAUGUACCAUAAAUAAAUGAUAUGAGCCCAUAAUAAAUAGGCUCGUCUCAGAGAAUUCCACGAGAAGGCUGGAUGUUGAAAAGAUUCUUCCUUAACGAAAGGAUUCUAAAGGGAAAUGAAUGCCAAACCAGGAAUGUCCCUAUGUUGUAAAGAAGAUCAUUUUCAGAGGAGCACUGAUCCUGAGUGAGAUUGCCAAUCCUAUAAACUCGGAUCCAGUUAAGAAACAUUUCGUUUAAAGAAAAAGGAAGGACCAAGGUGAAAACUUGCAAAGGGCACUUUGAGUCAAGAAAAAAAUGUAAAAAAAAAAAUGAAUGAAAAUGAAAAAAAAUUGAAAAAUGAAAAAAUGAAAAGUAAAAAUGGAGAGGCUAAGGGGAAAACCCGCAAAGGGCAUCUUAGGCCAAAGGGGAUUUGAGUUGAAAACCCGAAGGAGGGAUCAAAUAUUGAUCAGAAUGGGGCAUGAAGUGAUCAGAUUGGGGCAUGCGGUGAUCUUGCUAUACCUGAAAGGGUAAGGCGACAUCUUGGGGCAUCGACGGAGUCCUGUAGAUCUUCUAAACACCUGUCAAACUCAGGAAGGUCUUCAGAAAGUUUGUACAGAGAAGUUCAAGUUGCGAUAUCUAGGGCACCUGCCAUUCGUAUUAUUUGAAGUUGUUAUUCUUGGAAUACUUCUUUCUUUUUCAAGAUACAUGUUCCAAUCAAUUCCUUUUUUUGCUAUCCUUGAUAAUUUAUUCAUUUCGAGCUAUGCUCUCAAAUCAAUUCUAUUUUAUCCAUCGUUAUAUUCUUCUUGCAAGCAUGUUGCAUUGGAAUGAUGAUACUUUCACAAUGGAAGUUUUACAUAUUACUCUAGAAGUUUCUAAAUAAUAUAGGAACCUGAAACAGGACUAUUGUUUAGAAAACACCAAGUUUAAAGGGUGAAAUAUCUAAGAAGGAAAAGUCUAAGUUAAGGCUAUCCCUUCGGAUUUUGUUGUCCAAACAUUGACUGAACAAAAUGACAAGAUGCCGUGUUGGUGACAAAGCUUCAAUGAACAAACAAGCAAUGAUCACUGAGUGAUAAGAAAAGGUUUUCUCAGAGAAGAAAAUUUUGCAAUUGUGCAUGAGCAUUUGGUAUGACACCUGGGGAAUGGGGUAAAAAAAACCAAAAAGCUUCACAUUCUGUAUCCUUGAAUUACGAUAGAAGAAGAUUGAGAAAAGCCAUAUCUUUCUACCCUUGGGUUACAGUGGGAGAAUGAUGGUACAUUUUUACGUCCCAAUGGAUUGAACUUUGACGUUCACAGUGGGGGGCAAUCAGAUUAAGUGUUUCUUUGGAUAUGCCAGACGAGCAAGAAGGCGUUGUAGUACGUCAGUGAUAAAACCUUAAUAAGCUUUUGCGUGAUGAUAACCUAAGCAUUAAGGAACCAUUUUCAUGACAUUUUGCAUUCAUUCAAAUGUCAUUCAUACACAUCUAGUUAGGAGCAUUUGAUUUGUUCUGAUCAUGUCAUCCUAAUCACUAGGCACAAUUAGGUUCAUAAAAUAGAACAUACAGGUCAGGUUCCCCAAAGAACAGAUCAACGAAGAUAGCAGAUCUUGUCUUCCUGUAUUUGGCAGCGGAGGAAAUCGAAGAUAGUAGAUCUUGUCUUCCUGUAUUUGGCAACGAAGGAGAUCGAAGAUAGCAGAUCUUAUCUUCCUGUAUUCGGCAGCGGAGGAGAUCAAAGAUAUAGCAGAUCUUGUCUUCCUGUAUUAGGCAGCGGAGUAGAUCGAAGAAAGCAGAUCUUGUCUUCCUGUAUUAGGCAGUGGAGUAGAUCAAAGAAAGCAGAUCUUUUCUUCCUGUAUUAGGCAGUGGAGUAGAUCAAAGAAAGCAGAUCUUGUCUUCCUGUAUUAGGCAGCAGAGUAGAUCGAAGAAAGCAGAUCUUGUCUUCCUAUAUUAGGCAGCGAAGUAGAUCGAAGAAAGCAGAUCUUGUCUUCUUGUAUUAGGCAGCGGAGUAGAUCGAAGAAAGCAGAUCUUGUCUUCCUGUAUUAGGUAGCGGAGUAGAUCGAAGAAAGCAGAUCUUGUCUUCCUGUAUUAGGCAUCAGAGUAGAUCGAAGGAAGCAGAUCUUGUCUUCUUGUAUUAGGCAGUGGAGUAGAUCGAAGAUAUAACAGAUCUUGUCUUCCUGUAUUAGAGCGGAGUAGAUCGAAGAAAGCAGAUCUUGUCUUCCUAUAUUAGGCAGCGGAGUAGAUCGAAGAAAGUAGAUCUUGUCUUCCUGUAUUAGGUAGUGAAGUAGAUCGAAGAUAGUAGAUCUUGCCUUCCUGCCUUGACAGCGAAGCAGAUCGAAGACACAAACCUUGCCUCUCUCGGUUGUAGUGGAGCUGGUUGAAGACAACAGAUCUUGCCUUCCUGCAUUGACAGCGAAGCAGAUCGAAGACACAAACCUUGCCUCUCUCGGUUGUAGUGGAGCUGGUUGAAGACAACAGAUCUUGCCUUCAUGCAUUGACAGCGAAGCAGAUCAAAGACACAAACCUUGCCUCUCUCGGUAGUAACGGAGCUAGUUGAAGAUAACAAAUCUUGCCUUCCUGCAUUGACAGCGAAGCAUAUCGAAGACACAAACCUUAUCUCCCUAACGUUGUAGUGGAGCAGACUAAAACCACAAAUCUCGUCCCCCUAAAGUUAUAACAGAGUGGAUUGAAGCUACAAGUCUUGUCUUUUUGAAGUUGCAGCGGAAUGGAUCGAAGCAACAAGACAUACUGGACUGGAAUGAAACUACUUGGAAAGAGAGGUGUUAGAGAAGUCAAGACUCAGUGAGACCGGGCAAAAAUUGGUCUUUCUUAGUCUUUGCUCUGUUAUCGUUACAUGACAACAAGCAAAGAGGGGCAGCUGUACAAGCCCAAUUUUUGACCCGGGCCCAAGGAACCAAAACAAUUAAACCAAAACAAUUAGCCCAAUAACAAAUAACAACCCAAACCCAAUAAAAAACUUUUCAACCCAAAUCAGAAAACAAUAACAAAAAAAAAAACAAAAGAAAAGAAACCCUAGCCCCUAACCCUAGCUUCAGCUGCCGCAGCCACCAACCCCAACUGCCACCACCUGCUCCUAGCCGCCACUUGCUUCUGACGCCACAGCCCACUUGCUCACCCGUUUGCGCCUGCAAACAGAAAGAAAGAAGUGACAAGAGCGCAAGAACAGAUUAAAAAGAUGUAAAAAAUGGCUAUUUAAAGGCCAUUCAAAAAAUGUAACGGGGGUUUUUUGAGGGACUUUUGUAACAAAAAAGGGAAGAAAGAUCAAUAGAAAAAAAAGAGACACUAAAAGGUGAUCUCUCCUUUUUCAUUUCGGAUUCUUUUUUUUCUUUUUUUUAUAUAUCCGUUCAUUUCCUAUUUUCAAACAUAUAUAUAUACAUAUAAAAAUAGUUUAUAUUAGCAAAAUAAAAAAAUUACCUUUUUUUUAUUUUUCCGGCCACCGUACACUGUGGCCGGCGCGGUGGCGCUACGGCGGUGGCUCGCCGGAAGCUUGGCCAGAUUUUGAGGGAGAAGAAAGGGGGUUGAGAGAGAAUGAGGGAGUUUUUUUGAAGAAGAAAGAAAAAUGAAAGUUUCUGGAAAAAAGUUUGUUUAAAUAGGGAAGCAAAACGGCGUCGUUUUGCUCAGCCCUCUAAAACGCCAAAACGGCGUCAUUUUGGCUUUGACCCGAUCCACCCGACCCGCUCCAGGCCAAGAUCCGCGUAUUUUUGAGCGGAAGGGCUAAUUGCGUUUUCAGCCUUUCCGCUUUUAAAUAAUUUUACAAUCAAGGCCCUUUUGUUUUUUUUAAAUUCGCACAUUAGUUUAUUUUUCUUUACAAUUUGGUCCUAUGAUGCUGUGCGUUUUGGGAAAGAAGGAAAAAUUGCUCUCUUGAUCCCUUCUUGUUGUUCGCGCGUUCAACUUUGUCCUUCCUCUUUUAUUUAUUUAUAGAUUUGGCCCCGAAUUUUGCUUUAAUAUCUAGUUUAGCCUUUUUUUGUGUUAUUUUGUUUGUUUUAUUAUUAAAUCAAUAAAUGAGAUGUUAUUAUUAUUAUUGUUAUUUAUUAUUAGUUUUUAUUUUCCCUUAUAUUUAUUUAUUUAUUCAUCAUUAUUAUAUAAAUUAGUUUUGCAUUACCUUUUUAUAUAUUAUAUUAUAUUAUAUAUUAUAUAUUUCUUUUUUAGUUUUUUAGUUUUUAUAUAUAUAUUUUUAUCUUACUGUAUCUUUUAUUAUUUAUUAUUUACUUCUAGCUUUUCAUGAUUUCAAAUUAUUAUUAUUAUUAUUAUUAUUAUUAUUAUUAUUAUUAUUAUUAUGUUUAUACUCUUUUAAUUUUAAAAUUCUUGUUAUAUAUUUUACAUAUACAAACGCAUACUUUUUAUAAUAUAUAUGUACAUAUUUUAUUUUAUUUUAUUUUAUUGUGUGUAAAUAUAUACAUUUUCCUAAUCCAUAUACACAUACAUUUUAAAGUUAUUAUAAAUAUAUUUUUAUAUUUCAUUUUUCAUACUUACACAUACCUAUAUCUAUUUCUACGUAUUUUAUUACACAUAGAUAUACGUAUACAUAUUUUUAAAUAUUUUCUAUAUUUUCAUAAUUCUAAAAUAUAUAUAAACAUGUAUUUAUAUAUUUUUAUUUCUUUUAUGGUUUCGUUAUUUAGCGCGGUGUUUAUUUUCUUUUAUUUAUUUAUGCCCACUUUCAUUCGAGUAGUUUAUUUGCUUAUUCUUUUGCAUGUUUAAUUCGUUUUUUAUUUAUUUAUCUUUUAUUUGUUGUUACUCGUAUUAUUCAUACUUACAUUAUCGAAUUCAUUAUUGUUUUGUUACAAGCAUUAACAUCAUGUUUUAUUUCUACUAUUAGGCGUUAAAUUAUUUUUCAUUCAAUGUAUAAAUUAUGACUUUUGAAUAAAUAAAAUUUCAUGUUUAGACUCGAGAAAGUCGUACCCUAACUUACUGGGUUUCGAUUUUCACGAUAAAUCUAAAUACGCGAGUUUUUUAACCGAAUUUUUAAAUGAUCUUGGAAAUUAAGAAAAGAUCGAGUCCAAACUUACUGGACUUGAUCCCUUUUUUAAAUUCGAGAUAGUCAGACAUCUUUUAAAUUUUCGGCAUUCAUUCGCGCAUCGAAAAUUCGAGAAAUUGUGUCCUAACUUACUGGAUAUGAUUCUUUUCCUCGAUUAACGUGAAAUAUGCCUCAUUUUCCCAAAAAUUUUCAACAUUAUAAUAUAAGGAUCGUAUUUUUAAAAUUCUUCAAAGUUUUCAAUUUUCGACAUUAAGACAUUAACUAAUCAACUAGGUACCAAUUUUGGGCGUAUCGAGGGUGCUAAUCCUUCCUCGUGCGUAACCGACUCCCGAACCCGUUUUUCUGAAUUUCGUGGACCGAACUUGUUGUUUUAAUAAAAUCAAACCGUUUAUUCAAAACAACCACUUUUCGAGGUGAUCCAAUCACACCUCACAAAAAAGGAUUGGUGGCGACUCCCGUUUUCAUUUUCAAAAUCCAAGUUGACCCUUUUUUCAUCCAAAAAAUGGUGUCAACAAUUCUUCUUGCAGAAGUUACAAGUUUUACCUCUGUUUGAAGACUUCGAUCUACCUUUAGAUUUACAGCGAGGAUUCCGUUCCUGUGUCCUUCCACGAUCAUCAUCAAAAUUCCGAUCUUGUCUCCCACGAACAAUGAGACCCUUUCCUUGAGAGUCAAUUUUAACCACAAGAUACUUCAUCUUAUCAUACGAGGUUAAAGAAUCAUAAACCUCAUCAACUGUGAGAGACUCGCGGCUAUAUAAAAUUGUAUCUCUAAAGGUUGAAUAAGACGGGGGCAACGAACAAAGUAGAAUCAACCCUAGAUCUUCCUUAUCAUACUCAACCUCCAUGGCCUCUAAAUUUGAGAGAAUUUUUUUAAACAUUGUCAAGUGUUCGUGCACAGACGCACCUUCCUCUAAACGAUGAUCAUAAAGACGCUGCUUCAUAUGCAGUUUACUAGUUAGAGUUUUCGACAUACAUAUUUGUUCCAACCUUUUCCAUAAUCCAGCGGCGGUCUUCUCCUUCAUCACAUCCUGCAAAAUUUCGUUAGACAAAUGCAGAUGUAACUGUGUUAACGCCUUUCGAUCCUUGCGCUUCUUCUCUUCCUCCGUCAAUGUUGAAGGCACCUUAUCUACCCCUAGUAGGGCUUCCUCUAAGUCUAUCUAUGCAAGAACUACUUGCAUCUUUAUUUGCCGCAAUGCGAAUCUGGUGUUGCGAUCCAACAGCGAAAUUUCAUACUUCAAAGACGUCAUUAUCGUGAUUGAGAUGAAUAACCCGAAAGCUCUGAUACCAAUUUGUGAAAAAUAUAAUGUCGGUAAUGACAAUAUAUCGCAAAGAAAAAUAAAAAAUAAAAAUAAAAAUAAAAAACACACAGAUUUUACGUGGAAACCCUUUUGGGAAAAAAAACCACGGGCAAAGGAGAAGAAAAUUCACUAUGUCGAAUUCGAAUUAAUUACAAGAGGAGUAGACUAUACCUAUUUAUAGGCUUGUAAAACCAUAAUCUAAUAGGAGUAAAACACCUUAUUCUAAUCAAUAUCAAAUAGAUAGAGUUUAAUAAGGUUUAAAAAACCUUAUUCUAAAAUAAAAUAAAAGAAGUAUAAUUCUAUAGGGAUUUUACUUUUAUUUUAUUUUACCACAGUAUUUUAUUUAAAUAAUGAUUUGGGUCACUUAAUUCUAACAAUCUCCACCUAUUUAAUGUAAAUUAAAAAUGUUCAAACUAAUUGUUUUAUGUAAGAUAUGAAUGACAGUCUUCUAUAGAACUUCCUAAAUAUAGUCAGUUUUAAAAUUCAAAACUAAUCAUUUUUAAAAGCUUAUUUUUAUGGAGAUAUUUGGCUUGGAUGAUGAGAGAAAUCAAGAGAAUUAAGGUUGAAGAUCAAAAAGUGGAAGAAAAGCAUGAAGAUGGAGAAGACUAACGUGAAACUUAUAGGUGGGGAUGAUUUUAGGUUGAUUUUUAAAAUUUGUUUUAAUUGCCUCUUAAAAACUCACAAUUUUAAUUUUUUUACAAAUCAAUACUACCUUCAAAAUUAAAGGUAUUUAAAACUCAUUUUCAGAAAUUGAUUUAAUUUUAAUCAUAGUAAAAAAUAUUAUCGAUAAACCAUUUCGUAAAAUUUCGAACACUCUAAGGCUAAAAUUCCUAAAUUACCUCUAAAACUCCUAGGUCCUAUUUUGGGAUGUUACAAUAAAUUGGUGUAAAUACACAUUUGGUCCCUAUCGAUUUUAAAAUUGAGCAAAUAGAUCUUUCUCUCAAAAAAAAUUACAAAAAAAUUUCAAAAUAUUUAUAAAAAUUUAAGAAUUUAAAUAUUUUAAAAAUAUAUAUUAAAAACUCAAAAGAAUAUAUAUAAAAAUUAGAAAACUCUAAAAUUAUCAUUUUUGGGACCUAAAUAAGUUAAUUAAUAAUUCAAUUUUAUAAUACUAUUUUUACUCUUUUUUUUAAUGAAUUAAAAAAAAUAAAUGAUUUCAAAGUUAUGUGUUUUAAUAUAGAAUUAGUUAAAUUGUAAAAAUAUUUUAAUUUUUUCACUCGAUCCGAUCGAACGCUCACUCCUAGUGGUCGAUGUUCAUCCGCAUAUAUCUUUUGUCUCUAACCAGAAAAGAUCUCUUCCAAAAUGAAACUCUUAAAUUGGAGCGUGUCAUAUUUACUACAGGCCGUUUAUGAUAGAAUCGGACCAUUUAACUUUGAAAUCACUCACGUAAUGCAUGUUAUUCGGAAGGUUAUCGAUAAAUAUCGUUGCAACACCUUGAAGUUCGCCACUCCAUUUUUCUAUUGUGCGCUCUCCUUUGAUUAUAACAAUCCAGAACCUUCCUUACUCUAACUUAUAAAAUUAAAAAGACUCUGUAGGACAAAAUAAGACUUUAUUUAUUUAUUUAUUAUUACACUAGAAUUUCACACAUAGCAAACGCACACUAUAUAGGAGAUGCAUAAGAAAACAGCGGUAGGUAGAUAUAAGUCAACAGGCUGUCAAAUUUAUUCUAGUAGUAGUGCAAAACAUAAGCACAUUACUGACAGCCUGAGCACCAGCAUUUUGAUCAGAAAUUUAAGCAAAGCCACCCAAGAAAAGUGUGUUUGUAUUCUCAUCACUGCAAUAAAGGCAAGGGUUCUGCUCGAAUCCAUUGUUCUUCAAAAUCUUGGCAGCCUCAGCCACGAGGUGUCUGUUGCUUAUUCCAACACCCAAGUUCUGAUUGAUUACGUUAACCACAGCAUCGGUGAACGCCCCAAAGGCUUUAUUUUCCAAGACCAGGUCAUAUGAUGUCUCAUUGGCUUCACAUCCACUUAAUAAAAUCCCUUCAUCCUCCUCCAGUGGAUCCAACACCAUUAACCCCUCUACGUAGUGAGGAUGGAAUUUGAGACUCACAUCUUUCCCGAAGAUUCCGAAAAUCUUUUGGCCAACAUUUGCUGCGUCGUGUAGGAUGCCUGCUGCUGUAUCUAUCGCACUAUGUAUGAUAUCAAAAGUAAGACUCUUAGCCUUAGCCUUAGACGGUUUAGGCUUGUCGGUAUUUACUGUUGUCGUCAUAUGCUGACCACCAAAUUGUUCUUUCUCUUUUUCAAUGAGACCCCCACUGUGGCACGAAUCUGAUAGGAUUGUGAAGCUUGCUCCUUCUGGUAGCCGAUUAACUAAACGUCUGAAGUCCACAUCUGCAGAAACCAAGUAUAUAUAGGGUAUGAAUAUAUGUUGCUAAAAUAAAUAUAUAAAUUCAAACAAAAACCUACCGGUGACAAGAUUUAAAUCACAAGCCACGAUUGCUUCAUCUUGCUUGAAAGGCUGGCCAGGUUGAAAGAUUGGAACGCGUGUUCCAUGUCCACUGAAGUAGAAAAAUAGAAUAUCUCCUGCUUUAGCCUUGUUCACCAUUCUAUUGAGUGCAUCCUUAAUGUUUACACCCGUAGGCAGAACCGGCGACCCUGGCGCAUCGGUGAGGACAUUAACAUCGCUUUCCUUAAACCCAAUGUCCAGGAUCACACCUCUUAUGGCUUUCACAUCAUUGAUGCAUCCAUGCAAGCUGAAUUGGGUCUUGGGGUAGUUGCAUCCCACCAGAACUGCUCUCUUCGUACCCUUACUCAUCUUGCUCGCUAAUUUGACUAUUUUGUGUUGCUUGUACUGUUGGAAUAAUGUGCUUCCACUGCCUCACUAAGAACAUAUAUAUAUAUACACACUAAUUUACAGCAUGUGUACUGACCAUAAAGAUGACGACAUGUAGGUAGGUAGAUAGGUAGGUAGGCUGUAAUAGAAACUCUCACAUGAAACGAAUGAAUGAAUGAAUUAUUAUUCAUGAAAAAGAUGAUCAGCUGAACCAUCAGCUUCCUGUAUUUAAAGAGUUUUACAAGUCUAACUAACACUUGUAAAUGCUAACUGCUAAAUGCUAAUUGCUAACAACAACCUGCACUGCUAUUUACUAUUUUAACUACUAUUUUACAACUGAAUAGGCAGGUACUGUAGAAGUUUGAUUAAUAUUUGGAGAAAUAAAACAAAGAAAGUGAUAAAAAAUAUAAUGGAGAAGAGAAAUAAAUUUUGUAUGGAAGAGAAAAAAAAUUCUUUCUAAUAAACUUUUUAUUUCACUCACACUAUAUAUUCUUCAUCACAUACAACUCUUUAUAUAGGAGUUGUAAGUGACUAUUCAUCUAUAUCACUAAAUCACUAAAUGCUAGGAGUUGUGACUAUUCAUUUACAUAACUUAAAUACUAUAGGAGUUGUGACUAUUCAUGCAUGUGUGUAACUUUUCAUCUUCAAGUCUCUUCGCAUUUUUAACUCUUCAUAUUCAAGUCUUUUCGCAUUCAUAACUUUUCAUAAUUUAAUUUAUGCAAGAUUAAUUUAAUUAUGUGCCAACAAUGCCUCCCUUAAAUUAAACUUGCUUCGAACUCCCAACCUUUCAACAUUUUUCUUGAAGACUUGUCCACUAAGCGGCUUUGUGAAGAUAUCAGCCAUCUGAUAUUCUAUCUUUCAAUAUUCAACUUGAACAUCACCAUUAUUCACUAGUUCCCUCAAGAAGUGAUACUGAAUGCGAAUGUAUUUUGUUCUUCUAUGAAGAACUGGAUCUUUUGUGACUGAAAUAGUAGAACUAUUGUCACAAAACAAAAUCGUUGACUUGCUCUGCUUCUGCUUAAGACUCUCCAAAAUUCCACGUAACCAAAUCAAUUGACAUCCUACAUAAGAUGCAGCGAUAUAUUCAGCUUCUGUAGUCGAAAGCGCCACAACUGAUUGUUUCUUUGAGCUCCAUGAAACUGCACCACUACCAAGGUGGAAAACAUAACCAGAAGUGCUUCUACUAUCAUCAAUGUUAUCCGUAAAACCAAUGAAAUCAACUAAUGUCUUGGCUUUAUAGAAAAUUCCAUAAUCAAUACUUCCCUUCACAUAUCUCAAUAUUCUCUUGGCAGCCUCCCAGUGAUUGGAGUAAGGUUUCUCCACGAAUCUACUCACCAAGCUAACAGCAUACACGAUGUCAGGCCUUGUCGAAGUCAGAUACAUCAACUUUCCAACCAAACUUCUGAAUAUGGUGGAAUUGACAAGCUUUCCUUCAUCCUCUUUAGAUAACUUCAGACCUGUAAUGCAUGGAGUAGAGACUGGAUUCGCAUUGUCCAUCUUGAAUCUUUUUAGAACUUCCUUUGCAUAGCUCUCUUGUGAAAUAAAAAUUCAUUUCUCGGAUUGAUGAACUUCAAUGCCAAGAAAAUGAUGAAGUUCUCCCAAAUCUGUCAUAUGCCAUCAUUGAGUGCUGAAAUUCUUUCAACAUCUUCACAUCAUUUCCUGUGAAAAUAAGAUCAUCAACGUAGAGACUUACAACCAUGAAUCUUCCUUGAGAAUUGCCUUUGAUGUAGAGAGUAUGCUCAUAUGGACAUUUCUGGAAUCCACACUUCUAAAAAUAAGAAUCGAUGAGGCUGUACCAAGCUCGGGGUGAUUGCUUCAACCCGUGCAAAGCUUUCUUCAACUUGUAAACAUUUUCUUCUUCUCCUUUUUUGACAAACCCUGGUGGUUGAUCAACAUAGACUUCUUCUUUGAGAACACCAUUUAAAAACGCAGAUUUUAUGUCCAUUUGGAACAUUUUCCAAUUGUUUUAGGCAGCAAGAGAAAUAAGUAACCGAAAUAUUUCAAGUCUUGAAACUGGAGCAAAUACCUCUGUAAAAUCUUCUCCUUCCUUUUGCUUGUAUCCUUUUGCAACCAGUAUUGCCUUGUACUUGUUGAUAGAUCCAUUUGGAUUCAUCUUUGUCUUGUACACCCAUUUGACUCCAAUUGAAUUCUUGUGUGGUGACAAAUCUGUAAGGUCCCAUGUAUCAUUAUUUUCAAUUGAGAAAAUCUCUUCUGUCAUGGCUUUCCUCCAUAUUUCUUCUUGAUAUGCAUCAUCAAAAGAAAUUGGAUCUUCUCCUACAAAAAACGACAAAUAAUACAACAUCAUUUUGCACAACUUCAUCAGUUACAUUAUAUAACUCUUGGAUGCUUCUCGUUUUUCGAAUCGGGCUGGAUGAAGAAGAAUUUGAUGAAGAACAUGAGGAAGUAGGAGGAUUUUCUGCUUCAGCAUAAUCUUCAGCAUUCUCAAUUACUGCCUCUUCUUCUUCUUCAAGUUCAAAAGGAAAAAUUGGCAAAUUUUUUUUUCAACUUCCAUAUAUUCAAACAUAGAAUUUUCAUCAAACCGAACAUCUCGGCUUAUCACAAUCUUUUUUGUCACCGGAUUGUACAACUUGUAUGCCAUACUUCUUUCACUAUAGCCAAUGAAAAUGCAUUUCUCUGACUUGUUAUCCAACUUGCUUCUCAUUGCAUCUGGAAUAUGAGAGUAAGCAACACUCCCAAAUACUCUAAGAUGACGAACACUAGGCUUUGUACCAUACCACGCCUCAUGUGGUGUGCAAUUCUCCAAGCUUCUUGUUGGUGAUCUAUUGAUAAGAUAAACUGCACAAGAAACAACUUCAACCCAAAAUCUUCUUGAUAACCUCUUCUUCUUAAGAAGACAUCUAGCCAUUUCCAUAAUUGUUCUAUUCUUUCUUUCACACACACCAUUUUGCUGAGGUGUAUGGCGGACUGUCAUUUCAUGCCGGAUGCCACUAUCUCGACAGUAUUUCUCAAAUUCUUUUGAAAAAUAUUCACUUCCAUGAUCUGUCCGCAAGGUGUUAAUUUUCAACCCAGUAAUUAAAUUUCAUCCCAGUAAAGCUUUCCACUUCUGCCUUGAAAUCUUUGAAUCUCUGAAAAGCCUCUGAUUUUUCUUUGACACAAUAUACCCAUAACUUUCUUGAUUAAUCAUCAAUGAAAGAGAUAAAGUAACGAUUACCUCCCAAAGAUGAAACUGUCAUAGGACCAAAAAGAUCCGAGUGAAUAAGUUGCAAUGGUCUUCUUGCUUUCCACGAGGAUUGAGAAGGAAAAGCAAUUUAGUGUUGAUUUCCAAGUUGACAUGCUUCACAAAUGUAACAGCCUGAAUUUGGGUCUAGUCGGAAUAGUGGUUUCGGGACCACAAAUGUAAUAUUUUAAAAAUUUCUACAGUAAGAUAUUAUCCUUGGUACAGUAAAAUAAGGAAAUGAAGUGAUAAAAUAAUAAAAAAAUAAAAAGGGAGAAUUUUGAGUUAUGGCAACAUUGGGAAAUAUAUUAUAACAUGAUAAUUCAAGAAAGGAUUAAAUUGCAAAAGUGCGAAAAGUUUUGUUGCCCAAGAGUAAAUACUUAAAAUUUGAGGGGUUAAAGUGUAAAUACAAAAAAGUUGAAGGACCAAAGGUGUAAGUAUUUUAAGGGUGGAAUGAUCUAGAAACUAAGAAAAAUGGAUGGAUUAGGAUCAAAUUAAAAAAUGUGAAGAAUUUUGAGGGACUAAAUACAAUUUUACCAAAUUGAGUGAUGACUCAAGAAUGGAAUUUUAAAAGAUCAUAAAGAGCAAAAUGGUCAAUUAAUAAGAGAGAGAAAUCUAGAAGAUAAUGAUGAUGUUGGAGAUAUUUUAGAUUAAUUAAAUAAAUAUUAGUUUAUUAAUAUUUUAAUUUAAUUUUUAAAUGUUAUUUUAUUAUUUUAUUAUUAUUUUAUUUAGUAUAUAUAUAUAUAUAUAAUAAAAGGAAGAUGAAGAAUCAUCAUCUUCCCCCAUGCAUUCCAACGUAUGAAGAGAAAAGAAAGAAAGAAACUUUCUUUUCUUUACAAUUUGGUCCUCUAACCAAAAAUCCUCCAUUUUCACUUUGAAAUCAAACAAAUUUCCAUAACCACCAAGAAAGAAAAUUCAUAAAGAGAAUAUGGGGAGCUAGAAUAUCAAGUUAGAUUCAAGAAAUAGAAGCUGGAGGAGAGAGAAAAUCAAGUUAAAGAUUGAAAUCAAUAGCACAAGGUAAGAACAUCAAGAUGUCAAUUUAUUUUUAAGUUUAAUAUUAUUGAAAAAAGCAUGGAAAUAAUGUUAUAGUAGAGUUUUCUUAUAUAUGGUCUUAUGUUCUUGAUAUAUUAGUGAAGAAAAAUAAGUGAAAGUGAUGGGAAAUAUUAUAGAGAAAUGGAGUUAUACACCUAGUAAUCAACAUUUUGAACUAAAAUAGUUUUGGACAGCAACAGUAGGUUAACUUUGAAAAAUCACCAUAAAUUGUGGAAAUCGAAUUAGAAUAUGAACAAGAUGUGUAAUUAAAUAUUAAUGAGUCUACUUUCAUAUAAAAGAAACAUAGAAAGCAAAAGAAUUGUGUAUUUUGAGAUAUUUAAAUUUUAGUGAGAAAGGGUCGGAAUGAUUUUGGAAUCCCCUGUUCUGACUUUGGAAAAUCAUCAAAACUUUGAGAAAAAUAAUUAGAGGCUUAAAUUUAUAUUUUUAAAUCCUUAAUGAGUAUAUUUUCAAUAAAAACAAACGGUAACAUCAUUUGAAUUCUGUAUGAGGAGAUAAUUAAGUUUUAGUGAAGAAGGGUCGGAACUGUCAGACAGCAGAACAGAGAUGAAUUUAGAGAAUAAACUGUACAUAUUGGCUAAACCAAAAAUUCUAAAAAUUUUAUGGUAAGAGGAUAUGUGAGUCUAGUUUCAGAUAAAAUUAACUGAUCUCAAUUUGGAGUUCUUUAGCUCAAGAUAUAAAUAAUUUAGUGACUAUGACUCAAGUGGACAGCUUUAAAAGAAUAUAAAUAAAUAUGAAAUUAUAGAUAAUGUUACAUAUAAGUAUGUUAUAUAUAUAUUAAGGAUGCGGAAUGGAGAGGAGGAGGAGGAAAAUAUGUGAUUAUUCAACUAGCAUGAGUUUUUAUUAAAAAUGAUCAAUUUAUAUGUUUCAGGGACUAAAUUGAACAAAUAUGAAAAUUUAAGAGUAAAUUUGUAAAAAUGUCAAAAAGUGACCAAAUUGCAUGAAAUGAAUUGUUUUAUCAUUUAAAUUAGUAAAUUGAAUGAAAUAUUAAUUUAGAUCAAGAUUGGGUGGAAAUUCGAGAAAAAUAGAAAAUUUCCAAAAUGUCCCUAUAUUUUGGUAUUUCUGCAAUUUAGCCUGGUAAGUUCGUAUGAACUAUAUUUUGUUUAAUUUCAAUUGAAGUGAAUGCUAUUCGGUAAUGAAUAUUAUACAUAUAUGUGUGUUUUAUAUUGGAACUGAAUUAUUAUUGGUAAUAUACAUAAUUAUUAGAUGCUUUGAAAUGAUUAUCGGAAGCUUGUUGGAGAUAUAUCACAUUACCUAUUGGUUUUAUCGGUAGUUUUGGAUGACUUGAUUCUGGUUAUAAAUGUAUAAGUUAAAUUGGUUAACGUUAGCUCAUAAAUGUUUUGAUUUUGAUCGGUUAUAAAUAUGAAUGUUAGAUAAAAAUGAAAUGCUUGAAAAUUAAUGAGUAAACUCCGGUAAUACCUCGUACCCUAUUUCGGUGUCGAAUACGGGUAAGGGGUGUUACAACAAUCAUCAUCAAGCCGAUCGAUUUUUGGUAAACCUUUGACCAUCAUCUUUCUUGAAAGCAUCUCGAAAUUUUCAUAGUUCAGAUGUCCAUAUCUAUCAUGCCAUAACUUUGAAACUCCUUUAUGAGCACCAAUAAAGCAAGACAUAUUCUGAUUUUGAAGGGUGAGAGAGAAAAAAUUAUUUGAUGCCACUACAACUCUAGCAACAACUUGAUUUUUCCUUGACAAAUAGCAAGCCAUGUCACGGAAAUAAAUAUCAUAUCCCUUCUUCAAAAGAUGCCCAACGCUAAGCAGGUUAUUUUUAAGACCAGGAACAAAAUAAACUUCAGACAUUUUCUCUACCCUUCAUUGCUUUGGUUUGAACUCCAACUCACCAACACCGCUAACUUUGUAAGCUUUGCCAUCUCCUACUUUUACUUCUCCACAAUUAGAUUCAAAGAACUUCGAAAAUAAAUUUUUGUUACUUGUCAUAUGCUUGCUAGCACCACUGUCUAUGUACCAGACAUCACCAAUCUCUCCACUAUGAGACACGAGCAACAAAGUUUCUUGCUUUUGUUCUUGAUUAUUUUGUACUGUAUUAGCUUUAUUUUUCUCUUCUUUCUUGUACCAGCAUUCACUUGCCAAAUGACGAGGUUUGCGACAAUGAUAACAUUCAAAAUAGCCACGACCUCUUCCUCUUUAAUUUCCACGUCCACGUCCUCUUUGUGAUCCUCUAAAAUUCUGACUUUGGUUGGCUUAUUUCCAUCCAUUUUCCAUGCUUGCAUCUUCACCUCUUUCACGAGCAUUUGAGCCUCUUCCCCUAAAAAUUAUUCCUCUUCCACGAGCACGAUCUCUCCCUCUUUGAUUUUUAAAAUCUCCCUUCUUCUCAUUUAGAGACAACUUUGACUGGAGUGCUUGAUCUAGAUCUACUUUCUUCUUGUUGUUGUUUAAUCUUUCUUCAUGGGCUUGCAACGAACCUGUGAGUUCAUCAAUAGUCAUUGUACUCAAAUCCUUUGAUUCUUCAAUGGCUACUACAAUGUGGUCAAAUCUGGAAUCUAAAGAACGGAGGAUUUUCUCAACACCACGAAUAUCAUCCAUAGUUUCACCAUUUCUUUUUAAUUGGUUGACUAUGGACAAAACCCGUGAACAGUAAUCAGAAAUUGAUUCCGACUCUAUUUUUUGCAAUCUUUCAAACUCCCCUCGAAGAGUUUGCAACUGAACUCUUUUCACCUUUUCAUCUCAUUUGAAUGAAUUUUGUAAAAACUCCCAUGCUUGUUUUGCCGUAGUGGCACAAGCAAUUUUUUCCCAAGCCGCUUCAUAUGAUUGAACUCCUUGAUAUAUCCAAAAUAAGGCUUGCUGAUUUUUUUUCUUUGAUUUUCUUAGACUCUCUUUUUGAACUUGUAUUAAUCAUUCUUCCUCUUCAGCCUCAACUUCAUUAUAACAUUUUUCAACAAUCUCCCAAACUUCUAGAGAUCCAAGAAGAGCCUUCAUUUGGAUACUCCAUUUGCCAUAAUUUUCUGUGGUUAAUUGGGGAACAGAAGAAAGAGGAAUAAAAUUAUUCAUUUCAAUGAACAAGGCUCUGAUACCAAUUUGUAGAAGUUUGAUUAAUAUUUGGAGAAAUAAAACAAAGAAAGUGAUAAAGAAUAUAAUGGAGAAGAGAAACAAAUUUUGUAUGGAAGAGAAGAAAAAUUUUUUCUAAUAAACUUUUUAUUUCACUCACACUAUGUAUUCUUCAUCACAUAUAACUCUUUAUAUAGGAGUUGUAAGUGACUAUUCAUCUAUAUCACUAAAUGCUAAGAGUUGUAACUAUUCAUUUACAUAACUUAAAUACUAUAGAAGUUAUGACUAUUCAUGCAUGUGUGUAACUUUUCAUCUUCAAGUCUCUUCGCAUUAUUAACUCUUCAUAUUCAAGUCUUUUCACAUUCAUAACUUCUCAUAAUUUAAUUUAUGCAAGAUUAAUUUAAUUAUUUGCCAACAGGUACAAUACUUUUGUUUGUCUUUUGUGUUUUGGAAAAUGCAUGCGAAAUCCAUGCAUAUGCAAACAUUUUGUACAAGAAAUUUGCAUAUCAGUACUGCAUAAAAGAGUGACUCUGGAGUUAUGGAAUUAUUUGAUAAUAUUGAAUACGAAAUAAAUAAAAAAUAAAAGAGUGGGUGAUUAAUCCGAAUUGGGAGGAGGACAGGUGUUGUGAUGGACAAGGGCAGCUAGGUAUUCCUUUUCAAACGAAGAAGAUAAAAGAUAAAACAUAUAGUGUGGUGGUCGAAGAUAAAUGAUUACAAUAACACUAAUAUGAUCUGCUUUGCCUUCGUCCACCACCUCAUCUUUAUGUUUUUAUCUUGGUUGUGACUCACGUUGGCCUUAGUCUGAAAGUGCUGUCAGUCCUACUAUCGUGGUUCUGUUGCCUACCUUUUGAUUUCUAUAUCUCAGGGUCUAUUUGAAUGUGCCGUGGGGAUAAAGUUAGAAAAUUGCUUUUAAGGGUUGAAGUUAAAUUAUGUAUCUUUAUAGUUUUUAGAGGUGUUGAAUCAAAAUUUUAUUAUUUUUUGAAUAAACUGUAAAUUUACAAUGUUUAACUUAUAAUUUUAUUGAUUUAGAGAGAUUUAAAUAAUAGUUUUCCAUUUUAGGGGUGUAAGGAGUAAUAUUCAUUUUAAGGGUCUAAAGAGUAAUUUUCAUUUUAAGGGGACUACGAUUAGAUUUGAUUAUGAGUUAGGUCACCUGUCCAAGCUCGAUGGCCCUAUUGAAAAGUGAGGGAGUUUGGAAAAUAACAUAGGCCUGAAAAAUAAGCUUGGACAAAAAAUAAUACCCAUUUUCUAAAUGGGCCGAGCCUCGAGUAAGAUAUUUUUGCUUGGGCCCAACUCGACCAAAUUUGCUUAAAAUUUUUUCCUUACUACUGUUAACUGUUUUUUUGCUAUUAUAUUAUUACUAUUUUAUUGUUAUGUUUGGAUAUUGUAUAAUUAUUGUUUAUUGUUAAUUUUGCUACUAUUUUAGAUGCAUUUGCUUGCUAAGUUGCAACUAUCUUAAUGUUAUAUAAGUAUAAAGACUUUUUUUUAAUGUAUUUUCAAUUUGUUGGGAAAUAUUUAUUUUAAUAUUUUUAAUAUAUUUGAUGUAUUAUAUUUUUUAAAAUAAAAAAUAAUAAAAAUAAUUUAAUAGAGGCGGGCCGGGCCAAGCUUAGGUUUGGCAUUGUUUUAUUUGAGUCAGGCUUGAACAAAAAUUUAGGCCUAUUUUCGGGUCAGGUAGGGCCAGAACCUAGAAAACGAGCCUAAAAUUCAAUCCAAUUGAGCUCAUGAUCAAGUCUAGCCACAACCCCUACUGCUCUGGUCAAUGCCUUUGGAGACAAUAUUAAUUCUUUUAAGAUUGAAAAUAGCGAUGGCGAUGAAAUUAAUUACUAUAGCAAUGAGAUUAGUUAUUAUAGCGAUGAUAUUAAAAAUAGUGAUGAGAUGUGUGUUAGGAUUCAAACACGACAAUAAUAGAAAAAUAGAUAAUAAAUUUGUAAUAAGAAAGCAAAAUAACCGUUAUAGACAUUAAACUAAAGUAGUUUUCAGCUUCUUCUCAUUGCACUCUUCUUCUCAAUUCUUUUCCAUUUUUUUGGUCUUUCUUAGUUUUGUUUAAUUUGUUGCUACCAAGGUAAUGCUCUGACAUCUUUUGUUUUUCUUAAUUUUUCGUUAUUCUUUCCUCUUGUUCUCUGGAAACCAAUUUGCUCUCAUCUGUUGGGUGUUGUUUAUCUAUUAUUUUAUUUUAUCUAUUUGUCGCUCCUAACGACUUUUUUGUCACGGUUCUGGUCCGUGUCGCUUCUAGUCUUUAAUUCGGUUGUUGGUCUUCGCGAUUUGGAGUUUUGGGAUUGUGGUAAGGUUGCAUGGGAGGUCUGUGAAGCGCGUAAUUCUUUGUCGAUGAACAGUGUCGUAGGAAUUGUUUCUUCUUUAGGUGCUGAAAUGGCUGUUGUGGGUCGACAUCGGAAAGCAGUAAGUUGUGUAACGAAAAAAUUGAAAAAUUCGAAAAACAGCGAUCGAAGAAAGUUGAAAAAGUGCACUAUCGAUGCCACAUGACCGUGUGGUAGGCCGUGUGUGACACACGAUCAUGUGACAGGCCGUGUGCAAGUUCGUUUGGCCACACGGUCUGGGCCAAUUGGGCUGUGUGGGCCACACGGGUAUAAACGAGGCCGUGUGGGCCCAUUUUUUGGAAAUUCCAUCUUGGCCCAAUUUGAUCGGUAGAAGGUAAUUAGCCUCUCCGUAGGGUCCGUACCGCUUAAAUAGGACUUGAAAACAAGGUAUCUAUAAAUAUGGUUCUAUGUUGUGUUAAAUGUAUAUGUAUUAUAAAUUUGUAUGAGCUAAUACUAUUAGUUCUGAAGGUAUGUCUUGAUUCGUUAUGUCUGUAUAAGCGUCUAUAUUGUACGAUCAUGUUAAUUUGUAUUUUUGAAUUUGAUAUAACCAUGCAUGUGAUUUCAUGGUAAAACUUAUGUGUUUCUAUAAGAUUAAAUAAAUCUAUUCUGUAAAGCUUGGACUUUCAUGUCUUUUGUUUCUGUUAUUGUACGUCAGCAUGUUCUACAUGCUCACCAUUUUGAUUCUGUACAUACAUGCCUUGACACAUUGCAUGGAAUUUUGAUAAUGUUAAAGGAGAAAGAUUCAGUAUUGGUAGUUUAAUGAUCUGCGUAAUUCAAUGGCUUGAUCACAUAUAUUUGAUCUGGCAAUUUAACUGCAUAUUGCUAAGACAUUGUUACCGGGCAACCCGGGGUGGCGGGUCAUUAUUGAUGGGCAACCCGUGAUGACUUAACUGGUGUGUUUUUGGAUGGAAGAGUUCUAGGGAACUCUAUUUUGGUGUGUAGCGGAGUUGGGUAGGACGUUUUCUAAAAAAAUCCGCAUUAUGAUUUUCUAAAAUAUCGAAUUGGCAUAAUCAUACAUAUUCAAUUAUGUUUGAUUAAUUGUUAUAAAAUUUGCUGUGAUUUUCUUAUUUGUUUAUUGUAUUGUAUGUGACCUUAGCUUGAGUUUUAGUUAGACACUAAACUUAAUAGCUCAACCAUUUGUUUUUUUUUUUGUACAUUUCAACACAUUUCAAGUAAUCGGUAAGUUAGAGUAGGACGGCGUGCAGGUGCUCGGAUGGUUUUAUCAGUUAUUUCUAAAAAAUUGGCAAUUUUCGUAAUUGUUUAUUUUGAACUUUGGGGCUGUAAUUUUUUUUUGGGUUUUUGUUUUGGUUUCUAUUUAAUUCAUCGAUGUUGAUAUUUGCGAACAUAAAAUUGCUAAAUCUUGCUGGGUUAACAAUUUAAAAUUUUGAUUUCCAAAAUUAAAUCUCUGAAAAUUUUCCAUUGUAAACUAACUCCUAAAGAGUUUUUCUAUAUAAAAAACAAAUGGUUUUAAUGAGUGUUUGCCUUAAACUAGAAAUGAUUUGUCAAAAUAGAUAUUAUCAAAACACACGAUUUGAAAUUCAAAAUUCUGGGUUUUAAGUGAGUUUUUUCCGAACUUAAGUUUUUCUAAACAUUCAUGAAAGUUUUGCCAAAGUGUAUAUUUUCGAAAUGCAUUUAGUUUGAUCGAAGCAAAGGCUUUUGAACAAGUUGAAUGUAAUUUCUCAACAUCCGGUCAUAACUUUUAGGCCAAGUUUAGGAUCUUACAGUUGGAUUGUUAAAUUAAUAAUUAUACAAAAAUAUAUUAAAGCGUAUAAAAUUACUUUGGUUUCAUACUAGUGUAAGCAGACCCCUCCCCUUUUAAUAUAUAAAAUUAAUUAUAUCUUUUAAAUUAAUGUAUUUAAUAUUAUUUAUAAAUAUAUUUCUUUAUACACCUAACUAAUGUAAAUAAAAUACUAAAUAUGAUUUGAAGUAAUGAAAUAAAAUAAACACUAUAAAUAAAAAUAUUAAAAUUUUGAAAAAUAUGGAAAAAAAAUUAAUGUAAAUAUCUCCAAUCACUCUGUGAAUGCCUCGAGCUUCUAGACCUGUGCACUCCAAACCUCCUCAUCUAAUGAAUCCACUAUGGACACCUUGUUCAUUGGUUCAAAGUGGUUGAUGUUGGUUUCCAUAUAUCCUUUGUCUCCGAUAAGAAAGGAUUUCUUCCAAAUUGAAAAUCUUGUAUUGAAGCAUGUCAUUUUACCAUAAGCCAUUCAUCGUAGAAUCGAACUCGUUUAACUUUGAAAUCACUCUCCUAAUGCAUGUUAUUUGGAAAGUUGUUGAUGAAGAUUGUUGAACACCCUUAGUUUUUCCACUCCAUUUUUCUAAUGUCCGCCCCCCUUGGUUAUAACAAUCCGGAACCUCCCUUAAUCUAACUUAUUAUAAAAUUAAAAAAAAAACUCUAAAUAAGACAAUAAAAGGUUUUAUUUAUUUAUUUAUACCACAUUAUAGCAUGAUGAACAUUACAAAUGGGCAUGAAUAAAUAGACAUAUACUAGUGGCAUAAGCUUGAAGACCUGACUUACCAAUACACUAGAAUUUCACACAUAACAAACGCACGCUAUAUACGGAGAUGCAUGGGAAAACAGCGGUAGGUAGAUAUAAGUCAACUGGCUGUCAAAUUUAUUCUAGUAGUAGUGCAAAACAUAUAUAGCACAUUAUUAUUGCUGACACUGACAACCUGAGCACCAGCAUUUUGAUCAGAAAUUUAAGCAAAGCCACCCAAGAAAGCUGCGUUUGUAUUACCAUCACUGCAAUAAAGGCAAGGGUUCUGCUCAAUCCAUUGUCCAUUAAAAUCUUGGCAGCCUCAGCCAUAAGUGUCUGUUGCUUAUUCCAGCACCCAUGUGCUGAUCGAUUAUGCUAAUUACCACUGCAAGGGUGAACGCCCCAAUGGCUAUAUUCUCCAAAACUAGGUCAUAUGAUGUCUCAUUGGCUUCACACCCACUUAAUAAAAUCCCUUCAUCCUCCUCCAGUGGAUCCAACACCAUUAACCCAUCUACGUAGUGAGGAAUGAGGAUGGAAUUUGAGAUUCACAUCUUUCCCGAAGAUUCCAAAAAUCUUUUGACCAACAUUUGCUGCGUCGUGUAGGAUUCCUGCUGCUGUAUCUAUCGCACUAUGCAUAAUAUCAAAAGGAAAACUCUUAGCCUGAGCCUUAGAAGGUUUAGGCUUGUCGGUAUUUACUGUUGUCGUCAUAUGCUCACCACCAAAUUGUUCUUUCUCUUUUUGAAUGAGACCACCACUGUGGCACGAAUCUGAUAGGAUUGUGAAGCUUGCUCCUUCUGGUAGCCGGUUAACUAAACGCCUGAAGUCCACGUCUGCAGAAACCAUGUAUAUAUAUAGGGUAUGAAUAUAUGUUGCUAAAAUAAAUAUAUAAAUUCAAACAAAAACCUUCCAGUGACAAGAUAUAAAUCACAAGCCACGAUUGCUUCAUCAUGCUUGAAAGGCUAGCCAGCUUGAAAGAUUGGAAUGCGAGUUCCAUGUCCACUGAAGUAGAAAGAAAGGACAUCUCCUGGUUUAGCCUUGUUCACCAUCUUAUUAAGUGCAUCCUUAAUGUUUGCACCAGUAUGCGGAACCGGCGACCCUGGCACAUCGAUGAGCACAUUAACAUCGCUUACCUUAAACCCAAAGUUUCAGGAUCACAUCUGUUAUGGCUUUCACAUCAUUGAUGCAUCCAUGCAAGCUGAACUGGGUCUUGGGGUAGUUGCAUCCCACCAGAACAGCUCUCUUCGUACCCUUACCCAUCUUGCUUUGGUAAUUUGACUAUUUUGUGUUGCUUGUACUGUUGUAUUAAUGUGCUUCCACUUUCUCACUAAGAACCUAUAUAUAUAGACACUAAUUUACAGCAUGAGUACUGACCAUAAAGUUGACGACAUGUAGGUAGGUAGGUAGGUACAACACUUUUGUUUGUCUUUUGUGUUUUUGGAAAUGCAUGCGAAAUCCAUGCAUAUGCAAACAUUUUGAGCAAGGAAUUUGCAUAUCAGUACUGCAUAAAAGAGUGACUCUGUUGUUAUGCAAUUAUUUGAUAAUAUUGAAUGUGAAAUAAAUUCAAAAUAAAAGAGUGGGUCGUUAAUCCGAAUUGGGAGGAGGACAGGUGUUGUGAUGGACAAAGAGGAAGACAAGGUGGUUUCCGAUUGAAGCAAGAAAGCUCUAGCAAAAGGCAGCUAGGUAUUCCUUUUUCAGACAAAGACGAUAAAAGAUAGAAAAUAUAGGGUGGUGGUCGAAGAUAAAUUAUUAUAACAGCACUGAUAUGAUCUGCUUCGCCUUCGUCCACCACCUCAUCUUUAUGUUUUUAUCUUGGUCGUGACUCACGUUGGUCUUCGUCUGCAAGUGCUGUCGGUCCUACUAUCGUGAUUGUGUUGCCUAGCUUCUGAUUUCUAUGUCUUAGGGUAUAUUUGAAUGUGCGGUUUGUAUGAGGGUGAGGUUAGAAAAUUGAUUUUAAGGGUUGAAGUUAAAUUAUGCAUCUCUAGAAGUGUUAAAUUAAAAUUUUAUUAUUUUUUGGAAUAAAUUGUAGUUAUAUAAUGUUUAACAUAUAAUUUAAUAGAUUUUAGAGAGGUUCAAAUAGUAAUUUUUUAUUUUAGAGGAUAUAAAGAGUAAUUUUUAUUUGAAGGGGGCUACAAUUAGAUCUGAUUAUGAGUUGGGCUAUUCUUUCAAACUCGAAGGGCUGCCCAAAAAAUGGGAUUGUUUAAGCAAAAAUAUAGGCUCAAAAAAUAGGCUUGGACAAAAAAUAAGGCUUGUUUCCCAAAUAAGUUGGGUCUUAGGUAAGAUUUUUUGCGUAGACCUAACCUUACUCGAAUUUGGUUAAAAAAAAUCCUAUUGCUGUUAACUACUAUUUUGCUACAAUUUUACUAUUAUAUUGUUGCUAUUUUUUUAUUAAUGUUUGAAUAUCAUGUAAGUUUGUUUUACUAUUAAUUUUGCUACUAUUUUAGAGGCAUUUUCUUGCUAAAUUGCAACUAUCUUAGUGUUAUUCAAGUAUAUUUUUUUAAAAUAUAUUUUUAAUUUGUUGGGAAAUAUUUAUUUUAAUGUUUGUAGUGUAUUUGAUAUAUUAUAUUUUUUAAAAUAAAAAAAUAAUAUAAAAAAGUUUUAAUAUGGGUGGUCUGAGCCAAGCACAAGUUUGGCAUUUUCUUAUCUGGACUAGGCUUGAUCAAAAUUUUAAGUUUAUUUUUCAUAUCAAGUUAGGCCCAAGCCUAGAAAAUGGGUCUAAAAUCCCAGCUCAACUUAGCCCAUGAUCAAUUCUAGCCACGUCCCUAUUUGCUGUGGUCACUACUAGCGAUGAGAUUAAUUUCAAUGAUAUUAAAAAUAGUGGUGAGAUUAGUUACUAUAGUGAUAAGAUUAAAGUCAAUAGUGAAAUGGUGUUAGGAUUCAAACACAACAAUGACAGCAACAUAGAUUAUAGAUUUAUAGUAAGAAUGCAAAAUGACCAUUAUGGACAUUAAAUUAAAGUAGCUUACACCCUUCCAUAUGCUUUUGUACAAGUAAUAUUUUAAUGAUAAAAAUGUCAUAUUUAAUAUUUCAUUGAUAUAAAUCAUAUGCAUAUCUUUAACAUAAAUUAAAAUUUUCUAACGAUUUGUUUUAUGUAUGAAUACUUUUAAUUGUUUAAUAAAUGUUAAUAUAUAUAAUAUUUUAGAUCGAUAUGAUAGAAAUAUCGAAUCAAUUUGAAAAUUUAAAUGCAUGAAAAGUGCAAUAAUAUCAAAAAAUAUAUGAAAGCGUAUAAAAUUACUUUAGUUUCACACUGGCGUAAGCAGAUCCCUCCCCUUUUAAUGUGUAAAAUUAAUUAUAUCAUUUAAAUUAUGCAUUUAAUAGUAUUUAUAAAUAUAUUUCUUUAUACACCUAACUAAUGUAAAUAAAAUAUUAAAUACGAUUUGAAGUAAUGAAAUAAAACAAAUUUUAUAAAUAAAAAUAUUAAAAUUGUUGAAAAAUAUGGAAAAUGUUGAAUGGGAUUAAUGUAAGCAUUUCCAAUCACUCUGUGAAUGCCUCGAGCAUCUGGAACCUGCACUCCAAAAUUCAGACUAAUAUAAAUGUUACAUGAAAGAAGUUAAAAUCAUGAAAUAAGUACUUUUCAAAAUUCGGUAUUUACACUUGCCCAAUAAUAUAAAUAUAUUCAGCAUUUAAUUUUGUGACAUACAUAAAAUUUUAAUAAUACAAAUUCAGUAUUUUUCUUGGGUUUAUCAAACGAAAACUUGGUAAAUAUAUGAUUAACAAGGAGAUGUUAAUUGAAGUAGAUAAAAUUCAUUCCCAACAUGACUUGAAGAAGGUUACAUGGCAUCUCAGAAAAUGAAGGGAAAGCAUUCUGAAAAGGUUAGUUUCUUCAGAUAUUCAAAAUACAAAUUUCAGACCAUAUCGUUCUGUGUACAGAUGAAAGGCAUCAAAGUAGCAGUUGAACUUACGGGGAUCUUUAGGGGAAAGAAAGGAGAGAGAAGACCACAGACAAUGAAAUCCAUACAAGCAAAAAAUGAUAUUGUCAGUCUUAGAAAUCCAUACUUUCAAAAAACAUACUUCAUGAUCCAUGAUUUUAUGAGAAGACUCUUUGGAGGAGAACUUCCUAGGUCGACUUAGAAGAUAUGAAUGACAGUCUUCUAGAAAACUUCCUAAAUACAGUCAGUUUUAAAAUUCAAAAAAUGAAAAACCUUGAUUAAUUGUCAGUUAUGUCCUUUUCAACUAGCUGGUUGCAUACUGCAUAUGAAUGCUGACAAACAUUUCUUGCGUCCAUCAGCUUAUGCGAGAUUCCUCCAGUGUUGUAUGAAGAGGUUUCUUGAAAUGAUUCCCUAGCAAAAUGGUAAUACAGUGGCAAAGGUGAUAUUUCUGACAUCACCUAAGUUUUUUUAUUUGAUUUAUCUGUGAAGUUAUGGUUCUUUCUUUCUAAUAGAUUAUCUAUCAAGUUGAUUCAAGUAAUUAAGCUUAUUGGCUAGAAAUAAACAAAGAAUCUUGGAUUUCUAAAUUCUUAAUAGGUUCAGCUAUAUUUGUUGAAGGAUUCGGUGUAUGCUAAAGUUGCACCAAAAUCCACAGCCAAAUACUCAAAAACUCUGUUUGCAUAUACUAUAUUGUCAUUCAAAAACUGUCAGUCAAAUACUCAAAAACAAACCUUCUGAAAGUAGUGUUUGAUAUCUCUCAGCAAGGCAUCUAUAGUCUCAGAAAUGGACAGACAUACUUCGGUGCCACAGAAAACAAAUAAAUAAGAUCAUAAUGUUUUGUAUAACCUAAGAACAGAGAAAUGUUUAAGUAUGGCGCAUACCUGAACUUUGCAUCAUUCUUAGGAAUUGAAGGUAUCCUAGUCAGCCUUCUCGCAGAAACACUUCCUCUAAGAUUUAAGUGAUAAUGAUAUAUCUUAUUAUCACUAAUGCCUGCAGCCAGACACAAAAUUGACUUUAUUAAAUACAUAACGAAGAAUUUAACAGAAGAGACACACACACACACAUAUGCAUGUAUAUAUAUAUUGUUUAAUAUGCUCUAACUAACGGAAUAAAUGGACAAAUUUUAAUAUUAAAAGGAAAAAAAGAAGCAUGCCUCUUGACAACAUUUCAGGCACUAUAAGCAGCGUAGUAAACUUAAAGCAAAAUUGAGUCAUUGACAACCCUGUAUUAUCGCCCACACCUUAAGCAGCUAACAACUGACAGGCAAUACGCAUAGCCUAGUGGUAACCAUGUUAAUCUUCCAAAAAGGAGAUCUCUGGUUCUAAUUCCCUGUUCCCCUAACUGUUGUCAAAAUCUAAGCUAUUCAACCAUGGAUAUUUGACUAGCAAGAAAAGAAUACUGAGACACUAAACUUACUGGUAGUUUUGAUGGAAAACAACCCAUCUGCGGCAGACGGAAGUCAAAUAAUCAUGAAACAUAAAUAUUUAUCGAGAUCUUUGUAUCUAGAAUCAAAUGAGCUCAUCAUCAUCAUCAGCCACUUACCCCACUUUUCCGUUGCACUUAAGGUCUUGAAACUCCUCCAAGCAACUACCGGUGCCCGUAUCUGAUACUGCUCAUUAAGAUACAAAAUAAAUAGAUUUUUCUAGAAACGGUAUCUAUCAUUUACAGUCUACAGAUUUACCUUGCAUGACCUAAUCAUUUUUAAAAGCUUAUUUAUGCUUUUGAUGAACUCAUUUGAAAGAAAACCAGCCAAGACCAUACCGUUUCAACUUCAAAAUGACAUGAUUUCAAUGCAUAUUUUCCAAUUUAGAUAUAACUUCCUAUUUUUCUGAAAGAUCGCGUCACAAAAAAUCAAAGUAAAUAAUUCUAAUUAUAGUGAGGCAAAAAUUAAAGGAAGAAUGAAAAGUAUUCACUUGAAUGAUUGGAGGAGAGCUCUUGAGAACGACUGAUAGUCGGCAAAGAUCUUCGGAUAAACGACAUCUUUGAACAGCAAAAGAAAUUAAUUGACAAUAAGAAAAACGAAAGGAAAUUAAAGAAGAAAAGGAGAUUAGAGUGGAUUAACAUAUUAUUAUUUGUUUUUUUUCCAAACCUAAGAUUGCUUAAGGUAUCUAUUAUUUGGUUCGUAAAAGUAUAUUGUGGAAAUUUUAUGGACUAAACACCAUUGUAAAUCACAUAUUCUAGUUUUGUUAAGUAAAAAUUAAAAAAAUAUAUAGAAGAAUUGAAAUAUCAAUCAAAACCCCAAUUUUCUAAUCACCCAACCAGCAUAACCCAUAAUUCAGAAGAAAAGAGAAAAUAAAUUACAAUAGAUCUAGAAAUUAAAAAAAAACACAAAAAUAAAAAGCCAAUAAGAAAAUUUAAAAAAAAGGAAGAAAUGAAGAAGAAUUGUCUUACCUGAGAUAAUGUCACCUUUUGCGGCGUUUUUACCACAAAGGCUGCUAUUUCUUACAUUAUUUUGUGGUGUUUUUAUCAUAUAUGCUACUAUUGCUUUACCUAUUGCAGCAUUUUUUCGUUAGCACUACUAGUGUAUAACAUUUGCGAUGUUUUUCGUCCAAACACCGCUAAAACCUUAAUUUCCUGUAGUGGACCCCUAUGUGAUGGCCUGAUGGUUAAAAGUGUUCAUCGUCCUAGGUGUUGUCUGGGUUCAAAUCGUGUUAGUUGCAUUUGUCGUUCGGGCUUUUCCCUGUUAUUGUAAUUCACCAAAAAAGAAAAAAGUUAAUAUUUUGUUUUUAGGUUUGUUAUAUUUGUUAAAAAAUACCAGUGACUAAAUGGCUUAGGGACAAUUAAACAAAGUUUAUAAUUUAUCGAGAUAUAUUCUAAAAUAAAAUAUAAAUAUUUAUUCAAUGUGUAAUUUAAUACGUAAAUUUUAAUUUUAUACAAUUAUAUAUAUGAUUUUUUUAAAGUGAGAUGAAUUUAUGAAUUUAUAGUAUUAAUUCCAUAUUAAACUAUUAUAAUUUACGUACAUUCAAAAAUAAUAAUAUUACUUUUGGCUCACAUGCAAUUUAGUUAGAUACGUUACGUUUACCUAACUCAAAAUUUUAAAAAGAAAAAUUAUAAAGGCAGAUUAUGUUUUUAUAGAUGUGAUUUAGUAAUACAAAUGUUUUAUUCUUUAUCUGAAAAAGAUGAGUUUUUUUUUAUAAUUUAAUUAAAAUUUACAAUUAUGAUUUAAUUUGGUGUAGCUUUUAGAGAUGACAAUGGAGUGGGGUGAGAGUAAAUAUUGUUAAAUUUAUUAUCGAUCAUCGCUCCAUCAUUUGCAUGUUGUAUACAUUCAUCCUCGACACACCCCAACCCACUUUGCUCCACUUCAAUUUAUUUUUUGAUAUUUGUUUUUGAUAUUUUCAAUCUUUUUAAAGUCAAGUAAAUAUUUAAAUGUAAUUCUUCAAAAAAUAUUUAAACAUAAAAUAUUUAAUUUUUUUUCUAUAUUACAUUUUUAUAUUUUUACCCUUAAAAUAGUUUAUAUAUACAAGGAUAAAAUAGUAAUUUUAUACAGUAGAGUGGGUCGGGGAAGGACAAACAAUUAUCGUAAUUACCGAAAAAAAUUCACCCUGUCCUGUCCUGCAUCCACUCUUUAAAAAAAAAAAAACAAAUGUUUCAUUCGAAGAGAAACAAUUCAAAAUCUAUUUGAUGGAUUGAGUUUUGCCAUACCUAAUAACUUCAAUCCGAGUUCAUAAUUGAAUGCUGAUGAGUUUAGAUGGUAAUUUGUUUUCCAAACUUUUUGAUGUCGUCUUCCUUCAACAUGCCUAUCAACUAUUUAAUCAUUUACCUCUUAGAAAACUACAAAUUGUUUUGGUGUAACACCCUUAACCCAUAUCCGUCUCCAAAUUAGGGUUACAAGGCAUUACUGAACAAAACACAACUCAGAACAGACGUUUAUUUGAAUUCAAAAAUUUUAACAUCUAUAUGAAAAUUUGUUUAACUCAAAUUGUACCUGAACUUAUCUACUUACUCUUUAUAACCUAUUAACAUUCAAUCUAAAUGACAUUCUACCUUAUGAAUAUUCGGCUAUUUGACUAAUUUCAAAUCUAAAUUAACUAUUUUAAAACAAAACAUAAACAUUGCAACGAUCUAAACCAUAAGGAAAUAAGGCAUUUUCACAUGGCUAAUAUUUACAUAAACAGUAUCUCAAAAUACAACAUACAAAAAUAAUGUCCAGCCUAUACAUGCCAUAAGUUAAGUUCUAACAUUUAAAUACCAAGAUAGUAGAUAGAGUUAUGAACUUUGCUAACGAUCCCCGAGCUUGAAGCUUGAAUUUUUAAGUCUAUAAAACAGAGAGACGUAAACGAACAAAGUAAGCUUAUAUAGCUUAGUAAGUCUAUAGCAUAACUAAAAUAUAUAUAAAAGUCAUAUAAUUUCCAAAUUAAAUUCACUGAAAUUGUAAAUAACACAAACAAUUAUAAUAUUAGCAUUUGUUGUCCUUAAACCAUUUUAUAUAUAACCAAAUAUAUGUACCUGUCGAAUGCAUACAUCUGAAUAUAUGUAUACAUAUACAUCAUGUGUAUAUAACCGAUCAUAUAUAUAUACUAAAUAAACAUUAUAACCGAAUGCAUAUAACCGAACAUGUAUAUAUAUACUAAACACAUAUUAUAUCUGAUUGUAUAUAUAUACUCGUCUUAAACUUAAAACCCAGUACAUAUCUAAAGCAUAUAACCGAAUGCAAAUAUAUUCAUCAAAUACUUAUAAACAAAUGUAUAUACACCUCAAAUACAUAUAUAGAUACUUAUCGAAUACAUUUGCCGAAUGUAUAUAUAUUUAUCAACUGCUUAGCAAAUGCAUAUACCUAAUGCAUAUAUAUUUAAUAUAUGCAUAUACCGAAUGCACAUAUAUAUAUUUAACAAAUGCUUAGACCGAAUAUAUAUAUGCUCAUCAAUUAAAUAUAACCAAAAUCAUAUAACUGAACAUUUGUAUACUCAUCAAAUACUUGUAACUGAAAUCAUAUACAUAUCCAAUGCAUGUAAUCACAUACUUUAAAUAGAUUCACCGACACUUAGCCUGCUAAGCUUGAAGCCUGAUUCUGUACACCGGCACUUAGCCUGCUAGACAUAUAGUCUGAAAUGUUUCACCGGCAUCAAGCCUGCUAGACGUAAAGUCUAAAUUAUUUCACUGACAAUAAACCUGAUAGGCACUGAGCCUGAAAAUCUCAAUUCACAGAAGUUGUAACUCUUAUUCGAACUAUAUUUGUAUAUAAUAUCCAUACAUAAAAAUUCAGCUCAAUAAUUUAUUAACUAUAUCUUUAAACCACAUAGAUAUAUAAAGAUCAAAUACCAAAUUCAGCUAAAUGACUUAAUUAUACAUCCGAACACUCACAUAUAUAUAAUUUAAUAAAUUAAAUUCUACUACUAAAAUCUUAUCAUUUAACUUAUAUCAUACCUUAAGUAACAUACAUUUACUAAUCGAAUCACUUAAAUACAUAUAUAUUUCAUAACAUUAAAAAUCAAUUCAAAGAAAAUAUAUCAUACAUUCGAACACCUUAUAAAUAAUGUAAGCUAACAAUUUCAUACCUUUAAAUAUAUUCAAGACUUAUUCAUAUACAUACAUAUAUGUUCCAACUCACAUAUACAUAUAUAUAACAUUCAUACUUUUAACCAAGUCCAAGGGUUUAUACAUGUAUAUACUUAUAUAUAUUCGGACCUUAUGUAUACAUAUAUAUUAUAUAUAUACCUUUGAUUAAAAACAAGAAUUUAUACAUAUAUAUAUAUAUAUUUUCGAACAUGAUACAUAUAUAUAUAUAUCAUUCAUACUUAAACCAAAUUCAAUCUAUAUACUUUCAAUUUCAGCACAUCAAAAUAUAAUAUAUAUACAUACAUAUAUACUGAUUUAAUAACAUCAAAUUGCUAAUAGACUUACCUCGGACAGUGUAAAAUCGAAACUGGACGAUUAGUCGACUACUUUAGCUUUUCCCCGAUUCAACUCCAAUUUCUUUAUUUCUUGAUCUAAAUAUAUUCAAAAUAAACUAGUUUAAAUAUUAUUACAUUCAAUUUAGUCCAAAAACACAUAAAUGAGAAAAUUACCAUUUUGCCCCUGACAUUUUACACUUUUUGCAAUUUAGUCCCUAUUGCAUAAAACACAAAAUACGCAAAAUUGCCCAACCUAUGCUAGGGCCGAAUGUUCAUAGGCUUCAUAAAAGUCCACACAUUUCAUUUAUUUCACAUUUUAGUCCCUCAAUAAAUUUAAUUUCACAAGUUAGCCCUAAUUACUCAAUUUCACCAAAAAUUCAAAGACAAAACAUAUUAAUCUUUCACCCAUCUUUCAUAUUUCAUCAUCAACUAUCAAAAAGCUCAAACAUUCAUCAAUGGCAUAUCUCAAAAUCACCAUCAAAUUCUAAAAUUAAAGCAUGGGUCUUGUAGUAUACACAAAGCAACGAUCUCAAAACGUAAAAAUUAUCAAAAAAUCGAAACAAAACUAACCUCAAUCAAGCUAUGAAAGUGCCAAACUUUAGAAAGCCAUAGUUGGGUUCUUCAUGCUUAACAUUCGGCUAAGAAAAGAUGAAAACAUUCAUCUUUUCAUCAUUUAUUUUUAAUUAUAAUGUUUAAUUUAACAAUUGACUAAAUUAACCUUAUUAUAAUAAAUAUAUAAAACAUAUAUAUUAAGGUUAAUUAUAUCAUAUGCCACCCACUAUCUACUAUAUGGUCUUAUUGCAUCAUAAAUCCUCCCAUUUAAAAAGAAAACAAAAAAUAGGUGCUUUUAUAUUUAACCUCUAAAUUUUUAUUUUACGCGAUUAAGCCCUUUUAUUAAAUCGGAUACUUAAACGACGAAAUUAAAACACGAAAAUUUCACACAAUAAAAUUCACACAUAAUAAACACACAAAAUAAUAUUAAAAUAUUUUUCUGACUCGAAUUUGUGGUCCCAAAACCAUUAUGUCCGAUUAGGGUCAAUAUUGGGCUGUUACAAAUGGUGCGUGUAUAACUAUGUUUUACAUUGCAUUUUAAAUUUUCCUUUUUUAAUAUCGGUUGGAAAAUAUGGACAUCACAUAUAUAUAAUAAGGGUAAUUACAUGUUUUUAUCUAUUAUCAUAAAAGGUUAGCCCAAAUUAAAAGUGAUCGAAUUUGGUUAAAUUUUAUUGGGCUUUAAUUAUUAAAUAAAGUAUAGGUUAAAUAUGUGUAGAUACUCUAGUAAUUAAUUUCUAAUCAAUAAUGGGUUAAUUAGAUAUUAGGUUAACGUGUAAAAGUUAUAUAUUAGGGUUAUGGUUAUCAAAUUACACAUAAAGUAACUUUUCUAAUAUUCCAUAUUUAGAAAAGAAAGAGUCACCUUCUCUGAAUUUCUUUUGUGCUAAUUUGGAAGAUCAAAACUCCAAUAUCCGUAGAUUUCAAGAAAUCAAUGAAUUAAGGUAUGCUUUCGCAUCUAGUUUUGUUCUUGAUGAUUUGAUACAUGAUAGAUCCUAGUUUACAGUUUUAAGUUUGUAUCCUAUUUUAUUUUACGGUUCUAACAAGUGGCAUCCGAGCCUCGUCAUGUUGAAUCAUUCUACUUCUAGCUAGAGCUUAUUCUCGUUGAUUUUCUUUUCUUUUAUUAUUUCUUUUUACUUUGUUUUAAUUUUUAUUUUAAUUUUUAAAUUUUAAACUCUUUAUAUUUUUAUUUUAAAAAUAAAAUUGUCACGGAUGUAUAUAAAUACAACAUUACCUAUUGCUAUCUACUCAUUUAUAUUUUUCAAUUAAAUUUUUGUUUUUAUAAAUCUCUACAUGCUUACAUUACUUCAAUACAACACCAAAAGAACCAAAUGUCAAACACCGACGCUUAUAAAUAAAAUUCUUGCAAAAGAAGCCGUUUUAUUUAUCAUAAAAUUAUACAUGGAAUAGCCAUACAUGGCGAUUACAUAAGCUUGAAUGCCUUAAAAAACACAGACAUUAUAUGAUAGUAAUAAGCAAACACACACACACAGACGAUAGUAAUAAGCAAACACACACACAGACGCAGUAAUGAAGGCUAACUUCAACUUCGUAGUAGUGCACAUCGAUCGAGCGCAUUAUUAUUUAGUUUAGAGUUUCGACCUCUAGUGAUCGAAAACCCUGGUUCAAAGCCGGCAGCUUACGCACCCGUAGUGGUGUUGGGUUGGUGGCCAAGAAAAGCUGCAUCAGCAUUCUCAUCACUGCAAUAAAGGCAAGGGUGCUGCUGCCCAAAUCCUAGGUUUAUUAUUUCAUUCCUGGCCUUCACCACAAGCUGUCUAUUGGUUAAUGCACCAUUGCUCUCCUUGAUGACCUUCAGAACUGUAUAGGUAAAGGCCCCAAACGCCUUUCCUCCAGUUUUGUCACUCGCUCGCAUAUCAAAUGAAAACUCAUUGGCUUGGCACCCACUUAACAGAAUUCCCUCAUCCUCCGUCAAUGACCUCAAAUUCAAAAUAUCACGUUCAUAAUGGGGUAGGAAUUUGAGACUCACAUUGUUCCCAAAGAGUGUGGUCAAAAGAGAGCCAAUACCCGUCAUAUUGUCUGUUCCAGUGUUGAUGGCAUUGGCAACUGCUGUUGUGUCCAAGAAGCUUUGUGUCGCGCUCACGACGUUGGCUGCUGUUUGUAGGCACUGGUAUAAGGUUUCAAUGGAAAUGCCCCUAGUCUUGUAAUCAACAGGUGGUGCUAUACCCCUUAGAGUACUAUGGGGUCCAAUUUGUUCUUUACUUUUAUCAAUCAGACCACCACUGUGGCAGGAAUCCGAAACCAUUGUGAAGCUUGAUCCACUUGGUAGUUGCUGAAUCAAUUGCCCCAAGUCCACGUCUGCACAACCAUGGCAACCACCAUAUGAUAUAAAUAAUAGUUUGCUUAGAUUGAGAGUAUUUUAAAAUUUUAAUUUACCAAGUUGAUUUCGUACCAAAAAUGGGAUUGAGAUCACAAGGCACAAUUGCUUCACCCCCGUUGGAAGGCUGGUAGGGGUCAAUGCAGUGCACAAGUCCAUGUCCACUAAAAUGGAAAAGCAGGACAUCUCCUUCUUUAGCCGCGACCACCAUCUUCUUGAGUUCAGCCAUAAUGUUUGCACGUGUAGGCUUAUACGUGGACUCUGGUUCAUCAGUUAGGAGCUCAACAUUUUCGGAAUCAAAGCCAAACCUGCUCACGAUCAUUUCUCUCAUGGCUUUCACAUCGUUUACGCAUCCGCUCAACUCGUUGAUGGUGUUGGGGUAGUUGCAUCCGACCAGAACGGCUCUCUUCUUACAUUCGGUGGCCAUCUUGCUUCUAUUUUGGGUCGCUUGUCUUGUCUUGUGCUUCGGACGUUGCACUAAACACCUAUAUAUAUACACCCAUACACACUGUAGUUUACACUAUGCUCACUGACCAUACUCUAAUAAAUAAGACAUCAUGUUGGUAGGUACAACUGUUUUAUUUUAUUAUUGUUUAUAAAAAUGCAUGGCAAAUCCAUAUACAUGCAAUUAGUUGUCUGUAUAAAAGUACCACUGUUAGAGUGUAUUUGGACUAAAAAUUUUAGAAUUAAUUUAAAAUAUUAAAAUUUGUAAUUGUUUUAUUUGGAUAAAUAAUUGAUUUAGGACAAAUUAAGUUAUUAGAAUUUUACAAAUUAAAAAUAGUUAUAAAAUAAAAAUUUUAUAUUACAAAAAAAAUUAAAAUUAACAUUAAAAUAAUUAUAAAAUAUUUUAUACACAAAAAUGAAUAAUUUGAAAAGCUUUCCAUAUUAUUAAGUCCAAAUUUGAUACCACACUUUUCCAAUUAAGCAAUUUUGAUAUAUUUGGCCUCUAAUAAGAAAUCAAGAAAUGGAAUGGGUGAUUAAUCCGAAUUGGGAGGAGGACAGGUGUUGUGAUGGACAAAGAGGAAGAUAAGGUAGGUAUUCCUUUUUGCAGACAAAUAAGAUAAAAGAUAGAAAAUAUACAGUGGUGGUCGAAGCUAGAGGAUUAUAACAGCACUGAUAUGAUCUGCUUCGCCUUCGUCCACCACCUCAUCUUUAUGUUUUUAUCUUGGUCGUGACUCACGUUGGCCUUCGUCUGCAAGUGCUGUCGGUCCUACUAUCGAGAUUCUGCUGCCUAGCUUUCGAUUUCUAUGGCCUUAUUUGGCAAUUGGCUCAUAAUGGGCAAAUUAUAAUUGUAUAAUGUUUAAGUUAUAAUUUUAUAGAUUUAAGAGAGAUCAAAAUAACAAUUUUUUAUUUUAUGGGUAUAAAGAGUAUUUUUCAUUUUAAGGGGGUCAUGGUUAGAUGUGAUUAUGGGUGGCGGUGUGCUCGAAAAGUGGGAGGGUUUAGGUAAAAAUAUAGGCAUGAAAAAUAGGUUUAGAUAAAAAAAAUACCCGUUUUCGAAACAGGUCGAGCCUUGAGUAAGAUUUUCUUUGUCCGGGCCCGGCCCGACCCAAAUUUGAUUAAAAAAAAAUUCUUGGUGUUGUUUAAUGUUGUUUUGCUACCAUUUUACUAUUAUAUUGCUACUAUUUUGUUGUUAUUAUUUGGAUGUUUUAUAACUUUGUUUUAUUAUUAAUUUUGCUACUAUUUUAGAAACAUUUGCUUGCUAAGUUGCUACUAUCUUAGUGUUAUUUAAAUAUAAAGAUUUUUUUUAAUGUAUUUUCAAUUUGUUGGGAAGUAUUUAUUUUAAUGUUUUUAGUUUAUUUGAUGCAUUAUAUAUUUACAUAAAAAAUUUUAAUACGGGUAGACCGGGUCAAGCUCAAGUUUAGCAUUUUUUAUCUGGUUUAAUCUUGGACAAAAUUUAGACCCAUUUUUCGGGUCGAUUUAGCCCAUGAUCAAGUCUAGCCACGACCCUUACCUGCUCUGGUCACUGCCUUUGGCAAUGAGAUUAAUUCCAGUGAGAUUGAAAAUAGCGAUGGCGGUGAGAUUAGUUACUAUAGUGAUGAGACUAAAAUUAAUACUAAAAUGUGUGUUAGGAUUCAAACACAACAGUGGUUUAUAGAUUUAUAGUAAGAAAGUAGAAUGACCAUUAUGGACAUUAAACUAAAGCAGUUUACACUCUUCAGUAUAUUUUUGUACAAUUAAUAUUUUAAUGAUAAUAACGUCAUAUUUCAUUUAUAUAACUCAUGUGUAUAAAAUUUAAUGUAAAUUUAAAAUGUUCAAACUAAUUGUUUUAUGUAAGAAUACUUUUAAUCGUUGAAUGAAUGUUAAUAUGUACAAUAUUUUAGAUUGUUAUGGUAGAAGUAUCGACUCAAUUUGAAAAUUUUUAUAUGCAUGAAAAGUACAAUAAUAUCAAUAAAUUCAAUGGUUGGAUUGUUAAAUUAAUAAUGAUACAAAUAUAUAUAUAUAUGAAAGCGUGUAAAAUUACUUUAGUUUCACUCUAGUGUAAGCAGAUCUCUCUCCUUUUAAUAUAUAAAAUUAAUUAUACAAUUUAAAUUUAUGUAUUGAAAUUAUUUAUAAAUAUAAGUAUAAAUAUAUUUCUUUAUACACCUAACUAAUGUAAAUAAAAUAUUAAAUGUUAUUUGCAAGUAAUGAAAUAAAACAAAUAUUAUAAAUAAACAACUCUCCGAAGGUUAAAUGGAAUUAAUGUAAACAUUUCCAAACACUUUGUGAAUGCCUCGAGCUUCUUGAAUCUGCACUCUAAACCUCCUCACCUAAUAAAUACACUAUGGACACUUUGUUGAUUGGCUCAGAGUGAUAGAUAGGAGUGAAUAAAACUCGAUUUGAUUUUUUAAAAAAAAUCAAAUUUUGAGUUAAUUGAAUUGAGUUAUUUAAGUUAUUUUUAUUUUUUUGGUCAACUCGAAUAAGUAAUUUGAGUUUCAAGUCGAGAUCGGGUUAAAUUUUACAAUUCGAAUAACUCAAAUAAUAAAUGUAACACCCUAUACCCAGCCUGGUCGUCGAGCCCGAAUAUCAGGAUGCCACACCAUCGUCUCAUGUCAUACACAACGAAUAAAAGCCCAUUUUAAAUGAAGACGUCUUCCACAAUAUCAUUCGUAAAGGUUUUAAGUCGAUCUUACUCUUUAGUUAUCAUCGUUACGUGCUAAUCAUACAUCAAAUAGUCUUACACUAAUAAUUAAACUUGCAUAGGGUUCAUUUAGCAAAAUUUUCCAAGCAAGUACGUAGGUAUCGAUAGUAGGACAAGGGUAUCAAUAUUUUCCUGGUACGGUAUUGAUGUCCUUUGUAAAAUUAGAACCAAAUCAGUAUUCUGUUUCUCAUCUAAAAUCAAAGUCUCAUAAAGUAUCAGUAACUUUGCAAAAGUAUAGAUGAAAUUACUUCGAGUAUCGAUACUCGUGAUAUGAUAUUGAUACCAAUCUACGAUUUUGACUUCCUACACAUUUCAAAAUCAUAGAUGUAUCAUUUUAAAAACAUGAAUAUCGAUACCUCUACUCCAAGCCAGAAAAAUACAACAUACUUGAGCACAAAAAAAUCAUUCUAACUUGUACUAAUUCAUCAUGCUAUCAUAUCACCAUCAAAUAAACAUCAAAAGGACAAUAUGAUAGUCUCAAACAUCGAAAGUAAGUCCGAGCAAUAAUCAACGUAAUACGAAAUGAAUCUCAUAAACUUAGGAACAAAUAAUCUAUGGAAGCAUCUAAAACAUCAUGGUAAAUACCAAUAGAAGUCUACCACAUUGCCUUUUUUCCAAAACAUAAACAAAUAACAAUAACACCUACUAAAUCACGGAAAUGAACUUACUUGGAUCACCCCUUGGAACCACACCGCUCACACCGGCACUUUAAGAAAGAAGUGGGUGAGCUUAACAAGCUCAGUGAAUGCCUAGAAUAACUACCAUGCAAACAAUUCAUCAAGCAUCAACGAAACAACCAUAUAGCACAACCUCAACAAUUCCAACACUAGUGUCAUAAUAUACUUACUCGUGCAUUAUUUUCUAUUUCUUUUACAUUGUAAACAUAUUCACUUUUAAACAUAUAUCUUGUUACACAUAUAAUCACCUAACAUCCAAACAUAUAUCACAAUACUCAUAUAAUCACAUAACAUUUAAGCAUAUAUCAAAAUAUUCAUAUAAUCACAUAACAUUUAAGCAUAUAUCACAAUACUCAUAUAAUCACAUAACAUUCAAGCAUAUAUCACAAUAUAUAUACAUAUAAUCACAUAACAUUCAAGCAUAUAUCACAAUAUACAUAUAAUCUCAUAACAUUUAAGCAUAUAUCACAAUACUCAAAACAUCUUUAUAGAUAAGUUAUGAAACGUAAAAGUGGGCACUAUCACCACUCAUCGGAUACACGGAUAUCCAGUACACCACAUAGACUCGUAGAGUCAAACAUGUCUCAAAAGUGAAGCAUAAAGCUAACACUCUCAUUAUUUCCCCUCACAUGCCCCAUUGAAUAGAGGCUAGCUCACAUUCCCUUAUCACUCCAACAUGUCCCAAGGCCUCAACGCCCAAAUCACUAUACAUAUAGAUGAGUACUCACAAUCCUAUGGCAUGCCUACUAUAUCCAACGGGUUCAAGAUCACAAGUCCAAAAUAUCCAAAAUUAAACACAUAUCACUUACCAACUAUCCGUGCACUAUCAUUGUAUAUUUGCUAUUUUUAGAAAAACAUUGUCACUAACAUUUAACAUAUACAUAACAUGUACACAUUUGCACUUUCACAACAGUUAUGAUAACCAUAUAUCACAUGUUAUAGCAUAUCAUCUCUGUUCACAUAUUCACAAACACAUAAGCACAUAGUUCACAAGAUAACAUAGGUAUGAGAAAGCUUACACUCGAAAUUUAGAGUAGGGGUUUAGGUCACAACUAAAUUCCAAAAUAACGCAUUGAAUCAUGUUCGCAAGUAAUUAUUCCAAGUCACCAAUUACACUUUCGUCGAAAAGCCAAACGCUCAAACUAGUUUUUCAUUGUCUUUAUAUCUACUCAAACUAGCUCAAACACUAAUCAAUUACUCAAUCUUUUUCCCUAAAAUCAGUUUCGUUCAUCUUAUAAUUUACCUACGACUAAUUCCCAACCUUUAAACUAGAAUAAAAUACUAAAUUCAUGGUAUUGACUUUUUCUACAUGUUUUAUGACUAUUUUCUGAAAAUUCAUUAAAACUCAAGAAUUUUUUAACGAAACUUCAAAGUAAGUUUAGAAACCUUCUAAUAAUGUUAAAACUAAUUGAAAAACACUUUAAAAUAUCGUUUUUAUGCAAAAUCUCAAAUUUCACCAUUAACGACCCAAUUUUCGAUUUUUAUUCAAAACAUGUGAUUUAAUGGCUAAAAACUUAGUUUUAAAGACUAAAUAACAUUUAAACAAAAAAAUCGAGCGUUUGAUGAAAAUCCCAAAAAAACCCACAAACUUGACAAUAGAGAAAUCUGUGGUGUUUUUGAGUGUUUUUCUUAGAUUUUAUGGAGAUAUUUGGCUUGGGUGAUGAUAGAAAUCAAGAGAAUUAAGGUUGAAGAUCAAAUAGUGGAAGAGAGGAGCUUUGAGAGCAAGGGGCGGCUAAAGCAUGAAAAUGGAGAAGACUAAGGUAAAAAUUAUAGGUGGGGAUGAUUUUAGGUUGAUUUUUAAAAUUUGUUUUAAUUGCCUCUUAAAAACUCACAAUUUUAACUCUUUUACAAAUCAAUCCUACUUUCAAAAUUAAAGAUAUUUAAAACUCAUUUUCAGAAAUUGAUUUAAUUUUAACCAUAGUAAAAAAAAUAUAUCGAUAAACCAAUUCAUAAAAUUCCGAACACUCUAAGGCUAAAAUUCCUAAAUUACCUCUAAACCCCUAGGUCCUAUUUUGGGAUGUUACAAUAAAUUGGUGUAAAUACACAUUUGGUCCCUGUCAAUUUUGAACAUGAGCAAAUUGAUCUUUCUCUCAACAAAAAUUACAAAAAAAAUUCAAAAUAUUUAUAAGAAUUUUAGAAUUUAAAACUUUUUUAAAUAUAUAUUAAAAAAUCUAAAGAAAUAUAAAAAAAUUAGAAAAAUCUAAUUAUCAUUUUUGGGACCUAAAUAAGUUAAUUAAUUAUUCAAGUUUAUCAUACUAUUUUUACUCUUUUUUUAAUGAAUUUUAAAAAAUAUAUGAUUUCAAAGAUAUGUGUUUUAGUAUAGAGUUAGUUAAAUUGUAAAAAUAUUUUAAUUUUUUCACUCGAUCCGAUCGAACGCUCACCUCUAGUGGUCGAUGUUCAUCGACAUAUAUCCUUUGUCUCCAACCGGAAAGGAUCUCUUCCAAAAUGAGAAUCUUAAAUUAGAGUGUGUCAUAUUUACCACAAGCCGUUUAUGAUAGAAUCAGACCCGUUUAAGCUUGAAAUCACUCACCUAAUGCAUGUUAUUUGGAAGGUUAUCGAUGAAGAUCGUUGCAACAACUAGAAGUUCGCCACUCCAUUUUUCUAUUGUCCGCCCUCCCUUGAUUAUAACAAUCCAGAACCUCCCUUACUCUAACUUAUAAAAUUAAAAAAACUCUAUAGGACAAAAUAAGACAAUAAAAGCUUUUAUUUAUUUAUUAAUACACUAGAAUUUCACACAUAGCAAAAGCACACUAUAUAAGGAGAUGCAUAGGAAAACAGCGGUAGGUAGAUAUAAGUCAACAGGCUGUCAAAUUUAUUCUAGUAAUAGUGUAAACAUAAGCACAUUAUUAUAGACGACACUGACAGCCUGAGCACCAGCAUUUUGAUCAGAAAUUUAAGCAAAGCCACCCAAGAAAAGUGUGUUUGUAUUCUCAUCACUGCAAUAAAGGCAAGGGUUCUGCUCAAAUCCAUUGUUCUUCAAAAUCUUGGCAGCCUCAACCAUAAGUUGUCUGUUGCUUAUUCCACCACCCAUGCACUGAUCGAGUACGCUAACCACUGCAUCGGUGAACGCCCCAAAGGCUCUAUUCCCCAAAACCAGGUCAUAUGAUGUCUCAUUGGCUUCACACCCACUUAAUAAUAUCCCUUCAUCCUCCUCCGGUGGAUCCAACACCAUUAACCCAUUUACGUAGUGAGGAUGGAAUUUGAGACUCACAUCUUUCCCGAAGAUUCCGAAAAUCUUUUGGCCAACAUUUGCUGCAUCGUGUAGGAUGCCUGCUGCUGUAUCUAUCGCACUGUGUAUGAUAUCAAAAGUAAGACUCUUAGCCUUAGCCUUAGACGGUUUAGGCUUGUUGGGAUUUACUGGAGUCAUCAUUUGCUGAGCACCAAAUUAUUCUUUCUCUUUUUCAAUGAGACCACCACUGUGGCACGAAUCUGAUAGGAUUGUGAAGCUUGCUCCUUCUGGUAGCCGGUUAACUAAAUGCCUGAAGUCCACAUCUGUAGAAACCAUGUAUAUAUAGGGUAUGAAUAUAUGUUGCUAAAAAAAUAUAUAAAUUCAAAUAAAAACCUACCGGUGACAAGAUUUAAAUCACAAGCCACGAUUGCUUUAUCUUGCUUGAAAGGCUGGCCAGGUUGAAAGAUUGGAAUGCGUGUUCCAUGUCCACUGAAGUAGAAAAAUAGGAUAUCUCCUGCUUUAGCCUUGUUCACCAUUCUAUUAAGUGCAUCCUUAAUGUUUGCACCCAUAGCCAGAACCGGCGACCCUGGUGCAUCGGUGAGAACAUUAACAUCGCUUUCCUUAAACCCAAAGUUCAGGAUCACACCUCUUAUGGCUUUCACAUCAUUGAUGCAUCCAUGCAAGUUGAAUUGGGUCUUGGGGUAGUUGCAUCCCACCAGAACUGCUCUCUUCGUACCCUUACUCAUCUUGCUUCGCUAAUUUGACUAUUUUGUGUUGCUUGUACCAUUGUAUUAAUGUGCUUCCACUAUCUCACUUAGAACCUAUAUAUAUACACACUAAUUUACAGCAUGUGUACUGACCAUAAAGAUGACGACAUGUAGGUAGGUAGGUAGGCAGGUACAACACUUUUGUUUGUCUUUCGUGUUUUGGAAAAUGCAUGCGAAAUCCCCUUUGGAGGGGUUUUUCCACGUUAAAUUUGUGUGUUCAUCUUCUCAAUUUCUUCUACUAGUUUUUACUUGUUCGUUGCUUAAUCGGGACAAUCCUAACAAAUGGUAUCAGAGCUAGUUCAAUUUUUAUAGAUCAGCCCGUUCAGAGAUGGCAACAACAAAGUUUGAAAUUGAGAAGUACGAUGGUGAGACAAAUUUCAAUCUAUGGCAAGUUCGGAUGAUGGCAAUUCUAGUUCAAAACGGCUUGAAAAGGUUGUUAUAGGGAAAAAGCCUGAGAAUCUAAAUCAAACAAAAUGGGAAGAGCUUGAUGAAAAGGCAUUGUCUGCAAUCCAUUUGUGCCUCGCGAAUACUGUAUUGUAGGAGGUAUUGAUGGAGAAGACCUCAUCUGUCUUAUGGAAAAGGUUAGAAACUCUUUAUGCGACUAAGUUUUUGGCUAACCGUUUAGUGUUGAAACAACGUCUAUUUACGUUUCGCAUGAAUGAAAGUAAGCUUCUUAGAGAUCACAUCAAUUAAUUCAUUACUCUUUUAAAUGAUUUAAGGAACGUUGAUAUUCAUAUUGACGAUGAAGAUCAAGCUAUGCUAUUAUUGUGCUCUUUACUACCUUCAUACAAGUCUUUCAGGGAGACCCUGAUUUAUGGUAGAGACAAACUCUCGUUCAAAGAUGUGAAGGGUCAUUUGUUGAGUAGAGACAAACUCGACAAUGAGUUUGGUUUGAAUAGCAAAGCAAAUAGGAAAGCUUCCGUUUUGGUAGUAUCAAAGAAACGAGACAAAAGGUGUCGCUAUUGUAAAAAGUUAGGUCAUGUCAAAGCAGAUUGUUAUAAACUGCGAAAUAAAAUAGUUGCUGAGAGUAACGAGGAAUAUGUAGCUGGUGCUAAUUUGGUCGAUGAAGGCGGUGAUGAUUUCUUGUUAGUGUCAACGAGAGAUAACUCUAAGCUUACGUCUGAGUGAAUCCUAGAUUCAGGAUGUUCUUUCCACAUGUGUCCCAAUAGAGAAUGGUUCUCCACAUACAGUUCAGUUGAAGGUGCAGUUGUGCACAUGGGAAACUAUUCAUCUAGUAAGAUAAUUGGUAUUGGUACUGUUAAAAUUAGGAUAGACGAUGGGACGAUUAGGACACUCUCAGAUGUCAGUUAUGUACGUAAUUUACGAAAAAAUCUCAUCUCCUCGAGUAUUUUAGACUUGAAAGGAUGUAGAAUCAACAUCGAGUCGAGUGACAUUAAAGUAUCUCGUGGAGCUCUCGUUUUGUUAAAAGGUAAAAGAACUGACAGUCUUUAUAUUUUGGAAGGUUCUACAGUGAUCGGUGAAAUCGGACAUCCCUCGUCCGUUACGGAGUCAAAGUUAACUCGUUUGGAGCGAAGGCAACCUGGUCAUAGGAGGGAAAAAGGUAUGACCGUUUCGUUGAAUAGAGGUUCUCUUUUGGAUGUAGGUUUUGAAAAGUUAGGGCACUAUGUUUGUGAAAAUCAGACUUGGGUUAGUUUUGAUUUGGCAGUGCACAAGUCGGAGGCUAGAAGUCUUCCAGCUUCUAAGUAUAGAUUUGACUCAGUUAAUUUCCUGCAUAGUUCAAGAUAGACCCGUGGCGGGUUUUGGCAAAGAUGGCGUUGAAAGAAUUCGUGUCAAGGUGGAGAUUGUUAAAGUUGUGUGACCCAAAUUCUAAGAGAUUGCUUGCAAGUCAAGUUAAACAAAAAUAAUUUUUUCUUUCUAGAAGAUUUAGUAUUUAUUUGUAUAAUAUAUUUAGCAUUUAUUAGCAUAGUUUAUUUUACUUACUAAUUUAGCCUAUAAAUAGGCUCUUUUACAAUCUUAGAAAAACACACCCAUUAGAUUAGAACUCAUAACAUAUUUAGAGAAUUUUGUGUUUAAGUUUUGAGAGUUCUUUAUUUUUCGAGUUUUCGGGGUUUAGUUUUUAUCUCCAUCUUUUAUACUCUUCGUUCUUUUGCCAUUAUAGUAAAAUUAUAUUUGCCCGUGGUUUUUUAUCCCCUUUGGAGGGGUUUUUCAACGUUAAAUUUGUGUGUUCAUCUUCUCAAUUUCUUCUACUAGUUUUUACUUGUUCGUUGCUUAAUCGGGACGAUCCUAACAGUUUAUUACGUACCAGCUUUGAAAAGCAACAUCAUCAGCCUUGGACAGCUUCUAGAAAAAUGAUAUAAAGUACAUAUGAAGGAUUGUAUGCUCGCCCUAAAAAAUAAGAGUGGUGAAUUAAUUAUCCAAGUUGAUAUUACGCCUAACCGUUUGCUUACUAUUGACAUUGAAUCUGGAGAGGUGAAAUGUAUGAAGAACGUAAUUAAAAAUGAUUCAUGGUUAUGGCAUUUAAGGUUCGGGCAUCUUGGAUUUUCUGGUCUGAAGCUAUUGUUAAAAGAAAAUAUGGUGAAUGGGCUGCCAUAAAUUAAUCUUUCUGAUCAACUGUGUGAAGCCUGCAUUAAAGGAAAACAACAUAGACAGAGUUUUGAAGUUGGAAAAACUCGACGAGCCAAGAGACCAUUGGAGAUCGUGCACUCUGACAUAGCAGGUCCUUUUAAUAUACCAUCACUUGGUGGAAACAAGUACUAUGUUACUUUUAUUAAUGAUUUUAGCAGAAAAAGUUGGAUAUAUCUUCUUAAAACAAAAUCAAAAGCAUUUGACAAGUUUAUCAAGUUCAAAGCCCUGGUAGAAAAACAGAGUGGACAUUUCAUUAAGAUACUUAGAAUUGAUAGAGACGGUUAGUAUACUUCAAAGCUAAUUGAAAGCUUCUGCAAGGAGCACGAAAUUAUUCACCAGUUGACAACUGCAUACACGCCACAACAAAAUGGAGUCAUUGAAAGAAAGAACCGCACUAUUCUUGAUAUGGCAAAAAGCAUGGUUAAAUGUAAGCAUUUACUAAGAGCUUUCUAGGCUGAAGCUGUUCAAUGUGCUGUUUAUUUGUUGAACCAGCAUCCAACAAAAAGUGUGAAAUACAAGAUGCCAAACGAAGCUUGGAACAAUUAGAAGCUAGGAGUCGAACAUUUCAAGAUUUUUGGAUGCAUCGUAUAUGCUUAUGUUACUGACCAGAUGAGAAAGAAGCUUGACGAUAAAUGAGUAAAAUGUAUUUUCAUUGGUUAUGAAAAGAGAAGCAAGACAUACAGGUUAUACAACACUCUCACCAAGAAAGUUAUUAUUUCAAGAGAUGUUGAAUUCGAUGAAGCUGAUUACUGGAGAUGGAACGAAAAAGAGAGGAAAAUUGAUGGAUUAUUUUUCAGUGAUCACAAAGACGACGACUUUAUUAAUCAAGAACAAGGCGACGAUGAAAGCCCUCCUGUAACACCCCUUACCCGAGACCAUCGUCGGAAUCGAGUACGAGAUGUUAUCCAAUUUAACCUACCAAUUUAGAGCAUAAAAAUUUGCUUUUAAAAUUAAAUUCACUGUUCACAACAAAACUGUCCACCUGCGCGACUGUCACUAAUUUACUUAUAACUCAAGUUACAAAACUCAAAAUUUAAAUCUGUAAAUUUUCCCUGAAACUAGACUCAUAUUCCUAAUUACCAUAUAAUUUUCAGAAUUUUUGACUUAGCCAAUUAGUACAUUUUAUUCAUUAAAGUAUCCCCUAUUUCACAGCUCGACAGAUCUGACCUCUUGCCACUAAAAAUCAAUUAUCUCAUUGUACAGAAUUCAUAUAAGGUUACCGUUUAUUUAUUUUGAAAAUAUACUCACUAAGGAAUCUAGAAAUAUAAAUUAUGACCCAUAAUUAUUCCUGUACAAUUUAUAAUGAUUUUCCAAAGUCAGAACAGGGGACUUCAAAAACCAUUCUGACCCUGUCUCACUAAAAUUCAAAUAUCUCAAAAUACAGAAUUCCUUUGCCUACACUGUUUCUUUCAUAUAAAAAUAGACUUGAUAAGCUUUAAUUCCAUAUAUAAUUAACUCUCUAAUUCCAUUUAUACUAUUUAUGGUGAUUUUUCACAUUCACGUCACUGCUGCUGUCAAAGAAACUGCUUCUUUGAAUUAGUUAACAUUUAACAUACAUAACACCCAAAACAUAAUUUUUACUAACCAUUUCAAUAGCUAAUCUUAGCCAUAUCAUAUGAACAUACUCAAAAUGAUUAACACUCUAUACAUGCCAUAGUUUUAAACAUUCUGAAAAGCACAUAAUACCGAGAUGAUUAUAAUAGUGUGAUACGAGCUCCGACGAUCCCCAAUUCGACCAAGUUCAAAUCACUAUAAAACAAAGGAAAAGAAGAAAGGUGUAAACUACUAAUAGCUUAGUAAGUUACAUGUAAAUAAUAAUUACUCAUUUAAUAAUUAACACUUUUAACAUAUAACUAAUCAAAACAUUUCUUAGCAAUUUCUAUCACUUAUACAUACACAAUCUUACCAAUUCACUUGCAUAUACAUUUUCACACUUAAUCUUUAUCACUAUGCUCAUUCUUUUCAAAUGUACCUGCAUACACACUUCAUUUCAUAUUCACUUUAACUCAUUAUUAAUCCCGUUGAACACUCGGAAUAUACACAGAUACGUAGAGAUUUAGCACAUAAGUGCAACACUGAUAUGUAGCCGAAGCUACCACUAUUAUAUAGCCAAAGCUACCACUGAAAUGUAGCCGAAGCUACCACUGUUAUGUAGCCGAAGCUACCACUGAAACGUAGCCGAAGCUACCACUGAUCAAUAACACUGGAAAUGUCCACAGGCCUGCUCACACAAGCUGUCAGGUGUCUGCAACACAUGCUAGAUCACCCAGCACCCGGGACUCACUGUAACACUGUAACACUGAUCUCUAGUGACAUGUCACUUGUAUCCACUUCUAUUCCUAAGUUCAACCGGGAAUUUACACUUAACACUUUAUUUUUAACACUUUAUUUUCAACACUUUAACACUUGAAUAAUUCAUGAAUAAUUUUCCUUCCACAUUGAAUAUUAAUUCACAUAUCAAAUAUAAUUCACAAUUUAUAAAAAUAUAACUAUUAUUUACACAUAACUUACCUCGGAUGCAAAACGACUAUUUUUGUAAUUUAGUCGAUAACUUUCUCUUUUCCCCGAUCACUUCCACUAUUUCUUCUUUCUUGAUCUAUAUUAACACAAUUUAAUACAUUUUAUCAACAUUUCAUUCAAAUAAAAUUCAUACACAACAUUUUGACAAAUUUACAUUUUUCCCCAAAACUUUUCAAAAAUUCCACUUUUGUCCCUAAGCUCGUAAAAAUAAAAUUCACUAAAUUUUUAAAUUUCAAACUUCACUAAAUCAUAUUUCAUGCUUAUAACAGCCCUCAAUUUCACCAAAUCACAACUUUAUGCACACUUUACCAUCUUUCACAAUUUAGCCCUUUUUCAAUAUUUUCAUCAAAAUUCAUCUAGUAAAACUUGUAAUUAACACUUCAAACAUUCAUUAUCUAACAUCACUAAUCAAUUUACAAUUAUAUCAUGAAUGGGUCAAUUUUUAAACUUUAAUUUCAUUUAAAUUAAAUAGUAGAAACAUGAAAUUCAAGCAUCAAUAAGCAUAAAAAUAUGAAAAUAGUUAAAAAUGGGGCAAGAAAUCACUUACAAUUGAGCUUAGAAAAAUCAAGAACCUUAGCUAUGGUAACAUGAAACUUUCGGCAGCAAGCUUCUGAUUUUGAAGAAGAUGGACACUUAUUUUCUCUUUAUUUUGUCUUUUUCUCAAUUUGGACAAAAAUGCCCUUGACCCAUUACUUAGAUAUUUUUCUAGAAUUACCCUUUUGUGUCCAUAACACUAAUUUAUGGUCUAAUUGUCACAUAAACACUUCCAAUUUCAUGCAAUAAUUCAAUUAAGUCAUUUAAUCACUAAUUAGACACACUUUGCAUUUUUUUCAAUUUAGUCCUAAAAAUUCAAUUAAGCACUAAAUCAUUAAAAUUUCCAAUCCAUAUUUUCACACAAUAUUUCAAUCAAUCAGUAACUUAUAAAAAUUUAUAAAAUAAAACUAUUUCACUUCGGAUUUGUGGUUACGAAACCACUAUUCCGAUUAGGCCCUAUUUCGGGCUAUCACACCUCCUUCAAGUCCUGUUGCAACAACUCUUACAGCAUCAUCAUCACCAACCAACAACAGUACCAGCAACUCAGAGGAAGCACCUGCAAUAAUGCGUAGUUUACGCGAUAUUUAUAAUGUUACAGAACCAUAGAAAUAACACUCGAUUAUUCAUUAUUCUAUAUAAUGACAGAAUGUGAUUCAAUAACAUAUAAAGAUGCAAUUGAAGAUGUUAGAUGGAAAAAGGCAAUGGAUGAAGAAAUUACAACAAUAAUAAGAAAUGACAUAUGAGAGCUAACAAGUCUACUAGAAGGACAUACUCCAAUUGGAAUCAAAUGGGUGUACAAGACGAAGACCAACAAAGAAGGAAAAAUAGAGAAAUCCAAAGCAAGACUAGUUGCAAAAGGCUACAAGCAAAGAUACGGUGUGGACUAUGAUGAAAUAUUUACUUCGGUCGCCAGAAUUGAUACUAUAAGACUUCUCAUGGCAAUUGCAGCACAAAAUAAAUGGAAAAUUUAUUAGAUGAACGUGAAGUCAGCAUUCCUUAAUGACUACCUGGAAGAAGAAGUCUAAAUUGAACAACCACCUGGAUAUAGGAAACAAGGACAAGAAGACAAAGUUUAUCACUUGAAGAAAGCUUUAAAUAGACUGAAGCAAGCCCUGAGAGCAUAGAACACAAGAAUAGAUGAAUACUUUUAGAAGAACGGGUUCAUGAAAAUCCCAUACGAGCAUGCUCUAUAUACAAAGAAAAAUAAAGUUGGUGACAUCAUGAUCGUGUGCUUAUAUGUGGAUGAUAUGAUUUUCAUGGGAAACAAUCCAGGUAUGUUCAAUGAAUUUAAGAAAGCUAUGACUAAAGAUUUUGAAGUGACAAAUAUUGGUGAAAUGUCAUACUUUCUUUGAGUCGAAGUGAACCAAAUGAAAGAUGGAAAAUUUGUGUCUCAAAAAAAAUAUGCAGAACAGAUUUUAAGAAAAUUCAGAAUGAAAGAUUGCAAGCAAGUAGCCACGCCCGUAGAACCAGGCAUGAAAUUAAGUGUUGGUUCAUCCGGAGAGUCGGUAAAUCCAAUGUUGAAUAAAAGUAUUGUUGGAAGUUUAAGGUACUUGACUAUCACAUGGCCAUACAUCAUGUACGUAGUGGGAACAGUUAGCAAAUACAUGGAGAAGCCAAAACAAGAUCACCUGAUUGCAGCAAAGAGAAUUUUGAGAUACAUCACAGGUACGAUGGAUCAUGGUUUAUUUUAUACACACUCACAGAGUUCAAAAUUGGUUGGUUAUUUAGAUAGUGAUUAUGGUAGUGGCUUUGAUGAUCGCAAAAACACAUCCAGAUAUUUAUUCCAUAUUGGCUUCGCGGCAUUUUCUUGGUCAUCGAAAAGUAACAAACAGUAGCUAUCUCAACAUGUGAGGCAAAAUUCAUGGAUGUUGCAACAUGCACGUCUCAAGCAAUUUGGUUGAAGAAUAUUUUAGGUGAAUUAACUAUUAUACAAGAAGGUCCAAUUAUAAUUUAUGUUGACAAGUCCACAAUAUCUCUUGUAAAGAAUUCAGUGUCUCAUAGUCGAAGCAAGCAUAUGGAUACAAUGUAUCAUUUUAUUCGAGAGCAAGUGAAAAAUAAAAAUGUAGAGUUAGUUUACUCCAAAUUAGAAGAUUAAUUGGCGAAUAUUUUUACGAAACCAUUGAAAACGGACAUAUUCUAUAAACUCAAAGAAAAGCUUGGAAUGAAAAGUUCAAGGGGAAGUGUUAAAAAACAAACCAACUUUCAAAGUCGGCAUAAAAAUUGCAGCCAAAGAAUUUCUAUCCAAAUUGGCUUGAAAUUGAAUUGCAAAAGUAGCUGCAACUUUGUAAAUUGGCCUGCACAAAUGAUAAAGGAUAAUGAUGACAGCAGCUUGAAUAGUCUUAGACGGCAAGGCUUGAUAAAGUUUAAGUCGGUUUACUAUGCUUAUAAAUAUGUAAGUAGAGUCUUAUGAAAUUAAAAUUAAAUGAGUGUGUGUGAAAACGUUAGUGAGCUUGAGAGGAAAAAAAGAAAGAAAGGUGUUGUGAGUUGUAUAAAAAGGAAAAACUAGCAGCAGCUAGUAGAGAGAGAAAAAAGAGUUUAUAUUUGUAUUGUGUUUAUUUGUGUGUAAUAAAAAAUUAGUACUUGAGUUAUUUUUAUUACCCUUCCAACAUAUUAUAUGUUCCAGUGUUGAUGGCAUUGGCAACUGAUGUUGUGUCCAAGAAGCUUGACGUCGUGCUCAUGACGUUGGCUGCUGUUUGCAGGCUCUAAUAUAAUGUUUCAAUGGAAAUGCCCCUAGUCCUGUAAUCAACAGAUGGUGCUAUACCACUUAGAGUACUAUGGGGUCCAAUUUGAGUAAACUCGAUUAAGUAAUUCUAGUUUCAGAUUGAAGUCGGGUUAAAUUUUACAAUUCGAAUAACUCAAAUAAUAGAUUGGUGUAAAUACACGUUUGGCCCCGGUCAAUUUUAAAAAUGAGCAGAUUGAUCUUUCUCUCAACAAAAAUUACAAAAAAAUUCUAAAUAUUUAUAAAAAUAAAAAAAAUCUAAAGAAUAUAUAAAAAAUUAAAAAAGAUUCUUAAAUAAUCAUUUUUGAGACCUAAAUAAGUAAAUUAAUUAUUCAAAAUUUUCAUACUAAAAUAUCUUUAUUUUCUCUUAUUUUUCUUUGAAUAAAUUUUCAAGAAUAUAUAAUUUUAAAUUUAUGUAAUCUAACAUAGAAUUGAUUAUAUUGUAAAAAAAAAUUUAAUGUUUUAGUCGAUUGGAACGGAUGCACAUCUCUACUGAUCAAAAUUGAUCCGCAUAUAUUUUUUUUCUCUAACUGAAAAGGAUCUCUUCCAAAUUAAUGAUCUUGGAUUGAAACAUGUCAAAUUUACCACAAAUCGUUUAUGAUAGAAUCGGACCCGUGUGACCUUGAAAUCACUCUCCUAAUACAUGUUAUUGAUGAAGAUUGUCGGACACCUUGAAUUUCUCCGCACCAUUUAAUGUUCGGCCCACUUGGCUAUAACAAUCCGAAACCUCCCUUAACCUAACUUAUAAGAUUAAAAAAACUCUAAAUAAGAGAAUAAAAACUUUUAUUUAUUUAUUUAUUUAUACACUAGAAUUUCACACUAUAUAAGAAGAUGCAUAAGAAAACAGCGGUAGGUAGAUAUAAGUCAACAGGCUGUCAAAUUUAUUCUAGUAGUAGUGCAAAACAUAAGCACAUUACUGACAGCCUGAGCACCAGCAUUUUGAUCAGAAAUUUAAGCAAAGCCACCCAAGAAAAGUGUGUUUGUAUUCUCAUCACUGCAAUAAAGGCAAGGGUUCUGCUCGAAUCCAUUGUUCUUCAAAAUCUUGGCAGCCUCAGCCACAAAGGCUUUAUUCUCCAAGACCAGGUCAUAUGAUGUCUCAUUGGCGGGUUUUUUACUAAAAUAUUAUAACAAAAAUAAAAAAUUAUCAAAAUGUUAUAACUUUUUUUUUAUUUACCAAAAUAUAUAUUUUUUUAUUUACUAAAAUAUAUAAAAAAACAAAAAAAACCUAAAAAAAAAUCUGACCGAUGUGACGGGUGUACCUUGGUCACGCCAAUGGGAUUGGCGGCACCGAAGGGGCCAAAGCCAUUGGCGGCACCAAUGGUGCCAAUACCAUUGGCGGCACCAAUGGUGCCGUAUUGAUUGGCGGCACUACUCGUAUUAUAAAAACGACCUUUGUCCAGCUGAAGAGAGAAAAAUCAAAAGAAAAAAAAAGAAGAAGAAGAGUUACUGCGUAAAAGAAGAGAAAAAGAGGAGAAAAAGAAUGUAUUUUUUAAAAAAUAAUUGAUUAUAUUGUUGUUAUUAUUUUGUAUAUUUUGUAAUAUUUUUUGUUUUACUUUAGUUAUUAAGAUUAAUAAAACUCAAAAUAAUAGUAUUAGUUAGUAUUAUUAUUAUUAUUAUUAUUAUUGUUGUUGUUGUUGUUGUUGUUGUUGUUGUUGUUGUUGUUGUUGUUAGUAUUAAGAUGUUAUUAAUGUAUUAAGAUGUAACUUAGUAAUAUUAUAGUUAGCAAAAAACUAGUAUUAUUAUUAUGGUUACUUAUUAUUUUUAUUUACGAAAAUAAACUAGUUAGUAAAAAACUAGUAUUAUUAUUAUAGUUAGUUAGUUAGUUAUUAUUUUUAGUAAAAUUAAUAAUUUUAGUGUGUAUCAUUUUGUAUAUUAUUUUGAGUAUAAAAUUUUUUUUAAGUAAUUUAGUUACCGUUCGAGAAUUUUUAUGAGAUUUUGUUUUUUUUGACAGAUUAAAUAUUGAAGAUGGAUGCUAAGUUUCUUGUAUGCGUUUAUUUCGAUUGAGUCAUCUUGACAACAAGUGUUGGAUGUGUAUUUGAAUGUCGGCAACAAAUAGCAAUGAGAUUUAAUAGAAAUGUAUCGUUCGAUGAAAUGAAGGUAAGGAUUAGUGCAAAAAUUCAUAGACGUUGUGGGAGAAGGAUAGCAAAAAUUUUCUACAAGUUUCCGGUUUCGACAAAUCCGGUCAAAUUCGUCGAGAUGGAACUUGUAGACGACGAAGACGUGGAGACAAUGGUCGAUCUCUACUGUGGGAAUGGGAGUGAGAAGAAUGCACCGAUUCACUUAUUUGCUGAGUUAGUCGGUAUGGAGCAAAAUGAAGAUGUUAAUGCAUCUGAUGAAGAAGACGGGGCUGAAGAACCGUGGAUGGUGACUCCAAUAUCAUACGUUGAUAGUGAAUCAACUAUGGGAGGGAUCGGUAUCAACCUGAAUAUUACACCCGAUGUUGACAUGGUUGGUGGUGAAGAAGAAGGUGCUGGCGAAGAAGAAGGUGGUGGCGAUCAUUGGGAUGAAGAGGUCGAUAGUGACGGUGAUCCCGAUGUUGACGAUGUACCUGAUGAUAUUGACGAUGAAGAUGUCAACAACGAUGAAGGCAUUAACGCUUCUUCGGUUGGGGAGCAGAUGCGGCGUAUUGUGAUACACAAUAAUCCUAAGCCACAUAUGUCGCUCAUAGACCCCGACGCAACGUAUGUAGCUGAGUUUCUGGAGUACCCUGAAAUAGUUCAUUCUCACGGGCUGCCCGUAACAUCUGAUGAUGAUGAGAUAUUCAUAGGCCAGAGAUUCAGCUGUAAAGAAGAGUGCGUAUAUGCCAUUAAACGGUACAGCAUGAAGAUAUCGGUGGAUUAUAAAGUAUCCGUGUCUACUCCGACAAUAUAUGUUGAGGCGUGUUGGAAGGCAGCGGAAGGCUGCAAUUGGCGGGUACGAGCUGCAUUCAUUAGAAGUUCUCAGCUGUGGGAGAUACGAAAAUUUGUUGGUCCUCAUACAUGCACAUCAACACGUAUGAUAGAAGAUCAUGGAAAACUUGAUUCAAAAACUAUUUGUGCGUGUAUCAUGCCAAUGGUGAAGGACAUGCCGACCAUUAAAGUUUCGAUACUCAUUGCGAAAAUCCAAGCACGAUUCCAGUAUCGAGUCUCAUAUCGGAAGGCAUGGAUAGCUAAACAGAUGGCGAUGGAGCAACUGUAUGGGGAUUACGAUUCGUCGUAUAACGAGCUUCAAGGUUCGAUAGCUGCUAUGUGGAAGUACGUACCGGGGACUGUGAUUGACUUGCAGAUAAGUCCAUAUUACGGCCCGGAUGACCAGUUACAGCCGGCAAAAAGGAUUUUCCAUCAGAUGUUCUAGACCUUCGAUCCAUGUGUGCGAGCAUUUUCCCACUGCAAGCCACUUGUGCAGGUGGAUGGGACAUGGCUAUUUGGAAAAUAUACACAGAUCCUACUUCUUGCAGUUGCUCAAGACGGUAACAGAAAUGUGCUCCCGAUAGCAUUUGCUAUCGUAGAUAAAGAGAACAUAGAGUCUUGGGAAUUCUUCCUCACAAAUCUGCGAAGGUAUGUUAUUAGGAACGAUAACAUUUGCAUCAUCUCCGAUAGAGGGAAGGGUUUAAUUGCAGCUAUUAGGCAUUCUGGUUUACCGUGGAGAUCCGUUUACUGCAUUCGUCACAUUGCGUCUAACUUCCAUAAAAAUUAUAAAAAUGCAGACUGGAAGAGACAAGUCGUGGCAAUGGGUAAAUGAUAACCUUAUCUUUUCACUAUAAGUUGUAAUGUUUGAUGUUAUCGACUUACUAGAACUUAUUUUUCGUUAAUAUGUAUGCAGCGUACGAGUUAAAGCCACAUAUUUUCCGGCAAAGAAUGAUCCGACUUGAGAGUGACAUGGAGGGGCAGACAAACACAUCUUUCCGAAAAUGGUUGCGCACAAUGGAGCCGUGGCAGUGGGCUCAAAGUUUUGACGAGGGCUUUCGUUACGGCCACAUGACCACAAACUUAGUCGAGUGGAUCAAUGCUGUCUUGUUGAAAACACGUCAUCUUCCGAUUGCAUCGGUAUUUCCUGCUACUUUCUACAGGCUGGCUACUUUGAUGCCAAGAAUGGGCUAGCAUUAAGUCGGCCAAAUUCAGGCGGGACAUGUGUUUGUCGAACAUGUAAGGGAUGCAAUGGUCGUAAACCGUCGGUUGGCGAGGUCAAUGAACAUGGAAAUAUAUUCACGACGACUGGAAACGUUUCGAGUUACUGAGAACAUCGGUCGUCGACCUAGGUCCUACGGAGUUGAUCUCCGGAACAGACAGUGCGAGUGCAGGAAGUUUGAAACAAUUCAUUAUCCCUGUGCACAUAUCGUGGCGGCGUGUGCUAAAGUCAACCUUGAUGUUGAACAAUAUGUCGAUGAUGUGUACACGCUGGAGCGCACAUUGCGUGUCUGGGAGAAUGAGUUCCCCGUCCUGCCGGACCUAUCUAUGUGGGAGGUGUCGCCGAUGACUUUCGAGCUGAUCCCAGACAGAGGGCUAAGGAGGAAUCCAAGGGGUCGUCUGCAGUCAAGCAGAAUCCGUAAUGAGAUGGACAUUAGGGAAAAAUUUGAUGGAAAGCGUUGUGGAAUAUACCGGUUAAGUGGUCAUAGCCGGAAUAAAUGUCUUAACCGAAACUUUCAUUUUGGUCAGUCGUCCGGAUCGGGGUGAAAUUGAUAUGCUUUGUAUUUUGUUAUAAACAUUAAUUUUAUUCAGCUUUGUACCAUGUGCGCACUUGGAAUUAUUAAGAUUAUAUCGAAAAUAGAGGCAUUCAUAAUUCGAUUGAGCUUUAAUAUAAUGAAAAAUAAUAAUAAUGGAUAUUUAUACAAAAAAAUCAGAAGUAAGGUCAAUUAAAAUACAAAUAUGGCUUUUUAUACAAAAAGUGCAUCAAAUCCCUAAAAUCAAUGUUUCGAUGGUGUUGUCCGGGGGGUAUACCUCUGCGGAGGUCGACGCUCACGGUCUGGGAGACGACCAACAUCCUCAUCGUCCGCAGGUGGGGGCGUGGAAAACAUAGAGGAAAGGUCCUGUGCCUCGUUCGCCGCCGACGAACUUGAACCAUAAUGCUGCGAAUACGUGUCGGACGGGCCGGGCAUGCCGUACUGCAGCCGGGGGAUCCAAACAGUUCAAACUCGUAGGCGUAUUCGCCGUCUGCGAAGCUCGGAUAAUAUUUAUCGCCCACCAAAUCCGGACGAUAGCCAUGUGAAUCCACAUUUGACUGUGAAUGUCCAGGAUCUGGCUGGGGGUCCUGCUCCGGCUCUGUCAGUUGCGGAGAACAAUAUGCCGUCGGAUCUGGAUCCAUCGGGCUCGGUUCGUCCGAUGCCCCAACUUGCUGUACGUACGGGGGGAUUAUAGUUCGAUUGUACUUCAAGUAAAUAUGGCUUCCUGCAACUAUGGUACCAUUGUGUAUACUCCAAUGAUGGUUGCAGGUCCGUAGCCAUAACCAUUUGAGGAAUUCGGCGAAAUCGAUCGUUCCACAGUGCGACGUAUUUUCGGUGCUUGAUUCCCAAGCCCAAUUGAACUCUUCCUCUCUUUGUCAAGCCGUGAUCAUCCUCCAACUGGGCCGGCGGAUCCGGGAUAGGUUGGAUGCACCCAAACUGUCGAAGCACGCGAUCGACGUGAUACCACUUGACGACGUUGAAAUUAAUAAUUGGUGUGUUAAUGCACCAUAUGUGGGAAUCAACGAGUGCGGACGAGGGUACGACAUUUGCAAUUUCCCGCCUCCGGUAUGGCAUCCAUAUAAACUGCAUGAGUAAUACCAUUGUAACGAGUUAGACCGAUAACAUGUGAUUAAGAUAUAGAAAUAGAAUAGAUGUCAUGAAUAUUAGAAUAGCAGCUUACCCCUUCCCGGGCAUGCUGUUCAAUCCUCAUGCGGUAUAUUGGGACAUCAGACGACUUCCUGAUGCCAGGACGGGUCAUCCACCUAUAAAAAAUAGUAUAGGGUAUAGGGUUGGUAACAUUACUCAAUAUAUUAUGACUACAAAUAAUGACAAUUUAGCGUCUUAUCACCUGAGUGGCAGUGGAUACAGAUAGGGUUGGUGACUAACGAGUGCCAAAAACGACAUCCGAUAAAGCGCCCACGACUGCAGCAGUAUGAGGCAUCCGCCGAUGUCUUUAACCUGCGGCUUUGUCGCCUGACAAAGCUCCCGGUAGAGCGUUGCUAGAACGGCGGAACCCUAGCUAUACCGCCUAGCAGUGGAGAAAUAAGCUAGCAGGGGCAGGUACGACAAAUGCACACUGUCGCCGUUUGCAUCAGGCAUGAGUACUGCCCCUAUCAUAUGCAUGAUGUACGCUCGGGCAACGCACAUCAACUCACCUUCAGUGGCGGUCACUGAUAAUUGUCUAAUUUUGGCUUUUAGCCAUGUAAAUUUGAUGCCGGAAAAAUAUUUGUCGCCGUCCUCUGGCGACUCUCCUAGGAGUUGAUAGCAAACUGCAACCGGAUCGGUGAAUGAUGAUACUCCCGUUACGGGAUUCCAGUCAAUUGGGAGCCCCAGCUGCACUGCAACAUCCUCCAAGGUCACUGUGCACUCCCCGCACGGAAAAUGGAAAGUAUGGGUCUCCGGACGCCACCGCUCCACUAGCGCAGAUAAUAAAUCAAAGCGCAAGUCGGACGACCGGAUGAAUGCUACUGACCCAAAUCUGGCUAGCUCCAGGUAUGGCAGCAAUCGAUCAUCCGGAGCUUUCUUUAAAACACUCACGCGGCCCCUUAAUACUCAGAACGAGUCCUGAUAGUGUUAAAUUACAGAAAAAUAUUACGAUAACAUAAUUUCUUUGUAUAUACUGCAUAUAUCCUUUUAAAAUAAAUAGAACUUCUGAUUAACAAAUAAUAAAUCAUACCGCGUUAUUAGUCGCAUCAGAUAUGUGUCUAAUAUUGCUUUGAAUCAAUCCAGCCAUUGCGAUGCCUGCAAGUUAGAAAAAAAAGUUAGAAAAAAAUUCUUACUUCAGCCAUUUAUUCGUAUUUUUUUUCUCCGCAUUUUAUUCCUUUAAAAAAUAUCAUAAUUUCUAAAUUUAUAAUUUUACAUUAUUCCAGUGCAUAAUGUUUGAAAUUUAUUAAUCUAGUGUGUUAUUUAAAUUAAUUUUCUGUAAAAAAUAACCCUUACCCCUGCCCUUUGCUCGUAUUAAUUUUCUGUAAAAAAAUAACCAUCACCCUUUUUUUUGCAGUUUUUUUUAUAUAUUUUGGUAAAUAAAUAUAUAUAUAUAUUUUGGUAAAUAAAAAAAACUUAUAACAUUUUGGUUAUUUUUAAUUUUUUUAAUAUAUUUGUAAAAACCCAUUAUUCUGGUAAAUAAAAAAAUUUUAUAAUAUUUUCGUAUUUUUUUCUAAUAUUUUGGUAAAAAACCCGAAAUAAACCCUUUCCCCUGCCCUUUGGUCGUAUUAUUAUUUUCCCGAUUUUUAUUACUUUCAAGAAAAAUAUAUUAUUUUCGUAUUUUAUUAUUUUAUAUUAUUUCAGUACAUUUUGUUUCAAUUAUUUGUAUAACUUAUUUCUGAAUUUUUAAAAAAAUUUACUAAUACACUCUUACUUCGGCCAUUUGUUCGUAUUUUUUUUCAGUAUUUUAUUAUUUUUAACAAUAUCGUAAUUUUUUAUUUUAUAAUUUUAUAUUAUUUCAAUUUAUUAUGUUUGAAAUUUAUUACAUGUACACUUUUUGCAUUUUUAUUCCCAUUUUAUUAUUUUCGAUAAAUAUACAAUUCCCAUUUUUUCUUUUCGUAUUUUAUGUUUUCUUAAACAUACUUCUUUGUCAUUUUUCUUUUAAUGCUAUUUUCCUAAAAUUUAAAUUUCAAAUUCCUAAAUAAAUUUCGUAAAAAAAAUCCUUAUUCAACAUACAAUGUACAUACCAUUAUUUUUUCAUUCUAAAUAUAUUUCAUAAAAUAUAUAUGCUAAACAAAAUAAUAAAAUAACUAUAAUGUACGUAACAUAAAUAUUAAAAAAAUUAAAUUUAUAAAAAAAAUACCUUUUCUUUUCUUUUCUUUUCUUUUUCCUUCCUUCCCUCUUCUUCUUCUUCUUUUUUUCUCUUCUCCUUUCUUUUUCUUUACUUCUUUCUUUCUUUUUUCUUAUCCUUUCCUUUUCUUCUUCUUUCUUUCUUUCUUUUUUUCUCUUCUCCUUUCCUUUUCUUUCCUUCUUUUUCUUUCUUUCAUCUCCUUUCUUUCUUUUUUUCUUUCUUUCUUUCUUUCCCUCUCCUUCUGGUCCCCCCACCACCGACCCCCCCCAUAAACAUUGGUGCCGCCAAUGGUAUUGGCACCAUUGGUGCCGCCAAUGGCUAUGGCACCUUUGGUGCCGCCAAUCCCAUUGGCGUGACCAAGGUACACCCGUCACAUCGGUUAGAUUUUUUUUUUCAUUGUUUUUUUUUUUGGUUUUUUAUAUAUUUUGGUAAAUAAAAAAUAUAUAAUUUGGUAAAUAAAAAAAAGUUAUAACAUUUUGGUAAUUUUUUAUUUUUGUUAUAAUAUUUUAGUAAAUAUCCCCUCAUUGGCUUCACACCCACUUAAUAAAAUCCCUUCAUCCUCCUCCGGUGGAUCCAACACCAUUAACCCAUCUACGUAGUGAGGUUGGAAUUUGAGACUCACAUCUUUCCCGAAGAUUCCGAAAAUCUUUUGGCCAACAUUUGCUGCGUCGUGUAGGAUGCCUGCUAAUGUAUCUAUCGCACUGUGUAUGAUAUCAAAAGUAAGACUCUUAGCCUUAGCCUUAGCCUUAGAUGGUUUAGGCUUGUUGGGUUUUACUGGAGUCAUCAUAUGCUCAGGACCAAAUUGUUCUUUCUCUUUUUCAAUGAGACCACCACUGUGGCACGAAUCUGAUAGGAUUGUGAAGCUUGCUCCUUCUGGUAGCCGGUUAACUAAACGGCUGAAGUCCACAUCUGCAGAAACCAUGUAUAUAUAGGGUAUGAAUAUAUGUUGCUAAAAAAAAUAUAUAAACUCAAACAAAAACCUACCGGUGACAAGAUUUAAAUCACAAGCCACGAUUGCUUCAUCUUGCUUGAAAGGCUGGCCAGGUUGAAAGAUUGGAAUGCGCGUUCCAUGUCUACUGAAGUAGAAAAAUAGGAUAUCUCCUGCUUUAGCCUUGUUCACCAUUCUAUUAAGUGCAUCCUUAAUGUUUGCACCCGUAGGCAGAACCGGCGACCCUGGCGCAUCGGUGAGGACAUUAACAUCGCUUUCCUUAAACCCAAUGUCCAGGAUCACACCUCUUAUGGCUUUCACAUCAUUGACGCAUCCAUGCACGCUGAAUUGGGUCUUGGGGUAGUUGCAUCCCACCAGAACUGCUCUCUUCGUACCCUUACUCAUCUUGCUUCGCUAAUUUGACUAUUUUGUGUAGCUUGUACCGUUGUAUUAAUGUGCUUCCACUGUCUCACUAAGAACCUAUAUAUAUACACAUUAAUUUACAGCAUGUGUACUGACCAUAAAGAUGACGGCAUGUAGGUAGGUAGGUAGGUAGGUAGGUAGGCAGGUACAACACUUUUGUUUGUCUUUUGUGUUUUUGAAAAUGCAUGCGAAAUCCAUGCAUAUGCAAACAUUUUGUGCAAGGAAUUUGCAUAUCAGUACUGCAUAAAAGAGUGACUCUGGAGUUAUGGAAUUAUUUGAUAAUAUCAAAUACGAAAUAAAUUAAAAAUAAAAGAGUGGGUGAUUAAUCCGAAUUGGGAGGAGGACAGGUGUUGUGAUGGACAAAGCGUAAGACAAGUUGGUUUCCGACUGAAGCAGGAAAGCUCUAGCAAAAGGCAGCUAGGUAUUCCUUUUUCAGACAAAAGACGAUAAAGGAUAGAAAAAUAUAGGGUGGUGGUCGAAGAUAAAUGAUUAGAUCUGCUUCGCCUUCGUCCAUCACCUCAUCUUUAGGUUUUUUUCUUGGUCGUGACUCACGUUGGCCGUCGUCUGCAAGUGCUGUCGGUCCUACUAUCGUCGUUGUGUUGUCUAGCUUCUGAUUUCUAUGUAUUAGGGUCUAUUUGAAUGUGAGGUUGGUGUAGGGGUGAGGUUACAAAAUGGAUUUUAAGGGUUAAAAGUUAAAUUAUGUAUCUAUAUAGAUUAAAGAAUUGUUAAAUCAAAAUUUUAUAUUUUUUUUGGGAAUAAAUUGUAAUUAUAUAAAGUUUAACUUAUAAUUUUAUUGAUUUGAGCGAGAUUUAAAUAAUAGCUUUCUAUUUCUAUAAAGAGUAAUUUUUAUUGUAAGGGGCACGAUUAGACUUGAUUAUGAGUUUGGUCACCCUCCAAGUCCGAUAGCCCUCCUGAAAAGUGAGAGUUUAGGCAAAAUAUAAGCUUGAAAAAUAGGCUUGGACAAAAAAUAAUGCCCAUUUUCUAAUACUAGUGACAAACUACAUAAUUCGUUUAUGUCGCAGUUUAUGUUUAUGUGGUGUGAAUGUGUGAUAUAGCUAAAAUGAAUCUCGCUAGGAUGAGUUUGUUAGUUAGAAUUUGGACUCCCUCGUUCUUAAUACUGCCGAUAAGUUAAAUCUAGGGCGUUGAGUUACAGGGUUAUUUAUCGAUUAGGAAAUAAUUUCAAACGAGUUUUCUCUUGGCUAUCGAACAAUGAGAGAUGGGUUGCCUUACACUGAGUCAACAACUAGAACUAAUUUAUUAAAGGUAUUGAAGUUAUUUUUGCAUUGAUGAUCGAAUCUUUGAAUCAAACAAAGAUUUUACUUCUAGCUAGAGUUUCUUCUCAUUAAUUUUCUUUUAUAAUUUAUUUUUACUUUGUUUUAAUUUUAAUUUUUAAUUUUAAAAUCUUUUUAUAUUUUUCAUGUAAGUUUUUGUUUUUAUAAAUCUCUACAUCCUUGCAUUACUUCAAUACAACACCAAAAGAACCAAAUGGCAAACACUAUAACUAAAAAUCUUGCAAAAGAGGCCGUUUUAUUUUAUCAUAAAAUUAUACAUGAAAUAGCCAUACAUGGCGAUUACAUAAGCUUGAAGGCCUUAAAACACAGACAUACGAUAGUAAUUAAUAAGCAAACACACACACAGACGCAGUAAUGAAGGCUAACUUCAACUUCGUAGUAGUGCACACCGAUGGAGCACAUUAUUAUUUAGUUUACAGUUUCGACCUCUAGUGAUCGAAAACCCUGGUUCAAAGCCGGCAGCUUAUGCACCCGUAGUGGUGUUGGGUUGGUGGCCAAGAAAAGCUGCAUCAGCAUUCUCAUCACUGCAAUAAAGGCAAGGGUGCUGCUGCCCAAUUCCUAGCUUUAUUAUUUCAUUCCUAGCCUUCACCACAAGCUGUCUAUUGGUUAAUGCACCUAAUUCGCUCUCCUUGAUGACCUUCAGAACUGAAUAGGUAAAGGCCCCAAACGCCUUUCCUCCGGUUUUCUCACUCGCUGGCAUAUCAAUUGAAAGCUCAUUGGCUUGGCACCCACUUAACAGAAUUCCCUCAUCCUCCGUCAGUGACCUCAAAUUCAAAAUAUCACGCUCAUAAUGGGGUAGGAAUUUGAGACUCACAUUGUUCCCAAAGAUUGUGGUCAAAAGAGAGCCAAUACCCGUCAUAUUAUCUGUUCCAGUGUUGAUGGCAUUCCCAAGUGCUCUUGUGGGAAAUAAGUCUUGUGUCGCGAUAAUGACGUUGGCCGCUGUUUGUAGGCACUGGAAUAAGGUUGCUAAGGAAAUGCCCCUAGUCUUGUAAUCAACAGGUGGUGCUAUACCCCUUAGAGUACUAUGGGGUCCAAUUUGUUCUUUACUUUUAUCAAUCAGACCACCACUGUGGCAGGAAUCCGAAACGAUUGUGAAGCUUGAUCCACUUGGUAGUAGCUGAAUCAAUUGCCCCAAGUCCACGUCUGCACACCCAUCGCAACCACAAUAUGAUAUAAAUAACAGUUUGCUUAGAUUGAGAGUAUUUUAAUAAUUUAAUUUACCGAGUUGAUUACGUACCAAAAAUGGGAUUGAGAUCACAAGGCACAAUUGCUUCACCCUCGUUGGGAGGCUGGUGGGGGUCAAUGCGGUGCACAAGUCCAUGUCCACUAAAGUGGAAAAGCAGGACAUCUCCUUCUUUAGCCGCGACCACCAUCUUCUUGAGUGCAGCCAUAAUGUUUGCACGUGUAGGCUUACACGUGGACUCUGGUUCAUCAGUUAGGAGCUCAACAUUUUCGGAAUCAAAGCCAAACCUGCUCACGAUCAUUUCUCUCAUGGCUUUCGCAUCGUUUACGCAUCCGCUCAACUUGUUGAUGGUGUUGGGGUAGUUGCAUCCGACCAGAACGGCUCUCUUCUUACAUUCGGUGGCCAUCUUGCUUCUGUUUUGGGUCGCUUGUCUUGUCUUGUGCUUCGGACGUUGCACUAAACACCUAUAUAUAUGCACACAUACACACUGUAGUUUACACUAUGCUCACUGACCAUACUCUAAUAAAUAAUACAUCAUGUUGGUAGGUACAACUGUUUUAUUUUAUUUUUUGUUUAGAAAAAAAAAGGGCUUUUUUUAUAAAAACAACCCAAAAAUAAUUAAUUACUUAAAUGACUUAUUUUUUUGAUAAAAUACGAAAAUAACCUGAAAUCUAUGGAAAAAGUUGGUGGAGCUAAAGUGUGCCACCAACAUGCCACGUCAGCAAUUUAUAUUAAAAAAUUAAUUUUUUAGUAGAGCCGCCACUUGUAUAAAUACUACGGAAAUAUUAUGAUUUUUUUCUUUUUAAGUUUUUUUUAUUUGUCCCUUAUAUAUUUUAUUUAUUUGUUUAUUAUUGAUUUUAUAAAAUCUCAAAUGUAUAUUUUAAAUGUUUUAUAAUAUUAUUUUUUAAAUAUUUUAAAUAUUUUUCUAAAUUUAAAUAUUAUUUUUUAAUUUUUAAAUAUUAUUUUUUAAUAUUAUAAAAUAUUUAAAAUAUAUUAUUUUUAGAAUUAUGAGCUUUCAAAUUUAUUAUUUGUUUUAUAAUAUUUUAAAUAUAUAUUUAAAAAUUUUUAAAUAUAUAUUUUUUAAAUUAUUUUUAAAGAUAUUCAAACAUUUUUUUUAAUUCUAUUUAAAAUUUAAAAAAUAAUAUGUGUUUUUAGAAUGGCUUCACCACUUUAUUACAAGUGUCAUUUUUUAAAAAUAUGUUUUUUAAAUAUAAAUAUUUAAUAUUUAAUAUUUUAUUUUGGUGGAGCCAUUCUUUAUGGCUCCACCUCUUGGUUCUCUAGCAUAUAUAGAAUGGUGAAAUUGUUGUGUUUAGUAGGAGAGUUCAAAAAUUCUGUUAAAGAUGAAUAAUGAGGUGUUUUGGUUUACGUUCUCUUUUAUGGCGAAAUUGUAGAAGGUGAUGUUGGUUGUAUAUUUCAAUGUCGGCAAAGAGUAGGGUUGCGAUUCAAAAAACUGUAAAGCUGGCAGAAAUGAAAAGGAAGAUUAGUGCAAAAAUAGCUAUUUGUUGUGGAAGGGCAAUGUCCAGAUUAUUUUACAAGUUUCCAAUCUCUACAGAUCUGUUCAAAUUUUGUGAGAUGCAACUGUUAGAUGAUGAUGACUUGGGCACUAUGAUGGAAAUAUGGUGGUCGACUGGAAGUGAGAAUCCCCAACCAGUUGAGUUAUUUACUGAGUUAGCAAACUCAGAGCCUGUUGAAAAUGUUAGUCCAAUAAGUCAACAUCGCGAAUUUGACUUUGGUCGUAAUGCCAGAUGGACAGACUAGUUAGAAUGCGGUGGGACAUUGCAGAUACCCGAAAAUCCAAAUUAUGGUGGGAGUUCGUAUAACAACCCUACCCCCGGUCCCCGUCUACAAAUACAUUCGGAGGUGAUAAUAAGCACAGAGGCAGAUAUCAAAGAAAUGACCAAUAAUGAUGAAGAUUCUGAUCAGGACGUUUACGAUUUUAGCGACCUCGAUGUUGAUAAGGUUCCGGACGAUAUCGUUGAUGAAGGCCCGGAGGAGGUGGAAGACGUUCACUGGCCUUCAUUCAAUAACCCGAGUCGUGGCAUUAUUUUACGAAAUGAACCUGGAGGUGACCUGUUGAAUCUAGAUCCAGAUGCAGUGCAUGCAUCCGAGUUCCCUGAGUACACUGAUAUAGUACAUGCUCAUAGAUUGACGUCAAUUUCGUAGUUGGAGGAGUUGUUCAUUGGGUAAUGGUUCGAGAACAAGGCGGGCUGUGUGUUUGCCAUCAAACAUUAAUUAUAGCAUGAAGUUAUCGAUUGAUUACAAGGUUGCCAAGUCUACACCGACAUUAUAUGUUAAGAAAUGCUGGAGAGCCGACGAUGGGUGUGCUUGACGGGUUCGGGUUGCAUUUAUACAGAAGACUCAAUAGUGGCAAAUACGAAAAUUAGAAUGGUGUCAUACAUGCACUGUCGUGCGUAUUCUCAAGAUCCCCAAAAAUUGGAUGCCAAAAUUAUUUGCAACUGCAUCAUGUCACUAAUGAAAGAUAGUCCAAUCAUUCUUGUGUCGACAUAUCAAAUGGAUCGGCACAUCAGGAGGAUCAGCAGCUGGAUCAAACAUGGAAUGAGGCGGAGUGUAUAAAUGUUAUUACCAAACAUAUCAAAUGAUAUCAGUGGUUGCUCUGGGUAAUAUGAACUCGAACCGCCCAUGUCCAGGUGAUAUGAACUGCUCUGUGACUCUUCACAAAAAGCAUCAACCUAUUGGUACGAUAUGUUUAAAGGUUGGUCCUCCGAGUCGGGCUCCGCCAUAUGUUGAUCCUCUAGCUCCCCCAUAGGUUGACUUACAUAUCUAUAGCUGUGUCCGGUACUAUUAUAUGUUGCCCACCAUAUAACUAAAUACGCCAUCGAGUCAUGUACCACUACAUGUAUUCAGUCAAAGGACUGAAGUCAAACAUGCAAAAGUGCAUCUCAGGCCGCUUGUUGUAUCGGGCAUUCCAUAGUACUACAUGUAUCUAUUCUGCUUAUCUGAUUAUGAUAAUUGCAUCUAAUAUGGACUUAGGUCUGAAUCUAUAUUUGACUGUAUAUGAGAUUUUGUGUAUGUACUGCAUGUCUAUUUAUGUUGGGUUAAACACUAAGUUUGCGAAAAUUCAGUUCUGCUUGUCUGUUAUGUUCAGGUAAUCCACAGUCUUAGGCAAAUCGGUGCGGCAGAGUUUCACGGUAACCACAAGUUUGUGAACUAAUUUUAAUUGGUGGUUUUUGUUUAGUUAUGGAUUAUUUCUGGGAGUUUUGUAAUUAAGGGACUCUCCGGACUGUUUGGUUUUAUUUUAGAUUUGGAUUUUCGAAUUAACUCUUCAUUUGCGACGGUUGGCUAAAACCGUGGUUUUUACUAAACAAAGGUUUUUUUGAAAAUGCAAACGGGAUUUUCAAAUAUAACGAUUUCUAAUAUUUCUGCUCAAAAUUAUGUUUUGGAAUAUGAAUUAAUUAAAUAAUGUUUUCAGUAUUAUUUAUAAAACUUGGUUGAUUUAUCGAAAUGGUUCUGAUUUCAAAACCCUUCAUCGCAGCAUUACCAAAUUUGGCGAUAAUGUCUAUGCUGGGUUUGAGGUGUUACACAAAUUGUCACAUAACUCGAUCGGUAUUAUACCACACAAUGGUUGAGAAGUUGAGCACUGGCAUGUUAAUACACCACACAUGGGCUUCUACGUGAACCCACUAAGGAAUAAGGGUUGCAAUGUUCGGUGCUGAAUACAACAUCCACAAGAACUGCACAAUAUAACAUAAUGAGUCAAGUCACAUCACAUACUGCAAGUGGAUAAGUUAAAUCAACGUUACUUAAACCAUGUUAAUAUGUAUUACUUUCUUUCCGACGGAUGCCUCUAUCAUUUGUUGGUAAAUGAUUAAUGUUUAGGUCGCACCAAUUCGCGGAGACGUGGCCCAUCUAAAACCGAAACAAACAUGUUAGCAAUUAAAUGUUAAGUAUAAUUUUGUUUUUACCUAUUUACAAGUGGCGACGAAUAUGGUUGGUGCCUAACAACCACUAGAAAUGGCAUCCUGUAUAGAGCCCAAGAUUGCAGCAGAUUUAGUCAACCAGCCAUGUUACUAACCCCAUGUUUUGUUGCUCGGCAAAGCUCAUGGUACAAUUUGGCCAACACUGCCGAUCCCCAGCUGUAAUUAUCGACACGAGAGAAGUCCUCACAUAGAGGCAAGUACUUUAAGUGGACCCUAUUAGACGUGUUGUUCGACAUAAGUACCCCCGAUUAGCUGCAUAAUAUAUGCUCAAGUGGCACACAUCACCUCGUGCUCAGUGGCAAUGCUUGAUAACUACUUAAAAUUUAGUUUCAACCAUGCCAAUGUCAAGCAUGUGAAAUUAUGUUCCCCACCACUAGGGGACCGUCCAAGCAAUCUGUGGCAUAGUAUUGAAGGUUCCAACACUUUUCUUUGGCCCGUGACCACAACAAUAUCAACUUAUAACCCAAGUUACAUAGCAACAUCUUCCAAUGUGAUAGUACACUCCCCGCACGGCAUAAUGAAGGUGUGGGUCUUCAUACACCACUGCUCAACCAAGACGGAUAUUAAGUUCACCCUCAGGCCAAACCUUCAGAUCAAUGCAACGUCCCCAAAUCCCGCCAAUUGUAAGUAUGGCAUGACUCGCUCGUCCGGAUUGUGCUUGGGAAAAUGAAACCGCAACCUCAGAACCCGAUACCCAUCCUGUAUGGUAAAUUUUUUAUAAAAAUAUGAUAACUCAAUUAUCUAAAGAGUUUUUCAUUUUAGAUUUUAGAGAGGCUUAAAUAAUAGUUUUUCAUUUUAGGAGGUCUAAAAAGUACUUUUCUUUUUAAAGGAGCCACGACCCCUGCCUAGUUUGGUCACCUUCUGUGGUGACGAGAUUCAUUCCAAUGAGAUUAAAAACAGCAGUGAUGAUGAGAUUAAUUACUAUAAUAAUGAGAUUAUUAAAAUCAGUGGUGAGAUGUGUUUUAGAAUUCGAACACAACAAUGGCAGUGAGAUAGAUUAUAGAUUUAUAGUAAAAAGGAAAAAUGACCAUUAUAGACACUAAACUAAAAUUAAACUAAGGAAGUUUACACCAUUCCGUAUAUUUUUGUACGAUUAAUAUUUUAGCGAUAAAAACACCAUAUUUCAUAUUUCAUGUUUUAUGUAAAAUACUUUUAAUCUUUGAAUGAAUGUUAAUACAUGCAAUAUUUUAGAUCGAUAGAUAAAAAUAUAGAAUCAAUUGAGAAUUUACAAUAAUAUCAACAAAUUCAAUGAUUGGAUUGUUAAGUUAAGAAUCAUGCAAAAAUAUAUGAAAUCGUGUAAAAUUACUUUAGUUUCGCACUAGUAUAAGCGAAUUCUUUUUUUUUUAAUAUAAAAAAUUAAUUAUAUAAUUUAAAUUUAUGUAUUUAACAUUAUUUAUAAAUAUAUUUCAUUAUUUAUAAAUAUAUUAUUUGAAAGUAAUGAAAUAAAAUAAAUAUUAUAAAUAAAAUUAUUGAAAUAUAGUAUCUAUUAUUGAAUUAAAUUAACCAUUCUUUAAAAAAAGAGUGAAAAUUAUUUUUUUAAAAUGCAUAGGGUUUUAUUUUUAAAAAAAUUUAAGAUUUAGGUGUAAAAGAUAAUCAAUCAUAAAGUGCAUAGGGCUUUAUUUUUUAUUUUUUAAAUAAUAUUGUUUUUGGCUCACAUGCAGUUUAUUGAGUUAGGUUAAGUAUACCUAACUCAAAAUUUAUAAAAAUGAUAAAAGGCAUGUGAUUUAGUAAUACAAAUAUUUUAUUCUUAAUUUUAAUUCAAUUUUUUUAUUUAAAACAGUAAAGGAUGUAGAUACCUUUAUAAAUUUGCACCUUUUAUUUUAUAGUUCAGUCAUUUCUUAAUUUCAUUUAGAGAUUUAUUGUAUACAGUGACGGAGCAUAGUGGAGAUCCAGGUAGCAUGGCAUCCCUUAAAAUGGUAAAUUUUUUAUUCAAGCCCUUUAUAAUUUAUAAAAUAUUAAAUUAGUAAUGGUAAAAUUGUAUUUUAACCCCCCUAAAGAUGAUAAAGUUUUGAUUUAACCCUUUAAAAAUUACAAAUUACAAUUUAAUUCCAACCCAAAAAAAUUUAGGCUCCGCCACUUAAAUAAUUAUAUCAAAUUCGAUAAAAAUUUUAAACUUCACAGGUAGAAUUGAAAAAAUAUGUGCUUUAUUUAAUAAUAAUACUUUUGAAUGGGUUGAAUUUGGUUGAAUUGGCAAGAGAUAAGGUGUGGAUAAAAUAAUAAAUUUAGUAGAUUAUAUGCAGAACUUGGUCAUAUCAGACUCAGUGCCAUGAACUUCACUAGCAAGCUUGCUAACACAGCUGCAGCAUAAGCUAUUAACUGCUUAAUCACUAUUUUUAUUACAACACUCAAAGAUGAAGAAGAAGAUUCUAUAUUUAAUUUCUUAAUGUUAACCUUGCAUUUGCAUUUCCUUGAUGGCGCUUCUAUACCAACUUUCAAGGAGAAUAAAACAAAAUAAUAAUAACUUUUUAGUUAAUUUGAUGGCAUAAUUGGUAAGGUUUUUUUUUAUUUUUUUAUUUGGGGUCGAUUUUGCAACGAUAUAGACAGGUAGGUAGGCACAUUUUAUUCUGUUGAAUAACUAGUUAUAUGGUAUAAGAGUGGUACCUAAUUGAUUAUUAAUGUCUUAAGGUCGAAUAUCGAAAAAAAAAACAAUUCCCCUUUAGAAAAAUAUUUAUUGGAAUUUAUUAUUUUGAAAACUAAAAAAUUUAAUCAUCUUGCUUCAAUGAAGAAAUCGAAACCCUGUAAGUUAGGGUAUGAUUCUUUGAAGUUCCGAUAACAACAUGAAUUUGCCUUUAUUAGAAAACUUCAUCUCGAGAUAAUAAAAUGUCAUAUCCAAUUAUUUAGGACCCAACGUUUUGAAUCCUCGAGAUAAGCUUUAAUUUUGGAAUUUUUACGUUCUUCGGAAAGAAGGAUACAGGGUUACCUAAAUUCAUCGAGGAAAAUUGAAACCCAGUAAGUUAGGGCACAAUCUUCUCGAGAAUCUUGGAUACCGAGUAUUGUGUUAUUUUGAAAACCUUUGAAUAAAACAAUUUAAUUACUUUAAUUAAGCAUAAUCCUUUAAGAAAAAAAACGAUGGAAUGAUAAUGUAUAACGGGAAAGGAUAGUUUGUAAACUAAAGUGCACACUAAUGAGCGACAAAUAAAUACAAAUAAGCAAUACAAUACACAUGAGAGCAAUCAUCUUUAUACAAAUACUAACUUUAAAAGCUAAUGAAUCAAAAGUCUAUUUUGAAAGAAAUACGAAGCAAAUUAACACAAAUAAAAUGUAACAAAUUUUAAAACAACUAAAAAAACAAAUGACAUGAAAGAAGGGGAAUUAUGUAAAUUUAAAAUAAUAUAUACAUAUAUCAAAGUUUGAAAUAAAUCAAAAACAUAGUUCGAAAUAAAUACUACAUAAAAUAAUAGUAUCCAAAUAAAUUUUAAAAUAAAUAUUAUAUAAGAAGAAAAUCAAAACACACAAAAUAAUAUACAUAUAUUAAUUUAAAAAAGUAAUACAUAUGGAAUGAAAAACUUCAUAAUAAUAUAUAAUAAAUUUAAAAAUAAUAAUAAUGCAUGAAAAGCUUAGAAAAAUAAUACAUAUAAAAUUAAAAUAAUAAUAUACAAUAAAUUUAAACAAUGUUAAUAAUAAAUUUAAAAUAAUAUUAAUUUUAAAAUUAAAUACAUUAAAAAUAAGGGAAUAAUAGAUGCUUAAAUAAAAUUUUAAAAAAAAAUCAAGCACAGUAAAUUAGUAGGGAUUAAAUUGAACUCAAAAUAGAAUUAAAAGGGAAAAAAGUAAAACAAAAUGAAGGGCCAGAGCAUAACGCGCGAAUAACAUGAGGGCCAAACAGGAAAUAUUGCCUUCUCUCAAAACGCUGCAUUUUGAUGUGGACCAAAAUGAUACAAAAAGAAAAUGUCAAGCAAAAUUUAAAAGCCAUUAAAGAAUUGAUUUGAAUACGUUAUAAACGUGGGGGACCAUUUGCACAAAUUCCCCAUGCGCUACAAAAUGCGCGGAUCUUUCCCCGGGUCGGGUCACUACGCGGGUAUACAUGGCGGUAUGGCGUCGUUUUGGAGUCAUUAAAACAGACCCCAAAUGGCGCCGUUUCUUUUAUCAUAUACAAACCAAUUUUAACCCUAAAAUUAGCAGCCAUUUAUGAUUUAAAAAUCAAUCCCUAAAAAAAACUUGUCUCACCCUCUCCGAGCGCCGUUCAACAAUUAGGCCGUUCAAAGGUCCUCCGCCCUUCGCCCGCCUCCGAUUGCGAUGUAGCGAACCAAGGUUCGACUACCAGGUAACCGACUCUUAACUGUUUCUUUUUUCUUCAUUCACGAUAAAUAAAUAAAAAGAUUCAAGAACAGAAAAAAAUUAUUGAGAGAGGAAAAAAAAUGAAAAUCACCUCUGGAUUUCUGUCUUUUAGCAAUUUUUAUUUCUUUUCGUAUCCCCCAUUUACAAAUUUUCAAUGGCUUUUUAUAGCCGAAAUGAAACAAGAAAAUAAAAUAAAAAGAAAUCUAUUCUGUCAUCUGAUGGUCUUGAUUUGCGAUUUUUUAUUUUCUUACUAUUUUUUCCUACCUCUGCUGUUUGUUCCCAUUUUUGUUGUGCAGGUACAACCUCGGAGGGGCGCACGUGCGCGGAGGAGCAACAUGCGCGGGGGGCCUAGGUUCGGCUGCAGCGCAAAGGCAGAAAGCUACUAUUGCUGCUAAGGUUUCUGUUUCGUGGUCUAGGGCUAGGCAUUGGGCCUCUGUAAUUGGGCCACUAUUUAUUUGGUUAAGGAUUUAGAUUGGGUCUUAGUGUAUUUUGUAAUCGAGUUUGGGUUUGGGUUGGCAAUUGGACUGUAUUUGGACUUUGAAUUUUUAUUUGGUAUUUGGUUUUAUUUAUUUACAUACGGGCCAGGCAAAUUGGGCCAAUUAUAGCUGCCCCUCUUUGCUCGUUCUCGUGUAACAGGAACGGAGCAAAGAAUUUAGCAAUGGCCAAUUUUUAUUUCUUUUCGUAUCCCCCAUUUACAAAUUUUCAAUGGCUUUUUAUAGCAAAAAUGAAACAAGAAAAUAACAUAAAAAGAAAUCUAUUAUGUUAUCUGACGGCCUUGAUUUGUGAUUUUUGAUUUUCUUACUAUUUUUUCCUACAUGUGCUGUUUGUUGCCAUUUUUGUUGUGCAAGUACAAGCUCGGAGGGGCGCACGCGUGGGGGGCCUGGGUUCGGCUGUAGCGCAAAGGCAAAAAGCAUCUAUUGCUACUAAGGUUUUUGUCUCGUGGUCUAGGGCUAGGCAUUGGGCCUCUGUAAUUGAGCCACUGUUUAUUGGGUUAGGGAUUUAGAUUGGGUCUUAGUGUAUUUUGAAAUCGGGUUUGGGUUUGGGCUAGCAAUUGGACUGUAUUUGGACUUUGAAUUUUUAUUUGGUAUUUGGUUUUAUUUAUUUACAUGCGGGCUGGGUAAAUUAGUCCAAUUAGAACGUGUUAAGAACUUUCUUAAUGAACAAAGUAAUGCUAUAUUGAUCAAGAAAAUAGGUGAUUUCCCUUCCUCUACCAUUUCACAAUAAUAGAGUACAUGAGUUAGCUAUUAUUUAUAAUUGCUGCUAACAAAUUAAUAGAUUGAUGAGAAUAAAAAAACUAAAUGUUGCCUAUCAAUACUAACAGCUAUUAUUUUAUAUUUUAACAUUAACUUAUCUUUCCGACGGGUAACACCUGAAGAAGACUUUGAAACCGAGCGAAAGAUGAAACAGAUAAAGGCUUAGUAAGAAUGUCAGAAAUUUGAUCGCACGCAAGUAUUUCACCCACAACUAAAGACCUAGCAGCAAAUCUUUCACAAAUAAAGAACAAAUCAAGCUCCACGUGUUUAAACUUAGAAUGUAAAACCGGAUUCACAGCAACUGCAACUGCACUUGAGUUGUCAUACCAUAUAGUAAGGAAAUCAUUAGACUGAAGUUCUAAUUCUUUUAAUAAUGAAGUCAGCAAAAGGACAUCACUCGUUACUGCAGUAAGACUCUGAUAUUUAGCUUCGACUGUGGAAUGAGACACAACUUGUUGUUUCUUUGAACACUAUGACACUAAGUUGUGACCAAAAUAUACACAAUAGCCAGUUGUGGAUCAACUAUCAUCAAGAUCCAGCCCCCAAUUUGCAUCGGCAUAACCAACUAAAGAGAGUUGAGUAGACGAACGAAACACAAUCCCAUAGUCUAGAGUACCACACAAAUACCGCAAUAUGCAUUUUAAAGCAACCAGAUGUAUAGUAGUGGGUGUAUCCAUAAAUUGGCAGAUGCGAUUUACUGCGUAGGCAAUAUCAGGUCGAGUUAGAACCACAUACUAUAGCGCCCCUGCAACACUUCUGUAUUCAGUGGGAUCAAAAAGUCAUUCCCCGCCAUCCUUAGACAAAGAUGAUGAGCUAAUCAUAGGAGUAUGAACACUCUUUGCAUGAGUCAUACAACACCUGUUAAGCAAAUCACGAACGUACUUUUGCUGGCAUUGAUGGAUACAUCCAUCAGAGGAACGAGUCACCUCAACUCCAAAAAAGUAAUAAAGAUCACCCAUAUCUUUAAGAGAAAACUCCUUAUGCAAUUUCUGAACAAAACUUUCAAUACAUGUAGGUACACUUCCAGUAACAAUAAUAUCAUCCAUACACAAGAACAUAUAGAGUGACAGAAGGUAUGACUUGAAUAAAUAAGGACGAACUCGACUUGGAUAUAUGAAAUCCAAUUGAAAGUAGGAAACACUUUAACUUUUUAAACCAAACACGUGGAGCCUGUCACAGUCCAUACAAUGCCUUCUUAAGACGACACACCAAAGGUUCACCAUUAGGACUAAACUGAACAUACCCUGGAGGUUACUGCAUAAACACUUAAUCAGUAAGAUUGCCAUUUAAAAAAAACAUUAUUAACGUCUUGAGACAGAGACUGAUAGUAUAACUCGAAUAGUAGCAUGCUUGACCCCCGGACUAAACGUUUCCUUAAAAUCACAUCCAAGUACCUGAGAACAUCCUUUAGCCACUAACCGAGCUAUCCGACUUGCAAUCGUUCCAUCCAAAUUUUUUUUACUUUGAAGAGCCAUUUACACCUGAUUACCUUUCGACCGCUUGGUGACAGAAUAAGUUUCUAGGUGGAAUUAUGUGUAUUUUGGAAAUACGCCCAUCUCGUGUUGUUCAAAAAGGCAACAAGUUAUUUCUCGAUCAACAGCAGAAGUAGAAUAUUGAACUCUUACUGCCGCCACCAGUGAUAUAAUAUGGUUAGUCUCUCUGCUAACGGAGUUACAACUUCAUUCUGCUGACUCUCCUACUAUUUGGUGUGACAAUUCUAGUGCAGUAGCGAUUGCUGGCAAUCUGGUUUUACACUUCAAGUUUAAACAUGUUGAACUUGACCUUUUCUUUGUCCGUGAAAAGGUUGCUAACAGUUCACUCGUUGUUGGUGAGGUACCAGCCUGUACCAAGUUGCUAACAUUUUAAGGAAACCAUUGUCUGUCUCUUUGUUUACUCAGUUUUGUAAUUUCCUUCGGAUCUUACCUAUUGAGAAGCUGGGUAAAUGUUAGAGUAUGUGAAUGUAUUAGGCUAUUAGUCUGUUAUCAAGACUGGUAUAUUGUUAGUAGGUUAGUUAGUAGUAGUUAGAUCAAGUCUCAUGCAUAUAAGUAUUAUCUCUAUACUGAUAGAAAAAGGUUAACAAUACAAACAAUUUAAUUAGUCUUUUCUUUCAAUAUUUUUCAGUAUUAUAGAGUUAGUAACAUGUUCAUAUUAUUUGUUCCAGUGUUGAUGGUAUUGGCAACUACUGUUUUGUCCAAAAAGCUUGACGUCAUGCUCAUGACGUUGGCUACUGUUUGUAGGCUCCGAUAUAAGGUUUCAAUGGAAAUUCCCCUAGUCCUGUAAUCAAUAGAUGGUGGUAUAGCCCUUAGAGUACUAUGGGGUCCAAUUUGUUCUUUAGUUUUAUCAAUCAGACCACCACUGUGGCAGGAAUCAGAAAUAAUUAUGAAGCUUAAUCCACUUGGUAGUCGUUGAAUCAAGUGCCCCAAGUCGACGUCUGCACAACCAUCGCAACCACCAUAUGACAUGAAUAAUAGUUCGCUUAGAUUGAGGGUGUUUCAAUAAUGUGAUAUAUUUGGCCUCUAAUAAGAAAUCAACAUAUAGAGUGGGUGAUUAAUCCGAAUUGGGAGGAGGACAGGUGUUGUGAUGGACAAAGCGUAAGACAAGGUGGUUUCCGACUGAAGCAAGAAAGCUCUAGCAAAAGGCAGCUAGGUAUUCCUUUUUCACACAAAGACGAAGAUAAAUGAUUAUAACAGCAUGAUAUGAUCUGCUUCGCCUUCGUCCACUACCUCAUCUUUAUGUUUUUGUUUUGGUCGUUACUCACGUCGGCUUUUGUCUGCAAGUGCUGCAUGUCGGUCCUACUAUCGUGAUUGUGUUGCCUAGCUUCUGAUUUCUAUGUAUUAAUAGGGUCUAUUUGAAUGUGCGGUUUGCAGAGGUAAAAUUAGAAAUUUGUUUUUAAGUGUUAAACUUUGUAUCUAUAUAGAUUUAAGAAGUGUUAAAUCAAAAUUUUAUAUUUUUUUACGAUAAAUUGUAUUUAUACAAUGUUUAACUUAUAAAUUUAUUGAUAUUACAGAGGUUUAAAUAAUAGUUUUCCAUUUUAGGGGUAUAAAGAGUAAUUUUCAUUUUAAGGGCGCUACGAUUAGACUUGAUUAUGAGUUGGGUCACCCGUCCAAGUCUAAUGGUUCUCUUGACAAGUGAGAGAGAUUGGGCUAAAAUAUAGCCCAAAAAAACAGACUUGGACAAAAAAUAAUAUCCAUAUUCCAAAGGGGCCGAGCCUCGGGUAAGAUUUUUUUGCUUGGGCCCAACCCGACCCAAAUUUGCUUAAAAAAUUUUCCUUGCUACUGUUAACUAUUGUUUGCUAUUAUAUUGUUACUAUAUUGUUGCUAUUAUUUGUAUAUUGUAUAAUUAUUGUUUUAUUGUUAAUUUUGCUACUAUUUUCAAUUAGUUGGGAAACAUUUAUUUCAACAUUUUUAGUGUAUUUGAUGUAUUAUAUUUUUUAAAAUAAAAAAGUAUAAAAUAUUUUAAUAUAGGCGGGCCGGGCAAGGCUCAGGUUUGGCAUUGUUUAUCUGGGUCAGGCUUGAUAAAAAAUUUAGGCCCAUUUUUUGGUCGGGUAGGGCUUGAGCCUAGAAAACGAGCCUAGAAUCCCAACCCGAUUGAGCCCAUGAUCAAGUCUAGCCACGACCCCUAUCCGCUAUGGUCACCGCCUUUGGAGACAAGAUUAAUUCUUGUGAGAUUGAGAAUAGGGAUGGCGAUGAGAUUAAUUACUAUAGCAGUGAGAUUAGUUACUACAGUGAUGAUGUUAAAAUUAGUGGUGAGAUGCGGAUUCAAACACAAGAAUGGCGGGAAGAUAGAUAAUAGAUUUAUAGUAAGAAAGGAAAAUGACCAUUAUAGACAUUAAAAUAAAUUAGUUUUCACCUUUCCGUAUAUUUUUCUAUGAUUAUUAUUUUAAUGAUAAAAAUGACAUAUUUAAUAUUUCAUUUAAACACAUCGUGCAUAUUUUUAACAUAAAUUAAAAAUUUCUAACUAUUUGUUUUAUUUAAGAAUAUUUUUAAUCGUUUAAUAAAUGUUAAUAUAUAUAAUAUUUUAGAUAGCUAUGACAGAAAUAUCGAAUCAAUUUAAAAUUUUACAUACAUGAAAAGUACAACAAUAUUGAUAAAUUCAAUGGUGGGUGUCACAUCACAAAAUCAGGGUUAAAAAAAUUAGAUUAGCGAAACCAAGUGUGGUCGUGUUCAGUUUUGAUUUGAAGUUGUGAAAAUUAAAAACCAAGAGUACGUUAACCACCGCAUCCCCAAAUAGUCAUAUGAUGUCUCAUAGGCUUCACACCCUCUUAAUAAAAUCCCAUCAUCCUCCUUCAGUGGAUCCAACACCAUUAACCCAUCUACGUAGCGAGUAUUGGGAAUUAUCCAUAUUUAUGGAAAAUCAAAGAUAUGGGUAUCAAAUAAUAGAAAGUCAAAGAUAUGGGUAUCAAAUAUUGGAAAGUCAAAGAUAUGGGUAUCAAAUAUUGGAAAGUCAAAGAUAUGGGUAUCGAGAUAUUGGCAUAAUAAAAUCUGAGAUAUUUGCAAUAUAUGGUCCCUAAUUGUAAAGUGACUUUGCAAGUUGAUCCCUGAACCUCAACUAUAAAUAGGUGCCAUCUCUCAUUCUGUAUCUCAAACUUGCCAUUCUCUACUUAAGGCAUUGUUUUUUCUCUCUCUCUCUUUGUAAAUUCUCACUUGUAUUUUGGAGUGAAAUAUAUUUGGUAGUGCCCGAGGACGUAGGCAAAAUUUGCUGAACCUCGUUAAAUUCUUGUGUUCUUUAUUGUAUUAUUCUGCAUGAAUUGUGUGUGUGAUUGUAGUAAUUUAUUGUGCUAUUAAAUUACGACUGAAGGAUAUUCUGGCUAGGAAAGACCUGGUACUUAAGCGAUCCUUGUGAUCCACCUCUCUUUCCUGGGAAUUGAACUUAGUGUGAUUUUUUAGUACAAUAAUUUUACUCUUUUACACGCUUCCGCACAACAAUUGGUAUCAGAGCUAGAUUCGUACUUGGGGAAUACGAUCGUUCACGGUACUGUUCACGUACUGUAGUUGGGAUUGAGGAGAAAAAAAUGGAAAAGUCAUCGUCAAAGACUACUGUGACCAAUGCGAAAUUUGAAGUAGAGAAAUUUGAUGGUACCAAUAAUUUUGGUAUGUGGCAAUGUGAGAUCCUGGAUGUCUUAUGUCAGCAAGAGUUGGAUAUAGCCCUUGAAGAAAAACCUGACAAGAUGGAUGACAAGGAGUGGGCCAAGAUCAAUAGACAGGCAUGUGGAACAAUUCGCCUAUGUUUGGCCAAAGAGCAGGAGUACUCUGUCAUGAGGGAGUCAUCAGCGAAGAAGUUGUGGGAUACACGGGAAGAAAAGUUUCUAACAAAAAGUCUUGAAAAUAGGCUUUAUAUGAAAAAGAAACUUUAUCGAUUCACGUAUGCACCCGGUAUGUCGAUGAAUGACCAUGUGAACUCAUUCAAUAAAAUUUUAGCAGACUUGCUAAAUUUGGAUGAGAAAUUUGAAGAUGAAGACAAGGCAUUACUGUUGUUGAAUUCUCUUCCUGAUGAAUAUGAUCAUCUUACCACCACAUUGCUUCAUGGGAAGGAUACAAUCACAUUUGAUGCAGUCUGUAGUGCGUUGUAUAGAUCUGAGACUCGAAAGAAAGAUAAAAAAGAUCACAGAGACUACAGAAGUCUUAACAGUAAGAAGUCGUUCGCACAGCAACAAAUCUGGUAGAAGGAGUAAGUCCAAAAAGAGACCUGCCAAAGAUGAAUGUGCUUUUUGUCGUGAGAAAGGGCAUUGGAAAAAGAAUUGUCCUAAGUUACAAAAGGGUAAAGCUAUUUCUGAUGCAUGUGUAGCGGAGCAUGAUGAGGAGUCAGACUUUAGCUUGGUUGGCAUGGCAAUGGCAUGUCAUACAGAUGAGUGGAUUUUUGAUUCGGGAUGUACUUACCAUAUGUGUCCUAAUAAGGACUGGUUUUCUAGUCUUAAAGAACUAGAAGGUGGAGUUGUUUUUAUGGGCAAUGAUAGCGCUUGUAAGACAAUGGGAGUAGGUACAAUCCAAUUGAAGAAUCACGACGGCUCAAUUCAAGUCUUGACAGAUGUUCGCUACAUACCUAUCUUGAAGAAAAAUCUUAUCUCAUUAGGGGUCCUAGAAUCUAAAGGGCUCACAAUCACUUUGAGAGAUGGAUUACUAAAGGUAGUAGCUGGGGUAUUGACGGUGAUGAAAGGCACAAGAAGGAAUAAUCUGUACUAUUUAAAUGGAAGUACAGUUAUUGGAUCAACAUCAACAGCUUUUACGAAAGAUGCAGAUUCAGAGGCUACCAGGUUAUGGCAUAUGCGAUUGGGACAUGCUGGUGAAAAAGCUUUGCAGAGUUUGGCGAAGCUAGGCUUGUUGAAAGGUGCAAAUUCUUGCAAAUUGGAAUUCUGUGAACAUUGUGUUCUGGGCAAGCAGACAAGGAUAAAAUUUGGUUCAGCAAUUCACAAUACAAAAGAAAUUCUGGACUACGUUCAGAGUGACGUGUGGGGACCUACUAAAGUGGCUUCUUUGGGAGGUAUGCACUAUUUUGUUACUUUUGUUGAUGAUUAUUCAAGAAAAGUAUGGGUGUAUCUAAUGAAAAGGAAAAAUAAAGUUUUGGAUGUAUUUCUUAAAUGAAAGAAGAUGGUGGAGACCCAGGCUGGUCGAAAAGUCAAACGACUUCGAUCAGACAAUGGUACUGAGUACAAGAAUGAUCCAUUUCUACAAGUAUGUCACGAUGAAGGUAUUGUACGACACUUCACUGUUCGAGAUACACCACAACAGAAUAGGGUGGCAGAACGUAUGAAUCGGACUAUACUGGAGAAAGUUCGAUGUAUGUUGUCCAAUGCUGGAUUGGGCAAAGAAUUUUGGGCUGAGGCAGUUACAUAUGCGUGCCAUCUAAUUAAUCGGUUGCCAUCAACUGCAAUAAAUGAAAAAACUCCUAUGGAGAGGUGGGCUGGUAAACCUGCUACUGAUUAUGAUUCUUUACAUAUUUUUGGUUCCACUGCAUAUUAUCAUGUAAAAGAAUCUAAGUUAGACCCAAGAGCAAAGAAAGCAUUAUUCAUGGGUAUAACUGGUGGAGUAAAAGGAUACCGUUUCUGGUGUCCUGAUACAAGGAAAAUAAUUUUCAGUAGAGAUGUGACUUUUGAUGAAUCAACCAUGAUGAAGAACAAUGAUUCACAAAAGGAUAACACAACCAGUGGCACUUUGCAGCAGGUGGAGCUUGAAAAGGUUAAUGAUGAUCCAGCUAAUAUUGAAGGAACAAAUGAUGAAGAAGUUUCGACCCAAGAACUUCUACAGCAACAUGAUUCAAUUGCAUAUAGAAGGCCAAGAAGAGAGAUUCGUAUGCCUGCUCGCUUUGAUGAUAUGGUGGCCUAUGCACUUCCAAUUGCAGAUGAUGAUGUUCCUUCUACUUACACAGAAGCAAGAAGUAACUCUGAUAGUGUAAAGUGGAAGCAAGCUAUGAAUGAAGAAAUGCAGUCUCUUCAUAAAAAUAGGACUUGGGAGUUGGUGACACUACCUAAAGGAAAGAAGGCAAUUGGAUGCAAAUGGGUAUAUGCAAAGAAGGAAGGAUUUCCUGAUAAAAAUGAAGUUCGAUACAAGGCUAGAUUGGUAGCAAAGGGUUACGCUCAGAAAGAAGGAAUAGACUACAAUGAAGUAUUUUCUCCAGUUGUGAAGCAUUCGUCUAUUCGGAUUUUGCUAGCCUUGGUUGCGCAAUAUGAUCUUAAACUAGUUCAGCUCGAUGUGAAGACCGCAUUUUUACAGGGUGAUUUGGAAGAGGAAAUCUAUAUGACUCAGCCAGAUGGAUUCAAGGUUGCUGAUAAAGAAAAUUGGGUUUGCAAACUGACAAAGUCGCUUUAUGGAUUGAAACAAUCUCCAAGGCAGUGGUACAAGCGAUUUGAUCAGUUCAUGAAAGGGCAAAGGUAUACAAGAAGUAAAUUUGAUCAUUGCGUGUAUUUUCAGAAGCUACAAGAAGGAUUUUUCGUAUACUUGCUAUUAUAUGUUGAUGAUAUGUUGAUAGCAUCUAAGAGUAAAGUUGAAAUUGAGAGAUUGAAGACUCAACUCAACCUUGAGUUUGAGAUGAAAGAUCUAGGUGAAGCUAAGAAGAUCCUUGGCAUGGAAAUAUGUAGGGAUAGAGCUCAUGGCAGAGUUAGUUUAUCUCAGAAGCAAUAUUUAAAGAAGAUACUACAGAAGUUUGGCAUGAACGAGUAGACUAAAGCUGUAAGUACCCCGUUGGCUUCUCAUUUCAAGCUUUCUGCACAACUAUCUCCUUCGACAAAUACGGAACAAGAAUACAUGUUACAAGUUCCGUAUUCUAAUGCAGUAGGUAGCUUGAUGUAUGCAAUGGUGUGUACAAGACCCGACAUUUCACAGGCAGUUAGUAUAGUGAGCAGGUAUAUGCAUAAUCCUGGAAAAGGACAUUGGCAAGCUGUGAAAUGGAUUCUACGGUAUAUUCAUAAGACCAUGGAUAUUGGAUUCCUGUUCAAGCAGGAUACUACACUUGGUAAAGGUGUUGUUGGGUACGUUGAUUCUGAUUAUGCCGGUGAUUUGGACAAACGAAGAUCAACCACUGGUUAUGUGUUUACUCUUGCUGGAGGACCAAUAAGUUGGAAGUCUACACUGCAGUCUACAGUUGCGUUGUCAACCACAGAAGCUGAAUACAUGGCUGUAACAGAGGCUGUAAAGGAAGCUAUUUGGUUACAAGGUAUGGUUAAAACCUUGGGAUUGAUCCAAGAGCAUAUUAAUGUGUAUUGUGAUAGUCAAAGUGCUAUUCAUUUAGCAAAGAAUCAAGUCUAUCAUGCACGUACAAAGCAUAUCGACGUACGUUUCCGCUUUGUGCGGGAAAUUAUUGAUGAGGGGAAAAUUCACCUUCAGAAGAUUAAGACUGCAGAUAAUCCCGCAGAUAUGAUGACCAAGGUGGUAACAACAAUCAAGUUCGAACAUUGUUUGAACUUGAUCAAUAUUCUGCAUGUUUAACAGUUGAAGAAGGCACUAUCAAGUGUUGUUGACAAAGGCAGAGAGAAUUGUGUGAAGAUAAGAUUACUCGAAUUAAAUCUUCAAGGUGGAGAUUAUUGAGAAUUAUCCAUAUUUAUGGAAAAUCAAAGAUAUGGGUAUCAAAUAAUAGAAAGUCAAAGAUAUGGGUAUCAAAUAUUGAAAAGUCAAAGAUAUGGGUAUCAAAUAUUGGAAAGUCAAAGAUAUGGGUAUCGAGAUAUUGGCAUAAUAAAAUCUGAGAUAUUUGCAAUAUAUGGUCCCUAAUUGUAAAGUGACUUUGCAAGUUGAUCCCUGAACCUCAACUAUAAAUAGGCAUAACCAUUUCUCAUUCUGUAUCUCAAACUUGCCAUUCUCUACUUAAGGCAUUGUUUUCUCUCUCUCUCUUUGUAAAUUCUCACUUGUAUUUUGGAGUGAAAUAUAUUUGGUAGUGCCCGAGGACGUAGGCAAAAUUUGCUGAACCUCGUUAAAUUCUUGUGUUCUUUAUUGUAUUAUUCUGCAUGAAUUGUGUGUGUGAUUGUAGUGAUUUAUUGUGCUAUUAAAUUACGAUUGAGGGAUAUUCUGACUAGGAAAGACCUGGUACUUAAGCGAUCCUUGUGAUCCACCUCUCUUUCCUGGGAAUUGAACUUAGUGUGAUUUUUUAGUACAAUAAUUUUACUCUUUUACACGCUUCCGCACAACAGUGAGGAUGGAAUUUGAGGCUCACAUCUUUCCCGAAGAUUCCGAAAAUCUUUUGGCCAAUAUUUACUGCGUCGUGUAGGAGGCCUGCUGCUGUAUCUAUCGCACCAUGUAUGAUAUCAAAAGGAAGACUCUUAACCUUGACCUUAGACGGUUUAGGCAUGUUGGGAUUUACUGGUGUCGUCAUAUGCUCAACACCAAAUUGUUCUUUCUCUUUUUCAAUGAGACCACCACUGUGGCACGAAUCUGAUAGGAUUGUGAAGCUUGCUCCUUCUGGUAGCCGGUUAACUAAACGGCUGAAGUCCAUAUCUGCAGAAACCAUGUAUAUAUAGGGUAUGAAUAUAUAUUGCUAAAAUAAAUAUUUAAAUUCAAACAAAAACCUACCCGUGACAAGAUUUAAAUCACAAGCCACGAUUGCUUCAUCUUGUUUGAAAGGCUGGCCAGGUUGAAAGAUUGGAAUGCGUGUUCCAUGUCCACUGAAGUAGAAAAAUAGGACAUCUCCUGCUUUAGCAUUGCACGCCAUUCUAUUAAGUGCAUCCCUAAUGUUUGCGCCGGUAGGCAGAACCGACGACCCUGGCGCACCGGUGAGGACAUUAAUAUCACUUUCCUUGAACCCAAAGUUCAGGAUCCCAUCUCCUAUGGUUUUCACAUCAUUGAUGCGUCCAUGCAAGCCGAAUUGGGUCUCGGGGUAGUUGCAUCCCACCAGAACUGCUCUCUCGUACCCUUACCCAUCUUGCUUUGCUAAUUUGACUAUUUUGUGUUGCUUGUACCCUUGUAUUAAUGUGCUUCCACCGUCUCACUAAGACCCUAUAUAUAUACACACUAAUUUACGGCCUGUGUACUGUCGAUUAAGAUGAUCAUAAAGUGGAUAGGGUUUUACUUGUUUUUUCUUUUUAACAAACUAAUAUUAUUUUUGGCUAACAUCCAAUUUAUUUAAAUACGUUAAGUAUACCUAACAUAAAUUUUUUAAAAAUGAUAAAGGCAGAUUAUGUUUUCAUAGAUGUAAUUUAGUCAUACAAAUAUUAAUAAUUAAUAAUAAUUAAUAAACACGUUCAUUUCAAUUAAUUGUAUACUCUACUAAAUGGUAAGAUGUGGCUUAUUAAAUUAAAAAAUUAAGUCUGACUUCCUCUCAACACUAUUCACACACCCUUGUUAUUUAUAUUUUUGCUCUAUAAAAAAUAAGGAUUUUGUGAUAUUUUUUCCUCUUAAAUGAUUUUAUUUAUAUUUUUAAUUAUAUUAAUUAUAUUUUAUAUUAGUUAUUAUUGAUUUAGAGAAUAAUUGGAGAAAAAAAAGAGCUUAAAGUUUAUUUUUGACACGUUUUGCGGGUUGGACUUUCAAUAUUUACAAUACAGUUUAAGUAUUUUGGUAAUAACUUAAGCUACAGGUUUUAGUUUUGGGCUCAUAAUAUACAGAUUUGAAGAAAAUUGACAUAACUAACUAAAUUUGUUUCGCGGAUGAAGCCCAAAAACAUCAAGAAGACAUCAAAAAAUGUCCUGGAAGUUUGUCCGAAAAAUUGCCAAAAUAUCUUGAAAACUUUUGCUUUAUAUAAUUAAUGGUACUUUUGUACUUUCUCUAUUAUAUUAUUUUUCUCUAUAAAUGGACAUUAUUAGGUUAAGACGAGGGGAGACCUAGACCUAGGCGUUCUUAGUUUUAUUUUGUUUUUUUAGUUUGUGGCUUUUUAAACUCUCCAUCUAGUCGAAGGUUUUAUCAGAUUUUGAUUUAAUAAAUUUGUGAGACUUAAUUUUUGCUUUAAUUUUUCUUUGUUCUUUGGUAUUCAUGCAUUUUUUGUUUUAAUUACAACUUUUCAAGUUUAUUGAAUGUUCAGUCGGUAUUUGAUAGCUUAGAAUGAUUGUUUUGUCAAUUAGAAUUCUUAAAUCCAUAAUUGUAUAAUUCAUUCUAAUACUAGUGACAAACUACAUAAUUCGUUUAUGUCGCAGUUUAUAUUUAUGUGGUGUGAAUGUGUGAUAUAGCUAAAAUGAAUCUCGCUAGGAUGAGUUUGUUAGUUAGAAUUUGGACUCUCUCGUUCUUAAUACUGCCGAUAAGUUAAAUCUAGGGCGUUGAGUUACAGGGUUAUUUAUCGAUUAGGAAAUAAUUUCAAACGAGUUUUCUCUUGGCUAUCGAACAAUGAGAGAUGGGUUGCCUUACACUGAGUCAACAACUAGAACUAAUUUAUUAAAGGUAUUGAAGUUAUUUUUGCAUUGAUGAUCGAAUCUUUGAAUCAAACAAAGAUUUUACUUCUAGCUAGAGUUUCUUCUCAUUAAUUUUCUUUUAUAAUUUAUUUUUACUUUGUUUUAAUUUUAAUUUUUAAUUUUAAAAUCUUUUUAUAUUUUUCAUGUAAGUUUUUGUUUUUAUAAAUCUCUACAUCCUUGCAUUACUUCAAUACAACACCAAAAGAACCAAAUGGCAAACACUAUAACUAAAAAUCUUGCAAAAGAGGCCGUUUUAUUUUAUCAUAAAAUUAUACAUGAAAUAGCCAUACAUGGCGAUUACAUAAGCUUGAAGGCCUUAAAACACAGACAUACGAUAGUAAUUAAUAAGCAAACACACACACAGACGCAGUAAUGAAGGCUAACUUCAACUUCGUAGUAGUGCACACCGAUGGAGCACAUUAUUAUUUAGUUUACAGUUUCGACCUCUAGUGAUCGAAAACCCUGGUUCAAAGCCGGCAGCUUAUGCACCCGUAGUGGUGUUGGGUUGGUGGCCAAGAAAAGCUGCAUCAGCAUUCUCAUCACUGCAAUAAAGGCAAGGGUGCUGCUGCCCAAUUCCUAGCUUUAUUAUUUCAUUCCUAGCCUUCACCACAAGCUGUCUAUUGGUUAAUGCACCUAAUUCGCUCUCCUUGAUGACCUUCAGAACUGAAUAGGUAAAGGCCCCAAACGCCUUUCCUCCGGUUUUCUCACUCGCUGGCAUAUCAAUUGAAAGCUCAUUGGCUUGGCACCCACUUAACAGAAUUCCCUCAUCCUCCGUCAGUGACCUCAAAUUCAAAAUAUCACGCUCAUAAUGGGGUAGGAAUUUGAGACUCACAUUGUUCCCAAAGAUUGUGGUCAAAAGAGAGCCAAUACCCGUCAUAUUAUCUGUUCCAGUGUUGAUGGCAUUCCCAAGUGCUCUUGUGGGAAAUAAGUCUUGUGUCGCGAUUAUGACGUUGGCCGCUGUUUGUAGGCACUGGAAUAAGGUUGCUAAGGAAAUGCCCCUAGUCUUGUAAUCAACAGGUGGUGCUAUACCCCUUAGAGUACUAUGGGGUCCAAUUUGUUCUUUACUUUUAUCAAUCAGACCACCACUGUGGCAGGAAUCCGAAACGAUUGUGAAGCUUGAUCCACUUGGUAGUAGCUGAAUCAAUUGCCCCAAGUCCACGUCUGCACACCCAUCGCAACCACAAUAUGAUAUAAAUAACAGUUUGCUUAGAUUGAGAGUAUUUUAAUAAUUUAGUUUACCGAGUUGAUUACGUACCAAAAAUGGGAUUGAGAUCACAAGGCACAAUUGCUUCACCCUCGUUGGGAGGCUGGUGGGGGUCAAUGCGGUGCACAAGUCCAUGUCCACUAAAGUGGAAAAGCAGGACAUCUCCUUCUUUAGCCGCGACCACCAUCUUCUUGAGUGCAGCCAUAAUGUUUGCACGUGUAGGCUUACACGUGGACUCUGGUUCAUCAGUUAGGAGCUCAACAUUUUCGGAAUCAAAGCCAAACCUGCUCACGAUCAUUUCUCUCAUGGCUUUCGCAUCGUUUACGCAUCCGCUCAACUUGUUGAUGGUGUUGGGGUAGUUGCAUCCGACCAGAACGGCUCUCUUCUUACAUUCGGUGGCCAUCUUGCUUCUGUUUUGGGUCGCUUGUCUUGUCUUGUGCUUCGGACGUUGCACUAAACACCUAUAUAUGCACACAUACACACUGUAGUUUACACUAUGCUCACUGACCAUACUCUAAUAAAUAAUACAUCAUGUUGGUAGGUACAACUGUUUUAUUUUAUUUUUUGUUUAGAAAAAAAAGGGCUUUUUUUUAUAAAAACAACCCAAAAAUAAUUAAUUACUUAAAUGACUUAUUUUUUUUGAUAAAAUACGAAAAUAACCUGAAAUCUAUGGAAAAAGUUGGUAGAGCCAAAGUGUGCCACCAACAUGCCAUGUCAGCAAUUUAUAUUAAAAAAUUAAUUUUUGAGUAGAGCUGCCACUUGUAUAAAUACUACGGAAAUAUUAUGAUUUUUUUUCUUUUUAAGUUUUUUUGAUUUGUCCCUUAUAUAUUUUAUUUAUUUGUUUAUUAUUGGUUUUAUAAAAUCUCAAAUGUAUAUUUUAAAUGUUUUAUAAUAUUAUUUUUUAAAAAUUUUAAAUAUAUUUUUCUAAAUUUAAAUAUUAUUUUUUAAUUUUUAAAUAUUAUUUUUUAAUAUUAUAAAAUAUUUAAAAUAUAUUAUUUUUAAAAAUAUGACCUUUCAAAUUUAUUAUUUGUUUUAUAAUAUUUUAAAUAUAUAUUUAAAAAUUUUUAAAUAUAUUUUUUAAAAUUUUAAAUAUAUAUUUUUUAAAUUAUUUUUAAAGAUAUUCAAACAUUUUUUUUAAUUCUAUUUAAAAUCUAAAAAAUAAUAUGUGUUUUUAGAAUGGCUUCACCACUUUAUUACAAGUGUCAUUUUUAAAAAAAUAUGUUUUUUAAAUAUAAAUAUUUAAUAUUUAAUAUUUUAUUUUGGUGGAGCCAUUCUUUAUGGCUCCACCUCUUGGUUCUCUAGCAUAUAUAGAAUGGUGAAAUUGUUGUGUUUAGUAGGAGAGUUCAAAAAUUCUGUUAAAGAUGAAUAAUGAGGUGUUUUGGUUUACGUUCUCUUUUAUGGCGAAAUUGUAGAAGGUGAUGUUGGUUGUGUAUUUCAAUGUCGGCAAAGAGUAGGGUUGCGAUUCAAAAAACUGUAAAGCUGGCAGAAAUGAAAAGGAAGAUUAGUACAAAAAUAGCUAUUUGUUGUGGAAGGGCAAUGUCCAGAUUAUUUUACAAGUUUCCAAUCUCUACAGAUCCGUUCAAAUCUGUUCCACUGCAACGUCAGUGAAAUAACAUCCGUUGGCUUCAGUCUUAACGCAAGGGUGAUAAGACUGGUGUCUUCAAUCCACUCCACUGUAACUUCAGGGAGAUAGGAUUUGUGGUUUCACCGAUCUGUUUUCUAGGGAACAUGACCUGUAGAAUCCUUUUUAUGGGCCUAUUUAUGCCUAGUGAUUAGGAUGUUAUGAUCGGAAUGAAUUAAAAUCUCCUAAUCAAAUAUGCAUGCAUGAAUACAAAAUGUCAUGAAAAUAAUCCCCUAAUGUUUGAGUUGUUAUUGUUCAUUGUUCAUUAAGGAUUUAUUACCAACACAUCAGAACGCCAUCUUGUUCGGCUAGUAAAACUCAUAUCUUACUUAACCAGAUUGCGUCCACUAUAAUCUUCAAGGUUCAAUCCAUUGUAAUCUUCAAGGUUCAAUCCACUGUGCUUUUAGGACAUAAAAUUUAAACUAUCUUCCUCCCACUAUAAUUUAGGAAUAUAAGAUCUGGCUCUUUCUCAAUCCUCUCAUCCUGCAAUUCAAGGAUACAAGACCUGAAUCUCUUUGGUCUAUUACACUUUCCUAGAGUGUCAUACCAAAUGUUUAUGCACAAUUGUAGAACUUUCUUCUCCAAGAAAACAUAUUCUUAUCACUGGGUGAUCAUUGCUUGUUUGUUCAUUGAAGCUUUGUCACCAACACGGCAUCUUGUCAUUUUGUUCAAUCAACAUUUUGACAACAAAAUUUGAAGGGAUAGUCUUAAUUUAGACUUUUCCUUCUUAGAUAUUUCAACCUUUAAACUUGGUGCGUUCUAAACAAUAGUCCUGUUUUAGGUUCUUGUAUUAUUUAGAAACUUCUAGAGUAAUAUGCAAAACUUCCUUUGAGAAAGUAUUAUUAGUCCAUUAAUCAUCAUUCCAAUGCCACAUGCUUGCAAAAGAUCAUACCAAUGGAUAAAAAUAGAAUUGAUUUGGGAGCACGGUUCGAAAUGAAUAAAUUAUCAAAGAUAGUAAAAUAAAAGAGGAAUUAAGUAGGAACAUGUAUCUUGAAAAAUAAUGAAGUAUUCUAAGAACAACAAAUUCAAUAUAAAUAGUAUGAAGACUAGAUGCCCCAAAUAUCGUAGCUUGAGUUUCUCUGUACAAACUUUCUAAAGACCAUUCCGAGUUUGACAUGUGUUUAGGAGAUCUAUAGUACUUUGUCGCUGCCCCAAUAUGUCGCCUACCCUUUCUUGUUGAUUCAGGUAUAAGAAGAUCACCACAUGCCCCAAUUUGAUCAAAAUUUCAGCUGUUCUGAUCACCUCAUGUCCCAUUCUAAUAAAAGAUUUGAGCUGCCCUUUUUGAGUUUUCAACUCAAAUCCCCUUGGGUCUCAAUGCGCCCUUUGCAGGUUUUUACCUUGGCCUCUCCUUUUUCUUUUUUCUUUAUUAUUAUUAUUAUUUUUUAUGACUCAAAGCACCCUUUGUGGGUUUUCACCUUGAUCUCUCUUUUUUUUUAGAACUUAAGGCGCCCUUUGUGGGUUUUCACCUUAGUCCUUUUUAGGACUCAAAGCGCCCUUUGCGAGUUUUUGCCUUUGUCCCUUCUCUUUUUUUCAAGUGAAGUGUGUCUUGAUUGAGUCUAAGUUUACAAGAUUUGACAAGUUUUUACCAUCCAUCUUACUCAAAAUCAAAGCUCCUCCGGAAAAGGCUUUCUUUACAACAUAAGGUCUUUCCCAAUUUGGCAUCCAUUUCCCUCUAAAAUCUUUUUGUAGAGGGAGAAUCCUCUUCAACAUUAGGUCGCCCUCAUUGUAACACCCCUAACCCGUGACCGUCGCUGGAUUGGGUUUAUGAGGCAUUACCGAACCAAAAGCUUAAUUCUAAUUUUAAUUAAUAAAUGGUAAAUCCAAAACAAAAUGAAUCAUGCACUAUGUUAUAUAUAUAUAUAUAGCAUAGCAUAGCAAAAUCAAAUAUAAAAUUCAAGUAAACCAAAUUUGCAUGCUUAACAAUCAAGUGGAAUACAUAGACUAUCCAUUCAAAUAUAGUAAAGGUGUACAUUUAUCAGAUUUGAAUAAAAUUGAUAUUUCACUAUAUUUAUUCAAAUAUAUAAUCUUACCAUUUCCAAGAAACAUUAUAUAUAUUCAUUAAGAUAAUAUAACACUCACUCAAAUUUCAUAGUCAACCACACUUUUUUGGAAUUAAACAUGAACCAAAUAAUCUAUCUGUAUAUACAAUAUUUCCUAUUACCUAUUUAAUAAAUCUCAAAAUCUUAUUCAAAUAUUACAUAAAUUAAUCAAAUACAAUUACAACUUGAAUAACAAAUUAGGUUCUUAUACUAAUAAAUAUAAUAAAUAACAUGAAUUUAACCUUUAACCGAAUAUACAUGGCUUAUAAUAAAAUCAUAUGAUCAAACUAAUUUGUCCUAUUUAAAACCGAAUGCAAACCCAUGCAUAGCAAAUUUUCUUUACUAAAUAAUUAAAUUGAAGUGGCCAAAGUAAUACCAAUUCGUCUAGCGCAUAAUAUGCCUAAAUUAAAUCUAACAUCAAUCUAACCAAAUUGAUCAUCCAAUACCAAAGCAUAUAAAUCAUAUCAUUUACCUGUUUAAAUACAUAUAAUUGAACUAUCUAUAUAAAUGCAUGCGCAUAAAUGCUCAUGCUUAAACCAUUUCCAAAAUAUAUAUUUCAUUACAUUACCUUACAAAACUAAGCAUUUCAUUACCAGUUAUAUAUAUAUAUAUAUAUAUAUAUAUUAUAUGCUAUAAAAUAAAUAUCAAAUUAUAACUAUCGGCAAUUACAUUAAUUAAUCAAACAUAUACACCUAUAAUAUCAUUUAACAUCAAUUCCCAUGAAUUAAACAUACCAUUUGCAAUUUCAUAUCCAAACAAAUCACACAUAACAUUCACAUAUAUAAUACCAUCCAUAAAAUGCUUAAUCAUAAUCAAAAUAUGCCUAAACCAUAAUUCACCCAAACCGAUCACAACAAUCUAAUUAAGCCAUUUUCGCAUGGCUUUAAUUUAUACAUUUAGCAUAUGUAAGUCGAAUAUUUUACUACUAGAAUACAAGUAUAUUCAUCAUCAUCAUCAUAUAUAUAUCACAAUUAUGAUAAUAAGCCAAAAUCACUCAUAAUUUCAAACAUAUUUACACAUUAUAGACUUACUAAAUAAUCUUGAAUCAUCAAUUCAAUAUAAAACUUACCUUAAUUUCUUAACAUGGUAAUAAUACAUACCUGAACUUUUAAAUUUGUUUUCACAUUUGUUCUUAAAUUAACGAUGCCCGUUGAGCCGUUCUGCAUUGAAAAGGAUAUGCAAAUAGUCGGAAAGCUCGUACAAUGCCAACGUCCUAGAUGUGGUCUUACAUGUAUUUACAAAUUGAUGCCACUGUGCAAGACAGGGUCAUACACAUAAACACAAGUCGAUGCCAACAUCCCAGACGUGGCCUUACACGUAAUCACAAGUCGAUGUCAACGUCCCAGACGUGGUCUUACACAAAAUCACAUAUUGGAAAUCCUAUCUAUUCCUAAGGCUCGUACGGGGCUUCUGAUUAUUGAACCUAAUCAAAUCAAACUCAAAAAUACAUAUUUCUAGCUUAAUCAUAUUCGGCCAUCAUCAAAUAAAAUUCAUAAAAUUGAAUUUAUUAUGUGACCUAUGUAUAUAAUUAAAUUUAACAACAUUUAUAUGCUUACAGACUUACCUCGGAUGUCGUCGAAUAAUAAAUCGGCUACUCGACCACUUUUGUCUUUCCCCGAUCCAAAUCCGAUUUCUUUAAUUCUUGAUCUAAACAUAUUUAAAUUAAGCUUAUUUAAACACGAUUCUAUUCAAUUUAGCCUAAAAACACAUGAAUGGACAAAUUACAAUUUUACCCCUAACAUUUCCCACUUUUUACAAUUUAACCCUUUUUGCUCAAAACACAAAAUACACAAAAUUUGACUACACUCUUUAAGGGUCGAAUAUUCCUAGUGUCCACACAACUCCAUAUUUUUCAUUUAUUUAGCAUUUGACCCCUCAAUUUACGCUUUUCUUAAUUUAGUCCUUAAUACACAUUUUUAUCAAAAAAAUUACUAAUUAAAACAUGAAAAUCUAACUACAUAUAUUUAUUUUCCAUCAUCUAAAAACAAAAACAACAAGUUCUCUUCAAUGGCAUCUUACAAAAUACACAACAAAUACAAAAUUUCAAGCAUGGGCUUUAUAGUACUCGAAACAACGAUAUUAAAAACAUAAAAAUUAUCAAAAAUCGAAACAAAAUCUAACCUUAAUUAAGACUUGUAAUUGCCGAAUGUUCAAAGCUUUUUCUUUCUUUAUUUCUUUUGUAGUUUCGGUGAAAACAAAGAUGAACAAUAGCAUGGUUUUCUUAUUUUAUGUUUUAUUUUAUUAACAUAUAAUAAUAACAAACUAUUAUGUUACCAAAAUAACCUUUAAUAAAGAAUAUACAAAACAUAUAAUAUAAGGUCAUUCUUGACCAUUGCCAUCCACUAACUUAUAUAAUGUGCUAAUUGCAUCAUAGUAUAAAGACAACAACAAUUAGACACUUUCAUAUUUAACCACUAAAUUUUCAUUUUACGCGAUUAAAUCCUUUUUCUCAAAUUAAGCACUCAAACAAUAAAAUUAAUUCACGAAACUUUCACACAUGUAAAUUCACACAUAAUAAACACAGAAUAAAAAUAUUAAAAUAUUUUUUAGACUCGGAUGUCUGGUCCCGAAACCACUGUUCCGAUUAGGGUCAAAAUCGGGUUGUUACAACUCUCUCCCUUUAGGGAUUUUCGUCCUCGAAAAUCUUACCGGUGAAUAGCUGUGGGUAACAUUCUUUCAUUGCAUCCUCUGGCUCCCAGGUUGCUUCCUCAACUCUGUGCUUAUGUCACAGUACUUUGACUAACGGAAUUUUCUUAUUUCGUAAUUCUUUAACCUCACGAGCCAGAAUAUUAAUCGAUUCUUUUUCAUAUGACAUAUCAGACUUAAUUUCAAUCUCGGUAGGACUAAUCACAUGCAAAGAACCGGAUCUAUACCUAUGAAGCAUCGAAACAUGGAAUACAUUGUGAAUCUUUUCUAACUCAGGUGGCAGCAGCAAUCAAUAAGCAACUGGCCCGACACGCUUUAUAAUCUCAUACGGUCCAAUGAAUCUCGGACUCAAUUUGACUUUACGACCGAAUCUGAGUAUUUUCUUCCACGAUGAUACUUUUAAAAAAACUUUAUCUCCAAUCUGAAACUCUAUAUAUUUUCUUUUCAAGUCUGCAUAUGAUUUCUGACGAUCCGAUGAUGUUUUCAGAUUAUCGCGAGUCACUUUCACUUUCUAUUCAGUUUCUUUAAUCAAAUCGACCCUGUGUAUCUUAUUUUCACUGAGUUCAGUCCAAUACAAUGGUGUACGACAUUUACGACCGUAUAAAGCCUCGUAAGGUUGCAUUUUGAUACUAGAUUGAAAGCUAUUAUUAUAUGACAAUUCAAUCAAAGGUAAGUAUUGUUCCCACGUACCUUCAAACUCAAGAAUGCAACUUCUCAACAUAUCCUCAAGUAUCUGAAUGAUUCGUUCGACUGUUUCUGGAUGGAAAGCUGUGCUAAAAUGUAGUUUCGUACCUAAAGCAUCUUGUAGUUUCUUUCAAAACCGCGAUGUGAACCUCGGGUCUCUGUCCGAAACAAUAGAAAUAGGCACACCAUGCAACCUCACAAUUUGAGAAAUGUAUAAUUCAGCAAGUUUAUCAAGUGAAUAAUCAGUAUGGACUGGAACAAAGUGAGCUAAUUUUGUCAAUCUAUCAAUAAUAACCCAGAUUGCAUCUUUCUUGCUCGGUGUCAACGAUAAACCAGAUACAAAAUCCAUCGUGACUCGGUCUCAUUUCCAUUCAGGUAUCAUGAUCAGCUGAAGCAACCCAAAAGGUAACUGAUGCUCGGCUUUUACUUGUUGACAUAUUAAACAUUGUGAAACAAAGUCAGAAAUAUCUCGCUUCAUACCGCGCAACCAAUAGUGCUAUUUUAGAUCAUUAUACAUUUUCGUGCUACCCGGAUGAAUAGAUAAUCGACUAUUAUGAGCUUCAUUCAAGAUCAUAUGAAUUAAGUCUGAAUUUUUCAGAACACAUAGUCGGUUUCUGAAUCUCAAACAAUCCUCAGCAUCAACUAGAAACUCUGAAUCAACAUUCAAAUCACACUGAGCCCGUUUUGCAAUUAAAUCAUUAUCAUCUUUCUGAGCUUCACAAAUAUAUUGAACAAAUAGCGGUUUUACUUUCAACUCAGCUACCAUUGCACCAUCAUCAGACAUAGCUAUAUGCGCGUUCAUUGCACGCAAAGCAAAUAAUGAUUUUUGACUUAAGGCAUUCACAACAACAUUAGCCUUUCCCGAAUGAUAAUCAAUCACAAGCUUAAAAUCUUUUAGCAACUCUAACCACCGUCGCUGUCUCAAAUUUAGGUCCUUCUGAGUCAUCAAAUAUUUCAAGAUUUUGUGAUCAAAAUAAGCAUGACAUUUUUCACCGAAUAAAUAGUGGCGCCACAUUUUCAAACCAAACACAAUAACGGCCAAUUUGAGAUCAUGCGUCGGAUAGUUCUUUUCAUGUGGCUUCAACUGUCUCGAGGCAUAAGCUACAACUUUGCCUUCCUGCAUCAAAAUAUAGCCCAAACCGUUCAAAGAUGCAUCACUAAAAAUAACAAAUUCUUUACCUGUCUCUAGCUGAACUAGUACUGGAGCUUCGGUCAAAAGGACUUUCAACUGAUCAAAUCUUUUCUGACACUUUUCUGACCACUCGAACUUAACAUCUUUUUGUAGCAACUUCGUCAUCAGGGUCGCAAUCAUAGAAAAACCUUUCACGAACUGUCUAUAAUAACCAACGAGUCCCAAAAGACUUCAAACUUCAGAGACAUUUCUCGGAGGUUUCCAAUCAAGUAUAGCUAAAAUUUUACUUACAUCAACCCGAAUACCCGAUGCUAAUACAAAAUGGCCCAAAAAACUGACUUCGCAUAACUAGAACUUACAUUUACUAAACUUUGCAUACAAUUGUUUAUCUCGCAAAGUUUGUAACACAAGUCUUAGAUGUUCAGCAUGUUUGAUUUCAUCACGAGAGUAGAUCAAAAUGUCAUCUAUGAAUACUACCACAAACUGAUCCAGAUACUAUCUAAAGAUUCGAUUCAUCAAAUCCAUGAAAACAGCAGGUGCAUUAGUAAGCCUGAAAGGCAUAACCAGGAAUUCGUAAUGUCCGUACCUCGUUCAGAAAGCUGUCUUUGGCACAUUAGAGUCUUUAACUCACAACUGAUAGUAACCCAAUCUCAAAUCUAUCUUCGAAAACAUUGAAGCCCUUUUUAGCUGAUCGAACAAAUCGUUAAUACGUUGCAAUGGAUAUUUAUUAUUUAUAGUCACCUUAUUGAGCUGCCGGUAAUCAAUACACAUUCUCAUCGUUCCAUCUUUCUUUCUCACAAAUAGUACUGGUGCACCUCAAGGAGAGAAACUCGGUCGUGCGAAACCUUUAUCUGUCAACUCUUACAACUAUUCUUUCAUCUCUUUUAAUUCAGUCGGUGCCAUACGGUACGGAGCUGUCAAAAUUGAAGUCGUCCCUGGUACUAAAUCAAUACCAAACUCUACCUCUCGAAUAGGUGGCAAACCCGACAAUUCUUUGGGAAACACAUAUGAAUAGUCACACACAAUCGGCAAGGAUUCAAUCUUUUUUCAGUCACUUUACUAUCAAGAAUAUAUGCAAGGUAAGCUUUACAACCUUUUCUCACAUACUUUUGAGCCAACAUCGAGGAUAUUACUGCUGGUAAACCAUUUAGAUCUUUAGAUUCAAUCUAAAUAAUCUCGUCGUUCUGGCAUCUUAAAUCGAUAGUCUUUCUUUUACAGUUAACCACAGCAUCGUGUAAAGUCAACCAGUCCAUACCCAAAAUAGUAUCGAACUCGUCAAAUGGCAACAACAUCAAAACAGCCGUAAAACGUAAAUCUCGAAUCAUCAACGGACAAUUCUUACACACUUUAUCAACCAAAACACACCGGCCCAAGGGAUUUGAUACUCUAAUCACAAACUCAGUAGACUCAACAAGCAAAGUCUUACUAGAUACUAAAGUCUCACACACAUAUGAAUGAGUCAAACCAAGAUCAAUCAGUCCAAUAACAUUAGUAUCAUAGAGAGUGAAAGCACAGUAAUAACGUUUGGGAAUGAAGCCUCUUUACGAGCGCGUAUAGCAUAUGCUCUGGCAGGUGCGUUAGCCUCAGAUCUAACAGUUGUAUCUUUGGUCCCCCUCUGACUGCCACUCAUAUUACCUGUGUUUCUGGGUGGUCUACCUCUAGCUGCAGUGUUACCCGAUCUCGUAUUUUGUACCGAAUUUUGAUCCACUAACUCUGGGCAUUCACGAAUGAAAUGAUCCCUCGAUCUACAUUUAAAAUAGGCUCGAUCAUGUAAUCUCUAACUACCAGAAUGUCGUUUACCACAAUGUUCACACUCGGAUUGAUUUGACCUGACAUUACCCACACUCGCUACUGAAGUAGCUCUCGAGCUCACAGGUGGUCUAUCCAAAUCCCAUCGUGAAUACCCCACAACAGUCUUUGAACGGCUAGUAUCAUCUCGAAACUUCUUUGAGGUCGACUGAAAUGGCUUACAAAAUAACCUUUUACAAAAAUCUCUGGCUUCAAAGUCAGCUUUUCUCUUCUCUUUCCCGAGUUAUUCGGCUUUGUAAGCUCGUUUAACAAGUACCACAAACUAUUUUAUCUCAAGUAUGCCAACUAACAGUUUAACAUCUUCAUUCAGCCCAUCUUCAAAUCUUUUACACAUAAUAGCUUCAGUCGAAACACACUCUCGGGCAUACCUACUGAGUCUCACAAAUUUCCGCUCAUAUUCUGUCACUGUCAUCCGACCCUGUUUCAAUUCAAGAAAUUCCUUGCGUUUCUGAUCAAUGAAUCUCUGGCUGAUGUAUUUCUUACGGAACUCAGACUGAAAGAAUUCGCAGGUCACUUGCUCUUUCGGACCCACUGAUACUAGUGUAUUCCACCAGUGAUAUGCAGUGUCCCGUAGCAAAGAUAUGACACAUUUUAAGCACUUGUCAGGGAUGCAAGAUAACUCGUCAAACACUCGAAUAGUAUUAUUUAGCCAGAAUUUAGCUCGCUGAGCAUCAUCAUCAUCAGUGGCUCUGAACUCUUUGGCCCCGUGUUUUCGGAUUUUAUCAACAGGAGGCUUUAGUAAUCUCAACGAAUCACUCACUUGAGGUAUAACAGGAAUCAAAGAUGGAUUAAUCGAGGGUGGAGGGCAAUCAUAUAACUACAAAAAAUACAUAAAACAAAAAAAAUAAUGUCCUAAAAAAACAUAGGUGGUAUAGGUAAUAUAAAUAAAAAAAAGACUUAUUUUUAUUGAAUCAAUAUCUAUAAUAAUAUAUAGAGUUUUACAUAUAAUAUAAACUAGGCAUAUUCAAACUCAAAAUUUUAUCUACAUAUGAGAACUUUUAUAAAAAAAAAUAUAUUCACUCAUUAAAGACAAAUGUAAAUUUUUUGUACCCCACAAAUGGAACUAAGCACAAUAACAAUGCAAAAUUAAGCAGAAAGGUCGUCAUAUUAACAAAAUUAAUAUAUAAAUUUAUGAAUGUGUCAUAAAUUUAAAAUAUAUAUAGCUAACAGGAAAAGAUCAAUUUCAUGCAAAAAAACAGUUAAAAAGGGAUAAUAACAACCAAAUAGAGAUCAGUUUCAUGCAAUCAAAAUGAUUUCUUAUUUAAUUUAUAAUUAAUUUAAAUGUUUCAUUGAUACUCGAUGAAGUGUAAUCCGUAUUUGCUCCAGAAAGCAUUUUGAUAUCUGCAUAAUUUAAAAAAAUUACAUAAAAUAAAUAUAAUUAAUUACUAUAUUACAAUAACUAUAAAAUAUAAAAUUACAAAAUAAAAACUAUAAAUAACUUACUUUUUUUUUCUCUUUUCUUCCUUCCUUUUACAAAAUAUUUGAAGGGGCGACCAAACCCCACCUUCUUAAAUAGAAUGUUCUUCUUCUUAAAUAAUGUUCUUCUUCUCUUUUUUUCUUUUUUAACUAACAAUUAAGCUAAUGACUAGUCACAUCGCUAAUGUCACUUAGAGGUGUGCAAAAUUUGGGUAAAAUCGAAAAAAUUCGAUUAAUCUAUCGAAUUCGGUUAAUCGGUCGGUUAACCGAAUUUUUUCGGUCGAGGCUCGAUUAAUUAUUUUUUAAUUUUUCAGUUAACGGUUAAUUCGGUUCAAAACCGGUCGGUUAACCAAAUUUUUUCAGUUUAACCGAAAAAAUUAAUAAAUAAAAUUAUAAUAUAUAAAUAAGCCCACUAUUCACCUAAAUCCAAUCCAAACCCAAGUAUCCAACCUAACCCAAUUACCCAAUCAUAAAAAUUACAAAUAAAUUAAUAAAUAAAAAUAAAAAAAUAUAAUUUUCGGGUAAUUCGGGUAAUUCGGUUAAUUCGGUUAAUUUUUAACCAAAAAUAAAAAUAUAUAUAAUUUCGGUUAACCGACCGAAUUAACCGAAAAAUUUUGGUUUGAUUUAUAUUUUUGAAUAAAUUUCGAUUCGGUUAAUGUUAUUUUAGGUCAGUUAACCGACUGAACACCCCUAAUGCCACUGACACGAUGUGACCAGUUAAAAUAUAUAUUUUUUUAUUUUCUAAUAUAUAAAAAAUUUCUAAUAUAUAUUUUUAAUCCUUUUUUAACCAAUAAAUUAUUUUUUUAUUUUUUCCAAUCAAUUCAAUUUUCACUUUUUUAAAUAAAAUAUUUUUUAAAAAAAUUUAAAUAGAAUUUUAGAAAAACGUUUGAAUAUCUUUAAAAAUAAUUUUAAAAAUCAUAAUUUUAAAAAAUAAUUUUAAAAAAUAUAUAUUUAAAAUUAAAAAUUAUAUUUAAAAUUUUUAAAAUAUGCAUUUAAAAUAUUAUAAAAUAAAUAAUAAAUUUGAAAGAUCAUAUCUUUAAAAAUAAUAUAUUUUAAAUAUUUUAUAAUAUUAAAAAAUAAUAUUUAAAAUUAAAAAUAAUAUAUAGUUUUAAAAAAAUAAUAUUAUAAAACAUUUCAAAUAUACAUUUCAAAUUUUAUAAAACCAAUAAUAAAUAAAACAAAUAAAAUAAAUAAAUAAAGGACAAAUAAAAAACUUAAAAAGUAAAUAAAUAAAAAGUUUAAAAAGAAAAAUGAAAAAGGACAAAGAAUCAGAGAAAAAGAAGUAACGAAUGAAAAAAAAAUAUUUAGGUUGUUUCAAUAGGACAAGGAACCCGCUAGUAUCUUAGAAUUUGGUAGCAUAAAUUUAUUUGGAUCACCAGAAAAGGAUAAAAUUGCUUAAAUAUUUUACUUUUAAAAAUUAUAAUAUUUCUCUAAUAUUUAUACAAGUUGUGUUAUUUUACAUGGCUCCACUAAAAAAAAUGAUUUAUUAAUGUAGAUUGCUGACGUGCAAAACACUUUGGCUCCUCUAACUUGUACCGUAAAUUUUUUAUUAUUUUCAAUUUUUAUGAAAAAAGGGUUAUUUAAGUAAUUAAUUAAAUUUUUGAGUUAUUUUUAUAAAAAAAGAGCAUAGUAAUUAAUUAAGCUAGGUAUUCCUUUUUCACACAAAGAAGAAAAAUGAUAGAAAAUAUAGGGUUGUGGUCGUAGAUAAAUGAUUAUAACGUGAUAUGAUCUGCUUCGCAUUAGUCCAUCACCUUAUCUUUAUGUUUUUGUCUUGGUCAUGAAUCACUUUGGCCUUUGUCUGCAAGUACUGUCUGUCCUACUAUCCUGCAUCUGAUUUUCUCUGUCUUUUGGGUCUAUUUGAAUCAUGCUGAAGUAAGAAAACUGUUUUUAAAGUAUAAAAGUUGAUAAUUAUAUUAGUUUAUUUCUUUAUAAUUUUUUAAAUUUUUAGAGAUAAUAAAUUAAAAUUUUAUAUUUUUGAGGAUAAACUAGAAUUUUAUAAUGGCUUAAAUAAUAGGUUUUCAUUUUAGGAGGUCUAAAGAGUAUUUUUCUUUUUAAAGGAGCCACAACCCUUGCUUACUUUGGUCACCUUCUAUGGUGACCAGAUUCAUUCCAGUGAGAUUAAAAACAAUAGUGGUGGUGAGAUUAAUUACUAUAAUAAUGAGAUUAUUAAAAUGAGAUAGAUUAUAGAUUUAUAGUAAAAAGGAAAAAUGACCAUUAUAGACAUUAAACUAAAAUUAAACUAAAGAAGUUUACACCAUUCCGUAUAUUUUUGUACGAUUAAUAUUUUAAAGAUAAAAACACCAUAUUUCAUAUUUCAUUUAUAUAAAUCAUGCAUGUGAAAUUUCACGUAAAUUAAAAAAAUUUAACUAGUUGUUUUAUGUAAAAUACUUUUAAUCUUUGAAUGAAUGUUAAUACAUACAAUAUUUUAGAUGGAUAGAUAAAAAUAUCGAAUCAAUUGAGAAUUUACAAUAAUAUCAACAAAUUCAAUGAUUGGAUUGUUAAGUUAAGAAUCAUGUAAAAAUAUAUGAAAGCGUGUAAAAUUACUUUAAUUUCGCAGUAGUAUAAGCAAAUUCUUUUUUUAAUAUAUAAAAUUAAUUAUAUAAUUUAAAUUUAUGUAUUUAACAUUAUUUAUAAAUAUAUUAUUUGAAAGUAAUGAAAUAAAAUAAAUAUUAUAAAUAAAAUUAUUAAAAAAUAGUAUCUAUUAUUGAAUUAAAUUAACCAUUCUUUAAAAAAGAGUGAAAAUUAUUUUUUUAAAUGCAUAGGGUUUUAUUUUUAAAAAAAUUUAAGAUUUAGGUAUAAAAGAUAAACAUAAAGUGCAUAGGGCUUUAUUUUUUAUUUUUUAAAUAAUAUUGUUUUCGGCUCACAUGCAGUUUAUUUAGUUAGGUGAAGUAUACCUAACUCAAAUUUUAUAAAAAUGAUAAAAGGCAUGUGAUUUAGUAACACAAAUAUUUUAUUCUCAAUUUUAAUUCGGUUUUUUUAUUUAAAAUAGUAAAGGAUGUAGAUACCUUUAUAAAUUUGCACCUUUUAUUUUAUACUUUAGUCCUUUCUUAAUUUCAUUUAGUGAUUUAUUGUAUACAGUGACGGAGCAUAGUGAAGAUUAGGUAGCAUGACAUCCUUUAAAAUGGUAAAUUUUUUUUAUUUAAGCUCUUUAUAAUUUAUAAAAUUUUAAAUUAGUAAUGGUAAAAUUGUACUUUAACCCUCCAAAGAUGAUAAAAAUUUGAUUUAACCCUUUAAAAAUUACAAAUAUAUAGACUAUUAAAAAUUACAAAUUACAAUUUAAUCCCAACCUCCAAAAACAGUUAGGCUCCGCCAGUUAAUUAAUUAUAUUAAAUUCGAUAAAAAUUUUAAGUAGAAUUGAAAAAAUAUGUGUUUUAUUUAAUAAUAAUACUUUUGAAUGGGUUGAAUUGGCAAGAGUUAAGGUGUGGACACUACACCAAAACAGGUCUUUAGCGGCAUAUUUUGUGGCGCUUGGACGAAAAACGCCGCUAAAAACCGAUCAUUAGCGGCGCAAAGACCUAAACGCCAUAAAAGAACAUCAUUAGCGGCGUUUACCACAAUGCGCCGCGAAAUCUCUUAACCAAAACGCUGUGUUUUCGUCUUGAUGUAUCUUAAAAUUAGUGGCGUUUACGCGAAACGCCAUUAAAGGACAGUAAUAGCGGCGCUUUCUGGAAACGCCGCAAAAUAGCUUAACCAAAACGCAGAGUUUGGUCUUGAGGUAUCUUAGAAUUAGUGGCGUUUAUAGGAAAACGCCGUUAAAGUACAGUAAUAGCGACGCUUUAUGGAAGCGCCGCAAACUAUCUUAAGCGAAACACAUCGUUUUGGUCUUGAUUUAUACUAGAACUAGUGGCGCAUAUGGUCAAACGCCGCUAAAGAAUAGUAUUAGCGGCGAUUUGUAGCUAGCGCCACAAAAUAUCUUAACAAAAACGCAGCGUUUUGAUCUUAAUGUAUAUAAAAUUAGUGGCGCUUACGGUAAACCGCCGCUAAAGAAUAUUAAUAGCGGCGCUUUGUGAGAAGCGCCGCAAAAUAUCUUAACCAAAACGCAUAAUUUUGGCCUCGAUGUAUAGUAGAAUUAGUGGCGCUUAGUGAAACGCCGUUAAAGCAUAGUAUUAGCGGCGAUUUGUAGCUAGCGCCGCAAAAUAUCUUAACAAAAACGCAGUGUUUUGAUCUUAAUGUAUAUAAAAUUAGUGGCGCUUACGGUAAACCGCCGCUAAAGAAUAUUAAUAGCAGCAAAAUAUCUUAACCAAAACGCAUAAUUUUGGCCUCGAUGUAUAGUAGAAUUAGUGGCGCUUAGUGAAACGCCGUUAAAGCAUAGUAUUAGCGGCGCUUGGAUAAAAGCGCCACCAAGUAUCUGAACCAAAACGCAUCGUUUUGGUCUUGAUGUAUACUUGAUUUAGUGGCGAUUUCGGUAAAACGCCGCUAAAGCAUAGUAUUAGCGGCGAUUUGUUGAUAGCGCCGCGACUUACCAUAAACAAAACGCAACGUUUUGGUCUUAAUUUAUACUAAAAUUAGUGUCGCUUUGUUGAAAGUGCCGCAAAAUAUCUUAACAGAUUUUUGGGUUUUAACCAUGCAUUAUGUAAUGUAGGUUACUAUAUAUUUAGUUUAUCAUAUUUGGUUUAGGUAUAGGGUAUUAGGGUUCAUUAUAUAAUGUUUAGUAUUUUUGGAUUACAGUGUAAAGUUUAAAGUUUAGGGUUUACGAUGUAGGUUUAAGGUUAGGGUAUUAGGGUGUUUAGGGUUUAAGGUUUAGGAGUCUGGGGUAUAAGGUUUAAAGUUUGGGGUUUAGGCUACUUUAGUCAUGUUAAUAGGUUAAUAUUGUUUCGGAUUUUGGGGUCUGGUUGUUGGUUUUAGAGUUUAGGGUUUAACGAUUUAGUAGCUUAAGAUUUUAGGGUUUAAAAGUUUAGAGGUUUAGGGUUAAAUCCUAAAAGCGUGCAUGAACAACAGUUUAAUGUUCAAUUGUAUACAUGAACUUUAAUUUGAUCUAAAUAUUGUAAAAUAUUAACACAAUUAUUGAUAUAAUUAACAUCAUUUUAAUUUACGUAUAUUGCAUACAUAAAUAUUUAUAUUUAUUCAAUAUAAAAAUAUAUUUUGAUGUAAAAUUUUUUAUAGAUCAUGAAAUAAAUUUUUAAAAAUGCAUUAUUCUCCCAUUUUUUAUUAAUUGAUAAUUUCAUUUUAUAAAUUUUGUUUUAAUUUUGGAUCAAUUUGGCUUGAAUCUUGGAUGAAGGCAUUAGCGGCGCUUGAGCAAAAGACGCCGCUAAAGGUGAUGUAUUACCGGCGUUUUAUGAAGAAACGCCGCCCAUUUCCUUAAGUGUAACAAAGACACGGUGCCGUUUUUUGUUUUCAUUUAGUGGCGCAUUUGGAAAACGCCACAAAAAUUUAUAACGAGUUGAGGAAACGGCGUCGUUUCCUAUUUUUAUUAGUGGCGCUUUUGCUAAUGCGCCGCAAAAAUGUUACGGUAUAUAAGUGAAAACGGCACUGUUUUAUUCUGAACUUGGAAUUUUAGUGUCGUUUUUAUUUAAAACGCCGCAAGUGUGGACUCAAUAACGGCGUUUGUUCUCAACGCGCCGCAAAUCUGACUUAAAAAUUUCUUAAACGGCGUCGUUUCUUAAGGGGACAUUUAACUUAAUACCCUUCUCUCGUCCUCCAAAAACAGAAAGAGUGAAUUUGCAGACCUCAAGUGUCGAAAGGGAACAAAUUUCAGACUUCUUACAAAGGAAAAAAGAAGGUUGGGGUCGGUCUUGAAAGAAGUUUGGCACAGCUGCGAGAUUUUUCGAUUAAAUAGGUAAGGCGUUUCUGUUAUUUUUGGAUUAAAUUUUUAGGGUUUUAGGUCAGUCAUAGUUAUUUGGGGUUUUAGGGUUUCGAUUAAACAACUUCAACAAUGUACUAUUCCGAUUAAAUAUGUAAGGCGUUUCUGUUAAAUAGGUAAGGCGUUUCUGUUAUUACAGCCACUUAUGGAUUUGAGUUUCAUAUUCUGAUUUCUGGUAUUGAUUUGUGGUAUUGAAAAAAUUUAUAUUACAGCCACAAUAUUGAUUUGUGGUAUCAAUUUACUAUUCUGAUUUAGAUUAUAGCACAUGAGAGGGUGGCAAAAUUUAUAUUCCGAUUUAGAUUAUAGCACAUGAAUUGGAAGGGAUGGAUAAAAAUAAAUAAAUGAAUUGCUAUGGAUUCUCUUGAGGAUGUAAAAUCCGAAUUGGUUGGUCAAUUAGAAUUAGAUUAUGUUGUUAUGUGCAGAAAUAAUUGAGUGGAUUUGAAAUAAUUUGUUUUUGAUUAUGUUGUUAUGUUCUGAAAUAUGCUUUGGAUUUGAAAUAAUUUCUGAGUCUGAAAUAAUUUGUUUUUGAUUAUGUUGUUAUGUUCUGAAAUAUGCUUUGGAUUUGAAAUAAUUUUUGAGUCUGAAAUAAUUUGUUUUUGAUUAUGUUGUUAUGUUCUGAAUUAUGCUUUGGUUCUGAAAUCUGGAUCUGGUUUUUGUCUGCGUUGCUUUCUUAGCUUGCUGGGUUGGAGCUCGUUUCAUUGCUGCCAAAUUUGGAUAUUCUUUGGCGUGGAGGUAAAUUUUGUAAAGGCAAAUUUUAUGUUGCAAAUAAAAGGUUUUUAGUUAAUCAUCUUUAGUUAAUCAUCUUGCUGUUCGUGGUAGUUAUAUACCCGUUGCAUUUUGGUCAGCCUGUCAUGUAUUAUGCAAAUCCCGAAAUGGUUUUAAGCAAGUGGACUUUGUUUAUUUAGUUAUGCACAUAAUACUUUCAUAUUUUAUUUGUUGUAGAAGUUGGUAUCUCACAGUUUCUCAUCAAAUGUAUGCGAGUAGUAUCGAAUGCAAAUUGUUUUAACAGCCAUUUGAUCAAUUGUUCUGUUUUUUUCUAAUAUUCCUUUAUAACAUAUUGGAAGAUAUGUUAUGUUUUAACUUAAUAUAUUUGAAACAUAAUAUCUUAUGCCUCACAAAAUCCAAUUUUUGAUGAUUGUCUUAUUUUAAAUAAUGCUUCCAAUCAAUGGUAUGUGUAUUAUUUAAACAAAAUCCACGAAAUAAAAAUUACUUACUAAAACUUGUAAUUCAAAAUUUAAUUUCAAGUCCAAAUUAAUAUUUUACUUAAAUAUAUUACUUACAAUUUAAUUUAACUUAUUAAAUAUAUAUAUUGUUAAGUAAUAAUUUUUUGAAAUUUAUAUCUUAGAUUACUUAAAUAUAUAUUUUUAAGUAUAUUUUACAUGACUUACAUUACUUACUAAAACAUAUUUUUUACUAAAAUUUACUUGAAUAUAUUAAUUAAAUAAAUUACUAAUAAAGAUUGCUUAUGUAAGCUAUAUUUAAAUUUUAAAUUUAAUAAAUUAUUUAUAACAAUUAUUUAAAUUUAAUAAAUAAUUUAAAAAUUAUUUAAAUUUUAUUAAUAAUAAAUUUAUAACUUAAAUAAGUAUUACUAUUUUUUUAAUAUUAUACAUAUAUUCAUUUAGGUAUGUAAGCUAUAUUUAAAUUUUAUUAAUAAUAUUUAAACAUAUUUUGUUGUCAAAUUAGUGACACAUAUACCUCUCCACGAAUUAUUCAGUGGAAGAUUAGUUUAAAAGCAAAGAUUGCUUAUAUAAGCUAUAUUUAAAUUUUAUUAAUAAUAAAUUUAUAACUUAAAUAAGUAUUACUAUAUUUUUAAUAUUAUACAUAUAUUCAUUUACAUAACACAUAACUUACAUAACUUUCAUAAUACACAACUUACGCAUCUUACAUAAGACAUAACUUACAUGUGUAAAUAAUACAAAAAUUACAUAACUAACAUAAGACAUAACUUACAUAAGUUUCAUAAUACACAUCUUACGCAACUUACACAACUUACAUAACUUACAUAAGUUUCAUAAUACACAUCUUACGCAACUUACACAACUUACAUAACUUACAUAAUGUAUAUCUUGUUGUCAAAUCCUAAACCCGUGCAAUUUAUUGUCAACGUCAGACUUCAAGAAUUAAAAAAUGGACCGGUCUUGGAUGAAUUUGUCAAGGGUAAGCGACGGUUAUCGAAAUGGGGUGCAGAGUUUUCUAAAUUUUGCAUUUCAAUAUGCAAGCCAAGAGAACAUGAUUCUUUGCCCGUGCAAGAAGUGUGUCAACAUAAAUUGGCAUUAUCGUGAGGUUGUAUACGAGCAUCUAAUUGUUGAUGGGUUUGUUCGGGGUUAUAAACAAUGGUUAUUUCAUGGUGAAUGCCCGCGUAGUACUUCCUCUUCAAGUAUGGAUGUAACUUAUCCUGAUACUGCUUACCAUCAGUCUGGUAGAGGGGAUGACAUGGAAGGUAUGUUGCGGGAUGCAUUUAAUAUGCACAAUCAUGGUGUUGAAUCAUUCCCAGCGGACUUUAUGGCCUCUGAUGAUUGUAAUAUUGGUGGAAAUACUUUUACCGAACCGGGAAGUAGUGUACGUCAUGAAGAGCCGAAUGGAGAAGCGGCGAAGUUCUACGCGCUACUUAAUGACAUGAACGAAGAACUGUAUGAGGGAUCAAAAUUUUCAAAGAUGUCCUUCUGUGUUCGUCUUUUUCAAUUAAAGUGUUUGGGAGGGUGGACGGGAAACUCGUUGACGAUGCUGUUAGAGUUUUUGAGAGAAAUGUUCCCGCUUGCAAAAAUCCCUCGGUCCUGCAAAGAUAUGAAGAAGAUGAUAAAAGAUUUAGGCCUUGGGUAUAACAAAAUCCAUAGUUGCCCAAAUGACUGCAUGUUGUAUUGGGGCGAUCGGAGAAACCAACAGUGCUGUCAUGUAUGCGGCCACUCUCGUUGGACAAGUAGAAACACAGAAGAUGGGAACGACGAUGAAAAUGAUGCACAGUCACGGAAGAAGCCAGCCAAGAUUUUACGGUAUUUUCCGUUGAUACCAAGGCUUCAAAGGCUUUUUUUAUUGUCGAAGACAGCGGAGUCAAUGACAUGGCACCAUGAUGGACGAACCGUUGAUGGAUUACUAAGUCAUCCGGCAGAUUCUUUAGCUUGGAAAUCAUUUGACAAUAAAUUUACAAGCUUCGCAAGCGAUCCUAGGAGUGUGAGGCUUGGGCUAGCAUCUGAUGGAUUUAAUCCUUUCAAGAUCAUGAGUACAAACAAAUAUUGAGAUCUCGUUUGCGCUCCCGAAGAACACAACAUCGAGAUAUCAAUAAGUUGUUUACAGAAUCAUUUUAUGAAUGGUUAAGCCAAAUGGUAUGCAGUUCGAGCUUCCGCUUACAAAUAAUAAUAUUUUCUCAUAACAAAUGAAUUACUCAGUUUACUUUCCAUUCAAUAGGUUUGGAGCGGGAAGAACAUAAACGACGAUGUUAAAUGGCUCUCCCAAGGUCCAAAUCGAGUGGUUAAAAGAUAUAGUGCGUUCCUCAUCAACGGAUUCAGAUUUCAUACAAAAUAUCGCGAGAGGUUGAGGAGAACGCAAAAUUGUGGAAUUGUUGUCAAUUCUGCAAUUACGAGUUAUGCUAGUGCUAGGGACAAUAAUCCUGUCGAGGGAAAUGUGGAAUAUUUCGGACAACUUACUGACAUAAUUGAGUUGGAUUACUACGGCAAAUGGAAAGUUGUCUUAUUUCGUGGUGAUUGGGCCGAUGUUAAUACAGCUCGUGGAAUUAAGCAAGAUCAAUUUGGUUUUACAAUGGUGAACUUUGACCGAUUGAUUCACACAGGACAACAACUGAUAGAUGAGCCGUAUGUAUUCUCAUCUCAAGUCAAACAAGUUUUUUACUCAAAAGAUCCAACUGAUGAGGGUUGGUACGUUGUACUCCGUAACAUCCCUAGAGACUUGUUUGAUAUGGGCAGUGGAAGUAGAGAUAACAUCGAAGAUAGAUCAGUAACUUUACCCUUUCCAGAACUAAACUUAAACGAUAAUAUCCCUAGUACUAGUGCACAAUUUGGAUGGGUUCGUCAGGAUACCGAUGAAGAUAUUUACGAAUAAUGAUGUAGACACAUUUUACGAUUGUUUAAUUAUAUAUAAUAUCAUAAUUUAAAUCUUCGUCUUAUUAUAUGUUUCAACUGUUUUAUAUGUGCUGUUAUUGUUGUAAUUAGCUAUUAAGUUAUUAACUAUUUUAUGUGUAUUGUAGAUAAAAUGCCUAGAAGAAAAAUUCUAAGGGGAAGCAUUGUUCAAAAUAAUCCAAACUCGACAGAAACUAAUAGUACUGAACAACAGACAGCAGUUGGAUCUUCAAAUGUUCCGAUUACAGCUGAGGAUCCUACAGAAGUUCAAAGUAAUUUUUCAUUUAAUUUACAUGCGUGUUUCUGUUAUAGUUGAUUUAUUUUUCAAAUUCUUAUAUUAUAAUAUACCAUUUGUAGCUGAAAAUGGUGGGACGCGCAGAGGUCGAGGACGUACGCUACUUAGAGAGUUGUACGAGUUAGAUUCAGUCGAGCGUGUCAAAGUUGGACGAAACAGUUUUGGUCAGCCUGUUGGAUCAGAAGCUCGACUUUUAGCUGGAUACAUGGGCAUUUUAGCACGAAAUCCGAAUAUGUUACCUAUAAACUACGAGUCAUGGCAUCAAAUGCCCGAUAGCAACAAAAACCAAGCCCUCGAUAAUAUUAAGGUAACAAAAUGUUAAUGUCAUCUAUAAUGCUUGGGAAAUAGUUUCAUUUAUAUUUAUUUUAUUAACUUGUGUUUUUUGUUUUUUGCAGGCGAGGUUUGCUUUAGAGGUCUCGGAUGCUUAUGUAAAGAAGGCAUUGGGAAAAAGAUGGAGAGACAACAAAAGUACUUUGAAGAAAAAUUAUUAUAAGACAAAAACAACCCUCGAUGAGAAAUUGCAAAAUGUCCCGCUGGGUAUGUUGAGGUACCAAUGGGAAGAUGCGGUUAGAUUUUGGCAUUCGAAUAAAGGCGAGGUCUUCUAAACUAUUGUAAUUAUUUUGGUUUAUAGUAUUUUCUAUUUACGUACUAAAAAAUUUCAUAAUGUAGGAUCGUGAUCAAGUUGGAAUAAGCAGCAGGCAGAAACAAAAAUUCACCCACACAGCCGGGUCGAGAAGUUUCGCAUGUGUAGCUGAGGCGGAGGUAUUUUUAAAUUUUUUAAUAUUGUCGAAUAUGUAUAACUUUCUAUUAAAUAAUAUUUAUACUACUAUAUUGUAGGAACGGUCGUCCGGUCAAAAAGUUGGACGCCUUCAACUUUUUGAAAUUACACAUAGGAAGAAAGAUGGAUCUCCCAUGACUCCUGAAGCUGCUGAAAUAAUGGUACGUUUACUUAAUACGAUUUGACUUAUUUUAGUUAUUUAUAGUGUUUAUUUUCUAAUGGUUUAAUUCAUUGCAGUUAAUGCGACUAUUGUUAUGUUGCAUAUGUUUUUCAAUAUAUAAUAUUGUGUUCCUAACUAUGUGAUAUAUUUAUUAGGAAAAACUAAAUGAUAAAAAGGCGGAGUACGAAGCAAUUGCUUCUAGUGAUAGUUCGGUUCAUCUUGAAGAUAUUGAUAAUCGGAUUAUUACUGAAGUUUUGGGUCCUGAAAGGUAUGGUCGGGUUCGAUUUCAAGGAUCUUUUGUUAGCCCAACCCAAUAUUUUGGAUCCAGCUCCCACAAAUACAUGGCUUCGGGGAGUCAGGCUCAAGCUGAAGUUCAGAGGUUAAAAGACCAAAUGGCUCAGAUGCAAGCGACUACAAUUGAGGUUCAAAGGAAAUAUGAAGAACUCCAGCUACAACUUAAAGCAGAGGCGGAAGCGAGGGAAGCAGCGACUGCAGCGAGGGAAGCAGAGGCUGCAGCAAGAGAAGCAGAGCAGAGCAAAAAGUACGACGAACUUCAGCAGCAGCUUCAGAUUAUGAUGAAGAUGUUUAAGUCGCAACUUCCACCUUCAUAGUGUAUGACAUAAAUAUUUUUAUCAUUUUAACAUUUAACAUUUAACAUUUUUUGCAAAAACAAUAUGAAUUCACUUUUAUUUAUUGAUAUUAAUAUUAUUUUAUUCCCUUAUGUUGAAAUAUUAUAUAAAUUUAUUGCUAUUGGUUGCUUUUGAAAUGUUGCUUUUGAAUUUUUGCUACAGGAGGGCAGAAAAAAUGAAAAAUUUAAUAAAAAAAAAUCCCCAAAAUAGUGGCGUUUUUGUAUAAAAGCGCCACUAAAGAACAUGUUCUUUUGCGGCGUUUUUAAAAAAUGCCACUAAAGAACAUGUUCUUUAGCGGCGAUUAGAAAAAAAACGCCGCUAAAGAACAUGAUCUUUAGCGGCGUUUUCCCUUAAGCGCCGCUAAAGAACAUGUUCUUUAGCGACGUUUUUUCCUAAGCGCCGCUAAAGAACAUGGUCUUUAGCGGCGUUUUUUCCUAAGCGCCGCUAAAGAACAUGGUCUUUAGCGGCGUUUUUUCUAAGCGCCGCUAAAGAACAUGAUCUUUAGCGGCAUUUUUUUCUAAGCGCCGCUAAAGAACAUGGUAUUUAACGGCGUUUUUGUUUGUAAACGCUGCAAACAUUUGCGACGUUUUCGUUAGCGGCAUUUUUUUCCGGCGCUUGAAGAAGCGCCGCAAAUAUCUUUAGUGGCGUUAAAAAGCACCGCUAAAGGCCUAAAAAAACGCCGCUAAAAACCUGUUUUGGUGUAGUGUCCUAAAAUAAUAAAUUUAGUAGAUUAUAUGCAGAACUCGGUUAUAUCAGACUCAGUGCCAUGAACUUCACUAGCAAGCUUGCUAUCACAGCUGCAGCAUAAGCUAUUAACUGCUUAAUCACCAUUUUUCUUACAACACUCAAAGAUGAAGAAGAAGAUUCUAUAUUCAAUUUCUUAAUGUUAACCUUGCAUUUGCAUUUCCUCGAUAGGGUUUUUAUACCAAAUUUCAAGGAGAAUAAAACAAAAUAAUAAUAACUUUUUAGUUAAUUUGAUGGCAUAAUUGGAUAAGGUUUUUUUUGGGGGGGGCGAUUUUGCAACGAUAUAUACAGGUAGGUAGGCACAUUUUGUUUUGUUGAAUAACUAGUUAUAUGGUAUAAAAUAUUUGGCUCGUGGUCGAUUUUUAAUUUAUUUAAAACUCAACAUGCAUGAUUUAUAAGAAUGGAAUAUUAAAUAUGAUGAUAGGAUUAUUAAAAUAUUAAUUAUAUAAAGAAUUACAGAAGUACAUAAAAACCACUUUAAUUUUGUAAGUAUUUUGGCAAGGCAACAAUGGAAAGGGCUCUUGCGAUGAAAGAAGUGAUUAAGGGCUACGAAAGCAUGUCUGGACAGAUGGUGAAUUUUAACGAAUCCCUGAUUUAUUUUAGCAUAAAUACAAGUGAGGAAGACAAUGUGCAAAUUGGGAGUUAGAAUGUCUAAUAAUCCAGAGAAGUAUCUUGGGUUACUAACGAUGGUCAGAAGAACAAAGAAGAACGCAUUCGUCAAUUUAAAGGAAAGGUUCAUUAAUAUAAUAAAAGCAUGGAGUGUACGCAAUCUAUCAAUAGGGGGAAGGAGGUAUUUAUCAAAUCCACUUUACAAGUCAUUCCAAUUUAUGCAAUGCAGUGUUUUUUUAUGCCAAUUUCUUUAUGUUGAGAAUUAAGAGAUUAUGAUGUGCAAAUUCUAGAUACGCAAUUCGAAAACAAAUAAAGGAAUUCAUUGGUGCAAUUGGCGUUCUAUAUAUAUGUACCCCAAAGGCACAAGGGGGAAUUGGUUUUAGAGAUCUUUCAAUUUUUAAUAAAACCCUUUUAGCGAAGUAGGGUUGGAAACUAAUUACCAAUUCUACCAGUUUACUUGCACGAGUAAUGAAAGGUAAGUAUUAUCCAAGGAGUGAGUUUAUGAAUGCAGGUUUAGGAUAUCACCCUUCUUUUACCUAGCGAAGCAUUUGGGGUGCUCGUAGCAUUUUGGAAGAUGGUACUGGCUGGAGAAUUGGGAAUGGCAUGACAAUGAAUAUAUAGAAGAUGCUUGGAUUCCAGGACCUGGAGACAGAAAGGUAAAAAUUAAGAAUAUUGACAUUAGAUGCUCGAAGGUUGCAGACGUCAUUAAUAGUGAAACUAAUACCUGGAAAAUGGAUCCAGUAGAAAGAUUGUUCAUGAAGAAGCAAGCCGAGUUGAUUUUAACCAUCCCACUGGUGAACAACUCUUAUCAAAUGCUUUAAUCUUAAAGGGUGAUAAUACGGGAGAAUACUCGGUCAAAAGCAAGUACAAGUGGUGCAUUUCUGGUGGCCAAGACGGGACAGAGGACGAUAAUAAUUUACAAGACAUUGCUACAAAAAAAACUAUUACACAAAGCUCUGGAACCUCAAAAUUCCAAACAAAAUCAUAAUACGCCUAUGGAAGGUUUCUAAAUAAUUUUCUUCCUUUGCUAAGUAAUCUAAAGUAUCGAAGACUAAGGGAGGAGGCCCUCUACUCGAUCUGUAAGAAGGAAGACGAAAUGGUGGACCAUCUCUUUCGAGACUAUGCUUUUAUGAAACAAGUGCUUCAGGAGAUAGGAAUGGUACCCUUGCACACAAACACAAAUCAAGGAUGGAAAAUUUGGUUUGUGUAUGUUUUCGGAAACUGUAACAUUUUGCAAAACAUAAACAUAACCAUUGCAUAUUAGGCCAUUUGGCAUAAUAGAAACAAGUUAUAUCAUGAAGGUAAAAGAGAAAGAGUAUGUGAAGUUGUCAGUUUCAUUAAGGCAUACAUUGUCGAGUUAAAACAGUUAAGAGGAAAUCUCACUGAUCCGAAAUAAUAUUGAAGAAAUACAGUGGAAACCUCCAAAGGGAGAUCAAAUGAAAGUUAAUUUUGAUGCCUCUUUCCAACAGCAGUGUUGGUGCAAGAGGCAGCAGCAAGCUUGUUUCUACUUUGCUUGGACAGCAAGUGUCGAGCCUUGCUGAAGAAACUAUCGAAGAAGAAAGGAAGAAAAAAAAGAAAUUUGCAAUGGAAAACAGAAAAGAAAGAGAUAAAUUUGAAUGAAAAUGAGUUGAAUUUUCAUUAACCACUUCACAAGGCAUAAUGCCAAUACAUAUAUGAGAUAACAACAGCAAAACAAACAAGUUACCACCUAAUAACAUACCUAACACCACUAAAUUGCCUAGUAACUUGGUAAACUUGUUUGAACAUAUAAGCAACUACCUAAACUUGUCAUUCAGGACCUAAUUACAUCAAAAUGCAGCUACCAACUAAGUUCAAAACAAACUAAAAUACAAAAUGUUCAUUUGAGUAACCAAAUGAAACAAUGCAGUUUCGGUUUGAUGUUGAAGCACGUUCCCUGCAUGCCCACCUUGCAUGGCCACCUUGGCUGCUGCAUGGGGGCUGACUUCAACACUCCUCCUCAGCUUCUAUGCAGUAGACUCCUAGUUGCUUCCUUAGGUUUAGAAAUCUCGAUGUACCAAGUGAUUUUGUGAAGAUAUCGGUAAUCUGAUUUUCUGAGCUGCAAUGAAUCAGCUCGAUCUCUCAAGCUUGUUCCAUUUCUCUUAUCACAUGCAGUUUAAUGUUGAAAUGUUUUGUCCUGCCAUGGAAGAUAGAAUUUUUAGCAAUAGCAACUGCUGACUUGUUGUCAUAAUGUAUCACAGCUGCUUCAUUCUGCUGUAGGUUCAAAUCGCUCAAAAUUUUUCUCAGCCACAUAGCUUGAUUAAGAGCAUUGGCAGCUGCUACAUACUCAGCUUCAGCUGUCGACUGAGCCACCAUUGUUUGUUUUCUUGAACUCCAACAAAUCAUAGCUGAGCCAAGUGUAAAAGAAUAACCAGAGGUGCUCUUCAUGUCAUCUUUUGAACCAGCCCAAUCGCUGUCAGUGUAGCCAAUCAGUUUCAAUUCUUUAGCCCUACUGAAAUGUAUUCCAUGGCUCAAAGUGCCUUUGAUAUAUCUCAGCACCCGUUUUCUAGCUUUGUAAUGCUGCUGGUUGCAGCAAUGCAUGAAUCUUGAUAGCAUGCUCAUAGCAAACAGAAUAUCAGGUCUUGUUGCUGUCAGAUACAGCAAACAACCAACAAGGCUUCUGUAAUCAGUUUCACAGACAGAUUCAUGGUCUUCUUGGCUCGAUAGCUUCAUGCCAACAGCCAUAGGUGUGCUGGUUGGUUUACAAUUCUCUAUUGAGAAUUUGGCUAGAACUUUCAAGGCAAAUGAUUUUUGUCUCAAGAAGAUUCCUCCUUCUACUUGAUUUACUUCCAUUCCUAGGAAAUAUGUCAUCAAUCCCAGGUCUGACAUCUCAAACAUUUCCUUCAUUUUUGUUUUGAAAUCAGCUAACAUGAACUUGUCUCCUCCAGUCACUAGAAGAUCAUCAACAUAGAGUGAGACAAUGAGCUAUGUUUCAGCUCGAUUUCUUUUAACAUAAAGUGUUGGCUCACUAGCACUCCUUUAAAAUCCCAAACUGACCAGGUAUGAGUCAAUCCGAGCAUACCAGGCUCGAGGGGCUUGUUUUAGGCCAUACAAGGCCUUUCUUAGCCUAUACACCAAAUGUUCCUUACCAGGCAUUAUGAAUCCUAGAGGUUGCUCGAUGUAUAUCUCUUCUUCCAAGAAUCCAUUGAGGAAUGCAGACUUGACAUCCAUUUGAUGGAUUGUCCACUGGUUCUGAGCAGCUACAGCAACCAGCAAUCUGAUUGUAUCGAGUCUGGCUACUGGAGCAAAUGUUUCCAUGUAGUCCAGACCAUAUCUCUGACUAAAGCCCUUCACAACUAGCAUGGCUUUCUACUUGUUUAAACCUCCAUCUACAUUAUGCUUCAUUCGAUAGACCCAUUUUACACCAAUGGUCUUUAUGUUAGUUGGCUUUUCAACCAACUCUCAUGUUUGGUUCUUCUCAAUCAUGUUGAUUUCAUCAACCAUAGCCUGUUUCCAACCCUCAUUUGCCUUAGCCUCUUCAAAAUAGGUAGGUUCAGCUAUAGCAACCUGUGCCCUUUCAUAAAUCUCACCUAGGGGCCUUGUGCCUCUCACAGGCACAUCAUCAACAUCCAUCUCAGGACCAAGCUGCUCGAGUUCAGCUUGAUCAGGCACCAGGUCUUUUGAAGCAGCUUCUGGUUCACUCUUUUCCCAAUUCUAGCAAGCUUUUUCAUAAAAAAUGACAUCUGUGCUCACCUGGACUGUGCUUGUCAAGGGAUCCAAAACCCUGUAGCCCUUCUUGACUGAGCUAUAACCCACUAGGACACCUGGUUGAGCCCUUUCAGAUAGCUUAUCCCUCUUUGCUGCUGGUAUUUGUGCAUAGCACAGGCAACCAAACACCUUCAGAUAUGCCAAGGAAGGCUUGAAUCUAAACCAAGCCUCGAAAGGUGUCUUGGAUGCAAGAGCUUUGGUAGGAAGCCUAUUCUGAAGGUAGACAGCAGUGUUUACUGCCUCAGCCCACAUGGUCUUGGGAAAUUUCUUCUCAAACAGGAGACAUCUGGCCAUAUCCAUCAGACUUCUGUUCUUUCUUUUAGCUACCCUAUUCUGCUGAGGUGUGUAGACAUUUGUAAGCUGGUGUUUGAUGCUAGCAUCAUUGCAAAUAGCUUGAAACUGAGCUGAAGUGUACUCAGUGCCAUUGUCUGACCUUAUCGAUUUCAGCUUGCAACCUGUUUCUGUCUCAACAGCCAUUUUAAACUUCACAAACACUUGAGCUACCUCAAACUUGUGUUUCAGAAAGAAAAUCUAGCAAAACCUUGUAAAAUCAUCAAUAAAGAGAAUGAAAUACCUAUUUUUGCUGAGUGAUUCAGUUCUCAUAGGUCCACAUACAUCAGAGUGCACCAGCUGCAGUCUUUCAGUGGCUCUCCAUACUGAGUUUGUAGGAAAUGGCAGCCUUGCCUGUUUUCCCAUUUGGCACACUUCACACACAUCAUCAUGCUCCAUUGAGCUGGUGAAGUUCUCUACCAAGCCUUCUUUGGCCAUUCGAGCCAUUGAUCUGAAGUUGGCAUGCCCGAACCUUUGAUGCCAAAGGUUAGAAUCAUCAACAGAGGCUGUGUAUGCUAACUUUAAGUCAUUUGGCCAAUGAACCUCAAAGCAUUUGUCAGUCAUUAUGACUGUCAUAAGGCUUGAUCCACUUGGAUCAGUAAUGUGGCACUGUUUUUCAUUGAACACAAUAGAGUAGCCUUUCUCGAGCAAUUGAGCUAUGCUGAGAAGGUUUCUAUCAAUCUCAGGCACCAAUAGCACAUUUGGAAUGAUCUUGUUGCCUGUAGGAGUACAUAUCAGCACCUCUCCUCUUCCUUCAGCCCUUAUGAAUUGACCAUUUCCAACCUUGGCCUUGGUUUUGCAACUUCUAUCCAAGGUUUUAAACAAGGAGGCAUCUGGUGACAUGUGGUUAGUGCAGCCACUGUCCAAUAACCAGUCUUUUGAACAUUUCUUCUCAGCAGCUAAGCAAGAAACAGCAAAGACCUGCUCUUCUUGGUCACUACUGUCCUCAGCUACUCGAGCUUCAACCUUUGGUUGUUGAAAUUGACUCUGCCUCGGCUUGGUUUUGUUUUUGCAAACCCUUUCAACAUGGCCUUUCUUCUUGCAGUGUUGACAUACUGCAUCUAGCCUGAACCAGCAUCUGUCUUCUUGAUGACCUGGCCUCUUGCAAGGUCUGCAGGGCUGGUCAUUGCUCCUUGCAGCAUCAGGCUUAGGCCUGCUUUUCUAAGGCUUUUUGCCUCUUUGAGCAUUGAUGCUCGACACUUCUCUGGCCUUGGCAUGAAAUGCACCUUCCUGGUGAUCUUCAGCUCUGCUAGCUCUUCUUUGUUCCUGAGCAUAAAAAGUGUUAAUAAGCUCGGUCAAAGAGAUGCUAGCUAGGUCUCUUGAAUCCUCUAGGGAGGAUAUCUUGGCCUCAUAUCUCUCAGGCAAACUGGAGAGGACUUUCUCCACUAUUCUUGCCUCAUCAAAGUGCUUACCAAAGAGCCUUAUAUUGUUAACCACUACCAUGAUUCUAUCUGCAUACUGCUUCACUGUUUCUUCUUCCUUCAUCUUCAGAUUCUCAAAAUCCCUUCUCAAAUUCAACAGCUGUUGUUGCCUUGUCCUCUCAGUGCCUUGAAACUCCUCCUUAAGCUUGUCUUAGGCCUGUUUUGGAGUCUCACAGGCCAUAAUUCUGGUAAAGAUGACAUCUGACACAUAGUUCUGAAUGUAGGACAUGGCUUUGUGCCUUUUGGUCCUCUCAUCAGCAUGUUGCCUGAUCUGAGCUACUGUGGGAUUGGCCCUCAGUGGUGCUGGCUCAACAUCUGUGUUGACAACUUCCCACAGAUCAAAGGCCUGUUGGUAAGUCUUCAUCUUUACCAGCCAUAUGUGAAAGCCUUCUCCAUUGAAGACUGGUGGGGUUGCUGGUGAAAAUCCUAAAGAAGCCAUCAGGUUCCUUGGUUUGAAGCAACAGGUCCACUAAGACAAGGGCUCUAGAUACCAAUUGUUGGUGCAAGAGGCAGCAACAAGCUUGUUUCUGCUUUUCUUGGACAGCAAGUGUCGAGCAUUGCUGAAGAAACUAUCGAAGAAGAAAGGAAGAAAAAAAAAGAAAUUUGUAUUGGAAAACAGAAAAGAAAGAGAUAAAUUUGAAUGAAAAUGAGUUGAAUUUUCAUUAACCACUUCACAAGGCGUAAUGCCAAUACAUAUAUGAGAUAACAACAGCAAAACAAACAAGUUACCACCUAAUAACAUACCUAACACCACUAAAUUGCCUAGUAACUUGGUAAACUUGUUUGAACACAUAAGCAACUACCUAAACUUGUCAUUCAGCACCUAAUUACAUCAAAAUGCAGCUACCAACUAAGUUUAAAACAAACUAAAAUACAAAAUGUUCAUUUGAGUAACCAAAUGAAACAAUGCAGUUUCGGUUUGAUGUUGAAGCACGUUCCCUGCAUGGCCACCUUGCAUAGCCACCUUGGCUGCUGCAUGAGGGCUGACUUCAACAAGCAGACUCACAAAUCUAUUUUAGGAUUGGUUAUGGGCUCAUGCAUUUACCCGAUUAAAAAUUUCUAAGACCCAACAACAGAAGAAGCACAUUCAUGUUUAGAAGCAGUUAUCUUUGCGGAAGAAAUGGGCUUUGGAGAUGUUUGUAUAGAAGGCAAUGCACUCACAGUCCUAAAAAGAAUCAAAAAAUCAGAGAUUGAUAGAUCAGUUAUAGGCAACAUUAUUAUUGAGAUUACGGAUAGAGUAACCAGGUUUUGAAUUUUUACCUCUCGAUACGUCCUGCGAGCGGCAAAUAGAGCAACACGCGGAAUGGCAGCUUGGGGAACACGGCAUGAAAGGCCGAUCUACUAGGUAGAAGACGUUCCACUGGACGUUGAAGCCAUAGUCACAAAGGAGCAACGAUAGUAAGAGAAGAUUUUUUUUCAUUCUGAGUCUGGAGUGUUUGUUUUCAGUUUUGAAAACUCCAAGGAGCUCAGAAAUCUGCGGAGUUGGGAUGAAAUAAGAGACAUUUGUGAAACGGGUGAGGGUUUCAACUCCCACAGAGGAAUUCCUCCAGUGUGUCGGGAGUGGAUGAUUUUGCAGGGAAGAUUUAGAGGUGCUCAUAGGCCGGGCCGAGCCGGGCCCAUAAAAAAUUUUGGCCCAGGCCCGGCCCGACCCGAAAUAUGGGCCUAAAAUUUUACCUAGGCUCGGCCCGGGAAAAAAUUAUAAGCCCGGGACCGGCCUGGUGUUGACACCAUUUUUUGGAUGAAAACGGGGUCGACUUGGAUUUUGGAAAAAAAAGAAUGAAAAUGGGAGUCGCCACCAAUCCUUUUUUGAAGAGGUGUGAUUGGGUCACCUCAAAAGGUGGUUGUUUUUAAUAAAUGAUUUAAUUUUAUUAAAACAACGAUUUUGGUCUACGAAAUUCAGAAAAAUGAGUUCGGGAGUCGGUUACGCACGAGGAAGGAUUAGCACCCUCGAUACGCCCAAAAUUGGUACCUAGUUGAUUAAUUAGUGUCUUAGUGUCGAAAAUUUGAAAACUUGAAAGAAUUUAAAAUACGAUCCCUCUUUGUAAAGAAAAUGCUCAAAUGUUAAGGACCUUCUCGUCUCACAAUAUAAAAUGUCACAUCCAGUAAGUUAGGACACGACAUCUUGAAUUUUCGAGAACGAGCUUGCCUUUUAUAUAAAAAUUCGUGUAUUUCAAAAGGUUAUUCAGUUAGUUAAGGUGAACGAGGAAAAUCGAAACCCAGUAAGUUAGGGCACGUUUCCUCGAAUUCCCAAACACCGAAUAUUGCCUUUACUUGCAAAAAUCUUAUUUCGAGGUAACGAAAUGCCAUACCCAGUAAGUUAGGGAACAACACCUCGUAUCUCCGAGAAUAAGCAUUUUUCAAAACUCAUGUCACGAUUUAAAAGAGUAUUCCGUUAUUUAGGUUAAAGGAGAAAAAUUGAAACCCAAUAAGUUAGGGCACGAUUGUCUCGAAUUACCAAAUACGGAAUAUUACUUUUAUGAAAGAAUUAUUAUUGGGUUGGAUAUAAUGAUAAUAAGAAUAAUAUUAAAGUAAAGUAAACAAUAAUACUAUAUAUAAAUGUAUAUAUAUGUAUAUAAUAGAAAUACACACUACUAUAUAAUAAUAAUAAAUAUAGAAAUACUAAAAGCAAAUAUAAUAAAAAUAUUAAAUUAAAGUAAUAAAAAAUAAUACUAUAUAUAAAAUAUAUAUACAUAAAAAUAUACACUAAUAUAUAAUAGUAAUAGUGAUAGCAAAAAUAAUAAAAAUAUAAGUAAUAUUAAUAAUAUAUUAGAAUACAAAAGUAAAGUAAUAACAAUAGGAGUGAUAAUAAUAAUAAUACAAACAAUAAUACAUAUAUAUAAUAAUAGUAGUUAGAAAUAAAAAAUAAUAAAAGUAACAAUAAUGAUAGUAAUAAUAUAAAUAAAUAUGGAGAGGGCAUAUAUAAUAUAAUAAUAUAAAAAAAAUAAUAUAUACAUGAGAAAUAAUAAUAAUAAUAUAAAUAAUAGUAAAAAUAAUAAAAUAAUAAAACAAAGCUCUCAACUCUCUUUCUCCCUCUUUUCUAAAUCCGGCCGUUGGUCCGGCUUUGCUUCGGUCAUGGACCCCCACGGGCCGCCAUCGGCGCCACCGUACACGGCGGCCGGACCUCAAAAAAACCUUUUUCGAUAAUGAAAAUAUAGGUAAGCUUCUUACUUUUAUUUUUACUUUCGUAUAAAAAAACAAAAUAAAAUUGAAAGGAAAACAAUAAACAAACAAAGAACUAAAGAUAAGAAUAGACAAAAGAAACCUCUUUUGCUUUGAUCUUUGAUUAAUCUCCAAAAACUAGCCUUUCCAAGAAACAAAAAUAACCUUUUUUACAAAAAAACACCUCCAAAAAACAAAAAAAACCUCCUCCAAAACAAAGAACAAUCCUUCUCCAAAAAACCAAAAACCCACCCCUAAAAACAAAGUCUUGAAUGGCUUUUAUAGCCAAAUUUUACAAGUGGAGUGGUUGGGGUGGUUUAGGUGGCCAAGGGUGGUGGAGUUGGUGGCUAAGGUGGGUGGCCAACAAAGGUGGUGGAGUAGGUGGCCAAGGUUUUUAUUUAUUUAUUUAUUUAUUUUUUGUGUUUGGGUUGGGAUUAGGUUGGGCCAAAUUGGGUUUGGUUAGGGUUGGUUUAAGUUGGGCCAAAAUUGAGCCUUUACAGCUGCCCCUCUUUGCUCAUUUUCGUGUAACGAGAAUAGAGCAAAGACAUCAAAAGGGCCAAUUUUGCCCGGUCUUGCCGAGUCUUGACUUUUUGGUGCUCAUCUUCUUCCAGUAGCCUUAUUCCAGUCUGCUACGUCUUGUUGCUUCGAUCCACUCUACUGCAACUUCAGAUACGCCUUGUAGCUUCAAUCUACUCUGCUACGACUCCAUGGGGAUGAGAUUUGUGUUUUUAGUCUGCUCCACUACUACUUAGGGAGAUAAGACUUGAUGCGAUCUGCUUCACUAUUUCUUAGGGAAAUAAGAUCUGUGGUUUUAUCUGCUCCACUACUGCUUAGGGAGAUAAGACUUAAUGCGAUCUACUCCACUACUGCUUAGGGAGAUAAGAUUGUAAUCUUCGAUCUAUUCCACUGUUGCCCAAGGAGAUAGAACUACUGGCUUUAAUGUACUCCACUGUAAUCGGAGAGGUAAAAUCCGCCAUCUUCGACCUGCAAUCUAUUCCACUGCUAAAUACAGGGAAAUAGAGUCUGUUUUCAAUCCACUUCCUACCAAUAUAGGAAGGCAGGAUCUACAAUCUUCAAUCUAUUCCACUGCCAGAUACAGGGAGAUAGAGUUAUCGGCUUCAAUGUACUCCACUGUAGUCACAGGGAGGUAAAAUCUGCCAUCUUCGAUCUGCUUCACUGCCUAAUACAGGAAGGCAAGAUCUGCAAUCUUCAAUCUAUUCCACUGCCAGAUACAGUGAGAUAGAGUUAUCGGCUUCAAUGUACUCCACUGUGGUCAGGGAGGUAAAAUCUGCCAUCUUUGAUCUGCUUCGCUGCCAAAUACAGGAAGGCAAGAUCUGCAAUCUUCAAUCUACUUCACCACCAGUAUGGGAAGACAAGAUCUGCAUCUUGGAUCCACUUCCUAUCAAUAUAGGAAGAUAGGACCUGCUAUCUUCGAUCUACUUCACGCCAAUACAUGAAGGCAAGAUCUGCUUUCUGCGAUCUACUUCGCCACCAAUAUGGGAAGACAAGAUCUGCAUAUUGGAUCCACUUCCUAUCAAUAUAGGAAGAUAGGACCUGCUAUCUUCGAUCUACUUCACACCAAUACAUGAAGACAAGAUCUGCUUUCUGCGAUCUACUUCGCCACCAAUAUGGGAAGACAAGAUCUGCAUCUUCGAUCCACUUCCUACCAAUAUAGAAAGAUAGGAUCUGCUACCUUCGAUCUACUUCACGCCAAUACAUGAAGACAAGAUCUGCUUUCUGCGAUCUACUUCGCCACCAAUAUGGGAAGACAAGCUCUGCAUCCUGGAUCCACUUCCUAUCAAUAUAGGAAGAUAGGACCUGCUAUCUUCGAUCUGCUUCACGCCAAUACAUGAAGACAAGAUCUACUUUAAUGACUUCAAUCCCUCCCAUUGCAACUUCAAGGGUAUAGGAUCUGUUUCUUUGAUCUGUUCUCUGGGGAAUAUGACCUGUAAAAUCCAUUUUAUGGACCUAUUUAUGCCUAGUGUUUAGGAUGGCAUGAUCAGAAUGAAUCAAAUGCUUCUAACUAGAUGUGUAUGAAUGAAUGCAGAAUGUCAUGAGAAUGAUCCAUUUUUAAUGUUUGAGUUGUCAUUGCUCAUGUUUUAUCACUGACGUGUUACAACGCCUUCUUGCUCGGCUGGCAUAUCCAAAGAAACACUUAGUCAGAUUGCCCCCACUGCGAACGUCAAAGUUUAAUCCACUGGGACAUAAAAUUUGUACCAUCAAUCUCCCACCGUAAACUAAGGGUAGAAGGAUAUGGCUUUUUCUCGAUCCUCUACUAUCACAAUUCAAGGAUACAGAAUGUGAAACUCUUUGAUCUCCUACACCAUUCCCAAGGUGUCAUACCAAAUGUUUAUGUACAAAUGCAAAAUUUCCUUCUCCGAGAAAACCUUUUCUUAUUACUUGGUGAACAUCGCUUGUUUGUUCAUUGAAGCUUUGCCACCAACACGACAUCUUGUCAAUGUUUGGACAACAAAAUUUGAAAGGAUAGUCCCGACUUGGACUCUUCCUUUUUGGACACUUUGAAUUUGGUGUGCUCUAAACAACAGUCCUGUUUCAGGCUCCUUCAUUAUUUAGAAAUUUCUAGAGUAAUAUGCAAAACUCCAAUUGCUUGAACAUUCAGUUUAUUAAUAGUUAUUCUAAAUGUUUUUCGAGAAGGUUACCACAACGAACAAACAAAUGUUAUUAAGAACAAAUCUCGAGAUGAAUGAGUUAAUCGAGAUAGCAAAUUUUGCUAAGGUAAAAAAUGAAAUAAGACAAUAGACAAGAAUGAAAUUUUAUUGGGGAGCAAAGCUUGAACUGAAUACAAUAAUCAAGACAACAAGUUUUGCCAAGAUUCAAAGUAUAAGAUGACAACAGGUGCCCCAGAUAUCACAGCACGAGCUUCCCUGCACAAGUUUUCUAAAGACCAUUUAAUAUGUGUUUGGAAUCUACAGUAUUUUGUCGAUACCCCAAGAUGUCACCUACUCCUUCUUGCGAUUCAGGUGUAGUAAGACCACCACAUGCCUCAGAUCCUGCUCAAAAAUUCGAGCCGUACCUCACGCUUCAAAAUUCGAGCCGCCUUUUUCAGGUUUUCAACUCAAAUCCCCUUUGGUCUCAAGGUGCCUUUUGCGGGUUUUCACCUUGGCCUCUCCCAUUUUUUUUUUUUUUAAGAAUGCCCCCUUUUUAAGUGAAAUACUUCUUGACUGAGUCUGAAUUUACAGGAUUUGACAGGCUUUUACCAUCCAUUUCGCUCAGGAUUAAAGCUCCUCUUGAAAAGGCCUUUUUUACCACAUAAGGACCUUCCCAAUUUGGCAUCCACUUUCCUCUAAAAUCCUUUUGUAGAGGAAGAAUCUUUUUCAGCACCAGGUCCCCCUCGUAAAAUUCUCUGGGACAAACUUUUUUGUUGUAAGCUCGCAUCAUUCGUUUCUGAUACAUCUGACCAUGACGAAUAUCUUUUAACCUCUUUUCUUCUACCAAGUUUAACUGGUCAUAUCUGGAUUGAAUCCAUUCAGCCUCAUCCAACUUUAGUUCAGUUAAUACUCGGAGAGAAGGAAUUUCAACUUCUAUGGGUAAAACUGCUUCCAUCCCAUAGACUAAAGAAAAUGGUGUUGCCCCGGUAGAGGUUCUAACAGAAGUACGAUAUGCCAGGAGAGCAAAAGGUAAUUUCUCGUGCCAAUCUUUGUAGGUUUCAGUCAUUUUUCCUAUAAUUUUCUUGAUGUUUUUGUUAGCUGCUUCCACGGCACCAUUCAUUUUUGGACGGUACGGUGACGAAUUGUGGUGUCUGAUCUUGAACUGACUACAAACUUCCGCUAUUGAGUUGUUGUUUAAGUUCAGCGCAUUAUCGGAUAUGAUCCUUUCAGGCAUCCCGUAUCGACAUAUGAUCUCUUUUUUCAGAAACUUGCUAACUGCCGACUUCGUGACAUUUGCAUAUGAAGCCGCCUCCACCCAUUUAGUGAAGUAAUCAAUAACCACAAAGAUAAAACGAUGCCCAUUGGAAGCUUUUGGAGAUAUUGGCCCGAUAACGUCCAUUCCCCACAUGGAGAAAGGCCAUGGAGAAACCAUAACAUGAAGGGGUGAAGGUGGUGCGUGCAUUUUGUCACCAUAAAUUUGACAUUUAUGGCACCUCUUGGCAUAAUUAAUGUAAUCCCCUUCCAUGGUGGACCAAUAGUACCCAAAUCUCAUAAUUUGUCUGGUCAUCGUGAAGCCAUUGGCAUGCGUUCCGCAGAUACCUUCAUGCACUUCUUCCAAAAUUUCCUUUGCCUCAACAGCAUCCACACACCUUAACAGUACUUGAUCUUUUCCUUUUUUAUACAAAAUUUCCCCAUCAAGGACAUAGUCAAUGGCUAAUCUCCUUAAUGUCUUCUUAUCAUUUUCUAUCGCAUGGUCAGGGUACUCGCGACUCUUCACAUAUCGCAAUAUGUCAUGGUACCAAGGGUGAUCAUCCUUUCCCUCUUCAUUGUCAAUGUGCAACAAUGGGCUGGAACCUCAUAGAUGCUGAUCUGGAUAGGCUUCAUAUAUUCUAAUUUGUUCACUUUAAACAUGGAGGCUAAAGUGGCCAAAGCAUCUGCCAUCUGAUUUUCAUCUCGUGGGAGGUAACUAAAGGUGACACUAUCAAAUUCCUCGAUCAAUUCCAUAACCAAUUUUCGAUAGCGAACCAACUUCGGGUCUCUUGUUUCCCAUUCCCCCUUGAGCUGGUAAAUUACUAAUGCAGAGUCCCCGUAUACCUCUAGCACCUUAAUUUUCCGCUUUAUGGCUGCCCGAAUGCCCAUAAUGCAAGCUUCAUACUCAGCCAUAUUAUUUGUGCAGUCAAAGUCCAAUUUGCUAGUGAAAGGAUAAUAAUCUCCACUAGGGGACACGAGUACUGCCCCAAUUCCGUUGCCUAUAGCAUUUGAAGCUCCGUCAAAACUCAACUUCCAAGGACCACCUUCUUGGAAAUCUUUCUUUACGGUUGCGGCAUACAUCAAAUCCUCAUUUGGGAAAUCGAAGUUCAAUGGCUCAUAAUCAUCGAGAGCCCUACUUGCUAGGAAUUCCGCUAUUGCACUCCCUUUGACCGCCUUCUGGUUCACAUAGACUACGUCAAAUUUAGAUAGAAGAAUUUUCCAUCGAGCCAUUCUUCCAUUCAGAGCGGCUGACUCCAUCAAGUAUUUCAGAGGGUCUAAUUUGGAGAUUAACCAGGUCGUAUAGUACAACAUGUACUGUCUCAGUCUCCGAGUUGUCCAAAUUAAAGCACAACAUAAUUUCUCGAUUGGCGAAUAUCUUAUUUCGCAUUCGGUGAACUUCUUACUGAGAUAGUAGAUCGCUCUUUCCUUUCGUCCUGAUUCGUCAUGUUGACCAAGCACGCAUCCCAUGGAAUUUUCAAAUACUGCCAAAUACAGUAUGAGCGGUUUGUCUGGGCAGGGUGGCAUCAGUACUGGGGCGUUGGAUAAGUAAUGUUUGACUUUUUCAAAAGUUUUUUGACAUUCCUCAUCCCAUACACCUGGAUUAUGUUUCUUGAGGAGGCGAAAUAUGGGGUCGCAUUUCUCAGUUAGCUGUGAGAUGAACCGAGCAAUAUAGUUCAGCCUUCCUAGAAAACCUCGAACCUCCUUUUGAGUACGCGGCGGGGGUAAUUCUUGUAUUGCUCUUACUUUGUCAGGAUCAAUCUCAAUUCCUCUUUCACUGACCACGAAUCCAAGUAAUUUUCCUGAUCUGACCCCGAAUGUGCAUUUUGCUGGAUUUAGCUUUAGCUGAAAUUUCCUCAAUCUCGUAAAUAAUUUCUUAAGGACCUGCACAUGUUCCUUUUCUGUUUUAGAUUUUGCAAUCAUGUCAUCAACAUAGACUUCUAACUCCUUAUGCAUCAUGUCAUGGAACAGUGUUCCAUGGCCCUCUGAUACGUUGCCCCUGCAUUUUUCAACCAAAAUGGCAUCACCUUAUAACAAAAAGUUCCCCAUAGGGUUAUGAACAUAGUUUUCCUCAUAUCCUCGGGAUGCAUCUUAAUUUGGUUAUAUCCCGAGAAGCCAUCCAUGAAAGAAAACAGUGAAUGUCCUGCUGUAUUGUCUACCAAGGCGUCGAUAUGCGGCAAGGGAAAGUUAUCUUUUGGGAUAGCCUUAUUUAGAUCUCUAUAAUCCACACACAUUCGUACCUUCCCAUCUUUCUUAGGGACAGGAACAAUGUUAGCUACCCACUCGGAGUAUUUGACCACCUUCAGGAACCCAGCGUCAAAUUGCUUUUGCACCUCUUCUUUUAUUUUUAACACGAUAUCAGGCCUUAUUCUUCGGAGUUUUUGCUGAACUGGUUUGCAAUCCUCCUUUAUAGGAAGUCGGUGAACCACGAUGUCAAUACUUAACCCCGGCAUAUCUUGGUAUGACCAUGCGAAGACAUCUUUGAACUCUCGCAGCAAUUCAAUGAGGUAUUGUUUUACUUCUUCAGCUAUGCGGAUACCAAUCUUUAACACCUUUCCCUCUUCCAAGAUCACUGUCUCUAUCGUCUCUUCGUGGGGUAGAAUCUGUUUCUCUUCCUGCUCUACCAUUCUCAACAAGUCCGGAGAUAGGUUGCAAUCUGUGUUAUCUUCAAAAUCUUGAGAUUCCUCUGGACACAUAUCUCGUUCAAAAAGAUUUUCUAAGUCCAUAGUAGAGUCACUCAUAUCAUUGAUAUCUUGGGACCUGUUAUAGGUAUCAAAGAAUGUACAGGGAAUGUAUGAAUUUAAGGAUUCUUAUUUAGUAUGACCAUGAAUGUAUGAAAAAAAGAAUUUGAAAAGAAUAUAUACUCAAAAUGCGAAGAUAUAUUUCAUUGAAAUCACAAUGUCCACAUAUAAGCCUAUUUCAGUUCACAAAAGUUUUCAUUUUCUCUAGGCUUAGAAUAAUUAAUGUUUUGAAUAUUACUCUGGAAAAGCUCUAAAAACUUCAGGCAUUUCUUCCGCAGUCCAAUUGUUUAAAACACUCCCAGGUUCAACGGGAUAGAUGCCUGACGUACUUCCUCCUUCAAAUUCUUCUUCACAUAUGGCAUUGAUGCUUAAGUUUCUUAACAUUUCCUCUGCGGUCUUCUUUCUUGGAGCCCUCAGUUCAGAAUACAUAGUUCCUCCCGACAUGAAUGUCCUGGAUAUGUGGGGGAAAGCCAUAGGUUCCCAGUCGACUUCUUUUCCGUUCAAACGCGCCUUCCUUCUAUCUUGUCUCUUUUCUAACUCUUUCCUUCUCUGUUUGGUAUUUGGUUUAAAUCCUAAACCAAAACGAUCUUGUUUGUAUUUCACUACUGGUGCCCCCAUCCUUCCCUGAAGGCAUCUUCCAAGUCCUCUUCCAGGCACAGCUCCUUUCCCAACUGUCGCUUGUAAUCCCAUCCUUGUGGCUUUAGACAUGCUGGGCGUCGGAAUCUUCUUUCCCCCUAUGACAAAGGUUGCAUUUACGAACUCCAAAGAUCGAAAAGAACAUUCAACUGCCUCGUCGUCUAUUCCCAAAUAUGGUGUAUCAUUGGUUACCAAUGCAAUGAUAUCUUCCUCGGCGUCAAUUGUAAUUAACCGGCCUUCUAUUACCAAUUUUAACUUCUGGUGCAAUGAUGAAGGCACCGCCCCUGCCGAAUGAAUCCAGGGUCUUCCUAAUAAGCAAUUAUAUGACGGCUUGAUAUCCAUCACUAGGAAGUCCACAUCGUAUGUAUUUGGGCCAAUUAAAAGAGGUACUUCUAUUCUUCCUAUCACCUUUCUUUCGGUACCAUCAAAUGCUCUCACUAUAUUUUGGCAUGAUCUCAUGUGAGAGUUAUCCACCGGUAACCUACUUAAGGUAGAUAGGGGUAAAACAUUCAAGGCUGAUCCAUUGUCAAUUAGCACUCCAGCUAACAUAUACUCCCCGCAACGAGCAGUGAUGUGUAAUGCUUUGGUAGAUCCUCUUCCCCCUGGCGGUAUUUCAUCAUCAUUAAAAAAGAUGAAAUUAUUGGCAUUGAUAUUAUUAACCAAGCGGUCUAACUUAUUCACCGAGAUAUCUUUAGUGACAUAAGUUUCAUUUAGCACCUUAAUCAACGCAUUACGAUGUAUCUCUGAACUUAUAAGCAACUCAAGUACGGAGAUACGAGCCGGUUGCUUAUGUAAUUGUUCUACCACGCUGUACUCGCUAUGUUUCAAGAAUUUUAGAAAUUCAUUGGCUUGAUUUUCAGUUACCGGCUGAUUGACACUCGAUUCAAUUUCGUCUGUUUUUGUUUUUCCUAGCUCAACUGCUAAAGCUUUUUCUUUUCCAGAUUCCACUAUCGCGUCUGCCGGAUCAUAGCGCUUUCCACUUCGUGUAUAGAAUCCUUCCUUCUUUUUUGAAGCAUUUACCGAGCUCUCUUUUCCUGGAAUCGUCACAUUGCAAUCGUAACUCCAAGGAACCUUUUUGUUACCCUUGUAAGGAAAGGAUACAGGUUUUUGGAUUAUAACUUUUGGCCCUAUUUGUAUUCCAGAUUCUUUGUUCAUUGGCUUUGAAAUGAUAACCACUGGAUGACAAAGCUCUUGGGUUCUCCUUGCAGAUCCUUCUCCUGUAGCACAAACUUCUUCCUCUUUUAACCCUUUGAUUUCUUCAUAAAACUCCAUUUCUUUGCUAUCCAUAAAGUUUUGCACCACGAUUCUGAACUCGGUGCAUUCCUGGAUGUCAUGAUCUUCUUCUGCGUGGAACUUACAAAAUCUCUUUGCUUGUUCAGGCCUUUCUAUCGAAUCUUGCUUGAUAAGACCUCUUUUUACCAUUUGUUUCCAAACCCAUCCAAGAGGGGUUUUUAUCUCUGCCACGUUGGCUUUGACUCUUCUUCCUUCAUUCUCACUUAUCGCGUUUACCCUAUUAUCGUCAUGAUUGGGCAACGGAUUUUCUGCUACAUUUGGCCCUGAUGAGUCGCCAAUCUUUACGAUCCCCAUAUUGAUAAGUUUCUCCACUAACUUCUUGAAUGCAGUGCAGUUCUCAAUCGAGUGCCCCUUAAUCCCCGCGUGGUACUCGCAUUGGGAGUUUAUGUCAUACCAUUUGGGGUACGGAGGUUGCAUGGGUUUUAGGUAAAAUGGAGAUACCACAUGUGCAUCAAAUAAAUUCUGAUACAAUUCUUUAUACGUCACCGGGAUGGGUGUGAAUUGAGGUCUUUCUAUAUUUGGCCUUGAAUUGGACUCCCGUCUCGAAGAACCUUGCUGAUUAGUGGUUGUUGCUCUGGCUUGUCCCACCGUGAUUGAUCUAGAAUGGUCCUUGUUAAACAUGUUUGUGUUGUUUAUCUCAUGCUCCUUCUUUCUCAGUGCUGACCUUUUAGCACUUUCUCCUGCUUCUAUCUUGCCACUCCUUAUGGCAUUUUCUAUCAUUUCUCCAGACAUCACUAUGUCUGAAAAGCUUUUGGUGGCACUACCCAGCAUGUGAUUGAGAAAUGGAGCUUUCAAAGUAUUGAUAAAAAGCAUGGUUAUCUCUUUUUCUAAAAGUGGUGGUUGAACUUGUGCUGCUACCUCCCUCCAUCUUCGAGCAUACUGGCGAAAGCUCUCAUUAGUUUUCUUUUCCAUAUUUUGCAAUACAAUUCGAUCGGGUGCUAUGUCCAUCACAUGUCUGUAGUGUUUUAUAAAGGCCUGCGCCAAAUCUUUCCAAGAGUGGAUUUCAGCUCGACUCAAUUGAUUGUACCAUCUAACAGCUGACCCGAUCAAACUAUCCUGAAAACAGUGAACCAACAGCUGCUCAUUGUUGAUGUACCCGGUCAUUCUUCGGCAAAACAUAGUGAUAUGAGCAUCGGGACAACUUGUCCCGUCAUAUUUUUCAAACUCCGGCAUUUUAAACUUAGGAGGGAGGAUUAAAUCAGGCACCAAGCUCAGAUCUUUAGCAUCCAUUCCUCGGUGGUAAUCAGCACUUUCCAUGGCCUUAAACUUUUCCUCCAGCCAUUUACAUCGGUCUUCCAAUUGCUUUGAUAGAUCCACUUUCGUAUUUUCCACUUCUGCCACGUCAUCGAGGUCAGGGACUAUGAGAUUGGUGGGAUUCUCUCCGGAAUUGUUACUUAUUCCGAUUGGAGGACUCGUUUGGAAUUGUUGGGGUCUAAUUGUAACAGAGGGUCUUUGUUGAUACAUUUCAGCUUGAGUAUGCGCGUGCAGAGGGGUAAAGCCUGGAGGGUAAAGGGGUUCAUCACUAUUUCCAUCUUCAACAUUAACAAUAGGGUCCUUUCCCUUGUCUUUUCCUCCUUUCAACAGUUGCGUUAACUUUGCCAUCAUGUCGUCUUGGGAUUCUCGCAUCUCUCGCUGAAUCUUUUCCAACCGCUCUUCUAUCUGAUCUUGCAUAUCUCUUUGGAGCUGCUCAAGUUUUUCUAGUCUUUGAUCCAUGUUUCUUGACUUCGCUCGAGUUCCGUAAGAGUGACGGUUUUCCAGGUUAACUGAAAUAAUUUUAUUUAGUUAGGGUCUUUUAAUGGUCAUUAAUGCAUAUAAUGCAAUGCAUGAAAUGAAUGCAAAAGGCGUUAAUUCUAGUUCAAUUUCAUUAUGAAAACUUUACUAGAAAAUAAACUUUUUUACAUAAGGUGGAUUACAUAUACGACUUAGCCCUAAAACUCAAAAUUCUAAUCCUCCUAAGCAACGAGUCUAGCUCCUGUCCUCGACUCGACUCUAAUUCGUACUUCACGCUUAACACAUCAGCUUGUACUGCUAACGUCUGCAAGUGAUCAGCCACCUCUCGGAUUUGAAGCACGGCUUCUCCCAUGAUUUGAUCUCUAUCUCUUACUUGGUUCUGAAAGUAGUGCAACUGCUCGGUUUGACGAUCUUCAUUAGAUCUCAUGUGCUCAAUCCGCAUCUCGCAACUUCCCAAUGCUGCUUCUAACUCUUCAAUUCUUCGUUUCAUCUCUUCAAUUCUACUUAGGCUUACUUUUAAUUCCAUCACAGAAUUUCGAUUUCGAUGCCGAUAGAGAGAUUCUUCUAACUCGGACACUCUAUUUUCUAGUUCCCCUUUUUCUUUCUGAUUCUCUGACAGACUCUUCUUUAAAGUCUCGUUCUGGGUUUGAACUUCUUGAAACCUUGUUUCCCAUCUAUCAGCUUUGUUCUUUUCUUCUUGAACUUCCUUGCGCCAUUGUUCAGAAGUCUUUCCCAACCCGGCGGUUCUCAUUGAUGAUCGCAACUUCUUGUAAUCUGUUUUCAGACUGUUCAGAUCUUCUUCAGCCCUAGCUUUUCCUUUUCUUAAUCGCUCCAUCUCGAGCUUCUGGACAUCUACAUCCAACCUUAAGUUUGUUUUUUCUUCCUCCAUUUGCUCUAUCUGUUUUUCCAACUCUGCAUUUCUUCUUUCAAAAUCUUGCUUCAAAAUUUCUAGUUCAGAAAGGAUGACCCGUAAGUGCUCCUCUAUCGAAUGACUGCCUUCGAGGCUUGAUUUGGGGACAUUGUCAUUGAUUCUUCUGACCCUCCAUUCUUUAUAUUCGGGGGUUGUCAUUGGUCCUACAGCUAAUCGCUUCAUUUGGCGAGUCUGAUUCCACGCAUUGGAUAUCUCUCGAAUCCUCUUUUUGUAGCCAUCACCCCCAUACGAGAAUUCACACUCGGCCAGCCCCUGGGUUGCGGGUAUAAACUGUCUUGAUCUGUACUGUCUGAGCACUAAUAACGGGGCAUAGCCAAUAGCUCCCCAGAUUCCAAGCAAAGGGACCCAAUCAAAACUACCACAUCGGUACAAAAUUUCGUCUGGAAGUAACCACGGAGCUCUCCAUUCAAUGUCUUCUUCAUGCAAGUUUUGAAGAAUUGCCAUCCAUUUUUCCAUUGAAAUGUCGUCCCUUCUCGGUGUAGCUAUCGUCUCCUUUAGCGGCGAAUAGUUUUCAGAGAAGACCCGAUAUGACACCUUAUCCACUUUCCAAAAAUGACUGUGGAACCACGCAAGUAGCAACUGUGCACAUCCAAUGAACCUGCCUUCGCCCGCUCGCCGACAGGUACUCAAUGAUCUGAAUGUCUCCGCUAAAAUUGCUGGAAUCAGGGUAACUCCUUUAUCAAGGCGGUCGAACAAAUCAGUAACCGCCUCAUCAAUAUGCCCCAAAGCUCUAGGAAAGAUAACUAAGCCAUAUAUGCUUAGGGCGAAGAUAUCUACCCUAUUUUUUAUAUCCGGGUGCACCAAAGCCACAUCUUUCAAACUCCUCCAAGAAAUGCACUUGUUAUCCCCUUUUUGUUUAAUUCGGGCCGUAACCCACUGCUCACUCAUGCCUGUUAUGUUCAUUAACCUUCUCAAAAAGGGUACAUUUGCGGCUCUUGAGUAGAUUCUGUCGACUUGACUCUUUGAACACCGAAGUAAAGCCAUAUAUUCUUCUAUCGUAGGCACCAAGUCAACUUUCCCGAACGAAAAACAACUAUAGGCGGGAUUCCAAAAUUGUGCGAGAGCCCGGAAUAGGUGCUUAUCUACCUUCAUAUCUAGCAGGUACGGCAAGUCCCCGUAAUGGGAAUAAAACAACUGUCUGGCCUCCUCGUCCCAAUGGUCCCAAAUUCCUUUCAACUCUUGUAAAUCGUUCUGGGUUAUGCUAAUGCGGGUAAAGUCCCAUAGCUCUGAUAUAUAUCCUUCAGCCAAACUAUCCCCUUUCUCUUGUUGUGUCGUUUCCGACCAAAUUCGGACUGCCGCAUUAUCUUCCACCUUAUCAAGAAACCUUCUUUCCAUGAUAAGCUUUCUUUCUAGAAACCGAAUAUGAACCAACGCCUUGAAAUAAUGAAAUGCCAUGCAGUUGAAAUGUCAUGCAUCCAAAGUAAAACAACAAAUAUCAGUACCAGAUAUAAACAUAUAAUCCAAGAUAAUUCAAAAAGAAUAAAAGCACAUCAGGGUAUUUACUAGGGUUUGGUGUAGUUCUACUUAAGGUGAGUUCCUAAGGUUUACUACAUGGGGUUUGGUUCUAAAGCAAAGGUACCCGAACCAGCAGAUUCCUCGAUCUUCACCCAUUAUAGUCUCAUAUAGACCGAGUUCGGUUUAGGGGAAUACAUUUCCCUAUGGCUGCACGGAGAUGAAAAUCUCACGAAGACAUAGGUACGGAUGUAUCCCGAAAGCGAUCCACUAUCCUGCACGGAGGUGAAAACCUCACGAAGGAGUAGCUUCUCACUCCCACUUAAAAGGUGUGACCAACGGUCAUGCAAUGCAAUGCAAAGAUAUAAAAGUUUAAAAUACGAAACAUGAUGAAAACUAUAGCUCAAAACAAAUGAAAUGCAAUGAGAAGAUCGUAUAUUUAAAUCAAAUUUUCAACUUUCGACAAAAAGACAAAAAAUAAUCAACUCGUGGCUUGACUCACUUAUUUUGAAAAAGUCCCCAGUGGAGUCGCCAAGCUGUUGACACCAUUUUUUGGAUGAAAACGGGGUCGACUUGGAUUUUGGAAAAAAAAGAAUAAAAACGGGAGUCGCCACCAAUCCUUUUUUGAUGAGGUGUGAUUGGGUCACCUCAAAAGGUGGUUGUUUUUAAUAAAUGAUUUAAUUUUAUUAAAACAACGAUUUUGGUCUACGAAAUUCAGAAAAAUGAGUUCGGGAGUCGGUUACGCACGAGGAAGGAUUAGCACCCUCGAUACGCCCAAAAUUGGUACCUAGUUGAUUAAUUAGUGUCUUAGUGUCGAAAAUUUGAAAACUUGAAAGAAUUUAAAAUACGAUCCCUCUUUGUAAAGAAAAUGCUCAAAUGUUAAGGACCUUCUCGUCUCACAAUAUAAAAUGUCACAUCCAGUAAGUUAGGACACGACAUCUUGAAUUUUCGAGAACGAGCUUGCCUUUUAUAUAAAAAUUCGUGUAUUUCAAAAGGUUAUUCAGUUAGUUAAGGUGAACGAGGAAAAUCGAAACCCAGUAAGUUAGGGCACGUUUCCUCGAAUUCCCAAACACCGAAUAUUGCCUUUACUUGCAAAAAUCUUAUUUCGAGGUAACGAAAUGCCAUACCCAGUAAGUUAGGGAACAACACCUCGUAUCUCCGAGAAUAAGCAUUUUUCAAAACUCAUGUCACGAUUUAAAAGAGUAUUCCGUUAUUUAGGUUAAAGGAGAAAAAUCGAAACCCAAUAAGUUAGGGCACGAUUGUCUCGAAUUACCAAAUACGGAAUAUUACUUUUAUGAAAGAAUUAUUAUUGGGUUGGAUAUAAUGAUAAUAAGAAUAAUAUUAAAGUAAAGUAAACAAUAAUACUAUAUAUAAAUGUAUAUAUAUAUAUGUAUAUAAUAGAAAUACACACUACUAUAUAAUAAUAAUAAAUAUAGAAAUACAAAAAGCAAAUAUAAUAAAAAUAUUAAAUUAAAGUAAUAAAAAAUAAUACUAUAUAUAAAAUAUAUAUAUACAUAAAAAUAUACACUAAUAUAUAAUAGUAAUAGUGAUAGCAAAAAUAAUAAAAAUAUAAGUAAUAUUAAUAAUAUAUUAGAAUACAAAAGUAAAGUAAUAACAAUAGGGGUGAUAAUAAUAAUAAUACAAACAAUAAUACAUAUAUAUAAUAAUAGUAGUUAGAAAUAAAAAAUAAUAAAAGUAACAAUAAUGAUAGUAAUAAUAUAAAUAAAUAUGGAGAGGGCAUAUAUAAUAUAAUAAUAUAAAAAAAAUAAUAUAUACAUGAGAAAUAAUAAUAAUAAUAUAAAUAAUAGUAAAAAUAAUAAAAUAAUAAAACAAAGCUCUCAACUCUCUUUCUCCCUCUUUUCUAAAUCCGGCCGUUGGUCCGGCUUUGCUUCGGUCAUGGACCCCCACGGGCCGCCAUCGGCGCCACCGUACACGGCGGCCGGACCUCAAAAAAACCUUUUUCGAUAAUGAAAAUAUAGGUAAGCUUCUUACUUUUAUUUUUACUUUCGUAUAAAAAAACAAAAUAAAAUUGAAAGGAAAACAAUAAACAAACAAAGAACUAAAGAUAAGAAUAGACAAAAGAAACCUCUUUUGCUUUGAUCUUUGAUUAAUCUCCAAAAACUAGCCUUUCCAAGAAACAAAAAUAACCUUUUUUACAAAAAAACACCUCCAAAAAACAAAAAAAAACCUCCUCCAAAACAAAGAAUAAUCCUUCUCCAAAAAACCAAAAACCCACCCCUAAAAACAAAGUCUUGAAUGGCUUUUAUAGCCAAAUUUUACAAGUGGAGUGGUUGGGGUGGUUUAGGUGGCCAAGGGUGGUGGAGUUGGUGGCUAAGGUGGGUGGCCAACAAAGGUGGUGGAGUAGGUGGCCAAGGUUUUUAUUUAUUUAUUUAUUUAUUUUUUGUGUUUGGGUUGGGAUUAGGUUGGGCCAAAUUGGGUUUGGUUAGGGUUGGUUUAAGUUGGGCCAAAAUUGGGCCUUUACACCUGGCCCGGCCCAUUUUUUUAAUAAAUACCAUAAAUUUAUUUUAAAAAUAAUAAAAAAGUAUUUUAAAAAUAUUUUAAAAUUAAAAAAUAAAUAUAUUUAUUAUAUCGGGCCAAGCCGGGCAGGACCCGGGCCAAAAAAGUGGUGCCCGAGGCCCGGCCCGUUUUUUAAACGGGCCUCGUUUUUUUAUCCAAGCCCAUAUUUCGAGCCUAUAUUUUUACCCAAACCCUCCCAUAUUUCGGGCGGGCCGGCCCGGCCCAUGAGCACCUCUAGGAAGAUUGAAGGACUUGGGUUUUUUUCUUUGCUUUUUGUUUAAAAGUUUUUUGUUUUUUAGGUUUUUCAUUUUAGUGCUUUAAGUUUUCUCAGCCUUUUUAGGGAUACCCGAGGCACCACCCAUUAGCAGCAAUAGGCUUCUGCCAGCUAGCUAGUGGGCUGAAACAUUGCAGGGUUUAGGAUUGUGUUCCAUCCUUUAAUCUUCAAUUUUAAUGAUUUUACUUCAAGUUUUUUUUAAGUAAAUCCCUUCCCAUAUAUAUAUUAUGCAUAUAUUAAAGUUAGUUUCUAAAGGGAAAGAGUUAAUAUUCCAUUUGGUAUGUAGGGUUUUUUUUUAAAAUUUAAUAUAUGAGUUUUACUUCAAUUUGGUAUCCAUACCAAACAAAUGUGCUUAAUGAAUACUUGGCACGUAUGUUCUAGUAAAAAAAUAUAAUUACCCACAAAACGAUCUGAUAAAAUUGUCACCCUGAAUUACCUGACAACGAUGACUCAAGUAUGAAAUUACCACCCAGAUUUCCGAGCAACGAUGGUUUCCAAAUAAUAACCUGACCCUAUGUACGCCAACUAACUCGGUCCGACAAAUAAUAGGGUAACCAAAUUUCAAUUUCAAUAUACAACCUGAUUCAUGUUUAUUCAUUUUGAUUUUCAUCAUCAGUUUACCAAUUCAAUACAUAACUUAUAUAUAUAUCAACCGAAUUUCACAUAUCAAGUAAGUCAUAAAAUUUUCUAUUCUAUUCAAUUUAGUCCUUGCUUCGAUAUUCAAUUCAAAUCAUAUCAAUUUAGCUCAAAAAAUUAUCAAUAACUAACCUCCAAUUCCAUAUAAUGUAGAAUGAUAUAAAUAUGCAACAACUAAAUGGUUCCCAAAUCAUAGAAUUACAAACCAAAAAUUUUGAUCUAAUUAAUAGCUUUGGAUUUUCCUUUUCCUCUCGAUGAAUCUAGGUCGACGUUAGUUAUGGAUUAACAUAAACACAUAACACUAUCAAUAAACAACCAAUUCACAAUCAAUUGUCAAUUUAUACAAAAAUUUCAAUUUAUUCAAUUUAGUCCCUAAAACUGAGACUAACAUAACUUUCAAUUUAAAACUCCAAAUUAAAAUUUGAUUUCACUAUGGUCCAUUAGAGACCUCCUAUUUCUUAUUUAUAUAAUCAAUUUUACAUUUAAUUCAGUUUAGUCCUUAUAAUCUUGUGUUUGCGAGUAAUUUUAGGGUUGCUUUUGUCGUUGUGCCCUCUAGUUUGGUGGAUGCUCAGUUCUUUUGUCGAUUUAUGCUCACUGUUUUGGACCAUCCGGGGUUGAUUUCCUUAUUGUAUUAAGUGCUUGCAAUCACUCCUUAUGUUGUGCUUAAGUUGUGACAGAGUCGAUUGUCAACGUGCCAUAAUGUUCUAUUGAUGUUGAAGCUAAAGCUUUUGUUAUGUUGAUGGAGCUUGUACUUUAGCGCGUUCAAUGGGUGUUUGUUACUUUUUUCCCCUGAAUUGUAUGGUCUUAUUUAUUGAAUGAAUUAAUAAAUUUCUCUUUAAAAAAAGAAAUAAUUUAUAAUAAAUAAUUAAAUGUAUUAUUUAAAACUAUUUAAUAAUAGCGCAUUAAAUAUGUAUGCUAUUAAAAUGAAAAAAAAAACAAAUUAAAUUGUUUAUCAUAAUAUUGACACUUUUCAUCAAUCUUGAGUCAAUAUCGAGUUAACUUGUGACACCAACUCAGCUAAAUAUAUUAUUAAUAUAUACAAUGAUGGGGCUAAUAAAGUGUGCACAAAAAAAUUAAAAUGUAUAAAAAUAUCAAAAUAAAACUUUAGUUGAGUAGUAAAUAUAAAUUUUAUUAAUGCAAUUAGCAAGAGUUCGAAUCUCACCAUAUACAUAUUUUAUUGGCUUUUUUUAAGUUAAAAGAUUAGAAUAUCCUUGAAUAAUAUUGUUUAGUUUAAUUACAAAAUGACAUUUUCUUAACUUUUUAAUCGAGUUGGUAACCCGAUUAAAGGUGACAUUAACUCAAUCAAGAACUUAGAUAAAUAUUAAUAUAAAAUAUAAGUUUUUGCUAUAAAAUAAAAGGACAGAAAGUAAAGAACAAAGAAAAUGAGAAAGCAAAGAGAGAGCGUAUUUUAUUGAUCAAUUGAAAUAUUUACAAAGUUUCUCCAAAAUUUCUAUUUAUAGACAUAAGAAGUAUAAAUGAAGUAUAGACCUACUUCUAAUGGCUAUAAGAAUUUAAAGUACAUCAAAAAUUAUCUUGAUCUUGAUGGACAUCCACUUAAUAAGAUAUUCAUAACACCCCCUUGGAUGUCCAUUGGUAGAUAAUGUGCCUCGUUAAAACUUUACUAAGAUAAAGAUCUUGUGGGAAAAAAUCCUAGUGAAGGAAAAAAGUAAACAUAUCUAAAUGCGUAUAUUAUGCUGCACCAUUAAAAACUUUACCAGAAAAACCCAAUGGGAUAAAACCUCGGUUAAGGGAAAAAUAGUACAAUGCAUAGUUACUCCCCUUCAUAAAAACAUCAUAUACUUUCUCAUAUUCUAUUGAAUUGAAUACUAGUUUUCAAAUGACUAUAUUAAUGAAUUUGCUAAGCAUUUAUAUCACCGUUCUUUUGGAAGUCAUGAGUGGGGAAAUUUUAGGGGAAAUAUAUUUUGAUCUCUUGAAGAGUCUCAACAAUUUUCAUAACAAACUUUAAUCAUAAUUCCUCUAUAAAAACACAAAUAGGUAUUUUGGAUCAUUUUAUAAUCCUCCUUCAACUACUAUUCGCUGAGUCAAAUUUACCACAUAUGUUCCAAUUAUUUCAAUUCAUAUAAAUGAACAAUUUCCCGACAAUUUCGAUAUGCUUCUAUCAUCCUAAAUCCUUCAAGGAUUUGAAUAUAAAUUUUACUAUAUAGUGGUUCAUAAAAAGGUUGUAACAACAACCAUUAGACAUAAGUUAAAUCUUCUAUGAAUUGUCAAAAUAAUAUAUCUAAAAAUUAUUGCAUCCACCACAAAAAAAAUAUUAUUUCUUUUCAUAAUAAAUGCCAGGACUUAGCAAAAAACUUCAUAUUAUAAUUUUGCUUUUGCAAAACUACUUCAUUUGCACCCUCACUGGCUUUAUACCUUGAGAUAUUUGGACUACUGGUCCAAAAACUCCACAAAUUUAAUUGUACUUGAAUUGCAUCUUUCUAUUUUGAUUAAUUUAUUCUAUAUCUAUAUUUCUCAAUAGAUUUAUUAAAGAUCCUCCUUUUGUUUCAUUAUAUCAAUAAUAACAUUGCAUGCAAAAUUAUUGUCAACCACUUUUAUUAUUUGGUUUCACAUUUUCUCGAAUUGGCAUAACUUAUUAAGAUCUAUUAUUUUAAUCUUCAAUUUCAGGUACCUGAAUCUCUUCUGGAGUUUUACUUAUUAGUUAUGUCUUGGGUCUCUUUUGGAGCACUUGUCUCCACUAUUUGACCAUCUAGAAGAAUUUUCAUCUUUGGAAUCGAUCAAUCUAUUAUUUAUUCUAACUGAUUGUCCUGCCGGGACUUUGAUUCAAAUUAAAAUAUUAGAUGUUAUAUAAUAUUUGGUUAUUCUUAUUAAGUUUUUAAAUACAUCUGACAGUUAACUUGUAAUGAGUUUUCCUCGUUGAGCUACUAGUUCAAAUUACGUUCCCCCUAACUCAUUACAAGUUGUUAUUUCUCUCCCCCUCAUGUUGGGAAAACUAUCGAAUCAAAAUAGUAAUCACAAAUCAUGUCAUAAUUGAAUCUCCAAUACAUACAAAGAGACUUGUAAUUAAUAUAUAUUCCCAACUCUAUUUGAGGAUUGACUCAUCUUUUUGCGUUGUGUCGGAGUAAUUGGAAUAUAUACACACAUACAAAAAUUCAAAGAUGAGAAAUAUUUAGCUCUUAAUAAAAAACUUAUCAUAAUGGGAAGUAUUUAUAACUUAUUGGUUUGAUGCGUACAACACGUAAAUCAACAUAAUCUCAUGUUGAAAUAGGAAGUUUAGUUUUCAUAAGUAAUGGUUUAGGCAUUAAUCAGAGGCAUUUAAAAAAUAAUUUCUCUAAACUAUUAUGUGCAUAAAUAACAAACUUUUACAAAAGUUUUUCAAACUUCAUCAAUAAAAUACUAAGAUAUAAAUUCAUCAGUAUUAGCAAGAUGAAUUAUCUUAAUUGCAUGAUCUGGAAUUAAUUAUUUAAAUAAACAAUCUUGCAAACGAUAGGUUGCAAGUUGAUAACACAUACGUGAUUAUUUUGUAGAUGCAUCUACCAAAAUCAUAUAAUAUCAAAAUCAUUCACAUAAUGGAUGAAUGGGCCCAUAUUCAUUUCAAAAAUGUAAGACAUUAAAUCUCAACUUUAGCUAGUGAGUUUCUAACAAUCAAUUUUCAUUGAGAACAAGCAUCAAAUGAGAAUUCUUUAAAUUAAAGAAUAUUAUGGUUCUUUAAUAAUAUCAUAUGAAUUCUCAAUUAAUUUUCACAUCAUAUUUGAUCUAGGAUGGUUUAACUAGUCACGCCAAGUAGUACUUGCAUUUGUAUUAGUAAACUUUUAGUUUACUUUAACAUACGUUUCAAUUGUACUAAAUUGUAACAAAUUGAUAAUUUUACUAUCAUUCAUUUUACUUUGUAUCUACAUAUAGGUACUAUCGUGACAUUUACUACUGUAAAUGUCUAAAUCAAUGUGAAGUCUAUAAUGUCACUAAGUCAAUAAAUAUAAUUUUCAAAUAAUUAUAUGCAAUAUUUGCUUCAGUGAAUAUGCCAAAAUCUUGAAAUGAAGGGCAUUUGGUCUAGUGGUAUGAUUCUCGCUUCAAAUGCUAAAAUUCUUGAGUUUGAUUCAAAAUACUUUUAAAACCCUUUUAACAAAAUUUUUGCAUAAUCAGUUAACUACCAAAAAUAACUACCCAGGUCAUGUAUAAAAACAAGUCUAUACUAAAUAUAUCAAUAAACAUCACAUCUCAAGCAUAAAAAUAUGACAUAAUGAAAAACUAGCAAUUUUUUUCAUAAUCAUCAUCAUAAACAUGCAUGGAAUUUAAAUCAAAAUCCAACCAUUCAAGCUCAUAGAACUUUUCAUUUACAAUUGCUCAUGUUAUUUCCCUAAAUAAUUAGCAAAUGAAAUAAUAUAAAACGUAUGAACUACUACCUUUAACAAUUCUUUGAACUAAACCAAAUCUGAAUAACCAUAAAAUUCAUUGGUUUGUUAACAUAAAUUUGCAUACUAGAUAUGUUUUAAUCAAAUAUAUUAUUUAAUUAUAAAACCUACUAUAACGAUAUAAAUAAAUCAAUUAAUUUUCAUUUUCAUAAACAAAUGAGAUGCUUAAAACAAUAUGUAACACAUUUAAUCAAAACUUAAAAAGAAUUACAGUUAUUAUUGUUUGUCCCCAUCCUCGUUGUUUGGUUUCCAAGUUGUGACCCAAAGUCGAGAUUGAUUUGGUUGUUUGGUUUCUAAGUUGUGACCCAAAAUCAAGAUUGCUUUUGAAUUUUUGGUCUGUCUCCAUUGUAAAGCACAUCAAACAAAGAUACAAAUUGAUACAACUAUUCUCAAGUUCAAAUAAAGCAUUAUCUUGUUAGGUAGAGUGAAUAAAAUCACUAAGUUAUUUUUUAUGUCAAUUAAAUUUAUGGUUUUUUUCAAUUAGUUGGAUUGAUUAAAUAUUAAUAAUUUAUAAACACAUUCAUUUAAAUUAAUUUUACACUGUAAUAAAAAGUAAGAUGUUGUUUAAUAAAUCAAAAAAAAUUAAGUGAAAAAUAAAAAAAGGUGUUAUUUAAUAAUUCAUAAAUUGUACGAGAGUGAAGUGUUAGAUAUUUUUGGAUAUGUUUAAUGUGCUUGGGUUAGGAUAGAAAUUUCAAAAUCCGAGAAAAUAUAAAUAGUCAAACAUAUAAAUCAAAUCCAACUAAAAAUGCUAGAAAUUUGAUUUAUCAUACUCCUAUUAGAAAAAGAUAGAAAUGACGUGAAAUCACAAUUUCAUACAACCCUUUCUCCUCACAGUGAUUAUUGUUUGUCCCCAUCCUCAUUGUUUAAUUUCCAAGUUGUGACCCAAAAUCAAGAUUGACUUUGAAUUUUUGGCCUUCUGUCUCCAUUGUAAAGCACAUCAAACAAAGAUACAAAUUAAUACAACUAUUCUCAAGUUCAAAUAAAGUAAUAUCUUAUUAGGUAGAGUGAAUAAAACCACUAAGUUAUUUUUUAAGUCAAUUAGAUUUAUGAUUUUUUAUUCAAUUAGUUGGAUUGAUUAAUUUGAUAAAAAAUAAAUAUAAUUUUAAUUUUAAAUAAGUAUUAAAAAUAUUAAUAAUUUAUAAACACAUUCAUUUAAAUUAAUUUUACACUGUAAUAAAAAGUAAGAUGUUGUUUAAUAAAUCAAAAAAAUUAAGUGAAAAAUUAAAAAAAAUGUUUAAUAAUUAAUAAAUUGUACGAGAGUGAAGCGUUAGAUUUUUUUGGAUAUGCUAAUAAUUAAAAAUAUUGUACGAUGCUUGAAAGUUAUCUGAUACACAUUGUACCAAAUUUCAAUACCACAUAUAUGUUAUAAAAUCUUAUGAUGCUCUAAUCAACUAUUUAUAAAUUCAAUUUAAAAGAUAUUAUACAAUAAUUUCAAGCAUAUUUAAUAACAAUAAUUUAAUCAUAAAAACUUUUAAUCAUCCAAAUAUCAUACAUACUAUAAUUUAAUAAAAGAAUCUUAGUUUAAAAGAAACUAUAAAUUAAUAAUAUUUUUUUACCAAAAAUCAAUCAACAAAGGAGAAAAACAUACCACUUAAGGAUUAUAUAAUUUUUUCUGUAUAAUAAUUACCCAUAAUGUGCAGGCCCCAAUUGAAGACUGAAAUAACAGUAGCUCUAGAAGGCAAUUGGCAACAGCUUGAGUAGCAAAUUUGAGUGACCGACUAUUGCAUUGGUUGUUGCUUGAAAGGGGUAAGGCUUUGUGAAAGGGAAAAAAAAUUGUGACUUAUGGAGAAAAACAAUUAAAAGAAAACUGUGCUAAUAAGGUGUUAUAAAAUAAAAGGACAGAAAGUAAAUAACAAAUAAAAUGAGAAAGCAAAGAGAGCAUAUUUUAUUGAUCAAUCGAAAUAUUUACAAAGUUUCUUUAAAGUCUCUAUUUAUAGGCAUAAGAAGUAUAAAUAAAGUAGAGAUCCACUUCUAAUGACUAUAAGAAUUUAAAGUACAUCAAAACUUAUCUUAAUCUUAAUGGACAUCCACUUAAUAAGAUAUUCAUAACAAAUUUAUUAUUUUAUUAUUUUAUAAACAAUAAUAUAAGCUUUUUGGACAAAUUGAGUCGAGUUUAAACUUAACCUAAAUUUUUAAAAAAAAAGAGUCUAGGCCCAAUUUAGCUCAUGAAUAUCUUUAAUGGUUAAUUAAUUAUUUAUUUUAAUGAGUUUAUCUAAAUGUAUUUUAGUUUAUUAAUUUGAGUUUAGUGAUUCAAUGUAAUUUUUUUUAUAACUUUUAAUACAACUAUAAGAUGUAACUUAAAAAAAAUAUUUAUAAUUAUAAAUAUAAUUAUCAUCAAUUAGUUACUAAUAUGUUAUUUUGUUGUUCAUUAUUUACCAUUAAUUUUUUCAUAAUUUAAUAGUGUUUUCUAUUUAAAUAUUUUUAAAAAAUAUUUAUUAUAAUAUGCUUUUUGGAAAGUUAUCUUAUAGAAUAUGUUUUUUUUACCUCAACACCUAUAGAUCGAGUUUAGUGAUGUUUAUUGUACCACCAAGUUUUUGUGUCAUUGAAAUUAGAAUAAUUAUUUUGAAAUUAUUACAACACAUUAACACCCAGAAUCUUAAACCGUAAUAAUAUGAUUUAAUUUUCUAAUAGCUUUGGAUAAUAUUUAAACAAAACUCGGACAUUUAUGGAUGUUGAAUUUUUUUGUAAAAUUAAAAAAAACAUAUAUAGUAAUUCGUAACCAUUAAUUAAAUUUUUUGUAAAAUUAAAAAAAACAUAUAUAGUAAUUCGUAACCAUUAAUUAAAAAGGAGACACAAAAAUUAAUUGAUCUCGCUGCCCACGAGAAUAUUUAAAAAAAUACUAAUAAAACUCUAAUUUUUAUAGGUUUUAAAAUGAUUUUAAUUUUCAUAAAAAAUAUAUAAUUUAAUUAUGACUUUUCAAAAAACAAAUUCUUACAUCACCCUCAUUCCAACUAAAAAAAUUACCCGAAUAUAAAAAAACAAAAAAGGAUAAUCAAAGGAGGAAAGUUGUAUAAAAUGUAUGUGGUAGCGGGGAAGAUAAUGGUGGUGACGUUGAGGGAUUAUAUAUUUAUAAUUUUAAUUUAUGUUUUACUAUUUAAUUUUUUAUUUUACAUUUCGUUAAUUAAAUGAAUUAAAUAAGAUCAUUUUUUCUAUUAAUUUUCAGUUUUUUUUUAAAUUCAAAUCUAAUUAAAAAUACUAAAAAUCUGAUUUAUCAUCCUCCUAUUAAAAAUAAAUAGUGAUGAUGUGAAAUCACAAUUUCAUACCAUCUUUUUUCCUUACAGUUAUUGUUGUUUGUCCCCAUCCUCGUUGUUUGGUUUCCAAGUUGUGACCCAAAGUCAAGAUUGAUUUGGUUGUUUGGUUUUCAAGUUGUGACCCAAAGUCAAGAUUGAUUUUAAAAUUUUGGUUUGUCUCCAUUGUAAAGCACAUCAAACAAAGAUAGAAAUUGAUACAACUAUUCUCAAGUUAAAAUAAAGCAUUAUCUUGUUAGGUAGAGUGAAUAAAAUCACUAAGUUAUUCGGUUAACUGAAUUAACCGAAAAUUAUAUGUUUUUUUAUUUUUGGUUAAAAAUUAAUCGAAUUAACCGAAUUAACCGAAUUACCCAAAUUAACCAAAUUAUCCGAAUUAUCCGAAUUAUCCGAAUUAAUCGAAUUAACCGAAUUGAAUCACUACAUAAUUAAAUUAUUUUUAGACUUUUAGACUUUAGUUUUAAUUUUAGUUUUAGAAUUUUAUUUUUAUUUAUUAAAUUAUUUGUAAUUUUUAUGAUUGGGUUGGGUUGGGUAAUUGUGUUGGGUUGAAUACUUGGGUUUGGAUUGGGUUUAGGUGAAUAGUGGGCCUAUUUAUAUAUUAUAAUUUUAUUUAUUAAUUUUUUCGGUUAAACCGAAAAAAUUUGGUUAACCGACUAGUUUUGAACCAAAUUAACCGUUAACCGAAAAAUCAAAAAAUAAUUAAUCGACCCCUGACCAAAAAAAUUCGGUUAACCGAUCGAUUAACCGAAUUCGAUCAGUUAACCGAAUUUUUUUGGUUUUAUCCAAAUUUUGCACACCCUUAGGUUAAUGUACUUGUGUUGUUGUUUCGACACCAUAAUCAAUUCAGUUUUGCUUCAUCCAUAAUAAUUGUGCACAACUCUCAAGUACAAAACUUAAACCGUGGAUUAUGAGAUAGAAUUUUAUCUUUGUUUUUUGUGGGCAAAUAACCAAUAAAAGCCCCUUUAUUUUUAAAUUUAUCGAAAUGGGCUAGGUUCUGAAUUAAUUACCGAAAUGGACCAUUUCUCCCAAAAACGCGUCCAUGUCAGCGCGUUGUCAGGGGAUCAAGCAAGAAAACGCUUCCUCAAGGAAAAAAAUUAGAUUUAGGGUUUUUGCAAUUAGAUUUAGGGUUUUACGGUUUUUGAGUUUUUAGAUUUUAGGGUUUUAAGGAAAAAAUUAAAUAAAUAAGGGUUUAGGGUUUCUUAAUUAAAUUAAUUAUAAAUUUAAAAAAAAUUAGAUUAGGGUUUAGUGUUUAUGGUUUUUAAGGAAAAAUUAAAUAAAUUAGGGUUUAGGGUUACUUGAGUAAAUUAAUUAUAAAUUUUAAAAAAAUUAGAUUAUGGUUUAGUGUUUAGGGUUUUUAAGGAAAAAAUCAAAUAAAUUAGGGUUUAGGAUUACUUGAGUAAAUUAAUUAUAAAUUUAAAAAAUUAGAUUGGGGUUUAGUAUUUAGGGUUUUUAAGGAAAAAUCAAAUAAAACUAGUUGUUAUUCGUUAUAUAUUUUAAACUCUGGCCCAUUUCGGAACCUGACCCAUUUCGGUAAUUUUAAAAAUAAAGGGGCUUUUAUUGGUUAUUUGCCCAAAAAAUAAACUAAUAAAAUUAAAUGUUUUUAGUAAAAAUUAAAUUUAUUAAAAGAAUUUUUUAAUAAUAAAUUAAAAAUAAAAUAUAUAAUGAAUUUUUGUAUUUUCAAAUUUUAAAAUAAAAAAGAGUUUUUUUUAUAAAAACAUAAAAAGAGUUAAAAGUUUAUAUAUAUAUUAAAUUUAUCUUUUGCUGUAAUUUUAAAUUUAUAAUAAAUUAAAAAUAUUAAUAUAAUAUAAUAUGCAAAAAAAUACUUGAAAUUUAAUAUAAUACAAUCAUAUUAAUAAUAGAAUAUUUUAGGGAUAAUAAUUCCUUAAUUAAGGUCUUAAGAUCAUGGGUAAAUAUUUUAUUGAUUGUUAGUGAAUGAUUUACAAAAAAGUAUUAUUAAUUUUAUUUAAUGGAAUUUAACAUAAAUUUUAAUAUUUUAAUAUUUAAUAUAUAUAUUAAAUUGUAGAAGUUUAAAUUUAAAAUUCGAGAAAAAAUAUAAUAAUUGUAAUUAAUAUUUAACUAUAUUUAAACAAAGUUAGACUUAAUAAAUAAUUUUUAAAUAAUUUUUAAUUUUUUUAAAAUUUAUAAUUAAUUUAAUUAAGAAACCCUAAACCUUAAAAUCUUAUUUAUUUAGUUUUUUUCCUUAAAACCCUAAAAUCUAAAAACUCAAAAAUCCCAAAACCCUAACUCUAAUUGCAAAAAACCCUAAAUCCUAAAAAACAAGGAAAGCGCUUCCUUGAGGAAGCGUUUUUUGUCCACGUGGACAAAGCGCUUCCUUGAGGAAGUGUUUUCCUGCUUUAUCCUCUGACAACGCGCUGACGUGGACGAGUUUUUGGGGAAAAUGGUCCAUUUUGGUAAUUAAUUCAGAACCUGGCCCAUUUCGGUAAUUUUAAAAAUAAAGGGGCUUUUAUUGGUUAUUUGCCCAUUUUUUGUAGUGCUAUGAAAUUUAGCUUAAUAGAUAAUAGCAAAUUUGUGGAAAUACAAAAACUUAGCUUAACAUAUUUAAUAACUAGUGAUUGGGUUAGGAUAGAAAUUUCAAAAUUUGAGAAAAUAUAAAUAAUCAAACAUAUAAAUCAAAUCAUGCAUUCUAAGGCAUAAAUAAUAAACAAGUUCUCGAUGAUGUGGUAUUUAAUAUCUAUCAAUUUUGUACGAGAGUAAAGCAAGUAUAAAGACUUAAAAAUGAUUAAAUUAAAGUAAAAAAAUAAUUCUACAACUUGUACCAACGGAAGAUUUUUUGAUUAGGUGAGGGAUACAGUUGGAUCCGUUAUCUAGUGGCUGUCCAUGGUGUGAUAGAGUUAUAGAAAAUGUUAAUCAUUUGUAUUUUCUAUGUCCUUUUAUUAAUAUAUAGUUUUUGGUCUCGCAUUUCUAAUUGGUAGAGUUUUGAUUGGAAGAAUGUGGUGAAUUUUGAAGAAUUCUUUACUUUGUACUGGAACAUGCCCCUGAUAGGUCUGCAAAAAAGCUUUCGAUUAGUGGCGAUUGCGGGAUCUUGUUGGAUAGAAGAUAUCAGAUCUUGUCUUCCUGUAUUGGCAGUGAAGUAGAUCGAAGAUAGCAGAUCUUGUCUUCCUGUAUUGGUAGCAAAGUAGAUCGAAUAUAGCAAAUCUUGUCUUCCUGUAUUGGCAGGGAAGUAGAUCGAAGAUAGCAGAUCUUGUCUUCCUAUAUUGGCAGGGAAGUAGAUCGAAGAUAGCAGAUCUUGUCUUCCUGUAUUGGUAGGGAAGUAGACCGAAGAUAGCAGAUCUUGUCUUCCUGUAUUAGCAGCGAAGUAGAUUGAAGAUAGCAGAUCUUGUCUUCCUGUAUUGGCAGCAAAGUAGAUUGAAGAUUAUAGAUCUUGUCUCCCUAAGCAGUAGUGGAGCAGAUCGAAGAUGAUAAAUAUUAUCUUCCCAAGGUAGUAGGGAACCAGAUUUAAGCCACCAGUCCUAUCUCCUUGAGUAGCGGUGGAGUAGGUUGAAGAUCGUAGAUCCUGUCUCCCUAAGCAGUAGUGGAGCAGAUCGAAGGCAGCAAAUCCUAUCUUCCCAAGGUAGUAGGGAAGCAGAUUUAAGUCACCAAUCCCUUCUCUCUGAGUAGCAGUGGAGUAGGUCGAAGAUUGUAGAUCAUGUAUCCUUAAGCAAUAGUAGAGCAGAUCGAAGGCAGCGAAUCUUAUCUCCUUGGCGUUACAGUAGAACAGAUUAAAGCUCAAGGUAGCGAAUCUUGUUUCCAUAGCAUUGCAGCGGAGCAGAUCAAGACUGAAGAUAACCAACCUUAUCUCCCUGAAGUUACAGUGGAGCCGGUUGAAGAUAUCAAUCUUAUCUCCCUGAAGUUGCAGUGGAGUAGGUUAAACGAAGUGAGCCUUAUCUCCCCGAAGCUACAGUGGGUCAGGAAGAGGCUACUUGAAGAAGAAGCAUACCAAUGUCCAACACAACCGGACAAAAUUGGCCUUCUAAUUUAGUCUUUGCUUCAUUUUCAUUACACGACAAUGAGCAAAGAGGGGCAGCUGUAAUAGGCCAAUUUAGCCCGGGCUCACAAAAAAAAUAAUAAACUCAAAAUAAUAAAACAAAGUCCAAGUCCAGUCCAAAAUUGUAUCAUUUGGCCCGAUCGGAAUGACCCAUUACUUGAAAAAGGAUAUGCAAUCUUAGAUAUAAUAUGCAAUCUUAGAAGAUAAGAUUUUGUAAUCUUAGAUAUUUAAUUUGUAGAUACCAUUUAAAUCUUAGCCGUUGAUGUAAUUGAUCUAUACCGUUGGAUUUAGGGAGGCUCAACUAUAAAUAGAGACCUCUCCCUUCAUUGUAAAACACUGGAGUUGGGAGCAAUAAUAAUUCUUAAGAGCAUUCACUCAAAUUUCUCCUUCUCUUGUGUUCUUAUUUUCUGUGGCCUGUUCUUAUUUUGUUUUUUGUUCAUCUUUGUUUCAUUUUAAGUUGCUUUCAUUUGAGUUGGAUUUUGGUGGAAGAAUUUCGUUGAAUCUUCAUAUUGUGGGAGUAAGGCUGACUUAAGUGUUUUUUUUAACCUUUUUUAUUUAUCCAUUUAAUUGUUUAAUUAUUAAUUAUUCUUUUACUUUUAUUCGUUUAUUUAUCCAUCAACUUUCUUAUUUACAUAUCGUUCAUUCAUUUAACCAUUCUUAUCAUUCUUUUAUUUUUUCCAUUAAUUAUAUACUUUAUUUGUUUUUAAUAUUAUGUCACACAUGUUAUUUAUUUUUUAAAAACUCGUGUUAUAAAUCAUCUAUUUUAAAUUAUUUGAUUAUUUGCUUUAAAUUUUUUUCCAUAUAUUAUCAAUUGCAAUUUAUUUUUUAUACUAUCUAUUUUUUCCAUAUUUUGGCCCUCAGUUUUGUUUUAUUCUCAUUUUUUCCUUUUAAUUCUGUUUUAAAAUCAAUUUAAUCCUCACUAGUUUGAUUUAAUUUGCUUGUGUUUUAUUUAUUUAAGUAUUGAUUAUUAUGAUUUUUAAAAUUUUAAAUAUGAUAUUAUUUGAAUGUUUAUACUUAUUAUUAUUAAAUUAAUCAUUAAUAUUAUCUAAGUGUAUUGUAUAUUAUUAUUUUAGAUUUAUCAUGUUUUGUUAUUUGUAAUUUAUCAAUAUUAUUAUUUUAAAUUCAUUGAUAACAUUACUUUAAAUUUAUCAUGUAUAUCUAUUUCAAAUUUAUCAUUAAUAUUUUUAAAUUUAUUAUAUACUAUUAUUUUGGAUUUAUCACGUAUGAUUAUCCUAGAAUUAUCAUCAAAAUUUUUAAAUUUUACAUGUAUUAUUAUUUCAAAUUUAUUAUAUAUUAUUUAUUGUAAAUUAUCCAAUUCAUUUCAAAUUGUAGAUAUUGUUUGUUUUAAUUCAUGUAUUGUUUUAAACUUCAUCCAUAUACAUACUAUUUAUUUUGGAUUAUACAUAUUACUUAUUUUCUAAAUUAUUUUUAUUAUUUUUCUAUAUAAUGUAUAUUCUAAUUUUUCUUCAUAUUUCAUUUGCUUAAAUAUUUUUGUAUAUUGUGUUUUAUUAGUUGUUUUAAACAAUUUAUUAAAUGAUUUAUUUCAAUUCAUUUCAUGUAUUCAUUUUAUCUUAAUUAAUUGAUUUACAUAAUAGAUUUUUUAGCAUAUUACUUACUUCAUGUUGUUUCAUUUAUGUACCAUUUCUUUGGAAUUAAGUUUGUUUUAUAUAUUAUUUCGAGUUCGAUAAUUAUUAUGUGUGUUUGGGGUUUAUACGCGCAUAUUAUUUAGUAUUCUGCCCAUGUAUAUUAUUCCAUGUUCAUACAUUUACUUUUCAGUUCCGAACAUUACAUCAUGGUUAAUUUGAUUAUUUCAUUUCUUUUCAUUUCGAAUAAAUCAAAUUUAUAUCAUUGUUAAUAUUGCAUUAAACCUUCGCUUUAAUCCAAUUUCGUAAAAAAAGGGAAAAAGAAGUUUGCAAUAUGUCGUCUUUGGAACGAUGAGAAAUCGUGCUCUAACUUACAGGGUUUCGAUCUUUCUCAUCGAACUAAAAUGGCUAAAUAUCUUAGUUGUCAAAUAUACAAAGUUUCAAUAAAGAUUUUUUAGCUUACGCUCGGGAAUUGAAAUGUUGCAUCCUAACUUACGGGAUACGAUAUUUUGUCGUCUCGGGAUGAGAAGGCUUUUUUACAUUCGUUUAAAUUUAUCCAAGUACUAUUUUAAGAUAUGUUAUUAAUAAAGGGGGAUUGUUUUUAAUCUUUUCAACUUUACGACAUUCGACUAUAAGACAUUAAUAAUCAAUUAGGUAGCAAUUUUGGGCGUUACGAGGGUGCUAACCCUUUCACGUGCGUAACCGACUCCCGAACCUAUUUUCUCAAAAUUCGUAGGCCUAAAAUCGUUUUCAAGGUGAUCCAAUCACACCUCAAUAAAAGAUCGGUGGCGACUCCAUUUUUUCGUUUUAAAAGUCGACCCCAUUUUUUCAAAAUAAAAAAUGGUUUCGACAAGUAGUAUUUUGAUUAUGUUUUUAUAGAUGUAAUUUAGUAUUACUUUAUUCUUUAGCCAAAAAAGAUUUUUUUUAUAAUUUAAUUAAAAUUUACUAUUAUGAUUCAAUUUGAUGUAGCUUCUAGAGAUGACAAUAAAGUCGGGUGAGAGCAGAUAUUGCUAAACCUAUUACCACUCCAUCAUUUGCAUGUUGUAUACAUCCAUCUAAUCCCAUCCCAUCCCAUCCCACCCUGCAUUAUCAUAACUGCUUCGUACCUAUUACCCAAAAGAAAAAAUCCACCCCGUUCAGCCCUGCAUCCACUUUUCAAAAAAAAAAUCUAUUUCAAGCGAAGCAAUUCAAAAUGUAUUGGACAAUUUGAGUUGUCAUACCUAAUAACUUUAAUCUGAGUUCAUAAUUGAAUACUGAGUUUAGAUGGUAAUUUGUUUUCCAAACUUUUUGAUGUCGUGUUCUUCGACAUGCCUAUGAACCGUUUCAUCAUUUGCCUCUUAGAAAAUUAAAAAUAAGUUGUUUAUACUAUGUGAUGUAGUUUUAAAACCGUUUCUUUUUUUUUUAUUUAUCCGUUAUUUAUUUGGUGUAGGCGAAAAAUAUUUUAUGGGUUUGUGUUUUUAAAAAAAGAGUCAAAUUUUAUUUUUUAAUCACCAUUAUCAAAUGUGUUUAUUAAUUUAGCGUAAAUAUUUUUCAUAUUUAUCAUUAAAUAUUAUUAUAAUUGUUUCAUGUUACUUUACUUAUUUUUCAUAUUUUUCAACUUAAUAUUAUAAUUUACUAUAGGUAACAAUAAUUAAAAAUACAUUAUUUAAAAUUAAUUAAAAAUUAAAUACGUAAAAUCAUAGGCAUGUGACAUUAGAAAUUACUUUAAAAAUAUAUAUCAAACAAAUUUUAUAAUUUAAAUUAAAUAUUUAAUUUUUUUAACACUUACUCUCUUUUUUUUUUAAUUUAUCAACCAAUUUUUAAGUCUAACCUAAUUCAAACCAAGGAAACUUACUUGGAUUUUAUGUUGGGAAUUAAAUAAAAAAGAGAAAUAUUUUUCACUUCAAACUUAUUCAGUUUAAUUACCAAAACUCCAAAAUAUUUUUUUGAAGACACCCAAAAAAACCCCUCUAUAAAAAAUAAGGAUAAUUUGUGAUAUUUUUCCUCUUAAAUGAUGUUAUUUAUAUUUUUAAUUAUAUUAUUUAUAUUUUAUUUUAUUUAUUAUUGAUUUAGAGAAUAAUUAGAGAUAAAAAAAAGCUUAAAGUUUAUUUUUGACAAGUUUUGCGGGUUGGACUUUCAACAUUUACAAUAUAGUUUCAGUAUUUUGGCAAUAACUUAAGCUACAAAUUUUAGUUUUGGGCUCAUAAUAUAUAGAUUUGAAGAAAAUUGACAUAACUAACUAAAGUUGUCUUGUAGAUGAAGCCCAAAAACAUCAAGAAGACAUCAAAAAAUGUCCUAGAAGUUUGACGGAAAAAUUGCCAAAAUAUCUUGAAAACUUUUGCUUUAUAUAAUUAAUGGCACUUUUGUACUUUCUCUAUUAUAUUAUUUUUCCCCUAUAGAUAGACAUUAUUAGGUUAAUACGAGGGGAGACCUAAACCUAGCCAUUCUUAGUUUUAUUUUGUUUUCUUUAUUUUGUGGCUUUUUAAACUCUCCAUCUAGUCAAAGGUUUUAUCAAAAUUUGAUUUAAUAAAUUUGCGAGACUUAAUUUUUGCUUUAAUUUUUCUUUGUUCUUUAGUAUUCAUGCAUUUUUUGUUUUAAUUACAACUUUUCAGGUUUAUUGAAUGUUCAGUCGGUAUUUGAUAGCCUAGAAUGAUUGUUUUGUCAAUUAGAAUUGUUAAACCCAUAAUUGUAUAAUUCAUUCUAAUACUAGUGACAAACUGCAUAAUUCGUUUAAGUGUAGUUCAUGUUUAUGUGGUGUGAAUGUGUGAUAUAGCUAAAAUGAAUCUCACUAGGAUGAGUUUGUUGGUUAGAAUUUGGACUCUCUCGUUCUUAAUACUGGCGGUAAGUUAAAUCUGGGGCGUUGAGUUACAGGGUUAUUUAUCGAUUAGGAAAUAAUUUCAAAUGAGUUUUCUCUUGGCUAUCGAACAAUGAGAGAUUGGUUGUCCGACACUGAGUCAAUAACUAGAACUAAUUUAUUAAAGGUAUUGAAGUUAUUUUUGCAUUGAUGAUCAAAUCUUUGAAUCAAACGAAGAUUUUAGUACUUCUAGAGUUUCUCCUCAUUAAUUUUCUUUUCUUUUGUUUUAUAAUUUAUUUUUACUUUGUUUUAAUUUUAAUUUUUAAUUUUAAACUCUUUUUAUAUUUUUCAUGUAAAUUUUUGUUUUUAUAAAUCGCUGCAUCCUUGCAUUACUUCAAUACAACACCAGAAGAACAAAAUGUCAAACACUGACGCUUAUAGAUAAAAAUCUUGCAAAAGAGGCCGUUUUAUUUUAUCAUAAAAUUAUUCAUGAAAUAGCCAUACAUGGCAAUUACAUAAGCUUGAAGGCCUUAAAACACAGAGACAUACGAUAGAAAUACGCAAACACACACACAAACGAUAGUAAUAAGCAAACACACACAGACGCAGUAAUGAAGGCUAACUUCAACUUCGUAGUAGUGCACACCGAUGGAGCACAUUAUUAUUUAGUUUACAGUUUCGACCUCUAGUGAUCGAAAACCCUGGCUCAAAGCCGGCAGCUUACGCACCCGUAGUGGUGUUGGGUUGGUUGCCAAGAAAAGCUGCAUCAGCAUUCUCAUCAGUGCAAUAAAGGCAAGGGUGCUGCUGUCCACAUCCUAGCUUUAUUAUUUCAUUCCUGACCUUCACCACAAGUUGUCUAUUGCUUAAUGCCCCAUUGCUCUCCCUGAUGACCUUCAGAACUGUAUAGGUAAAGGCCCCAAACCCCAUUCCUCCGGUUUUGUCACUCGCUCCCAUAUCACUCGAUUCCUCAUUGGCUUGGCACCCACUUAACAGAAUUCCCUCAUCCUCCGUCAGUGACCUCAAAUUCACAAUAUCACGUUCAUCAUGGGGUAGGAAUUUGAGACUCACAUUGUUCCCAAAGAUUGUGGUCAAAAUAGAGCCAAUACCCUCCAUAUUAUCUGUUCCAGUGUUGAUGGCAUUCCCAAGUGCUCUUGUGGGAAAUAAGCCUUGUGUCGCGAUUAUGACGUUGGCUACUGUUUGUAGGCACUGGUAUAAGGUUCCUAAGGAAAUGCCCCUAGUCUUGUAAUCAACAGGUAGUGCUAUACCCCUUAGAGUACUAUGGGGUCCAAUUUGUUCUUUACUUUUAUCAAUCAGACCACCACUGUGGCAGGAAUCCGAAACCAUUGUGAAGCUUGAUCCACUUGGUAGUUGCUUAAUCAAUUGCCCCAAGUCCACGUC
rnacentral:lncRNA from 1 species